CAAAACAAUUAUCACAAAUCUCAAACCAAAAAUCGGAAAUACUAGUCAAUAUAAAACUGCUUUUUCUUUCCUUCUCCUUUCUUUUUCAUCCCAAAAUCUUGAUGAGCUUUCUUGCUCUUUCUUUCUUCUUUUUGUUAGAUUUGUUGAUUGGUCAAUGCAUGCAUAAGUGUCUUGGAUCACCAUUUUCUUUUAUUAUUAUUUUAGUUUCUUCCUUUCUCAAGAUCAAUCGUGACGAUAAUAAAAAUUCAACACACUCACUAAUUCGCCCCUUGAUUAUUAGGCGAGAGUGAUCAAGAGAAGUCUUCCCUCGUAAUCAAUAUUCAGGAGCCUUGGUAGAGCUGGUGACUACUUAAACAACAUUGAUUAUGGAUGUUAAAGCAGUGACAAACUCCAAUGAUGAAAGACUAUGGAAAAAUAGAACUGCUAAUACCACUUUAGAGUAUGGAAGAUUAUUCUCACAAGGGAAAUAUGGUAAAAGGAACGUGUCAUCAACCAUGAGCUACUUCAGCUUAGAAUCAUUGUUGUUUCUAAUUUGUCUUACUGCAUUAUUGUUACUUCUGCCAUUGAUACUUCCACCAUUGCCACCACCACCACCAUUCAUGUUGCUGCUGAUCCCUAUUUUCAUUUUCCUACUUCUUAUGGUCUUGGCGUUCAUGCCUUCCAGUAAUGCCAUGUGAUUGGGAAACUUAAUUAUAUAUAUUUGUAAGAAGAGAACAAUCUCUCUCUCUAUAUAUAUCAAUAUAUAUAUAUAUCUUUCUUCUCCUUUUUUUUGAAUUUUUUUCAUCUUUCUUCUUUUUUUUUUUGAAUUUUUUUCAUUAAUCAAUUUGUUUAUUAAUUAAAAAAAUUAUGUCAUAUUUACUAUCCUAAUUAUAUCUCAUGAGUUAUAAAAAAACCUCCAAAUAUUUGUAUUCUCUACUUAAUAGUAUGUCUUCUCAACUUCCUUCUACCUAUUCUUAUUGUUUUUUCAAUCUAUAAAUACCAAUAAUCUAUAGUGUUGUUGGAUGAUCAUUUCCAUUUCUCCUCCUUCUUUUUAAAUAGUAUAUAUCUUUUUCUCCUUUUCAAACUUUUUCACAAUAGGAAUACAAUGCGGCCUCUACAAUCUUUUGUUAUGGCUUAAUCUUAAUUAGUAGCAUUUUAUAUAUACCAACUGCACAAGUACUUGAAAUGUUCAUAAACAGUUCACACAGUAAAAGAGUAAGCAAUUCACGUAUGAUGUAGGGACAUCAAUAAAAUUAGGUCCAAUAGAUUAAUAUAACUAUUGCAAUUAAAAAAAAGUACUCUUCGUUCCUUAGGACUAUUUUUUAUUUCUUAUCUUUUUAUAUUUUUUAAUCUAAAGGCAUUAUUUUGGAUGUUAUUCUGAUUCAAUGAAUUUAAAUUUACACAGAUAGUAUGAUUUGAUGAUUCUUUGAUUUGUUAUUUUUGGCAGGUAAUAAACAAUCAAGAUUGGUGUUAUCUCUUUGGAAACAUGUUGUUUUGAGACCGAAAACGGAGUUUCAUUUUCAUCUCUAAUAGAUAGGAGAAAUGAGUAUAAUAAAAGUAGGUUUUUCAUAAUAUUCUUGUAUCAAUCGUAUUAUUUCGAUAUAAGUAAUUUAUAUUAUUCAGUUCCUCUAUUUUUGAUGAGUAUAUAAAUAGCAUGAAAGUUGUGUCUUUCAUAUAUUUUACAGAUAAGUGUAAGCAUAUUUAUCGGUUAAUUGCUAAAGUUAAGAACCAAAUCGAUAACGAUAAUUAAUUUUUAGGUCAUUUACAUUUUCUUUAGUUUUGUAAUUUUUUUUAUAAGGAGAUUUUUAUUUCUCCGUAUAAAAGAUUUGAUAAUGUUAUUUUCUACAAUCCAAUUUGCAAGUAGUCAAACGAUCUUAUUUACUCCAAUUUAUAUCUAUCUAUAAUAUAAAAAGUGAUGUGACACGUCUCUUUGGUAAAGAAAUUUUAUUUAUCUUUAUUCUCAUUUUCUUAACGUUUUCUCGUAUUUUAUUCAUUUUUUUAUUAUUAUAAGAGAUAUCUUCAUAACUCACACCUUUCAUCUUCAUAACUUCUAUUCUUAAUUUGUAGUAGUAACUAUACUUUUUUAUUUCUCUCAUUUUUUUUUUUGUGGUUCUUUUUGCAGCCCCUUACAAAAAAAUUACUAACAAACUAAACCUACAUUAUAAGUUAAUACUAUUGAAUUAACUUUUUAAUGAUUAUUAAAAUUGUAACAGUUAAAUUGAAAUAAUAUUCAAUAAAGGGAGUAUUUAUUAGGUUGCAGAAUAAAGUCUUUUCAUAUUCCAAAGCUAAGUUUUAAUUUUCCCCAAAUUUUCUUCUAACAUAUAGUACUCUUAUAUCUAUAGUUUAGCUUUUUCAAAUUAUCUUUUGUUGAGUGAUGUUUAUCAUGUUAUAUAUAUCAAGUGUUGUUAUCUUAUGUUAAAUUGUUGGUUUUGUAUCAUAUGAAAAACGAUAGUAUUUGUUGCCUCUUAACAAUUUUGGAGUUUAUUUCAAAAUUAUUUGUGUUUUAAUGCUAAUUAUUGUUCGCAUCGUUGUGAUUACAUAAAAUGAUUUCCAAUGUACAUCAAUAUACCUAAUAAUUGUAACUAUGUAGUUGUUAAUGUGGUGAAAGGCAUUGGGUAAGUGACAAAAAAUAAUAUUAACAUCUUAUCUUUUUCAAUUUUCAAAUUUAUAUAUUUACUUCUUUUUUUCUCAUUAUUUAUAUUAUCAUAAUUUUUUUUUAAUCAUCACUUUAGAUCAUAUAUAACUUGACUUAUUUUAUAAGAAAUUCCUAUAAAAUUUCUUAUAGGAAAAAAUUAUCAAACAAUUUCCAAUCAUGAUCUUUGCAGAUUCAAAAAUAGAAAGACGAAGAAAAAGCAAUUAAGUAUAAAGAGGAAGAAGAAUGACAAAAAUGAAAAAAGAAGAAGUAAACACUAAAAAGAAUCAUAAUUUAUUCUUUAUAUUUAAUUAUUUAGAAAUUCACAUAUUUAAUAAGAUAUUAUACAACUGUGCGAAGCGCGGCCUAUUUCACUAGUAUAUAUAUAAAGGAGAAAUAUAGAGGAGGUGAUGUGACACCCCUCUAUGAUCUCCAUUGGUAUUUAUCCUUUUUUUUUUUUUGGCAUUUUUUCCUUCAUUCUUUUCUUUUAUCAAUUUGUUUGAUAAAUAAAAAGAUCUAUUAUAUUCAUUAUAUCUAAUUACAUUUCAUGAGUUACAAAAAACCUUCAUCCAUUUGCAUUCUCUAUUAAAUAUUCCUUUAAAUAACAUAUCUUUUCAACUUUUUUUAUCUAAUUUUUUGUGACUUAAACAACCUCUAUAUAUGUACAGUAAUUUAUUUGGAGGACAAUAUUGAAUUUUGUAGCCAUGGUUGGACGCAAAAGAAGAAAAUUGAGGUGUAAGUUUUUAGUAUAUGUGUUUUUGGGCAUUAAACAUCUUUCUUUUUCUGUUUUUUGUGCUUAAAUUGAUUUGGAAUUAUUUGAGUUGUACUUGAUAUUUUAGAUUUAUCAUCAUUUGCUAAUCUUAACAAUUUGUUUUGUGUAUUUUCAUAUAUUUGUGAUGGUAUGAUCAUUUUUUUCUUUUCAUGUAUUAACAAGUACAAUGAUUUAUUCAGAGGACAAUAUUGAAUUUCAUAGCCAUGAUUGGACGCAAAAGAGGAAAAUUGAGGUUGUAAGUUUUUAGUAUGUGUGUUUUUGGGCAUUAGGCAUCUUUCUUUUUCAGUUUCUUGAGCUUAAAUUGAUUUAAAAUUAUUUGAGUUGUACUUGAUAUUUUAGAUUUACAAUCAUUUGCUAAUCUUAAGAAUUAUUUUUUUUGUGUCUUUUCAUAUAUUUGUGAUGGUAUGAUCAUUUCUUUCUUUUCGUGUAUUAACAACUAUACAUACUUUAAUGUAUAGCAUAAGAACAACUGGUAAGAAGUUGUCAUUAUUAUUAUUGAGUACUAAUACUAUUAGCUUUAUGCCAUGAAAAAUGUUGAUGUGUAGUACUCCUGUCAGGUCUAAAGCAAUACAUCAUGUGACUCCAACGACAAAAUAAAUUAACGACAACAGAUAGAUUGAUGAGCAAGUGGGGAGUGCAAGUGGAGAAAGGAUGUGUCUUAUGCAAAACACGGGAUGAAGACCGAAACUACCUGUUUACUCAUUGUAAUUUUGCCAGAAUGCUAUGAAAUACGCUACUAUAUGAUUGCAACUUUUAACUACACGGGCUUAGCCUACUCUUAUGGGAACAAGUCCUAACAUUAAAGAUGAUCAACAACACUAAAGGAAGGUCAAAGCAAGCCAAAAUCUUUAGAAUAUUUUAUGCUCUAUAUACAUUUGUCAUCCCCUUCCCUAAGCCUCCAGCAAUAUAGAUUUUCUUAGUAUUUGUUUGAUAAUAGCAUAGGAGUUAUUAGAAAUCGAGAGGCUUGAAGGUGUUUUUCUUUAUGCUUUACAUUAUAUUUGUAUUGAAAUUUUUCAUGAGUAGCAACAUACAAAAUCAUGGAAGGACUAAUUUAACUGUUGAACCUCAAUUUGGUGUAAAAAAUUAGACUUUCACUUUCUCGGAUAGUGAAUAUUUUUCACCUUCAAUUUCAAGGUUGCGGGUUCAAAUCUACCAUGGAAGCAAAAAGGAGAGAGAUUUUAGAAAAAAAAAAUUAUUUUACUUUUACUUUUGCUAUCUAAGUUAACCACUCAAAUACUACUCCAUCUUAAUGUUACUUCAGUCAUACCUUUUAGACUAACACUAAUUUUUCGUUCUUAUUAUUUUUCAUGUGGUAGUUUAGACUAUCGAAAAAUUGUACAUUAAGAUCAAAUGUCAAAGCUAGCUUUUAUGAAAAGUGAUGCGACACAUUUUUCGGCUAAGAAAAGCUAGCCUUAAUUUAUAUUUGAUGUGUAAAAAAUAGUCAAAAGUCACUCUUUUAACUCUCUUUAUUAUGUUAAAUGUAUUAUGUUUAUAAUUUUUUAUCUCUCUUAAUUAUUGUUGAAUUUUCAACAAUCCAUUUAAUUAUAAUUUUAGUAGAUAUAUACAGAUUGGAGUCAUGUCUAACACUUUAAUCAUAAGGAUGAAACCUUGAAAAAGAAAAAAAAUAGCUUCGAGACUUUUCUUUUUAAAAAAAUUACUCAUUUUAAUUAAUCUCAACAUUUUCUAUAUCUAUUUUAUGAUUACAAAAAUGUGUAAAACCAUAUCAACUGAAGAGAGAGAGAAUCGAUGACACAACGUCUAUGGACAGAUAUUUUUACAUGUUCACAUUUGAAUAUUUUUAAUGUAAAAAUAAUUUUCUAAAUAAUUUGUAGAAAUUGAGGUUAAAAUCAAUUUAUUUCAUUCAUCUUUACCUCUUAAAUAUUAAAAUUAUAUGUUACAACAACUCCAAAAGUCACGUUCUUAAUUUGAUACAUGUUGUCUCUUUUUUAAUUUUUUUUUAUGCAAAAUUCUUUUUUCUUACUCUAGCUAGCUAGAACUUUAACUACUAUCAAUUAUUUAAAAUUAAUACACUUAAUAAUAUUGAUGCCAUUCAAAUUUCUUAAUGCACAUUACUCAUCUUUUGCAACUACUCAAUGUUCAUUACCUUAUUUAGUACCUAUAAUUAUUAUACAAAUUUAAUUACUUCAAAUAAUAACAUAUUAUCAACGCAGAUUCAAUAUGCGAUCAAAGAAAGAUGCUUGAGGCAGAGGAGUUAUAAUCCAAAAUGCAAUAGAGUGUGGUGUGACACCUCUUCAUGACCAUCAUUUCUAUUUUCUUUUUCUUUCUUUUUAGUACUUUCCUUUUUUAUUCCAUUCAUGUUCUACGUUUUAAAAAAAGAUCUAAAAGUCACCACUAAUUCUAACAAAAAUGCCAUCAUCUUUUUAUUUUCAAGCACAAAUUCUUUUUUCCUAUUUAAACUAAAUAAAUCCUUUCACAUAAAAAAUUUGAAAAGUACUUUCUAAAACAGUUUGGAUGUACUUAAAUACAUUAUAAUAAAGAGUUACUUUAAUAAUCUAAUUGUUUUGACAAUCUUUCAUAUAUCAGAGGAGAAGAAAAUUUUCGUUUUAAGAUGUCUUGAUUUGUUUCAUUGGCUCCAUAAAAUAUACAAACUGAAUUUUUUUUAAAGUUGACGAAAAUGAUAAAAUAAAUAGCUGUUGAUUGGUCUAUAGUUCUCACGAAAGCAUUUUUUUCAUAUCUAACACACUCUUGAAUCGUGAUUUCUCCUUUGAAUCCAUAAAAAAUAUUUGUUCGUCUUUUUUCUGAUGGCAUUCAGUUCUCAUGAGUUUUCCUCUUAUAAAUUUUAAAUUAAUAUUAAUGAUGAUCUAUAUAAUAAUUUUUUUCUUGAAAAGUUAUGAUGGUAUUAGUAAAUUAGCAAUGAAAUUAGGUGAUUAGUGUCAUGUAUUCAUUUUCUCACUAAUUUUAAUAUUUUUAUCGCAACAAGAGAGACGGGUUGAUAAAGCUUAGAUAUUGCACAAAAGAUAGUGAAACAAUAAAGCACUAGAAGUAUAGUAUCUCUUUCUCCCCUGUCAACAACCGGACAUAGGCUCUUAACUAAGUUUUGUUUCUUUCCCAAAAGAUUAAAAUUUGAAUGAAAAAAUCGAAUAGAAAUUUUGAGAGGUUAUGAUUCAAUUUAUAUAUUCCUUCUCCAUUUAUGUAAAUUUACUAUUAUAUAUAUAUAUAUAUUUCAAAUGAAGGACUACUUUUUUUUGAGUAUUCUUGAGCUUUCAUUUGUUUUUGUUUAAAUUUAAUCUUUUAUUAUUAAUAAUGUAAUUUCACUCAAUUUCUUAUUGCCGCGCGAAGCGCGGUUGAGUUUCCUAGUUACAUAUAUAUAGGUCCUUAGUUACUCAAACUGUCAAGGCUGCUAAAUAUACAAUACAGUUCUUUUAUUUUACAUAAAGAGCAUUUACUCCUUAUUUACAUUCUUGUUUAUUGUUUACUCACUCUUCUAACUUCUUUAUGACAACUACUCCAUUUACCAGAUAUUAGAGAAUAUCUCUGUGGCAUGGUUUUUCUUAAGCAAUAGUAGCAAAUAAGAUCUCUCCCUAGAGACUUGUAGUAUAUUUCACUACUAACAUAACUACUGCAGACUCAUAUAUUGCAAUUUUCAACAAAAUGAGCAAUGUGUGUAAUCUUGGUUGUCCUUCCCAUCAAAUUGCAACUUCCAAAUAGAUGAUCUCUGUUUGUCCAUAUAAAAUCCACUGAUCUCCCCUCCUAUGUCAUAAAUGUCAGCAAUAUGUGCAACUCCAACUCCUGGAGUUAACAGUAGCUUAGAACAUGGAUUUACGAAGCUUGAGGAUUUGGGAUUGGAAGGUAUCUUAAAGAGGGAUUUUUGAUGAUUCUACUCUGUUAAACGUGUUAUAAACCUGCUGGUGGUGGGAGGUGGCAGGUAUCCCGUAGAAUUAUUUGAGGUGCAUGAAAGUUGGCCCGGACACCUCGAUUAUAAAAAAAAAAAAGACUACAAUAAAACUUCACCACAUCCGACAUUUACGCCAAUCAAAUGAAUACUAACAUGCAAUAUACACUAUUAUCACUAAACACUAAACUAUAGUUAAUGAAUACAUACUCUAUCAUCUCAAUUCAUCACUUGAUCAUGAUAAAUUAAUACAAUCUGGUGUAAACAUUUGGUGCAAGUUUGUGCAAGUAUUUGUCCAAUCACUCCAAAAGCUCCAAUUUCGAAUCUUUGCUAGAUCUUGAGAUCAUAUAAGUACCAAAAAUAAACAGUUCUUGUAGGUUAGCAGCACGUAAUCUAAAGAGUACUGGCAAUUUACAGCACAAGGAAGAUAGUGUUCCAAUUGUCCAAACUAGUAACUUCUGACUCCUCAAAUAUGAAAGAGGCAUAUGCUACAACUUAUGUAGUGCAAGAGAAGUUGCAACUAUUAAACUGGAAAGCGUAUCACAUCAUCCAUUUGUAUGUAAACUAUGAAAUAUUACUCUACAUCAUCUUUACUUUUUCCACCACGAAAGAAAAGUCAGCUAAGCAUUUCAAUAUCUGGCACUGUCAUUCACAGCUAUAUUUCCCAAUGAAAAUGUCAAGGAAACCUGGUUCAUCAUUGCAGCUCAGGUAUAUUUUUCUCCACACUACUGAAAUUGAAAGAUCUCCCAACUUAAAACCUGGAAAACCAAAUAUUUGUAAGAGUUUAAUUCUCAAUAUUAGUUUAUUGGAUGUAAAUUUUGUGGCUUACGUGAACAUCUGUGGUCUGUUGCGGGAGAGUUGAGGUCUGUUAAUUGGUGAUAAGAUGAGAUUCCUAAGGGUCAUUGAGGGAUUGGUUGCCUCAGUUGCAACACCAAGCAUGGGACGUGCACCUGCUCUUCUAUUUCCAGCAUCCACUGGUACUGCUGACUGUCUUACAGGGGAGCCACUUGAGACAUCAAAAGGGCCAGAGUUGGAACCGUUCUGUCUUGCUGGAGGCCAUAUGUCUUCUCUUGGUCCUGGAGUUUCAGGAGUGAGAACGGACCAAUCUGCGACAAAUGAGUCGACUAAUGUCUUGCUAAAAGGUUAAUGCAGUUUUGAGAGCAAAAUACCGAAAUUCAAAGAAUUUUGACAAUGAGUAUUCAUACAUUUCAGACAACGAAAUCGUGUUUUGCAAACUACACCAGCCUCACAUGUGCCAUGUGAUUAUUCUAAAUACAAAAUGAGUUACCUUUUCUCAUGUUAUCUCUGUUGUCCAUCAUAUUAGCAGGAUUUGCAAACAAAUCAGGCUCUGGCCUUGAAAAGAAAUUACUUGGCUGAAUGGCUGUGCGCUUUACUGAAUCAUAUUCAUUUCUCAACUGAUCAUACAUUUCAUCAAGUUUUCUUUUUUGCCUGACAGUAGUAGAAACCUAUGUUAUUUCUGAGAGCACAUACCAAAGACGGCAGAUUUUAGCAGUAAACCACAGCACACUUUCCAAUCUCCCCAGUUAAUAGAUUAUAGUGGAUAAUAGAGCACACUUUUGCAGUUCCACUGGAUUUCUUAAUUUUUUAAUUGGACAAAUAGAAUAUGCCUUAAAUACUGUAAGAAGAACCUGGAUUUCUCAGCAAAUUUUUCUUGUAGUUCCUGCUUGUCUUUAGAUAAGCUCUCGAUCUCUUGUUCCUUCAUUUGGCACUUUUUAGACACCUUCUGGUAUGCAGUGUGAAUUUGCUCCAACUUUUCAGAGAACUUUUCCUGCAUCAUCUCACAUUUCUGACGGCAUUGAGCUACUAUCUUGUUCAUCUUGAACUGCAUUUCCAAUUCCUUUUGUCCAAUCUGGAACAUCACACUUCUGUAGGCACUCUUCAUUACUGGGUGUGGUUAAGGAGUAAGUAAUGAAGCUAAUGUAAAUACCAUUUCUGUAAAGAUAUUGUUAUCCUAUGUCAACUUUGGGAAAUAGUAUGUUAAUUUAAUUAAGCUAACUUCACUCUGUUUUAAAAGUAAAACUGAAUAUUAAAGAUGUUGCAACACAGGACAGACGAUGAUGGAUACAUAUCUGUGGUGUAAUUCCAGCCAUGACCAUCUGCAUGAGGGUGUGAACAAAUUUUAACUAGGAUGCUGAUUAAGAAAUGAGUAAGAUACAAUACAAAUAUGAUUAGGUCAUUGGAAAUGUAGAAAGUGAUAAGGGAGCAACCCUUUCAUGAAUGUGUGCUUACAUUUAUCCAUUCAUCACUUGGAUUGACGUCUACAGGUUUCAUGAGACUGAAACAAAAAUAUCAGAGGCUUGGUUACACAACAGCCUCAAGAAGAUGCUAUAUAAUACUUUGAGUGAAUAGUUAAAGCUAUUAGAAGUAAAAGACAACUCAAUUAAUAUGUACAAUGUAGCAAUGGAAAACAAAAUCAAUGUUCCGGAACAAAUUUAUGAUAUACCUUUUGCAAAAUCAAUCAUUAUUAGGUGAACUAAACAACACUUGAUGAAAAUGAUAUUAGAUAGCACUAACCUUUUAGAGAGAACUUGAUCACAGAUAGGACAAGCAGCGUCAUUGCUGAGAAUUUUACUGGCAUCACUCAUACCUAUUAAUAUUGUUAAGGAAUCAUAGCAGUUGUACACCAAAAUCAUGUCCAUGAGAAAACUUUGCAAACAUACACGCCUAUAUGGGAACACUAUUUUUUUUCUGAUUACGGUGAUAUCUGUGCCAGCUUCCACACACAUCAAAUGAUCCAUCACGUACCUGCUACCCUACCGCCAGUAUAGUAGCGGAUAACUCUUCCCACCAAGACAUUGGCAGAUGGGACUCAAUGUCUCCUCUGCUGGAAUCAAACCUUGAUUAUCUAGUUUGUCUGACUGCUGAGACAUUCCCUUGGGGGCUGGAAUACACACAAAACAGAUAUGGAACACAUACAAAACUAGGAUACAGAAGAUGUGGCCACAAGUGGUGGUGAUGGCCUGUCCUUCCAGUUCUCGCCAGCAAGCAUUGCAUCUCAUCUCAACCUUCAGAGAUGACUGUCAUUUUCAUAGCACAUUAUACAAAAUUUUGAAAUCAUUAAGAAUUCUAAGCAUAACAUUUUUAUCCCAUUCAUUCUACAUCCACACACACAGAAAUAGUCAAUGAGAAAAUACUAACUAUCCGUACGACAAAGUUGACAACAUUGCCAAACAAACUUUGCAUCUCAAAUGACACAAAACGACAAUCCGCUUAAGAGCCAGUUGUAUCUAGUUAAUCCAAUAUCAAACAUGCUUAAUGUGAAAGAAGAACUGCCUGCUGGCAGCUAGAAUAUCCAUAUCUGAAACCUCUAGUUUCUUAUAAACUGUUGAAAUAUCAGCAUUCAUACUUGGAUAACCAAAGAAACUAACUGGAAAGACACAAAACUCGUUUUGAUAACAGUUAAAAAAACAAGUUCUGCUUAUGUAUUGAACAAUCAGCAUUAAAUCAACUUUCAAUGAAGACAAACAUCACGAAUAUGCAUGAACCGAGAUAACUAUGAAUUUUCCAGAUCCCGUAAGUAGGAAAGCUAACGUUAGAUCAAAUAGGUAAAGGACUCGCUACAACAUAGACAAUGAACAGGGUUCAAUCCUAUCAUUUCAAGCCACCAAACAGAUAAUCAGACAAUCAAGCGCUUGAGCAACAAAUUUUUCAGCUUCAGACAAGGUUACUGGCUUGUCUGCAAAUUUUUUCACCUUCAGGGAGGCUACUGGCUUGUCUGCAAACUUUUGAUCCGAAACCUUGAAAUGCACUCAUUGAAGAAUUAUAUAUGAAAUCAACAAAAUUUUAAAAAAAUAUAAUAAUAAAUAAAAAGGGAUAGCGAGAUCUUUUUGUCAUCGUACUUACAGAAUUUGAAAGACAGUUGAAUAAUCAGAACAAAAUCGGAACUUAAAAGAUUAAAAAUCGCCAAAGAGUAUCUCAGGCAUAGGAAUAACCUGUAAAUAGCAGAGAAGAAAUAACGAAAUCAAACAAUUGAAAUUCAAUAUGAAAUCGCGAGGUUCCAAAAUAAUAAUAGAGCUGUAGAAGUUCCACAUUACCUCCACGAGUUCAAAAAUCUCCGGCAAAAAAUAUAAGGCUCCUAUGCAAUAAAAACCCUAGCACAAAAAUUUCUAAUUGAAGCUUCUCUAUGGAUCACCUAUUAUUCAUCUACUACUGCAGUAAUAAUGACAUGGCACAUUACACAAAGUUCUGUAAUCAUUAAAAACUCUGAGCAUAACACUUCUGAUCCCAUGCAUUCUAUAGCCAUGAUACAUGAAAAUACAAUGAGAAAUGACUAAUUAUCCCUACGACAUAUUUGACAACAUUCCCGAACAAACUUUGCAUCUCAAAUGACACAAAAAGACAAUCCACUUAACAGCAAACUGUAUCUGGAUAACCCAAUUUCAAACAUGCUUGAUGUGAAAGACGAGCUGCCUAAUGGCCGCUAGAAUAUCCAUAUUUUAUGCAUGAUAUACAAAUGCAUUUUAACUGGAAAGACAUAAAAUUCGUUCUGAUAACACUAACAACCAAGAUAACUAUCACAUGAAAUUGCUUGCAGCUUGUAUAUUGAAAAAUCUGAGUUUUACAUCUUGAUGAAUACUCACUUUCAAUAAAGUAAAACAUCAUGAAUAUGCAUGAAGUGAGAUAAUCUUAAAUCGUUAAAGAGAGAAAAAAAAAAAACAUGACAAAUUUUCCAGAUCCCUUCAUUAGGAAAGCUAAAGUUAGAAUAGGUAAAUUACUUGCUACAAAGUAGACAAUGAACAAGUUCCAAUACUAUCAUUUUCAAGCCGCCAAACGGAUAAUAAGAAUAUCAAAUUUUCACCUUCAGAUGAGCUCAAUAACUGGCUUGUCCGCAAAUAAAUUGAUCUGAAACCUUGAAACGAAACAAACUUGCACUUGAACAUACAAAAUCAACAAAAAUAUUACCAAAAAACAUGGAUGGCGAGAUUUAUUUUGCAUCGUACAAACGGAAUUCAAAAAUACAGUUGAAUAAUCAGAACAAAAUCGGACGAGCUCAAUAACUUGCUUGUCCACAAAUUUGAUCCGAAACCUUGAAAUGCAAAUAUAUACAAAAACAACACACGGAGAGCGAGAUUUAUUUUGCAUCGUACUUACAGAAUUUGAAAUACAGUUGACUAAUGAAAACAAAAUCGGAACUUCGAACAUUAAAAAUCGCCAAAAGAGUAUCUCAACCUGAAAAUGAGAGAGAAGAAAAUAAGGAAAUCAAACAAUUGAAAUUCAAUACCAAAUUAUAGAGCUGUAGAAAUUCCACAUAACCUUCGCGAGUAUGAAAAUCUCCAGUGAAAAAUCGUAAAGCUAUCGAAACCCUAGCACGAAAAAUUUCCGAUUGUAGCUUCUCUCUCUAUCUCUCUUUGGAUCAUCUAUUAUUCAUCUGCUACUGCACUAAUAAUGUGCGCGUUUUUUGAAUUUGAUUGAAAUGGCGGCAAAAAAGUCGUUAAUAAGGAUCCGCCGACCCGACCCGCGAUCUGUAAAACAGAUGAUCGAACUAGCAUCUCAAUUCCCAAUUACACUUUUCUUUUUAAUUUUCUUAAUAACCGUGUGACCAAAAAAGAUUAUUUUACUUAUUUUAAAAAGGAAAAGAGUUAGAAAUACUCCUCUACUUAUAUUUAGUGGUUAACUUUACUCUUCAUUAUACUAUAAGGUCAAUUUUAUUCCUAUUGUUAGUGAAGUUAACAAAUAUAUCCCGUAAUUUUAUUUAUUCCCAAAUAAAUUAAAAUCACUCAUUUUUUUAAAAUAACUUGAAUCACUUUUUAACCAGAUUCGAAGUUCAUCUGAGUUUGAAGGUCAAACUUAAACCUCCAUUGACAACCAUUGAAGCUCCAUUAAAGCUUUGAAGCUAAAAUUUUAAUUUUUCGCAAACGAAGUUCGUUUUGAAGUGGAUAUUUUCAAAAAAUUGGAAGCAUCUUCAAGAGUUCAUACAUCAAAUUUGGAAUAAUUUAGUGAAUAAUUGAAUUAGGUUUGGAGCCAAAUUUCAGUCACUAAUUGAAGGAAGAAGAUCACCCUAGCCUGAUUUGGAUUUUAGUUUAGUGGAUUAGUUGGGGUUAAAGAGUGAUACGGGUUAUUUUAGGGGAAUUGGAUAUUUUAAUUCAUAUGGGGGAUCUAUCAAAUUGAGGGACAUAUUUAUUAACUUCACUAACAACAAGGGUAAAAUUAGUCUCAUAGUUCAAUGAAUGCUAAAGCUGACCAAUAAAUAUAAGUAUAGAGGUAUUUUAAUAAGUAUAGAGGUAUUUUUAACCCUUUUUUUUUUUAAUUUUAAAUUAGAGAUUCUUGUAAAUUUAUUCAUCAAAAUAAUAAUCAGGAAUUCUUGAAUUUUUUCAUAUUAAUUUAGGAUAUACGAAAAAAAUUACAUUUUUAUAUAGAAUAGUAUAUAAUUUUUAUUAUAUAUUUUUAACUAGCAAAUAUAAUUAUUUUUAAUCAAUUGACCAAAUGUGUAACCCCUUUUAAAAUUUGAUAUCCGAAAUAUGAAAAUAGUUGUAUUAAUGGUUAUAUUUAUGAAUGAAUAAUUACGCUUAAUGAUUUGACUUAUUAAUUAUCAACUUUUAAUACACUACUCGGCUAGCCCAACUGAUAAGAUAUCAAUUGAUUGGGUAUCAAAUGAACAAUUAUCGAGCAAUUAAUUGGGUCACUAUCAGCUAACCUCCGUGUUUUUUUAAUGCAAUUUAAACACGCUAGAAAGAAAGAAAAAAAAAAAGAACUUUUCAUUGUGUUAAUUGUUAAAUGCAAUGAGUGGCAGUGAACUUAUCUUACAUAGAAACUGAUUUACAUAAACAAUGAACAAGAAGUCGUUGUUGAAUGUUGACUUCUUGUUGAAGAAGAUAUUGAGAAGAGUGGAUGUUGUUGUGGGAAGAUGAUAUUAACCAGCUCCAUUUAGGGUUAUUUUCUAAUAUAAGAAUUACGAACUAAGAAGUAAACAACUGAGUAUUGAAUGGGGACUACGACUGGGACUUUCUGCUUUAACUUUAUUGGGCUUACAAUGCAUAUAUUAUUGUAUAAAUAACAUAAAUACCAACCCUUUUGAAAUUACUUAUACCCUCUCACUUUUUGAAUUACUUUACUCUCUCUUCCUCCUAAUAUACAUAACAUAGCCGAUAUAUACAUAGCAUUCUGUUUAUAUGUUGGGAUUUUUAUAAUAUGUUUAGGGAGUUGGGAUUUUUUGUAAUAUUGGAAACAUAAAUUGUGCAUUUGUGUAAUUUUACCGAGAGGUAAAAAUAUAACCACAACAAUAAUAAUAUAUUCAGUGUAUUCCCACAGGACGAGGUCAAGGAGAGUAGAGUGUUAUGCAGUCCAUACCUCUACUUCAGAAGUGAGGUAGAGAGGUUGUUUUAGUAGACCCUCGACUUAAGGCAAAAUACAAUCUAAAAAAGAUGCAUAGAGGUACAAAAGACAAUAAGAAGUAACAAAAUAAUACUACAAAAAAAUAAUACUACAAGCGAUCUAUCCAAAACAACAUAUAUUAACAUGAAUUCAAAACAAGAAACUACAAGUGUAGCACUACGGCUAAUAAUAAGGACAAUACUCUUACCUACUAGCAUGAACUUCAUUCGAUCUCCUACCCUUCUAUGCUAAUACGUGUUCAUCACACCAACCUAUCUAAAGUCAUGUCCUUCGUAAGCUAAAAUUGCAUCAUAUUCUGUCUAAUUAUCUCUCUCCAAUAUUUUUUUGAUUUAUUUUUGCCUCUUAUAAAUUCAUCCAUAGCCAACAUCUCACACCUCUGCGCCGGUCAUUUAGGCAUCUCUUGAUCACAUGUUCGAACCACCACAAUCUCACCUCCUCAUUCCAAGCACCCUCUAUGAUACUAGCAUGGAUGGCAUAGUUGAUUCUAGCAUAAAUGAGUUGCACGCCAUGUAGGAUGUUCGUAAAAAAGGAAGUUUGAAAGUUCGUGAGAAUGAAGUGGAGGAAGACUAGAGGCCAUUUGUGCAUAAGGUUAAGCCUUAAAUUCAAGAAUUCACAAAGAAGACAAUCAAACAAGGCCCUUGUCUCAUUAAGGGUAAUAUUGUUAAGAAAAUAAGUCAAUGUAUUCUUUAUUUCUUUAGUAUAAAUAGGACCUCUUUUAUUUUACAUGGUAGUUUUUAAUGAAUAUUGAAUAUUAAAAAUUGUAGUUUUCUCUUACUGAGUUAUUAGUGAAUAGUUGGCGAGUAAUUAGUGAUUGUUGUCUUGGUGGAAUCUAGAAACUGAUUGUGAACUUGUUAGUUUGAUUAAUUGAAGAAUUAUUCAUUUAUUAUUUUUGUUUUUUUGAUUUUUCAAACUAGGAUUUUUCUUUGGAUUGUCGAAUUCAAUUGAGGAUUAGGAUUUUAAUCGCCUGUUGCCCAUAAAUUAAAGAGUUUGAAUAUUAAUUCGCAUAUCUUUCUUUUGUUUUCUAAUCCUUCUCGUUCUUCCUUGUUUGAUUCUUGUCGUUUUGGUAUCAAAGCCUAGGUUUAGAAUUGAUUCACAAGUUUUAAUUUUGGGGUAUUGAUCUAUUCAAAAAAAAAAAAAUUGAAAAGAAACAUUCAAAAAAAUAAAAAGAAUUUGAAAAUUUUUUAUUUUGAUUUGUUAUUUUUUAUACUAGAUCUUGAUUCCCUAAUGUUUUUGAGUAUAGAUCUCGAAUUGCAUGUGAUUUGAAGUGUAGAAGUGAAGUUACCAUUGAAGAAUUUUAAUCUUUUAAACUUUAUCAAUUUUGAAAAGUGAAUUUAUUUUUGUCUAAUUUUGAAGGCUAAAAUUUAGUGAAAUUCGUUUUUGGUGUUGAAAGAGUGCGUGGGUAAAAAUUUCAUUGAAUUUGGAGCAAAAAAUGAAUGAGUUAUGAGCAUUUAUAGAUUGAGGUUUAUUCUUAUUGUUUUUGAGCUUUUUCAUCUUGUUCUUGAAGAAGGUAGACAAGUACACUUUGAUUCAAAAAAAUUUGAGAUCAAAGUUGGUCAAAGUGUUAGUGGGUCCACUUGUAGAAGUUUGAAUAAAAAAUAAUUUUCAUAUGGACUGCUACAUCAGUAGCCACAUCAACAGUCAACAACCAAUGCAGCAGCCACGUGACAGCUGAUGUCAGCAUGUGAACCCCAUUGCAACCUGCAGGCGCGUGAAGUGCAACUUUAGAGGCUUGAUUUGUGUAGAUUUACAACACCUAGAAUAUUUUUGGGGUGCCUAAAUUUUUAGGACCCAAAAAUUUUUCUAAGUAUCCAAACUCUGUGGUUCUUUCUUCUACACUUUCUUUCUUUAAUUUCUCAGCAAUUUAAGAAAUAAUAAACAUAUUUAAUCACUUGUUAACUCAUUUAAAAACAUGAAAUCAUUUCUUUAAUUCAUCAAAAUUAAGCAACACAAGUAAUUUCUCUACUUUUGUUACUUAGUUUUUUUUAGUCCAAUUUGGUUCGUGGUUCUUUCUUCAACUUUUCUCAUCUUAAUUCAUUGAUAAACUUCUUAAUUCAAGUACCUUUAGAUUCAAUCGAGUUGUCCUCUUUUUAAGAGUCACAAGAAUUUCACUCCACCAUAAAGGAUAAGUGAUCUUGAAUUGAUCGAGCAAAACUAGUUUACUAUCAAAUUUGAGACGACGCUUUAGAAGGUGAGUUGAGAGUUUACAUAUGAGUAACGAGAGGCUUUUCUACUAAUAUUAUUUGUUUAGUUUUGUAUGUACCAUGUUGAAUACGAGUCCAAUUGGAGAAGGCGCGAACCACUUUAUGGAGGCUAUUAUCCAUCUCACCAAACAAAUAGCGAAAAUGAGUGAGGAUAUCAAUGAAAGGAGAGUGAAAAUAAAUUAAAGGAUGGGAGUCAUAGAAGGAAGGUUGGUACGGGUAGAGAGAGAGAAAUCAAUUCAAAUAAAAGAUGAGGGGGUAAGUAGGCAAUCCGCCAUCAUUACUCUGGGGCAAGCUCACAAGUUACGUUACCCUCCAUCAAGUCAAACCCAAAACUUCCAACAACCUACCUUCCAAACAAAUAACACUUUAAAUUUUCCAAGACAACCUACACUAUAUCCCUAUCCACAACCUUAUCAUCCUUCACAUGAGAAUCAAUUUUUUGUGGAAAACUAAAUUCGAUAUCAAACUUCAGUCCCAAACACAUCAAAUGCAUCCUUACACGAUUCCCAUAUAUCACUUCCAUAAAAUGAACCACAAAUGUCAUACCAAGACUAUCAAUUCUAAAAUUCUCUCUAUGAUGAAAUGAAUGAUGAGUUCAGUAACGCUAAGUUUUAAGAGCAUUGAGGUAAGGGUGGUUAUGGAGUACCCAAAGAAGGAGUUCGACCUCAGAAAUUGAGAUGGGACCAAGGCAUGAGAGGUCAAGGAUACGAGAAUAGAGGAGAUAAAAUGGGUUAUAGAGGUAAUAGAAUGAGAAAUACAGACAGUAGGUUUGGGGAGAGGAAUGAGCAAGACCGAGGCUUCGACACUAUCAAUGGCACACUUUUAAAGUUCAAAAAAAGUACUGACCCAAAUGAGUUCUUCGAAUAAAAAUUCAAAGUGAGUGGAUCUAUCUCACAAAUAAUAUCUCAAAAACUUUGAACGCAAAGUAUUCUCUCACACAGUUUGAAGGAUAUGCAUCCACUUAUUGGGAGUUCAAGAGGCGAAAAAGAAAGAGUAAUCAUAACUAUGAGUUACCUAUAUGGCUAGAAUUGAUUACACUUGUAGAAAUAAGGUACUUGACUCCUAACUACUAUCAAGAAGUGCUCAACAAGGUGUAUAUGUUGAAACAAGGUUCCAAGAGUGUGGAAGAAUAUUAUGAUGAGUUUGAAAACUUGAUAAUGAAGUCUAAAACUAAGUAAUCUUAGAAUAUAAGCUGAUUUUACGAUCCAAACCAGGGCCUGACCGUUAUAUCAAGCCCAUCAUGGAUCAGAAACCACCCCCUUAUUCUAACCUCAAGAACACAAUAAUCAUAAAUAAAAAGGAAGCAAUUAAGAUAGUAAUUUGAAGAUGAAUAGAUAACUCAAAUGAAAACUAAGAGUCAAUCAAUAACCAACCUACACUUGUCCACAAUAGCCUAUAAAAUUAGAAUAACAUCUAUGUCGGGACAUGGCUCUGACUAUUACCAAGAAUAAUCCAAAAGUACUGAGCCAAUAAAGAUAGAAUAAUAAAAUGAUAAGUCUUUCUAAAGGAUGCAGGCUCACCACUUCAUAGCAAUUCAACGAAUAUGCAUAACCACCUAACGCUGUACAAGAGCAACAAAAAAGUAUUUAGACCCAAAAUCAUAAAAUGAUGUAGCGUCCUAGGACGGUCAGUGGGAUAAGCAAUGGCAUGUAAGUCAAGAAAAGUGAUAAAAUAGUGUCAUGUCCAAAAUCAGUCAAAACCACAUACAAACAGUUAUAUAAACACGUAUAAGAUGCCAGGAUAGGUUAAAGGGUCAUGAAUAUAAGAGUUUUAAAACCAUUAACCUAGACUUUCUAGGUUGAUCCGUCCAUGGUCUAUAUGGGUUCAACUCCCCUGGUUGAAAGGUCCCCAGUGCGUGUUAGUCGCAUGAAUUGAGGAAAAGAUGAGGGGAAACUAAAGUCACCAUGGGCAAUAGUCAUCCCAAAUAUGUAUAUCAAGUUGUAUGAAGCACAUGGUCAUAUACACCUCCAAUGUCGACAAACGUGGUUUUUACUGUUCGUGCCCCUGGGACUUACACCUUCACGGUGAGCUACACAACCCCCUUUAAGCCCAAAUUAAAAUCACUUUGCAUAUAAUUCCAAUCAUUAUCCAGGAGUCAUUUAUUAAGGCAUUUACCACUUGGUAUCGUCACACCAAUAUGCUUGCAAGAUAAAUUAAAUAUAUCAAACCAAUCCACAUAACCAUAUUAACUCUCAAGUUUUAUUUAAAUCCAAACCAUGGCCACCAUGGUCAUCCAAAUUCAUUUUUAUAUUCAUUUAUCCAUUAAUGUAAUGUAUUGAGUUUAAAACCAAACCAUGCAAUUUGUCUAUAUUCAAAAUAAGAUUAUACACUGGAUUAAGGUUAACACAAAUUCCAAGUUAAACAUAUAAGAAAUUAAAGUCAAUUUGAAGUUUGGAGCUCGGAUGAUGAAUGCACUGUGAAACCCUUAAAUAUUUUUGAGUUUUAAGUUUUAAGAGUGAAUAGAUGAUUUUGAUCUUUUAAAACUAAAGAAAAGAGGCUUAUUUUAUGUUUGAAAAUCAUACAAGGGGUAAAAGGAUCAAAAGCCCCUCAUCCCAAGUGAAAAAAAUUAGACAAACUUACAACACUAGUGUGGCACGCUGUUAUCACAGAGGUUAGCCUGCGUGCCAUGCUGAUAUCGCCGAGGUGUACCUCCGCGACAUGGUCUUAUCGCGGAUACUCACUACUUUGGGGUUCCAAAAUGACCCCAAACCUCUUCCAAAAAAUCCAAAAUUUUCCCCAAAUACUCUUUUAACACCCCUAAAUAUAAUUCAAGUAAAAAAUUAGCAUUAAGCACGCAGGAGGGUCAAAAAUAAGAUGAUCAAAAUUUUAUGAGGUCUUACAAAUGAUUUAAUUCAUAUCAAAUUUGAGGUAUGAUAUUUUGAAUCCUUUGAAGCUUAAAUGCUAUGAUACUCUUGAAGCGGUCUUUCAUGAUGCCUUAAAGGUAGAAACCGAUUUGAAAGAAGAAAAUUCCUACAAGGACAAGAGUUCUUCCACUUCCACAUGAGACAAAAAUAGAAAUAAUGUGAAGACAAAAUCUUCCACGGUGUAACCUAAGGUGGUGGUAAAGAUAUUCAAGUCAAGUUUUAUUAUAAAUCCCGAGCGAGUGAGAAGCCACAAGGAGGUAAUCAUACUAAACCUAACUUUUCUUGACCUUCUACUAUUCAAUGCUUUCGAUAUCAAAGAAGGGGACAUAUUUCUAAUGAGUGUCCUGAUACGAAGACAAUUGUGGCUAUUUGAGAUGGGUAUAAAAUCAAACAAAGAGGAUAAUGAUUGUGAUGAAAAAGGUGAGGGAGAGAACAUAAAGAUGAGGAUAAGAGAGUGAUCUUGGGGGAUGAAGAGGAAAUAAUUGAGGAGACAAUUAAUUUUGCUUGAUUUAUUCUGGGAGGAGGACUCUUAUAAGAGGGUGAUUUCAAUUUGAUAGUGUAUGAAAACCCCUUUUUUGUUGAGAAAAGUGUGAAGGUUAAAAGUAAAGACUCCCUACCUGUUCCAAAAGAGGAUUUGAAGAAAAUUCCUCAUAAUUAUGAAGAAAAGGGCCUAAUGGAGCUCAUUUCUAAGGAUUACUACCUUAAAGAGAGCCAUGGAGACUUGAACAUGAACAAAUUUUCAUAGGAUAGUGGAUUCUUGAUGGAAAAAGGUGAAAUAUCUAACCUUAUGGCUCUAAAGAAGGAUUUACCUACCAAGAAAAAUUUUAUAAAGAAGUAGGUAGACCGAGCCUAUUGAUCCAAUAUGAUGCAUUGGAGGGAAUGCUUUGGGAAACCAAGUGUGAUGAGCAAAAAACGCACUUAAAGGCCCAUAUUCAAGGUAUGUACCCUUUCUCUUCUAUCCUACAUAAUCUUCAGAGUCAUGAUGACAUUUUUUGCAGGUUCUUGAAAUUGUAUGAUCCUAUACCCUACCAUGAGAGUGAUCAUAGAGUUUCGAUGUAUACAUGGUUGGUUUAGGAUAUGUUUAAAUUAUGUAAGUUUGAUUUAAAUUCCAACCAUAGUUGUUGUUUGGAAAAAAAUUUGUGGUGCAUUUGUGAUGCCUAAUUUAUGUCUUCUACUCCUUGUCACAUUCAUGUGGUUAAGCAAAUUGAGUUGUUAAGAUGGAUUAUUAGGAUCAUGCUAAGAUUAGUAUUCAUAGGAAGUGCAUUCUAUAGUUCCUUCAAUCUCUCCAGAAGCAUGGCUUGACUUGUUGAUCCACUCCCUGUGGGAGUUUGUUUAAGAAAGAAUAAUGAAGUGUACUUAAGAUGCCUAAUAUUUCCCUCUUGUGUUUCAAAUUGUGAAUACUUUCUUGUUAACGUUCAAUAUUUAAGAUGUGUAUUUGCAAGAGCCCUCAAGAAGAGUUGAAUGUCCUUCAUUUUUUUCUUCAUUACUUGUUCGUCUUUGAUGACUCUUUGCUCAUAUAUGGUCUCUUUCCUGUGAAUGCUAAGAAAAAUGUGUCAUUACAUAUCUUGAAAGUUGUGGAUAUACUUCCAUCCGUGUUUGACAUACUUGUGCCUGAGAUGUAUGGACCCCGAGUAAUGGAUGCCAAGUUUCGUGAUCAAUUGGGAGAGAGUCCAUGGUUAUUGAAAUUCUCUUGUAACUUUCAUAAGGUUAGGCAAGUCGAAUUUUCUCAAUGGACUCUUGGAAAUUAUUUGACAGAGAAGGUGACGUUGUGGUUGAAAUUUUUAUUACUAUCCACCAGUACCCUUGACUCUUGGAACACCUUAGAUGAGGUUCAUGAUAGCAGAACCUAUCUUUACUACCUCUUUAAUUACGAUGAUACCCAUUUUGGUAUAGGAUUCGUUCACCAUAGAGGUAGAGGUAUAUGGGUCUUGCAUUUUUUUAAUCGGAAUAAACCCUUGUGGGUGAUUGUACCACUUUUGGUGUGGCCUUCUUGUGAGGCAAUGAAAUAAUUGAGUCUUAUGAUUUCAAAGUUGAAUGUAAUAUUGUCUUUUGGAAUUCUUGAUGCCACAAAGAAUUUUGUGUUUGCCUUGUAUAUUGAUGUUUAUCCAAAUAAAAAAUUUUGCUCCUUGUGUGAUGAGUUGCUUUUAUUGAAAGCAAAGAAUAUUUAGUUGUAUCUCAAAUUUGUGCCUAUUUGUGAUGGUAUUGUCGCUAACGCUUGUAUUAACCCAUAUGUUUUGAGGAUGUUUUGCUUGUCGUCCUUCUCAUGUGUUUGCAAGGUUUGAAUUUGAGGUCAAAUUCUUUUUAAGAAGGGGAGGAUGAUAUUAGAAUGGAUGGCGCGGUUGAUUCUAGCAUGGAUGGCUUGGACGACAUGUAUGAUGUUCGUAAAAAGAAAAGUUUAGGAGUUCGUGAGAAUGAAGCGGGGAAAUAAAAGAGGUCUUGUGCAUGAGGCUAAGCCUUAAUUCAAGAAUUCACAAGGACACAACCAAACAAAACUUUUGUCUCAUUAAAGGUAAUAUUGUAAAAAAAAUAAAAUCAAUGUCUUUUUUAUUUCUUUAGUAUAAAUAGGACCUCUUUUAUUUUGCAUGAUAGUUUUUGAUGAAUAUUGAACACUAAAAUUGUAGUUUAUUCUUAGUAAGUAAUUAGUGAGUAGCUACUGAGUGCUUAGUCUUAGUGAAACCUUGAAAUUGAUUGUGAACUUGUUGGUUUGAUUAAUCGAAGAAUUACGCAUUCAUGAUUUUUGUUUCCUUGAUUUUCGAACUAGGAAUUUUGUUUGUAUUGUUGAAUUCAAUUGGGAGGUGGGGAUUUUAGUCCCUUGUUGCCCACAAAUUCAAUUGUUUGAAUAUUAAUUCACAUAUCAUUCUCCUGUUUUCCUUUCCUUCUUGUUCUUCUUUGUUUGAUUCUUAUCACUCUAAGCCUUCACCAUGACAACUCACAUGAAAAAAUCAUGAAGUUGUUAGGUCGAGUUUAAGUUCGAGAUUUUGAUAAAGCUAGACUUUCAUCGCUUUGUAGGGUUGAAUUAUCAUAUCUUUAAAAUAAAAGAUUAAAUAAUCAUUGCCAUAAAUGAGAACUUACUAAGCAAAUAAGUUAGAUUAGUCCUCAAUACAGGUUAUAAAUCUCUAGCCACCUUGAUUUACAAGAUUUAUGUCAUAUACUCUCAACGUUUAAUAUCUGGUAUUGUUUUUUUUGGUAAAUAAAUAUUGAAAAAAAUUUAAAUAUACAAUAUUAGGCUGUUAAAUGCAAGUUAUAUCAAAUCUUUUUAGUUUUCAACUUAUAACAACUUUUUUAAAAAAAAUAAUAAAUAUAGAUUUUUUAUUUUUAUAAAAAAUCAAAUAGACUGCAAAAAAAAAGAAUAUAACAGAUUUAUUUAACAAAAUUAAAUAAUCAUUCCUUUAAAAUAGAUAACAGUUAAUAACAGAUACAAAUCACACCCCAAAAUCUCUCUUGAAUCAUUUUCUUUUUUCUUUUUUCUUUUUAAAGCAAACAUGUUUCUUCUUCUUCAACAUCUUUUUCUUUCUUUCUUAUUCCUACAACAUAUCAACAAAAAUAGUCCGUGCAACGCACGGGCCCAACGAAUAUUUUUUAAAAAGUUACUUUAAUUAUUGCGAUUUAUAAUAUUUUUUAAAAUACAUAACAAUUUUUAAUAGAUAUUUUAAGCUGUUAAUUAUUAUAAUUUAUAAUACUAUUUAUGUAAUUUUCAAAUAAUAUAUAUCGAUCUCGUCGUCAAAAAUUUUGUGGCAUUGAUAGUCCAUUAUAUUUUUUAAAUAAUUUAAUUUUUACAUUACUGUGAUGUAUAAUAUUUUUUCUUUAUUCCAAUUUAAGUGUCAUUAUGCAUAGAUGAACAUAAUAAUUAAUUAUGGGUGAUAUAAUAAAGUUAGGUGUCUUAAUGAUUCACAACAACUAAUUAGAAGGGAUAUAGCAAAAUUACUAUAAAAAAUACCCGUGAAUUUUUUUUGAUUAACUUGCCAUUUUAUAUGUAUUUUACUUUUUUUUAUCAAAUAUUAUUAAUUGAAACAAUCAUCGUGCAUAGCGGUAGCUUUAGUGCACCGGGCUCUCCUUUUUUUUAUUGUUAAUUGAAACAAUGCUUAAAUAAUCAUAAUAAUUAAUUAAGAGUGGCAUAGUAAAAUCACGAAUAAAACAGCGAAGCAGACAUGUCUAACUAGAAAUGAUAUAAUAAAAUUAAUAUAUAAAAAUACUUGCGAAAAAAAUUAAAUGGGUCUCAUAUAAAACGUCAAACAUGUUUCUUCUUCUUCUUUAAUAUUUUUUUCUUUCUUUCUUAUUCCUGCAACAUAUCAACAAAAAUAUAUAGUUUCCAAUCAAAAUCUUUCACUAAAUUUUGAGUAUUUUAGUCGAUAUUCUAGUUAUUCAAAUUGCUAUAAAAUAGAGUUUGAGUAUUUUAUGUGAAAUUCAAAUUCGUCAAACUGUAAAUUUAUGAAAGUACUAUACAAUAUGAAUGGUGAUAAUUUGCAUUCAAUUAUGAUACAUCAUGGAGGGAGAUGAGAUGUCAUAGAUAUGUUAUUUUUUUGAUAUAUUUAAUCUUUAAUUACUGAUUACAAAAAAUAAUCAAGAAAAAAAAUUUAAAGCUAUUUUUUUUAUUACGUUAAAAACACCAUUCACCAUUGCCAACAUCAAAGGGAAAAGUUAAAAACAUUAAAAAGAAAAAGAAAUAGCAAUUGAAGAACACACACUUAAAGCUACUUAUAUACAGUCUGCUUGCUUUUACUUCGCUAAUAUAAUUCAGAGAUUUAACCUAAACAAACUUGUCCAUAAUUUGAAUUCUGCAAAUUUUUCUAGAUUUGGUUAGUAUUACUUAUAUUUUUUUUGCUCUUUAUUUUUGAACUUUUUUAUUGUAUAUAAGUGUGUUUUUACUAUUUAUUUUGGUGAUUGAUUACAUGUGGUGAAUUUUAACAUCGACAGUUUUUCCAGCAUUAUUUAUGUAUGAUUAUUGGUUGUUAACGUGUCUUCAUACCUUCAUAUUACAUUACUUAAACUAUCCUAUUAUUAUAUUAUUGUGAAAUAUAUUUUAAGUAUUCAUCUUGUUUUUGAAUGUAGGUAAGAGCAUCAAAUGAAUUCUUGCAUACCGUAAUUGAUGGAGCUAAAAGAUUCAUUAUUUGUUUGCAAAAUAGAAAAUAUAAUUGUUGAGGAUUUUAAUUAGAUCAAAUACCAUGUUCUCAUGUUAUGGAUGCUAUUACAUAUAGAAACCAACAUAACAAGAAAUAUUGCUCACCGUACUAUAGCAAUAAAAAGUAUCUCGACACUUAUGCAAAUACCAAUUGAACAUCUUCCUUGUGAACGUACGUGAAAAGUACAACUGGAGGUGUUGGAUGAAAUUAUAUUGCCACUAGAUUCAGAAAGGCCUUCUGAAAGGCCAUGCCUUGAAAGAUGAAGAGCACCAGACGAAGACAAGUGUAAAAGAUCAAAGGUGACGUGUAGUAGCUGACAUCGAGAGGGACAUAAUAAGACAACAUGUCAAAAACAUGCACCUCCAGCCUAAGUUAAAAUGUGUAUUUUUUAUUUUAUUCUAGUAUUAAAUUGUUUCUUAUUUUUUAUGACUUUCAUUCCUGAAUGUUGUUUUAAUAUAAAUAUCAAUAAACAAUAUAUAUCAGCUCUAGUAAGUUGCUUUUAAUGUUUUUUCACAACUAAGAGUGAACAAUAUUAGUUCUUAUAACGCAUAUAUACUGAUAUUUUUAUUUCUUUAUGAUGAUGUUGUUUUGAAAUUAAAGUGUAAAUCAUAGCUUUGUGUUAUGGACACACUGAUUGAGAUAUUUCACUUUUCUUGAUUGGAUAAGGAACAAGCAGAAAGAAACUGGGAUCAAUUGUAUGUCUUAGUAAUAACAAGAUUAUAUAUGAUGUCUAUUUCAUAUUUGUGCCUCUUUCAAAUGAAUACUUGUCCAUAAUUUGAAUUCUGCAAAUUUUUCUAGAUUUGGUUAGUAUUACUUAUAUUUUUUUUGCUCUUUAUUUUUGAACUUUUUUAUUGUAUAUAAGUGUGUUUUUACUAUUUAUUUUGGUGAUUGAUUACAUGUGGUGAAUUUUAACAUCGACAGUUUUUCCAGCAUUAUUUAUGUAUGAUUAUUGGUUGUUAACGUGUCUUCAUACCUUCAUAUUACAUUACUUAAACUAUCCUAUUAUUAUAUUAUUGUGAAAUAUAUUUUAAGUAUUCAUCUUGUUUUUGAAUGUAGGUAAGAGCAUCAAAUGAAUUCUUGCAUACCGUAAUUGAUGGAGCUAAAAGAUUCAUUAUUUGUUUGCAAAAUAGAAAAUAUAAUUGUUGAGGAUUUUAAUUAGAUCAAAUACCAUGUUCUCAUGUUAUGGAUGCUAUUACAUAUAGAAACCAACAUAACAAGAAAUAUUGCUCACCGUACUAUAGCAAUAAAAAGUAUCUCGACACUUAUGCAAAUACCAAUUGAACAUCUUCCUUGUGAACGUACGUGAAAAGUACAACUGGAGGUGUUGGAUGAAAUUAUAUUGCCACUAGAUUCAGAAAGGCCUUCUGAAAGGCCAUGCCUUGAAAGAUGAAGAGCACCAGACGAAGACAAGUGUAAAAGAUCAAAGGUGACGUGUAGUAGCUGACAUCGAGAGGGACAUAAUAAGACAACAUGUCAAAAACAUGCACCUCCAGCUUAAGUUAAAAUGUGUAUUUUUUAUUUUAUUCUAGUAUUAAAUUGUUUCUUAUUUUUUAUGACUUUCAUUCCUGAAUGUUGUUUUAAUAUAAAUAUCAAUAAACAAUAUAUAUCAGCUCUAGUAAGUUGCUUUUAAUGUUUUUUCACAACUAAGAGUGAACAAUAUUAGUUCUUAUAACGCAUAUAUACUGAUAUUUUUAUUUCUUUAUGAUGAUGUUGUUUUGAAAUUAAAGUGUAAAUCAUAGCUUUGUGUUAUGGACACACUGAUUGAGAUAUUUCACUUUUCUUGAUUGGAUAAGGAACAAGCAGAAAGAAACUGGGAUCAAUUGUAUGUCUUAGUAAUAACAAGAUUAUAUAUGAUGUCUAUUUCAUAUUUGUGCCUCUUUCAAAUGAAUGAAUGAUUAAUGCUAUCUAAAAUAUGCAAUUUAUCAUAGAGAACUUUCUAAAAUAAUUAACAUUCUAAUAUAAGUCAAUAGAUCAAUUGUAUUAACUGACAAAUUAACAUGGUAAAUGAUCUAAAAAUUAAUUGACAAAGACUUGUAGCUAGAAGCCAUAUAUGGCAUAUUUAAGGGAGGCACAUUACCAUUAGUUUAAUAAGAGCACUACAAUAUGUUAUACAUGCAAUGCAUGGUAAACAACUUAUGCUUGAUCAUCGAAAACAUGUAGCAAUUAUUUUUUAAAAAAAAUACUAUGAACUUAUGAAUAUGGCUAGAUCAAAGAUCACAACUCAUAAAUCUCCUAAAUAAAAAAUCAUUGACUUCUAACAAAUAUAGUACAUAUUAGAUCAAGAAAAUCAUCAGAUACUUUCGAGCAUUUCUAACCCAAAUAAAAUUUUCGUUGAAGAAAAACAAAGAUAAUACACAAACCUAAAGGGUUUUAUACAAAAGAAGAAAAAAAUAAAAUUAUUUAAGAAAAGAGAGUAUAUCAAUGGUGAGGAAAAUCUUUUAUCAAUAAAUUAAAGAUGAAAAAUGUGUAACCUUGAGAAAGUAAAAAAAAAAUUAAUAUUUUACUGAAAAGUCAACAAACGUGUAUCAACAAGAAAAUAUUUGUAUCAAUUUUUAUUCCUUAAUUUAGAAACAAUUUUUGUAACUUUAUUGAUAAAGGUAAAAAACACAUAAAUUGAGAUAAUUAUUGAAACCAUAAUUUAUUCAUACCAUAAUUAUCAAAAGAGUUAAUAAGGAGAGAUAAAAUAUAAAAGAUUAAAAAAUAAUAGAUAAUUUAACUAAUAAAUAUAUAUAUAUGAAAUGAUUUAAAAAAAAAUAGCUACAACUUGCAAUUAAAUCCUUAAUUCAAUAAUUAUAUAAAAAUGUUUUUAUAUCUUGCAACAAAAAAAAUCUAGGGAUAAUACUCACAAAAAUACCUGAACUUUGACCUAAUUUUCAAUUGAGCAUACUGAACUUUGCGGGGAUCCUAUUACCCCCUAGACUUUUUUUGUGUAUUUUAAUGGAAUAUAUCUGCCCACUUGGACACGUGUAAAUAUGAUGUUGGCGCGUAUAUUACACGUGCCAAUACACAUGUAAAAACGAAAUUGGCGUGUGUAUUAUACCGUUAGACGCCGAAACUGGGUAUAGAGUUUCAGGGAAAAAUUAAAUCCACUUUAAAAAGUCUAGGGGGUAAUAAGAUUCUUGCAAAGUUCAGUAUGCUCAACUGAAAAUUCGAUCAAAGUUCUGAUAUAUUUGUGGUAUUAUCACAAAAAUCUAAUAACUAUUUACAAAAUAAUUUUCACAUAAACAUUUAAUUAUCCGAAAGUGAGUCUUUAUAAAACUAAACAGGGUUGCCCACCUGUUUCUCAACUAACAAAUGGGUAAACAACAUAAAUUACUCUUAUAAUGGGUGACUUUAUUUUUUGGUCCCUCAUAAGAAUGAUCUUAUAAAACUAGCAUUCCUUCUUUUUUACAUAGCACAAUUACCUAUCUGCCCCUCAGCAUCUCAAAUAUUUUUAAACAACUCCAUACUUAUUUAUCUUUCAUUUUUUCUUUUUUUUUCUCUUUUUUAUUUUACUUUAAUUUUUUAUCUUUUCUUUUCUCACUCUAUUUUUUUUAGUUUUUCUCAAUCCUUAAUUUUUUUUCCUUUUCUCCUCUCAACUUCUAUUUAAAAAAAAAAAAUCUAUUUUUUAUAUUACUUUUAUUUUUUUUCUUUUUAGUUUUUCUCAACCCUUAAUUUUUUUUCCUUUUCUCUCUCAACUUCUAUUUAUUUUUUAGAUUUUUUCUCCUUUUUAUUUUUCUCUGAUUUUUAUUUUUUUCUUUUAAAAUUUUUCUCAAUCUUUAUUUUUGUUUUGUCCCUUUUUUUAUUUUUCCUCAACCUUUAUUUUUUUUCCUUUCACUCCUCUGCUUCUAUAUUUUCUUUAAUUUUCAUUUUCAUUUUCUUUGAUUUUUUUUCUUUUUAAUAUUUUUUUCUUUAUUUUUUUUUUUUCAAUUUUUAUUAAUUUUUUCUUUUCUUCGAUUUAUUCCAAUCAAGUUAUGCCCCAUGAGCGAGAGUUGACACUACCACAUUGUAAAGGCAAGACGUAUGACUUUCAAACAAGAAGUUACGUUUUUAUAACGACCCGAGGCUACCUCCUAGUCGUCACAUGGUGCUUAGUACCACAAGUGAUCCUAAGUUAACCCUUGUACUGGCAUAACUCAUGAGCAACUGGAUAAAAUACAUAAGUCUUAAAUAAGUAAGUGGAAAAUAUGUCUCUAGUGAAUAUAUUCAAAACAAAACUAUAAAAAUGAAUACAACUCUGCUUAUACAAAAAAAAACUUAAAUCAAAUACAUCUAUUCUACUAUCUGUCUAUGAAGCCUCUACUUGUAUUGACGAUAGGUAGUCGGGACAUGACCCCCAACUAUCCCAGACCAAUACGAUUGAAUAAAGAAAAUAAAAUGCUACUUGAACUAUGACUGACUCGAACCCUUGAAUCAAAAGGGCUCAUCACCUGCUGACUGGAAGCUGCAACUAUCUGAUUAUGAUGUGCAUGCUACAACUUGUACCUACAUUAUUAAACAAUGUAGCACAUAGACGUAUAUGUAGAUCAGUACUUUUGAAAUGUACUAAGCACAAAUGCAUAAGUAAAAAUAUUAACUAACUGUGCAUAUAACUGGUAAAGAAUGCAUUCUAAGUGUAAAUAACUCACGUUAGCUGGAGUACUCUAAAGACUGCAAAAUAUAAGCAUACUGUACUAAAGCAUAAAAAGAAUUUUUUUGAGCCAUCACACUUAGUUCUAAAAGCUGUACUUUUACUCUUUCUGUUUGUGGAAUAAGUAGAACUGAAGUUAAGUAUGUUUUCAAAUCAUGUAGGCUAAGUGUAAAAAGGACUCACCCUUAUAUCUGUAAACUGAAAGCUGAAAUCUCAUAACUAAUGUCUUAUGUUAAACAAUAUCUGAAAUAAAUUAUGAGCAUUUACACUUAGUUUCUAAAAGCUUUUCUUUUAUUAUGUUUUAGGACUUAAGGAGUUUUUUUUAAAAAGUUUUCUGUUAUUCUUUUCUGUUAGAGAGGUUCUUCUAACCGACAUAAACCAGGUGAGCUAUCAUGGAGUUCAAUAUUUAGUUCCCCUAAGGGAAAAACCUCACGUUAAGAAGAGGUGUGAUACUCUUGCCAAGGAGUAUAACCUGAGCUAAGUGAUCCCAAUCUGUAUCUACAUCCAUAUAAAUGGGAAUAACUUGAAUCUGUACCUACGUUGGCUCAUAGUUCUGGGGCAUGUGAACUAGGACACAUACCCAAGUCGGAGCUAAAUACUACUCUCUUUAAUCUGUAUGAUCAUUCUAUAGGAAAUUUACUUUAAAACUAGCAUAAGGGUUUACAAUGAAAACAAGCUAUGUUUAUCUUUCUUUAAAUCAUAAUCAAGAUGAACAAUGUGGAAUCCUUAUCUUAGCUUAGGAUCAAAAGAUCAAAUCUUGCUUUAAAUCUUGAUAUAACUCAUCAAAAGAAACUUAAGAAUAUAAUCUUCCUGAAAUAUCAACUCCGAAACUUAGGGCAUAAAAACCCAAGUUCUAAAUUCAUGUCAAAUCAAAAUAAUACUUCAUGCUCAAUAAUUUUCUUGAAAUACUUCAAUAAUUUCAGUCAAGAUAAUGAAAUCAAAAUCACAAUAUGAAUCUUAUGGAUCAAACAUGAGCAUGUGUAAUCUUGAUUCUCUUAAAGCCUUUGAAUCUCAUGCUUUCUUUCAUAUAACUUGCAACAUAAUAUCAUGCUUAAAUCUCAAUUGAAAAUCUUUCAAUCAAAGCAUAAAUAGAUGAGAUCAAGCAUGAAUUUUAAUACUUAAAUCAUUUUAUAAAUCCAUAAAGUCAAAACAAGAUAGGUUGGGUGUGAACCCUAAUUGCAAUUUACGUAAAUUCAACUUUAAAACUAGUUUUGGGCACAAGGAUGAAAGAGUACCCUUGUUCAUAACCCCACAUACCGUAAUAGACGUGAUUUGAUGGAUGAAAGAUUGACCUUGAAAACCAUGGAGAUGAUCUUGAAAGCUUUCUUGAGAUUAUUGGAUUAGGGAACUAAAAUCUUGAUCUUCCUUGAAGAUAAGAUAAUGGAACGGAUGAUCUUUUGGAGGAAUGAGUAGGGUUUGUUCUUUGAGAGAAAAAUUAGAGAAUGAGGGCAAAUAAUGCCCCAAUUGAAGCCUUAGAUAGAAUUUUUAUGACUUGGGUUGAGGUGGGAAAAGACCCCAUUGCCCCUCCAUCAUUUAAACCAAAAAUUCGUAACCCAGAUUGCAUUUUGAAGGCUCACCACGACGCGGUAUAAUCACAAUGGCUUACUACCUCACACAAAAAAUGCCAUAACUUUUCACUCGGGUAUCGGAUAAAGGCAAAAUUGGUAUCGUUGGAAAUCUAACUCAAUUAUUUAUAAUUUGGUGGGUCUUGAGCCAAAAAAUUCUACAUACAUAAAAAGUUAUAUACUUUCAAAGUUGAUCCUUGUAAGAAUCGAACAUCAACUUUGGACGAAUCUAAGGUUCUUAACUCAACUUGGCUCUAAGUGAUUUCUAUGAACACUCUUCACCUAAUAAGCACUUCACACACCAGGAUAAAGUUCAUGACACAUGCAUUCAAUUUAUGGAUCAAGAACAUGACAAAUACACCUUUACCGUGAGGCGAUGAGUGUCUCAUCGCUAUCCCUAGUGCGACACGGUGGAAUCGCAUUGAGCUGCUGGAAUUGAAGUCCAAACGUGGUCCAAACCUCAUUCAAAAAAUCCAAAACUUACCUGAGACAUGUUACCUAUACCCCUGAACAUGAAUCAACUCAAAAACCAUCAUCUUGGAGCCCAGAAGGUCAACUUAAAAAUCCUCAAAGUUAUGAAGUAUAAAAUAAGACUAAGUCUUCAACACUUAGCUAAGAUUUUUAUGUUCUAAUCCCCUUAAUCAUGCACUAUAAACUUAACUGAACUAAGAAAAGUUCGGGGUAUUACAAUAUCUCUUCGUUGGAAAUAUUCAUCCUCGAAUGAUGAAUAGGUACUCGUGAAGUCUUAGAAGUAUGGAAUAAUGUAGACAUGAUAUGUCUACUAAGAAAGGAUAUACUUGAGCUGAAACAUUAAAACUUUCAUCAGUAAACUAAUUUCUGAGCUGACUUGGCUUUACUUAUUGUAAGGAGCUGAUUCAUGCUGAGAGUUUAGAACUCGCUUGAGGUGUUCAUGAUACAAUCAUACAUAUAGAGUUGUGAAGUGAUGACUCGUGCAAGAACAAACCAUGAGACAACAAAACUAAGAUUGUACAAGGGGUAUUACACUAUCUGGGCUGGGAUACAUGGAAAACUGAGGCUAUGCUCUAAACACUUAUGAACUGAGUCAUGACUAAAUAGCUGAAUCUGAAAUGUGAUGCUUGGAAUGAACUGAAUUUACAACUUACGUGGACUUGACUGAAUUACCUCAGGAAUAUGAAAGAUGGAAAACCAUAGGAACUUAUUUGUCUGAUUACUAAACUAAAUUGUUGGCUAUACGGACUAAAUUAUAUUGAAAGCUUAUACUCAACUGGAAUAUUUCUUCAGCACUCUUUGCAAGAAGAUCUAGUAACAUUAUUGUAACAUGGAACAUACGCCUCUUAAGCAUAAACUUGUUUAGAAUUACUAGGCCUUAGACAAUGCAACUGCUAAUUUUUCAAGCUUAGAAAUGCUUCUCAAAUACUCUCUUCAACUACACUUUCUCCCCUUGAAUACCAUGCUCACACGGGUACAUAUAACUUUAUAUACUAAUUUCUGAUUUGAACUAAAUUCUCUCACCAUGUUCAAGCCUAACUUGAAUCACAACGUACUACACAUAGCAUUAUAAUACUAGUCUGAACCAUGAAUUCAAUACCCCAAGCAUUUUCACAACUUCUCCUCUCUAAGAUAAUUCUUCUUAUCACUUCAACAACAUAAUUCAACCUCUUACUAGGAAAUCACUAGCGCACAAUGCCCCCAUCCACUUAUAUACCAACAUAACAUUCAAGCCUAUCAUUUUAACCACAUAAGAACUUCUAGGAAAAUACCCAUAAAAACAUCUUCCUCUACCAUUAACAACUUUCUUGCAUUAUUUUUAAGAAGACACACACAAAAUCUCAACUAACUAUGACGAAUACCAAAAUCUUAGUCUCGAUAGUACUUCACACUUAUAGCCACAUAUAAAAUAAACAUUCAAUAAGCAGGCAACAAUAUUUUCUCAAUAAGUAAAAAAUUUUACUCUCUCCCAUCUCAACAGUUGUUUAUCACUACUAUCAUCUCCCCCUCCAGAUUAAAGCCAUCAUUCUAAAUCUGUGGAACCCUUUACUAAACUCUAAUCUAUACUGCAAUCACUUUGCUCUAGAGUCUGGAGUAUUACAAUACACAUUAAUUAUAAACUUACCCUGAAAGUGUAAAACCCACUACUAAUGCUUCAUUAUAAGAUACAACUCUAUCUUUCUAUGGCCUCAAUAGUCAUCAUCUAAUAACUUGAACACUUACUAACUUAGAAUCUUUAUGAGUAUCACCGCACCCGAAGUUCACACCAUCUAGAUUCUAACUUAGAUUCUAACACUUACUAUGGCUAACCCCAAACCUUUAACGAACCAUACUAACUUCAUUCUUGGUAAAUCUCUUAGUACAUACCACCCUUAACUUUCUUUAGCUUCAAUAAUCAUCAUCAGAGACUUACACUCUAUUAACUCUACAAACAUACUUGCCUCACUAAACACAUAAUCAUAGCUUACCAAGAUCGCAUCUCAAAAUUAUAUUUUUCCCAAACCAUCAAAAUUAAAAUCAUACCUAAAAUACUCACCACCAACUAUUCGUAACUCCUUAACUUAUCUACUACGAACACCUUGUACAAUAUAGCUAGCCUUCUUACACUUAACCACUUAAGGGUACUAUUAACUACACACAAUACUUAAUAAACUUUGAAAAUAAUGUAGCCCCAUAUCACCUUGGGCACACCUCUAUAUCAUACCCACAACAUCAUACUUAAUUACGAAUACAUGGACUUAAACUCUUGCAUACACUGUUCAAGCCUACUAGAUCACUUCUAUACAACUAGCAUCACCAACCAUGCAAUCGUUAUUUCUACCUUUAUGAUUAUCCACUAUUCAAACUUAGUGUCUAGUGCUAGACAUGAUUAAAAACCCAACCUCACAUAAUAUUCUUGCUUGGAAGCUAUAAAAUAGAAUAUCAAGAAACACUAGUCAACUAGAACUUCAUAAUAAAAAUAAUCGGUUAUAAUCAUAUAAUAUAUCUUAUUAAAAUACGUUAGCACAUCCUUCUCCUACACAUUAUGACUAUAUGCCCUUCUAUACACCUAGCUCUACAGACCUCAACCAAUUUCCCCUUUUUAUCACAACCACGCGAGGAAACCUACAUUAACAAUACUCGACCACCAAAUAUUUUCACUAAUAACUUAUACUUUUCUAACACAAUAAUUACCAUUAAUAACUCAUUUUCUACUUCAAGCUAAAAAUAAUUCCCCUUAACUAAUAGCUCUUUCUCUACCCUUUACCAAGGAACUUAUACUACCUUCGUUACCCCUAAGCUGACACACAAGGUCCUAUCACCUUAAUACAAACUCAAAAGCAUGCAUAAGUUUAUCUCUAUAGUUUUUAUCAAUCAUCAUCCCCAAUUUUCUUGUCACUACACUUCUAUGCCCAUUCUUCCAACUAUAAGAAGGUUCAACUACUUAUGAAUCAUAACACUCUAGGUUGCAAUAUCCUUCGAAAGUGAACUCUAUUUAACAAUCUAGGUUCACACUAUCUCCUCUCAUAAGCACUAUCCAUAUUGAAAGGUUAAUGAGGAAAUUGAAUACAUAUAUUAUACUAUCUUAACUGAACAACUCAUAUGGAUGAGGCAAAAAAUUUUAACUUGAGAAACUUAUAACACACUAGCGAGCUCCUCUCAAGCCCCUUGUAUGAUUUCUGAAGUUACUGAUAGUAAAUCUGAGAACAUCAUCUUGGGAGGAAUUGGAACUUGCUAAUCAUAUUAUCUCAAGAAUAUAACAUAUAUGGAGAAUUAUGGAGUAACACACAAAUCGACAGAAGUUUUUGAGAGAAGAACUUUACAACACAAUCUAGAGUAUGAAAGAAAGGAGAAAUUUCUUAAAUUCCCUACAGCCUCUUGACGAAAAGUACAGAUGUCUCUGUACUAUUUUGCAAGACUACUAGACACGGAUUUAUACACCCUAGUACACUUAAACUUUAUACUCCGAUAUCAAGUUUGUAAUGACUCAAGGCUACCUCCUAGUCAUCACACGGUGCCUAGGACCACAAGUGAUCUCUAGCUAACCCUUGUACUAGAAUAACUCAUGAACAACUAAAUAAAUCACAUAAGUCUGAAAUAAGUAAGUGGAAAAUAUGUCUCUACUGAAUAUCUUCAAAACAAAACUAUGAAAAUUAACACAACUCUUCUUAUACAAAACAAAACUUAAAUCAAAUACAUCAACUCUACUAUCUAUCUAUGAAGCCUCUACUUGUAUUAACUAUAGGUAGUCGGGACAUGACCCCCAACUAUUCCAAGCCAAUACGACUGAAUAAAGAAAAGAAAAUGCUACUUGAACUAUGACUAACUAGAACCAUUGAAUCAAAAGGGCUUAUAACCUGCUGACUGGAAGCUGCAAUUGUCUGAUUAUGAUGUACAUGCUAUAACUUGUAGCUAUAUUAUUAAACAGUGUAACACAUAGACUUAUAUAUAGAUCAGUACUUUUGGAAUAUACUGAAUAUGUGGAGGUGAAUGCAUAAGUAAAAAUAUUAACUAAAUGUGCAUAUAACUGGUAAAGAAUGCAUACUAAGUGUAAAUGACUCAUGUUGGCUAGAGUACUCAAAAGACUGCCAAAUAUAAGCAUACUGAGUCAUCACACUUAGUAAUAAAAUUUGUACUUUUACUCUUUCUGUUCGUGGAAUAAGUAGGACUGAAGUUAAGUAUGUUUUCAAAUCAUGCAAGCUAAGUGUAAAGAGGACUCAACUUUAUAUCUGUAAACUGAAAGAUGAAAUCUCAUAGCUAAUGUCUUAUGUAAAACAAUAUUUGAAAUAAAUUAUGAGCAUUUACACUAAGUCUCUCAAAGCCGUUCUUUUAUUUUGUUUUAGGACUUAGGGAGUUUCUUUUAAAAGCUUUUCUGUUAUUCUUUUCUGUUAGGGAGGUUAUUGUAAUCGACAUAAACCUUAUGAGCUAUCAUGGAGUCCAACGUCUAGUUCCCCUAAGGGAAAAACCUCACGUCGAAGAGAGGUGUCAUACUCUUGUCAAGAAGUAUAACCUAAGUUAAUUGAUCACAAUUUGUAUCUGCGUCCAUAUAAAUGAGAAUAUUCUGAAUCUUUGUCUAUGUUAGCUCAUAGUUCUAGGGCAUGUGAACUAGGACACAUACCCAACUCGGUGCUAAAUACUACUCUCUUUAAUUUGUAUGAUCAUUAUGUAGGAAAUCUACUUUAAAACUAGCAUAAGGGUUUAUAAUGAAAACCAGUUAUGUUUAUCUUUCUUUAAAUCAUAAUCAAGAUAAAUAAUGUGGAUUCCUUAUCUUAGCUUAGGAUUAAAAGAUCAAAUCUUGUUUAUAAUCUUGAUAUAACUCAUCAAAAGAAACAUAAGGAUAUAAUCUUCCUGAAAUAUCAACACCUAAACAUAGGGCAUAAAAACCCAUGCUCUAAAUUCAUGUCAAAUCAAAAUAAUAUUUCAUGCUCAAUAAUCUUCUUGAAAUACUUCAACAAUUUCAAUCUAGAUAAUGAAAUCAAAAUCACAAUAUGAAUCUUAAGGAUCAAGCAUGAGUAUGCGUAAUCUUAAUGCACUUAAAGUCUUUAAAUCUCAUGCUUUCUUUCAUAUAACUUGCAACAUAAUAUCAUGCUUAAAUCUCAAUUGAAAUCAUUCAAUCAAAACAUAAAUAGAUGAGAACAAGCAUGCACUUUAACACUUAAAUCAUUUUAUAAAUCCAUAAAGUCAAAACAAGAUAGGUUGGGUAUGAACCCUAAUUGUAAUUUACGUAAAUUCAACUUUAAAACUAGUUUUGGCACAAGGAUGAAAGAGUAUCCUUCUUCAUAACCCCACAUACCGUAAUAGACUUGAUUUGAUGGAUGAAAGCUUAACCUUGAAAGCCAUGGAAAUGAACUUGAAAGCUUUCUCGAGAUUAUUGGAUUAGGGAACUUAAAAUCUUGAUCUUUCUUGAAGAGAAUAUGAUGGAACGGAUGAUCUUUUGGAGGGAUGAUUAGGGUUUGUUCUUUGAGAGAAAAAUUAGAGAAUGAGGGCAAAUAAUGCCCCAAUUGAGGCCUUAGAUAGUAUUUUACGACUUGGGAUAAGGUGGGAAAAGACCCCAUUGCCCCUACAUCAUUUAAACCAAAAAUCAUAACCCGGAUUAAAUUUUGAAGGCUCACCGCGAUGCGGUGUAAUCACGAUGGUUUACUGCCUCACACGAAAAAUGCCAUAACUUUUCACUCGGGUAUCGGAUUAAGGCAAAAUUGGUAUCGUUGGAAAUCUAACUCAAUUAUAUAUAAUUUGGUGGGUCUUGAGCCAAAAAAUUCUACAUACAUAAAAAGUUAUACACUGUCAAAGUUGACCAUUAGAAGAAUAGAACAUCAAACUUUGGACGAAUCUAAAGUUCUUAGCUCAACUUGGCUCUAAGUGAUUUCUAUGAACACUCUUCACCUAAUAAGCACUUCACACACUCGGAUAAAGGUCAUGACACAAUAAUUCAAUUCAUGGAUUAAGAACAUGCCAAAUACACCUUCACUGCGACGCGAUAAGUGUCUCAUCGCUAUCCCAAGCGCGACAUGGUGGAAUCGUGUUGAGCUGCUGGAAUUAAAAUCCAAACAUGGUCCAAACCUCAUCCAAAAAAUCUGAAACUUACCCAAGACAUACUACCAACACCCCUGAACAUGAAUCAACUCAAAAACCAUCAUCUUGGAGCCCAGAAAGUUAACUUAAAAAUCCUCAAAGUUACGAAGCCAAAAAUAACACUAAGUCUUCAACACUUAGCUAAGAUUUUUAUGUUCUAAGCCCCUUAAGCAUGCACUAUAGCUUAACUGAACUAAGAGAAGUUUGGGGUAUUACAAUAUCUCCCCUUGGAAACAUUCGUCCUCAAAUGAGGACAGGUAACCGUGAAGUUUUAGAAGUAUGGAAUAAUGUAGACAUGAUAUAUCUACUAAGAAAGGAUAUAUUUGAGCUGAAACAUUGAAACUUUCAUCAGUAAACUGAUGUCUGAGCUGACUUAGCUUUACUUACUAUAAGGAGUUGAUUCAUGCUGAGAGUUUAGAACUCUCUUGAGGUGUUCAUGAUACAAUCAUACAUAUAGAGUUGUGAAGUGAUGACUCGUGCAAGAACAAACCAUGAGACAGCGAAACUAAGAUUGUACAAAGGGUAUUACACUAUCUGGGCUGGAAUACUUGGAAAACUGAGGCUAUGCUCUGAACACUUAUGAACUGAGUCAUGAAUAAAUAGCUGAAUCUGAAAUAUAAUGCUUAGACUGAACUGAAUUUGCAAAUUGCAUGGACGUGACUUAAUUACCUCAGGAAUCUGAAAGAUGAAAAACUAUGGGAACUUGUUUGUCUGAUUACUAAACUAAAUUACUGGCUAUACAGACUGAAUUAUACUGAAAGCUUAUACUCAACUGGAAUAUUUCUUCAGCACUCUUUGGAAGAAGUUCUAAUAACAUUAGGGAAAAAGAAUCUUGGGUAUGAUUUGAGUGAGAUAUCUGAAGAAGGAAUUCUCAAUAUUGCUAUAACUUUGUAACAUGGAACAUAGGCCUACUAAACAUAAACUUAUUUAAAAUUACUAGGCCUUAGACAAUGCAACUACUAUUUUUUCAAGCUUAGAAACACUUCUCAAAUACUUUCUUUAACUAUACUUUCUCCCCUUCAAUACCAUGCUCACACGGGUUCAUAUAACUUCAUGUACUAAUGUCUAAUCUGGACUAAAUUCUCUCACCUUGUUCAAGCCUAACUUGAAUCACAACGUACUACACAUAACAUUAUAACACUAGUCUGAACCAUGAAUUCAAUACCCCAAGCAUUUUCACACCUUUUUCUCUCUAAGAUAACUCUUCUUUUCACUUCUACAACACAAUUCAACCUCUUACUAGGAAAUCUUUAGUGCACAAUGCACCCAUCCACUUAUAUACCAACAUAAUAUUCAAGCCUAUCAUUUUAACCGCAUAAGAACUUUUAGGUAAACAACAAUAAAAACCUCUUCUCUAUAAUUAACAACUUUCUUCUAUUAUUCUUAAGAAGAUACACACAAAAUCUCAACUAACCAUGACGCAUACCAAAAGCUUAGUAUCGAUCUUACUUCACACUUAUAGCCUCAUAUAAAACAAAUAUUCAACAAGCAGGCAACAAUCUUUCCUCAACAAAAGAAAAAAAAUUACUCUCACCCAUCUCAACAGUUGUUUAUCACUACUUUCAUCUCCCCCUCAAAUUAAAUCCAUCAUUCUAAGUCUGUGGAACCCUUUACUAAACUCUAAUCUAUACUGCAAUCUCUUUACUCUUGAUUCUGGGGUAUAACAAUACAAAUAAAUUAUAAACUUACCCUAAAAGACUACAUCUGAAAUUGUAAUACCUACUGCUAAUACUUCAUUCUAAGAUACAACUCUAUCUUUCUAUGGACACAAUAGUCAUCAUCUAAUAACUUGAACACUUACUAACUUAGAAUCUUCAUGAGUAUCACUAUACCCGAAGUUCACACCAUGUAUAGCUUCAACUCUUAUUUCUAUUAGCUCAAUCUUCAAAGAUUCAAACUUAGAUUCUAACACUUACUAUGGAUAUCCCCAAACUUUUAAUAAACUAUACUAACUUCAUUCUUGGUCACUCUCUUAGUACAUACCAUCCUUAACUUCCUUUAGCUUCAAUAAUCAUUAUCAGAGACUUAUACUCUAUUAACUCGACAAACAUACUUGCCUCACUAAACACGUAAUCAUAGCCUACAAAGAUUGCAUCUCAAAAUUAUAUUUUUCCCAAACCAUCAAAAUUAAAAUCAUACUUAAAUGACUCACCAUCAACUAUCCAAAACUCCUCAACUUAUCUACUAUGAACACUAUGUACAAUAUAGCUAGCCUUCUUCAACUUAACCACUCAAGGGUACUAUUAACCACACACAAUACUUAAUAAACUUCAAAAAUAAUGCAGCCCCAUAUCACCUUAGGUACACCUCUACAUCAUACCCACAACGUCAUACUUAAUUAUGAAUAAAUAGACUUAAACUCUUGCAUACAUUGUUCAAGCCUACUAGAUCACUUCCAUAUAACCAGCAUCACCAACCAAGCAAUCAUUAUUUCCACAUUUAUGAUCAUCCACUGUUCAAACUUAGUAUCAAGUGCUAGACAUGAUUAACAACCCAACCUCAUAUACUAUUCUCGAUUAGAAGCUAUAAAAUAAAAUAUCAAGAAACACUAGUCCACUAGAACUUUAUAACAAAAAUAAUUGGCCAUAAUCAUAUAAUAUAUCUUAUUAAAAUAUGUUAGCACAUCCUCCUCCUACACAUUAUGACUAUAUACCCUUCUAUAAAUGUAGCUCUACAAACCUCAACUAAUUUUCCUUUUUUUCACAACCACACGGGGAAACAUACAUUAACAAUACUCGACUACCAAAUAUUUAACUAAUAACCUAUACUUUUCUACUUCAAGCUAGAAACAAUUCCCCUUAACUAAUAACUCUUUCUCUACCCUUUCCCAAGGAACUUGUACCACCUUUAUUACCCCUAAGCUAACACACAAGGAUCUAUCACCUUAACACAAACUCAAAACCAUGCAUAAGCUUAUCUCUAUACUUUCUAUCAAUCAUCAUUCCCACUUUUCUUGUCACUACACUUCUACACCCAUAUUUCCAACUAUAAGAAGGUUCUACUACUUAUAAAUCAUGACACUCCAGGUUGCAAUAUCCCUUGACAGAAAACUCUAUUUAACAAUCUAGAUUCAUACUAUUUCCUCUCAUGAGCACUAUCUGUAUUGAAAGGUUAAUAAGGAAUCUGAAUAUAUAUUUUAUUCUGUCUUAACUGAAUAACUCAUAUGGAUGAGGACAAAAAUUUCAACUUGAGAAAAUUAUAACACACUAGCGAGCUUCUCUCAAGCCCCUUGUGUGAUUUCUGAAGUUAUUGAUAGUAAAUCUGAGAGCAUCAUCUUAGGAGGAAUUGGAACUUGCUAAUCAUGUUAUCUCAAGAAUAUAACAUAGAUAAAGAAUUAUUGAGUAACACACGAAUCAGCAGAAGAUUCUGAGAGAAGAACUUUAUAGCACGAUCUAGAGUAUGAAAAAAAGGAGACAUUUCUUAAAUACCCUUCAGCCUCUCAAAGAAAAGUAUAGACGUCUCUUUACCAUUUUGCAAGACUCUACUAGACAUGGCUUCAUAGACACCUUAGUACACUUGAACUCUGUGCUCUGAUACUAAGUUUGUAACAACUCGAGGCUACCUCUUAGUCGUCACACGGUGACUAGGACCAUAAUUGAUCCUAAGCUAACCCUUGUACUGGCAUAACUCAUAAGAAAUUGGAUAAAAUACAUAAGUCUGAAAUAAGUAAGUGGAAAAUAUAUCUCUACUGAAUAUCUUUAAAACAAAACUAUAAAAAUGAAUACAACUCUGCUUGUACAAAACAAAACUGAAAUUAAAUACACUAACUUUACUAUCUGUCUAUGAAGCCUCUACUAGUAUUGACUAUAGGUAGUCGGCAUAUGACCCCCAACUAUCCCAAAACAAUAUGACUGAAUAAAGAAAAUAAACUGCUACUCGAACUAUGACUGAAUCGAACCUUUGAAUCAAAAGGGCUUAUCACCUGCUGACUGGAAGUUGCAAAUGUUUGAUUAUGAUGUACAUGCUAUAACUUGUACCUAUAUUAUUAAAAAAUGUAGCACAUAGAUUUAUAUGUGGAUCAGUACUUUUGGAAUGUACUUAGCAUAUGGGGGUGAAUGCAUAAGUAUAAAUAAUAACUAACUGUGCAUAUAACUGGUAAAGAGUGCAUGUUAAGUGUAAAUGACUCACGUUGGCUGGAGUACUCUAAAGAUUGCAAAAUAUCAUCAUACUAUAGUAAAGCAUAAAAACAAUCUUUGUGAGCCAUCAUACUUAGUUCUAAAAGUUGUACUUUUACUCUUUUUGUUCGUGAAAUAAGUAGGACUGAAGUUAAGUCUGUUUUCAAAUCAUGCAGGCUAAGUAUAAAAAGGACACACCUUUAUAUUUGUAAACUGAAAGAUGAAAUCGUAUAGCUAAUAUCUUAUGUAAAAUAAUAUCUGAAAUAAAUUGUGAGCCUUUACACUUAGUUUCUAAAAGCUAGUCUGUUAUUCUAUUUUAAUACUUAAGGAGUUCCUUUUAAAAGCUUUUUUGUUAUUCUUUUCUGUUAUAGAGGUUCUUCUAAUCUACAUACACCAUCUGAGCUAUCAUGAAAUCUAACGUCUAGUUCCCUUAAGAGGAAAACCACACGUUAGAGAGAGGUGUCACACUUUUGUCAAGGAGUAUAACCUGAGCUAAGUGAUCACAAUCUGUAUCUGCAUCCAUUUAAAUGGGAAUAAUCUAAAUCUAUACCUAUGUUGGCUAGUAGUUCUGGGGCAUUUGAACUAGGACACAUACCCAACUCGGUGCUAAAUACUACUCUUUAAUUUGUAUGAUCAUUCUGUAGGAAAUCCACUUUAAAACUAGUAUAAGGGUGUACAAUGAAACCCAGUUAUGCUUAUCUUUCUUUAAAUUAUGAUCAAGCUGAACAAUGUGGAUUCCUUAUCUUAGCUUAGGAUCAAAAGAUCAAAUCUUGUUUAAAAUCUUGAUAUAACUCAUCAAAAGAAACUUAAGGAUAUAAUCUUCUUAAAAUAUUAACACCUAAACUUAAGGCUUAAAAACCCAUGCUCAAAAUUCAUUUCAAAUCAAAAUUAUACUUCAUGCUCAAUAAUCUUCUUGAAAUACUUCAAUAAUUUCAGUCAUGAUAAUGAAAUCAAAAUCACAAUAUGGAUCUUAUGGAUCAAAACAUGAGCAUGCAUAAUCUUGAAGCACUUAAAGCCUUUAAAUUCAAUGCUUUCUUUCAUAUAACUUGCAACAUAAUAUGAUGCUUAAUAUCAAUUGAAAAUCUUUAAAUUAAAGCAUAAAUAGAUGAGAACAAGCAUGCACUGUAACACUUAAAUCACUUUAUAAAUCUAUAAAGUCAAAAUAAGAUAGGUUGGGUAUGAACCCUAAUUACAAUUUACAUAAAUUUGACUUUAAAACUAGUUUUGGGCACAAAGAUGAAAGAGUAUCCUUGUUCACUACCCCACACACCCUAAUAGACUUGAUUUGAUGGAUGAAAACUUGACCUUGAAAACCAUGAAGAUGAUCUUGAAAGCUUUCUUGAGAUUAUUGGAUUAGGGAACUUAAAAUCUUGAUCUUUCUUGAAGAGAAGAUGAUGGAAUGGAUGAUCUUUGGGAGGGAUGAUUGGGGUUUAUUCUUUGAGAGAAAAAUUGGAGAAUGAGGGAAAAUAAUGCCCCAAUUGAAGCCUUAGAUCGUGUUUUUACGACUUGGGUUGAGGUGGGAAAAGAACCCAUUGCCCCUCCAUUAUUUAAACCAAAAAUUUAUAACCCGGAUUGAGUUUUGAAGGCUCACCGUGACUCGGUAUAAUUGCGGUGGCUUACUACCUCACACGAAAAAUGUCAUAACUUUUUACUCGAUUAUCAUAUUAAGGCAAAAUUGAUAUCGUUGGAAAUAUAACUCAAUUAUCUACAAUUUGGUGGUCUUGAUCUAAAAAAUUCUUCAUACAUCAAAUGUUAUACACUUUCAAAGUUGAUCCUUGUAAGAAUUGAACAUCAAACUUUGGACGAAUCUAAGGUUCUUAGCUCUACUUGGCUCUAAGUGAUUUCUAUGAACACUCUUCACCUAAUAAGCACUUCAUACACUAGGAUAAAGUUCAUGACACAUGCAUUUAAUUUAUGGAUCAAGAACAUGACAAAUACACCUUCACCGCGAUGCGAUGAGUUUCUCAUCGCUAUCCCUAGCGCGACGCAGUGGAAUCGCGUUGAGUUGCUGGAAUUAAAAUCCAAACAUGGUUCAAACCUCAUCCAAAAAAUUUGAAACUUACCCGAGACUUGAUACCUACACCCUUGAACAUGAAUCAACUCAAAAACCAUCAUCUCAGAGCCCGGAAUGUCAACUUAAAAAUCCUUAAAGUUACGAAGCCACAAAUAAGACAAAGUCUUCAACACUUAGCUAAGAUUUUUAGGUUCUAAGACCCUUAAGCAUGCACUAUAAGCUUAACUGAACUAAGAAAAGUUCAGGGUAUUAUAGUUUUAUGGGAAAGAUUUGACAUUAUCGCAUUGUAUUUUAAUUUAUAAGAUGUUUUAUAACUCUUACCUUAGAUGCAAGACUUAGCUCAAGAACUUUCAAACAACAAAUUAUGCCCUAUAGAUAAGAGUUGACUCUACCACGUUAUGUUUUAAUUUAUGAGACUUUCUACAACUCUUGCCUUAGAGGCAAGACUUAUGUCAAGGACUCUCAAACAAUAAAUUAUGCUUUACGGGUAAGAGUUGACACUACCACAUUGUAUUUUGAUUUAUGAAAUAUUUUAUAACUCUUACCUUAGAGGCAAAACUUUUUCCAAAGAUUAAAUUCUACCCCAUGUGCAAGAGUUGAUACUACCAGGUUAUAUCUUCAUUUAUGAGAUGUUCUUCAACUCUUGCCUUAGAGGCAAGACUUAGUUCAAGAACGUUCAAAUCAUAAAUUAUGCCUUACAGGCAAGAGUUGACAUUACCACGUUAUAUCUUUAUUUAUGAGAUAUUCUAAUCCCAAGAAUUUUCAAACAAGUUACGUAUAUUGGGCAAGAGUCAACACUAACACAUUAUGUUUUUUACUUAUGAAAUGCUCUAUAACUCUGGUCUUAGAGGUACCACUCUGCCCAAGGACCAUCAAACAACAAGUUAUGGCCCAUGGGCAAAAGUUGACACACCACAUUGUGUAUUUAUUUAUGAGAUGCUUUAUAACUCUUUCCUUGAAAGCAAGACUUAGACCAAGGGCCUUCAAGCAACAAGUUGUGUUCUAUGAAAAAGAGUUGACAUUAACACAUUUUGUUUUGAUUUAUGAGAUAUUUCAUAACUCUUUAGAGACAAGACUUGCCCAGGGACUUUUAAACAAGAAGUUACGCUCCAUGGGCAAGAUUUACUACUAUCACAUUGUGUCUUGAUUCAUGAGAUGUUUUACAAAUUAAGGACUUUCAAACAACAAGUUAUGCCCCUGGGUAAGAGUUGACACUACCACAUCAUGUCUUGAUGUAUGCAAUGUUCUAUUACUCUUGCCUUAGAGGCACGAAUUAGUCCAAGGACUUUCAAACAACAAGUUACGCCCCAUGAGCAAGAGUUGAAACCACCACAUCGCGUCUUGAUUUGAGAUAUUCUAUAACUCUUGUCUUAGAGACAAGACUUAGCUGACAACUCUUGCUCAUGGGGCAUAACUUGUUAUUUGAAAGUCCUUGAUUUGUCAACUCCACGGACAAGAGUUGACACUAUCAUAUUGUAUCUUGAUUUAUGUGAUGCUCUAUUAGUUUUGCCUCUAAGACAAGACUUAGCCCAAGAACUAUAUCCAAUGGACAAGUGUUGAUUCUACCACAUUAUUUUUUGAUUUAUGAGAUGUUCUAUAACUCUUGCCUUAGAAGCAAGACUUAACUCAAGGAUUUUCAAACAACAAGUUAUGCUCCACAAGCAAGACUUGACACUACCACGUUGUAUCUUGAUUUAUGAGUUGUUCUAUAAUUUUUGCCUUAGAGGGAAGACUUAUCCUAAAGGACUUCCUAACAAGAAGUCAUGUCCUUAAAUUUACUUUGAUAUCAAAAAAAAGAUACCUAUGCAGAUUAUCCAACUUUUUAUUUAUCAGCAAAAUAUAAUAGAAGUUGAGAAAAAAAAAAGAACAAACAAAAUAGAGAAAUAAAAAAAGAGAUCGAGAAAAGAAUAAAAAAAAGACAAGUAAAAAAUAAAGCUUAAGAAAAAAGAGAAGAAUAAAGAACAAAAAAAAGAAAAAAAAGAUUGAGAAAAAAAACAUUAGAAGGAAAAAACAAAAAUAAAGUUGGAGAAAAAUGAAAAAGAAAAAAUGAGAAAUGAUUAUAAAAAAAAAAAUUGAGACCAAUGAAUUAAAAAAGAGAGAAAAAUAAAUAAUGUUUGAGGAAAAAAAAGAAAAAAGAGAAAAAAAGUAAAAGAAAAAUAAAAGUUGAGACAACUAAAUUAAAACCAAAAAAAAAAAAAAGUUAAGGUAAAAAAAUUAAAAUAGAAGUUGAGAGAGACAAAUGAGAAUGAAAAAUUUAAAAAUAUUUGAGGUGUAGAGGAGCAAAAUUAUAUUUGUACUAUACAGUACUGGUGUUGCCAGUGUUUGCGGUAAGGGUAAAAAAAAAAUUUGUAUAUAUGUAUAUAACCAUAAAUUUGAACCCAAGUUGGGGCUACGGAUUUGCACGCUUUUAACCAUUAGGUUAUGCUUCUUUAGCUUGUCAAUAGUAUUCAACAAUAUGUAUAUAACCAUAAAUAUUUAUAUUUAACGUAUAUGCUCAGAAAUUUUUUCCAACGAAAGAUGUUCAUCUGACCAUCAUUCGGUGACUGUAGCUCCGCCCCUAAUACUAUACAUAAAAAAAAAAGAAGAAAAGAUUAGUCUUUAAAAACUUUUCUUCUGGAGGUCAAAAAUCAAAGGCACCCACUAUUGGGUCAUCCCAUGUAAUUUCUUGCUAACAAACUAAUAGAAGCCCCUAUGGCAUUUUCAUUAGACAAUCCAAAGUUAACGAUUUUUUUUUGAACUUGGUUUAAAAUUUGAAAUCUGUACACAAAUAGUUGAAUUAUAUACUUAUUUUUUCUAGCCAUUAUAAAUAGUUAUACACAUAUUAUACAUGACCUAAUGUAUUUUUCUGUCCUUCACGCGGUCGAAAAAUAAGUUUUCUUAUAAAUUAAAUACAAAAUUAUAGAUUUAAUUUUUUAAAAAAUAGAAAAAAGAUUAGCUUAAGUGAAUAGAAUAGGGAUAUAGACACGACUAAAAUAAUUGUUUCUAUCAUGAAAAUAGAAUUUUACAAUAUAAAUGGGAAAAAAAGUAGAAAAUAGCAGAUUACUAAGCAUAAAAAUACAGCUUUAUUGAAAAGUUGGAAAUAAAAUUUGGAGAAAAAAAAAAUACAAGCUUUAAAAAAGUACAACUGGGAUCAUGGCUUCUCGAAGCAUAUAUGCUAAAGAAAAAAUUGAAACUCAUCACUGAUAAACAGAAGAAGGACUGUCUUUUUUCUAAUUCUUUGUAGUUGGUAGUUUGACGUAUGUCUUGAUUUACAUAGACCAGAUAUUACAGUGUUGUUAGUAGCUUUCUCUCUAAUGUAGGGAAGGAGCUGCAAGUCAUAUGACGGUAAGAAAAGAAACAUUGAGAUCAGGAAAGAAAAUACUUCCUCCGUCUCAUUUUAUGUGUCUGUCAUUUGACCGAACACAAAAUUUAAGAAAUAAGAAAAGACUUGAUAAAGUUUACCAAAUUAUCCUUUAUCAAAAAAUGUGUCAAUAUUUUUUUUUUAAAAUUAAGUGGGACCAAUAAGGGUAAAAGGGUAAUUGUGCAUUUAAAAAGUUGCCAAAUAAAGAAAGGCGACACUUAUUUUGGGACGAAUUAAAAAGAAAAUGAUGACACAUAAUUUGAGACGAAGAGAGUAAAAAUAUAACACGUGUUUGUUAGCCACGAACCUCGAUGAGAACAUGAGUUGACACAAAACAAACAGAAAAUUAAAAAAAUGAAAAAGGGAAAAAAUUACUUCUGAACUAUCUGAAAUAGAAUAAAAAUAUUUUUUAUUUAUUUUUAGCUUAAAAAUAUUUCUUUAUUUAUUUUUUUACUCAAAAAUAUCCUUCAUUUUAAUGGAGUACCACCUAGCACACUAUAUGAAAAAAAAUAUCAUAUAGUUAAUCCACGUGAGCAUCUCAUUUACGAAAAGGGGUCAAAACUACUCUUGAACUAUUAGAAAUUGAUCAAAAAUACCCUCCAUUUAUUUUCUUUUGCUCAGAAAUAUCCCCUAUUUAUAUUUUGGUUCAAAAAUACCCCUAAGUUUUUUAUUUGGCUCAUAGAUAGUCUUCAUUGUAAUGGAGUGUCACCAAGCACACAAUAUGAAAAAAAGUUGUUAUAUGGCCGGUCCUUGUCAACAUUCCAUUUAAUACCCAUGCAAAAACUUAACCAUACAACUUAACAACUCAUUAAAUACCGAUACUCAACUCAUCUUCAAAACAUUAAACUUGUCUUUAUAAGUAAAGGAUAAAGAUAGAUCUACCCUUCAUUUCUAUUAAUCUCUCCCGAAAACAAUCCAUGCAGACUAGGAAUUUUGAGAGAAAAAAAGUCCUUAGUACAUGGAUUGAAACUUGGUCCAUAUAUAUAAUGUCAAAGAAUAUGGGAGAUUUCAACCCAUGUACUAAGGAUUUUCUUUUUUCCUCAACAUUUCUGUCUGCAUAGAUUUUUUUUGGAGAGUUUAAGUGAAGUAGUGUCGUAUUUUUUGAAUACUGAUCUAGUAUAAUAUUAAAUGGGAUGUUAAGUUGGAUGGUUAAUGAGUCGGCUGAAUAUUAAAUGAGAUGCUGAUGUAGACUGACUACGUGGUACUUUUUUCACAUUGUAUACUAGGUGGCACUCCAUUAAAAUAAGGAUAUUUGUAAGCCAAAAAAAAUAAUCUGAUGGAUAAUUUUGAGCCAAAAACAAACAGAGAAAUAUUUUUACUUCGUUUCGAAUAGUUUAAAGAUAAUUUUGAACUUUUUUCAUAAAUAGAAUGUUGACAUAGACUGAAUAUGUGGUAAUUUUUUUUCACAUGAUGUGUUUGAUGAUACUCUGUUAAAGUGAGGGUUAUUUUGAGCAAAAAAAACAAGCUGAAGAAUAUUUUUGAGAAAAAUAAUAAUGAAGAAAUAUUUUUCAAUCAAAAAUAAAUAAAGAAUAUUUUUACUCUAUUUCAAAUAGUUCAGAAGAGUGUUAGUCCUUUUUCAAAUCAAAAAUUAUAACCCCAACGAAAAUAACACGUGGAUAAGAAAAGCAGAUAGGAAAAACUUAAAGGUAUUAUACUAUGAGAGUGCGUGAUGGGAUCAAACUUCUUUUUAAAUUGUCGUAAAACCUUGAUGGCUAAUUUCUCUAAAGAUACAGAUGUUAAGUGCUAAGAACAACAACAUGCAUGGCCGGCUAUGGGGUAAAGCUGCUAAAGCUUGAGCUUUAGGCCCCCAAAUUUUGGAGCAUCAUUUUGUCCAUAUACAGUUAAAUAGUAUUUGUAAAAGGAAAAAAAAAUAUCUUCCUUUAUUUCAUUUUAGUUGAUCCAUAUAUUAAAAAAGUAAGUAUUUUUUAUUUGUUCAAUUUAAAAAUUUACAAGACUAUUAAUACUUUUUCAUACAAUCUUUUAAUAUUAAAUAACUAUAUAAAAUAAUAGAAAUCAAAUUUAAAGUUUAAAAACAUUAUUAAUAAGAUUAAUUUAGUAGUAAAAUGUCACGAUCCAAAAAUCGAUAGGUCAUAAUCGCACUUGUAGUGGCGAACCUUUACAAGUAAGUCGUUCAUCCAACUAAUACACACGGGGGGAAAACAGAAAUGCCCUCAAGGUAAGGCUUCUAGAACGAAGCUGAACCACAUAGAUAUAAUAAAAGCGUAAAGAAUAAAAAUCAACACAUGCAGCCGUAACUUCCAAAACCUAAUGUCAACAGUGUAAGAACCACUAAUACAAUCUCGGAGUCAAAUACAUCAAAAAAAUAACCACAAAGAAAAAUACCUAUCUCCGAAAAUUAAUAAAGACAUAACUAAUAAAAAAAGAUAGAGGUGAACUUCGGACGUGUGAAUGUCCAACCGCUACCUUGAGAAAUCUGAAGGCACCCAAAAUCAAAUAGUCUAAGGCGCACCCGAACUUGAAGUUUCGCCGAAAGGGUGAAGUAGGAGUGAGUACGGUUCAAUUAUACAUAGUAGGUAUCAUAGGCCGACCGAGCAAAGUAGAAAAUAAAGCAUACAAAAUACACACUAAGGGCACAUCACCUGCAAUCAGAAAAUAUCUCACAACGGUAUCCCACACCACUUGCACUAACAAUUCUAAUAUAUCACAUAUAUUGCAACAUUAAACCAAGAUAGAACACAAGUAUGCAUUACAUUACAUAUAAGUAGAACAAGGGGGAACAUGCAUAUACAAGAUCAUCAAAUACAAUUAAAAAAAGAUAAUUACAUAAAUGGCAAAUCAAUAUGGCAAUACAACACAAUAUAAACACAAUAAAGUAAGUAUAAUGUAUAUGAUGAUGAUGAUGAUGAUGAGGAUGAUGCACGAGGUCAUCGCCAACCUCCGAAAUCAUCGCAUAAUCUCCAUAUACACAUACAGAGCUAAAACUUCCCGACGUAGGACCCAUGGGGGGUUCAUCAACCCGUAUACAAUUCAUAUAUCUCACAUCUCCUUUUCAGCACAUUCCUCGGAAAGACUUUUAGAAGGUGUGCAAUACCUCUUCCCCGGCACAUACCUCGAAGGAGGGGGUGCAAAAAGGUAUUGUCAGUGUUACUCAGAUAUUGCCACGGUGGUACCAAUGUUUCAUAAAUGAGCAUAAUAUGAGGAUGUAAUGCUCAAAACCAAUCACAAUGAGUAUUUCCACAACCAACCAUAUAAUAUAUUUCCACAACCAACCACAAUGACACAUUUCCACAACCAUGUGAGCCAAUAUCCACUAAUUAUUUUUAUUUCAUCCAUUAAUUUUCACAUGUCUCAUAUAACAAAAAAAUAUGAAUAUAUCACAAUACACUAAUGGUACCACAUUAGGCAUUUCAACAACACAAUAAAACUAUUCGCAUGUAUUCAGGGCUAUCAACAUCACAUGGGACCCCACACAGUCACACGCAUCACAUAAUAUCUCAAUUUUGAAGAUUACGUCAUAAAUAGGCCUCCACACGGGAACAACACAUAGAUAGUCAUUUUUCAUGAUUAGUGUUGAUACCCAAUUUUGACUCUUCAUGCUUAAAAUUAGCGCAUUUAAGUGUCCUGAUCGUUAAAAUGCACAAAAUGUCAAUUUUCCUACAUUUUUUUUUUAUAAUUUUUAACAAAUUAUUGAUUAUCAUCAUUAUUUUAUAAUUUUUUAUCAAUUUUUGUCAUCUUUUAAUUUUAUUGAAUUUAUUAAUAAUUAUCUUUAAUUUCAUAAAUUUUAGGAUUUUUAUCAGUUUAUUAUCAUUUUAAUAUUUGUGCACAGUCAUCUGCAUACGCACACAACAUAGCACUGUGAUUCGUUAUCGUACAGUAUAAUUUUAAUUAUUUUAUAGCAUAAUAUAUUUUUUAAGAUAGCAAUUUUUUUUUAUUAUUUGUUGUAAUUAUACUUCGGCAGUCAUUAUUUUGUACGUUAUUUAAUAUGACCUGCAAAGGUAAGUCGGUUUAAUUAUUUUAAUACACAGAGUAAUAAAUCAAUCAAGUCAACAUCUCAUCACUAAAAAGAUAUUUGACUUUAUUUUAUCUACUAUCCCUAAUUUAAGGGAUAUGUUGGGAAAAGAUAAAUUUAAUAUCUAUUUAUUUUAUUAUUACUUUUCUUUUUCAAAAUACUUCACACACACACACUAAACACACACACCACAAGCAUUCGCAUCCUUAUUUUCGUAAAUUUUAAGAUUUUUAUCAGUUUAUUAUUAUUUAAAUAUUUUUGCACAGUCAUUUACAUACGUACACAGCAUAACACUAUAAUUUUUUACUGUACAAUUUUAAUUAUUUAUAGCAUAAGAUAUUUUUUUCAAAAAUAAUUAUAUUUUUUAUUUAUUAUUUUGAUUUUUAUUUAUUUUUAUUUUUUGUAUUUAUAUAUCAGCAUUCAUUAUUUUAUAUGUUAUUUAAUACGACCUGCAAAAGCUAAGUCGAAUAAGUUAUUUCAAUACACAAUAUAAUAAUAAUUUGGUAUCUUGUCACUUUAACACAAAUAAUAUUAAUUUAAUUUUUUUUUCCUAUUUUCUCCACUUUUUUUACUUUUCCACAUCUACUUUCCUAAAUCUAAGAGAUAUGCUUGAAAAUAUAGAUUUGAUGAAUUACUUUUUCCCUUUUAAAUACUCUAACACACAUUCACAAUGCACAUACAAAAACAUAGAUUUUUACUCCCACAUAUUUUCUUUCAUUUUUCUCUCUCUAAAACCCACACAAAUACACAAACAACCACAACAACAAAAUAUUCCAUCUCAAGCGAAACUCUUUUUCCUUUUUGACUCAUCGUUAAUUUUGUGGGUUUAUUGAAAUAAAUUUUAAGCAUUAUCAUGUUCAUUGUUGUCUUCACUGUUAAUUUGAACUAUUUAUUAGUUUUCCUAUCCAUAGUUGAUUUAUGUUUAUUUUUUUUAGUAAAGUAUUUGCUUCUCCGGUAAAUCACACUAUAGUGUUAUUUGAUCUUGACUUUGUUCCUUUGAUUUUUUAUUUUUUUUCUUUCUUCUUUUUCAAAAUUCCUUUUCACUGAUUUUUGUAUUGUUAAUACUUUUUCCUAGACACAUCUUAAUUAUUAUUGAUUAUUUGUGUUUGAAUUUUGUUAUAGUUAUUAAUUCUUAUUUUAAUAUAAAUUUUGUUAUUAAUUCUUGCAUGGUAUGAAGAUAUGUGAAGUUACUUUAUUUUUUUCUUAUUGUUAUUAUUAUUUGUUCAUCUCUUUUCUUAUGUCAAUUAACAUGAAGUAAGAUAUUGCUAUAGGUUUAAUAUGUUCUUUGUAAUAAUUUUGUUUAUAUGGCCAAUGAAAUUAUCUCUCCGUCGGAUACUUGAGGUCACCCCGUCAUAAAAGACGGACUUUAUUUUAUAAAGUUAUUAUUUUAUAUUAAAGAUUAACACUUGGCCGAUGAAGAAAUUAUUCGUAGAUUUUCGAGGCCUCCACAAAUAAAAAGACGGAUAUUACGUGUAUAAAUACGUAAUAAAAUAAAUAAAUUUGGGCGAUGAUGACAUUUUUAUAACAACACAAAAGUUUAUGAUUCGUAUCUUGGCAAGACGAUUUAGGACAGCUAAUAAAUUGAGUAACCACUUCGUAGCCAUGGCGUACCUAAAAUUUGAUUCGAGCCCACUCUUUUAACGAAAAAUUAUAUUUUUAUAUAUAUACACAUACAUAUUUUUUUUAAUUUAUUUUGAUAAUUAUUUGUGUGUUACUAACAUUUUAUUUACAAGUGUUCAUACUGGUUAUUAAGAAUACUCAUCGAAAUGGCAUUCAAAGAAGGCUUUAAUUUUUAUGUUUGUAUUUUUAUAUUUUUACACUUGUACAAAUAUUAAUUAUAGUAAAAUCUUUAUUUUUGGGGUGUUAGGCGGGAUAUUCUUUAUUUACGCAAUUCUCACCACGCGUUUAGGCAAAUUUAGGCUGUUAAUAUUUAUAUUAAAAUUGAUCUAGGUACUUAAUCAAAUAAUUCACAUUUUUUACAUUAAAAAAUAUGGCAUAAUCUUUGCCUUUAGAAUAAUUUUUCUUUAAUCAAUCUUGCUUUACAUGCAUUUAUAUACUUUUGUUUAUAUAUUUUAUGACAACAUCCACAUUAUAUUAUAUUAGUACAUACUUUAUAUCUGUAUUUACAAUUAUUGAUUUUCUUUCCUUUUUCUCUUUUAAUAAACCUAAGUCUGGCCGGGAACCACAGUUGUGGAUUCUGAAGGAUACCUAACCCCUUUCUUUCGGACUAAUUUGAACCCUUACCUAAAAUCAAAAUUGAUUUCGUAGAUUAGAAUAAAGUCAUACUUGUUAAAUAAAUAAAUAGGUUUCCUAUUUUUUCUUAAAAAUUAGGUGGCGACUCCGUACAAAAAUUAAUUAUUUUGAGUCCAUAAUGCCGUACUUGUUUUAACCUUAGGUAAAAAUUAGGUAUGACAGUUUGGCGACUCUGCUGGGGAGAAAGAGUUCUAACCAUUAUAGACUUAGGUAAAUAGUUAUGUUUUUAUACAUUGUUAUUUGUUUCAUACUAAUUAUCUUGAUUUAUCUUGUUUAUGUGGCAUAAAUUAUUUAUUUGUUAUUAUUUUAGAUAAAUCAUUUAUUUGUUUAUUGCUUUAUUAAAUUGUCAUUCCGUUCAUAUUUCCUCCAUUUAGGAAUAUUGACACUCACACACAUUGUACAUGCAGAUUGUACAUUGUACUUUUUCAAUUUUUUUUUCAAAUUACCUUAUUUUAGAGAGUUGGCGUAUACGUGAAGUGAGCGGGAGUUUUACUUCCGUGGAACUACGUGUCUUCUCAUAUAGGAAAUCCAAGUUCGUGUCUAUCCACUCUUAGUUAACAUAGUAUAUAGCUAAAAUAACACAUUUUUAGGUGCAUGCAUCAUUAGUCAACUUUAUGUCAGAAGGGUUUACAACCUAAGUGACAUUAUUAUAGUCCUUAUACAUAUUUGAAGGACUAUUAUGUUUGUACAUAUUUAUUUGCUCUAAAUUGGUUAUACUUUAGUAGAGAAGGUGUUUCUAAUUUUUGUUUUGCCUAGUAGAUCAGUUAAGAAAUGUACCUUAGCAACAUCGCCAUUAGCUACGUAUAGGUUUGAACUACGUUUUGACCUGAUUCUUGUCCUAACAAGAUACGUAGGCAACCUUGUAUAGGGUUCGGUCUCUUCACUAUUUUAGAAUAAUUUUUCCGGCAUUAAACUGGGAUAAUUUUCUGGAACAGUUUAAAAAUGCUCUCCAAAAUUCUUCAAGAGCACAAAUCAAUAGCUCCUCAAAUCCAAAUCUCAAUGACAUUAGUGCCUAGUCAACCUACCUCUAAAUGCUCACCUGAUUGGUGCAAGAAUAGCUAGCUUCUUUUUUUGAACUUCGCAAAUCAUUAAAUUUGUGGCAUAUCAAUCCUCACUUUCAAAAGCAAGAAUUCAAUAUUUUUUAGUUAUAAUAAUCCUGCCAACUGCGGCAAAAUAAUGUUAUAAUUCAUUCAAUGAUUGACUUUUUUUAAUCUUGUCAGCAUACUGAAGUUGUGUCAAAGCCCUCUCCAUGCUUUAUAUUCAAUUUUUCGAUCAUUUGAUUAGAAUAAUUUUGAUGCUAAAAGCAGUUCUUUCUUAAUCGUCUUUCACAUUAUUUUUAUGAAUGACCAUCAAUCUUUUUUUUUACAAUCAUACAUUGCACAUACGAAUUUGUAAAUUUGUCUGAACUACGUAGACCUGAUUCUUGUUUUCAUAAGAUACGUAGGCAAUCCUUAUUUUGGGUUCGGUCUCAUUUUUUUAAAUAAAAAAUAAUUUUGACUUGAUUGAUACCAAUACAGUUAUAAGUGUGCAUGAGAAAGAACAAAUUGGUAUGAUGAAAAGGACCGAAUUUAUGGUAAACUAUAAGUUCCUUUGGUACCUUUUAUCACACUUGAAUAAUUCUUGAAAAUUCUCUUGCAUACAUUUAAGACAAAAAUGAAGCCCGCCUCAUUGUUUCAUGUGCAUUAUGUGGCGAGCUUUAUUUUAAUUCAUGGCAUUGUAUUGUUGAUCUAGAACUUGGCCUUAAUGUUUGUUGAGGUAAAAUUUUGAGUUGCACUUGAUUUAGGAAAGGAUUGUAGGCCUUUAUUGACUCGAUUGAGCCUUUCAUAGCCUAUAAAAAGACAUUAGUCCCUAGUAUUUCCUCUUUUGAGCCUAAAAUUUUUUCUUUGGACAACCGUGUCUGAACCUAUACCAUUUUAGUGCUUACAUGCACUAUUCCUUUUUUGGCCUAGCUACGUCCAAAUUGCGGACAGCGAUUCAAGAUUAAAGAUAUAAAAUGCAAAAGAUACAUUGUCCCAGAUGAAUAAAAAUGAAAAAACGAAUUCAAUAGGAGCAAAAUUCUCACAAAAAGAAGAAAAGAAAAAAAUAUAUAAUUUUUUUUUGAGAAAAAAGGAAAACUCCAACACAAGGUUCAAAAGAAGUCGAAGCAAAUACAAAGCAAGGGACAACAAAGCACAACUAAAAAGAUCAUGCGUCAAAGCGCAAUAAACAUCGAAUGCACAAAUGCAGUGUAAUGCUCAUUGAGGAAUUAGUCACUUUCAUCCCAAAUAUUAUCCUACCCAUCCCCAAGCCUACAUUACAAGCCAAUAGAAAGUCCUACGAGAUCUUAUUUCAAGUGUCCUCAUAUUAGUGGAUACUUACAUGAAGGUCAAGCUUAUAGUAUCGCAAUUGCAUGCAUUGAAUUUCUUUCUGAGUGUGAGUGUAUUUCUUAAUACGUCUCGAAAUUCAAAAGAAAAUUACUCAAAAAUGUGUGAAAUAAGAUAUUCUUUUACUCAAACAUGUGCGAAAUGGGACUUUCUUUCGGGAGAGGACACUUGAAACAUGAAAAUAAGCAUAGGUCAAAACUUUGUUUGAAGCAAGAUGAAUAAACCUUGUCGAUACUUAGGCGUGUCUGAGGUACCACUUGAAACUAUAGGAGUUACCCUGAAGUCGAUUUCGGUAAGUUGGGGAGAAGAUGGGGAAAUUCUUAUGCACACUUCUAAUUAUUGGUACCAACUAAAAUCAAGACACGAUCAUGUCUUAUUCAUCUUUCAGCACUUUUUACCAAGAAAAUGCAAAACUCUUUCUUUCUUUUUUCAAGACACUCAAUUUUCAAGUACAGGCAUUUGAUUUUUGCUCUCAAGCACAUACCUUCAAAUAUCGGCAUUUUAUUUUUCAGUCAAGCACUCAUUUUUGAGUAUUUUAUAUUUUUUAUAGUCUUACCAGUUGAGAGACUAUUAGAUUUCAGUCACUUCACUAGUUGAGUGCCUUAGUCUUCAUAGACAAUUGGGGACAACAAUAAGCAUCAGUCUUCGUAGCAAUCAGAGACAUCAUGCAUCUUUUCAAUUUGCAAUAGAAAAAUUAUUUUUUUAGUUUCCUUAGAACAAGACAUAUCAGCAUAAAUAAUACACUAGACAAAUUUUGAGAGCCGUCUCAAAAUUUACUCUAUUUCUUUAUUUCGAACUACAUUGACCUGAUUCUCGUAAUACUCGAGAUAUGUAGGAAACUCUAUGUAGAGUUCGAUCGUCACAACCCCAUAUCAUUCUUUCUCUCCAGCAAGUACACAAUCUUUCAUCCCCAUCACCUCACAGCUUGAUACUGGAGCAAUUUUGAAAGUAACAUCGAGAAUAUAUGAACACUUUCAUUUCCAAAUAAUUCUUUGCUCAAUAAUUAUUUUUGCAUAAUUUUUUUCACCUUAAAAUAAAAUAAUUGGGUCAGUCUGCCCUCUAAAAGACAGUUGUACAUGUUUUUCUUCAAUUAAAUAUUUAUGCUUGCUUGCCUUUACUUGGACAUAUUGCACUUUAUUUAUUUCUUUUUGUACUGUAUGCUAUCUUUGUCUUUACUUGCACGCAUCGCAAUGUAUUUAUUUUAUCAUUUGUUAUUUAAGCAUUGUAUGUAUUUAUUUGCAUAUCUCACAAUGCAUUUAUUUUAUUAUUCAAUACUACAUGUCAUUUUUGCAUUUGCCGGCACAUAUCGCAAUGCAUUACUGUAUUUUAUCUUUGCCUUUAUUUGCAUGCAUCGCAAUGCAUUUAUUUUAUCAUUUAAGCACUUCAUUUUAUUUUUACCUUUACUUGCACGCAUCGUAAUGCAUUUAUUUUAUCAUUUAAGCACUACAUUUUAUUCCUGCCUUUACUUGCACGCACCGUAAUGCAUUUAUUUAUUAUAUCAUUUAAGCACCGUAUGCUAUCUUUAUCUUUAUCUUUUAUCAGCACACAUCGCAAUGCAUUUAAGCACCGCAGGUUAUCUUUUCCUUUAUCUGCACGCAUCACAAUGCAUUUAUUUCACCGUUUAAGUACUACAUGUCAUCUUUGCCUUUUCUGGCACAUUUCGCAAUGCAUUUAUUUUCUUGUUAAAGCAUUGCACGCACAUAUCACAAUGCAUUUAUUUUUAUUAUUUAAGCACUACAUAUCAUCUUUGUCUUUGUUGGCGCAUAUCACAAUGCAUUUAUUUUCAUAUUUAAGCACUGCACGCACAUAUUGCAAUGCAUUUAUUUUAGCACUGCAUGUCAUCUUUGCCUUUGCUGGCGCAUAUUGCAAUGCAUUUAUUUUUUUGUUUUAAGCACUACAUGCACAUAUUGCAAUGUAUUUAUUUUAUUAUUUAAGCACUGCAUGUCAUCUUUGCCUUUACUGGCUCAUAUCGCAAUGCAUUUUGUUAUUUAAGCACCGCAUGCCUCAAAAAUAUUGUAAUGCAUUUAUUCUAUCAUUUAACCAUCGCAUGUCAUUCUUGUCCGCACUUAUCGCAAUGCAUUUAUUUUAUCAUUUCAGCAUCGCAUGUCAUUUUUGCCUUUAUCGGCGCAUAUUGCUACGCAUUUAAGCACUGGACACACAUAACAUAAUGCAUUUAUUUUAUCAUUUAGGCACUGCUGCCUUGCAAGUAUUGCUGCAUUUAUUUUAUCAUUUAAGCACGGUACGCACACAUCGCAAUGUAUUUUAUCAUUUAAGCACUGCAUGCUUUGCAAGUAUCGCAAUGCAUUUAUUUCAUUAUUUAAGCACUGCAUGUCAUUUUUGUCUUUGCUGACACAUAUCACAAUGCAUUUAUUUAUUCCCUCUGUUUAAAAAAGAAUGAGCUACUUUUCCUUUUGGUCUGUUUAAAAAAGAAUGACCUCUUUUAUUUUUUGGCAAUACUUUAAUUUCAACUUUCCACAUGACAUGUUUAGGACCACAAGAUUAAAGGGCAUUUUGGUACAUUUGACAUAACUUUAAUUUAAGGCCACAAAAUUCAAAAGUCUUCUUUAUUUUCUUAUAAUUUGUGUCAAGUCAAAGUAGAUCAUUCUUUUUAAAACAGAGGGAGUAUUAUUUAAGCACUGCACGCACAUAUCGCGAUGUGUUUAUUUUAGCAUUUAGGCACUGCACACCUCGCAAAUAUCGUAAUGCAUUUAUUUUAUCAUAUAAGCACUGUAUGCCAUCUUGAUCUUUACCAGCAUAUAUUGCAAUACAUUUGUUUUAUCAUUUAAGAACCACAUUUCAUCUUUGUCUUUACUUGCACAUCGCAAUGUAUUUACUUUGUUAUUUAAGCAUUGUAUGCUUUGACUUUACCUGCACAUACCGCAAUCCACUUAUUUUACCAUUUAAGCACUGGAUGUUAUUUUUGUCUAUACCAUUUUUUUUAUUCAUUUAUUUAAACUUUGCAUGCUAUCUUUAAUUUCUCAAAAGAAAAAAGGAAAUAAAGAGAGAAAAAAAUCAAAAUUAAGCUUAAUUUUUUGUUUAUGUUUUAUUGAGCAGUACUUCUUAGUUUAAUACAUUUGCAAGCAUAUAAUUUGUGGAUAAAUUGGGUUCAUCCACCCUAAAAUAGGACAUUUUGAUAUAGCAACUCCAAAUUGGAGUUCGCUUGAAUUUUAUCAAAAAUAAUUUUUUGUCGAGUAAAAUUGGCUACACGUCAACGUUUUCGUUUGAAGACUUUUACAUUAUCUUCAAACGAAAAAGGACAAACUGUUGACACCUAAUUUUGACUCUCCAUGAUUAAAAUUAGUGCAUUUAAGUGUCCUUAUCGUUAAAGUGUACAAAAUGCCAAUUUUUCUACAUUUUUUUAUAAUUUUUAACAAAUUAUUGAUAAUCGACAUUAUUUUAUAAUUUUUCAUCAAUUUUUGUCAUAUUUUAAUUAUACAUAAUUUAUUAAUAAUUAUCUUUAAUUUCAUAAAUUUUAGUAUUUUUAUCAGUUUAUUAUCAUUUUAAUAUUUUUGCACAGUCAUCUACAUACUCUCACAAUAUAGCACUGUAAUUCUUUAUCGUACAGUAUAAUUUUAAUUAUUUUAUAGAAUAAUAUAUUUUUUUAAGAUAACUAUUUUUUUAAUUAUUUAUUGUAAUUAUACUUUGGCAUUCAUUAUUUUGUACGUUAUUUAAUACGACCAGCAAAGGUGAAUCGGUUUAUUUAUUUUAAUACACAGAGUAAUAAAUUUAUCAAGUCAACAUCUCAUCACUAAAAAGAUAUUUGACUUUAUUUUAUCUACUAUCCCUAAUUUAAGGGAUAUACUGGGAAAAGAUAGAUUUAAUAUCUAUUUAUUUUAUUAUUACUUUUCUUUUUUAAAUACUCCACACACAUACUAAACACACACAGCACACACCACAAACAUUCACACCCUUAAUUUCAUAAAUUUUAGGAUUUUUAUCAGUUUAUUAUUAUUUUAAUAUUUUUGCACAGUUAUUUAUAUACGUACACAGUAUAACACUGUAAUUUUUUACUGUACAAUUUUAAUUAUUUAUAGCAUAAUAUAUUUUUUUUCAAAAAUAAUUAUAUUUUUUAUUUUUAUUUUUUAUUUUUUUGUAUUUAUAUAUCGGCAUUCAUUAUUUUAUAUGUCCUACAAAAGCUGAGUCGAAUCAGUUAUUUCAAUACACAGUACAAUAAUAAUUCGGUAUCUUGUCACUUUAACACAAAUAAUAUUAAUUUAGUUUUUUUUUUCUAUUUUCUCCACUUUUUUCACUUUUCCACAUCUACUUUCCUAAAUCUAAGGGAUAUGCUUGAAAAUGUAGAUUUGAUGAAUUACUUUUUUCCUUUUAAAUACUCUAACACACAUUCACAAUGCACAUACAAAAACAUAGAUUUUUACUCCCACAUAUUUUCUUCUAUUUUUCUCUCUCUAAAACCUACACAAAUACACAAACAACCACAACAACAAAAUACUCCAUCUCAAGUGAAACUUUCUUCUUUUUUGUCUCAUCGUUAAUUUUGUGGGUUUAUUGGAAUAAAUUUUAAGCAUUAUCACGUUCAUUGUUGUCUUCACUGUUAAUUUGGACUAUUUAUUAGUUUUCCUAUCCAUAGUUGAUUUAUGUUUAUAAAGUAUUUGCUUCUCCGGUAAAUCACACUAUAGUGUUAUUUGGUCUUGGCUUUGUUCCUUCGAUUUUUUAUUUUUUUUCUUUCUUCUUUUUCAAAGUUCCUUUUCAUUUAUUUUUGUAUUGUUUUAACUUUUUUCUACACACAUAUUGAUUAUUUGUGUUUGAAUUUUCUUAUAGUUAUUAAUUCUUACUUUAAUAGUAAUUUUGUUAUUAAUUCUUGCAUGGUAUGAAGAUAUGUGAAGUUACUUUCUUUUCUUAUUAUUGUUAUUAUUAUUUGUUCAUCUCUUUUCUUAUGUCAAUUAGCAUGAAGUAAGAUAUUGCUAUAGGUUUAAUAUGUUCUUUGUAAUAAUUUUGUUUGAAUUCAAGUUUUCCGAAGAAGGAGGAUCACCUGAUUACCUUUCAAAGUGCGAUCGCCAAGACCCAGAUUGACUUUCUGCUGCUUAGGAAGGGGGAUAGGGGACUUUGUCAGGAUUGUAAAUUCAUUCCGAGUGAGCAUCUUUCAACCCAGCACAGGAUUCUAGUGAUGGAUUCGUCUAUCAAGAAGUGCAAGAAGAGAAGGGUCGACCUAAAAUUAAGUGGGGCGGAUUGAUGCCAGUUAGUGUACUGGAGAUAGGGGAAAAGGUGGUGGGAAUGGGGUUGUGGGAGAGCAGAGGGGACCUGGAUACUAUGUGGGAUAGGGCAGCCACUGGCAUAAUGGAUAGUGCUAAAGAAGUGUUGGGUGUUUCAAGGGGUCGGACAGGUCGUCAUAAGGGGGACUGGUGGUGAAAUUAAGAAGUGAAGAAGAAAGUAGAUAUUAAGAAGGAGGCUUAUGUGAAGUUGAACGAGAGUAAAAAUAAGGAGGAGAAAGGGGUGAAUAGGGAGGCUUACAAAGUAGCUAGGAAGGAGGCUAAGUUAGCAUUUAGGCUGCUAAGUCAUCAGCGUUUGAGAGCUUGUAUGCGGGACUAAAGGAGAAAGACGGAGAUAAGAGGUUUUUUAGGCUUGCUAAGUCUAGGGAGAGAAAGGGUCGUGACCUUGAUCAGGUGAAGUGCACUAAGGGGGGGGAUGGUAGUGUUUUGGUGGAGGAGGUCCACAUUAAGAAGAGAUGGCAGGAAUACUUUCAUAGACUUUUGAAUGAGGAAAGAGACAGAGGCAUUGAGUUAGGAGAGUUGGAGCACUCAGAAGAGAGACGUGAUUUUAGUUACUACAUGCAUUUUACGGUAGAGAAAGUCAAAGAGUCCAUUCGUAGGAUGUGGAGAGGUAGGGCGACGAGGCCUGACGAGAUUUUGGUGGAUUUUUGAAAGAUUGCUGAAGAGGCCGGCUUGAGGUGGCUGACUAUUUCGUUUAACGAUAUUUUCAAGACUGUGAGAAUGCCUGAGGCGUGGAGAUGGAGUACGAUGAUUCUGUUAUAUAAAAAUAAGGGUGACAUUCAGAGUUGCAACAACUAUAGGGGUAUUAAAUUAUUGAGUCACACUAUGAAGAUUUGAGAGAGAGUGGUCGAGCGAAGGUUGAGGAGGUCGUUUCCAUUUUGAAGAAUCAGUUUGAAUUUAUGCCUGAUCGCUCGACAACAAAGGCAGUCUAUCUGGUGAGGAGAUUAGUGGAGUAGUAUAGAGAAAGAAAGAGGGAUUUACACAUGGUGUUCAUCGACCUGAAAAAGGCGUAUGAAAAAGUCCCGAGGGUGGUUCUUUAGAGAUACUUGGAGGUGAGAGGGGUCCCGGUGGUGUACAUCAGAGCUAUUAAGGACAUGUACGAUAGAGAAAAGACCCGGGUGAGGAUGGUGGGAGGAGACUCAGAAUAAUUCCUGACAGAGACCGGGCUGCAUCAUGGAUCGACUCUUAGUCUAUUCCUAUUUACUUUGGUGAUGGACGUGUUGACGUGGAGCAUUCAAGAUGAGGUGCCUUGGUAUAUGUUAUUUGUGGAUGAUGUAGUGUUGAUUGAUGAGUCGCGAGGGCGUGUGAAUGACAAACUGGAGAUUUGGAGGCAAACCCUUGAGUCUAAGGGGUUUAGGUUGAGUAGGUCCAAAACUGAGUAUUUGGAAUACAAGUUUAGUGAAUUGAGAUAGGGGGAAGAAGGGGUGGUGAGGUUGGACUCCCAGGAGGUCUGUAAGAUGGACAGUUUUAAGUAUUUUGGGUCUACGAUUCAGGGAAAUGGUGAAGUUGAUGAGGAUGUCUCUAAACGUAUUGGAGCAGGUUGGAUGAAGUGGAGGCUCACCUCAGGAGUAUUGUGCGAUAAGAACGUGCCCCUUAAGCUUAAAGGAAAAUUCUACAGAGUAGCAGUACGUCCGACCAUGUUGUAUGGAGCAGAGUGUUGACCAGUCAAACACCCUCACAUCCAAAAAAUUAAAAGUGGCGGAAAUGAGAAUGUUGCAUUAGAUGUGUGGGCUUACUAGAGGAUACAGGGUUACGAAUGAGAUUAUCCGAGAAAAGGUGAGAGUGGCUUCAGUGGAGGACAAGAUGCAGGAAGAAAGGCUGAGAUGGUUUGGGCAUGUGAUGAAGAGGGACACAGAUGCCCCAGUUCGGAGGUGUGAGAGGCUAGCUUUGGAUGGCUUCAAAAAGAGUAGAGGUAGGCCGAAGAAAUACUAGAGGGAGGUGAUUAUACAUGACAUGGAGUAGCUCCAGCUGACUGAGGACAUGACCCUAGAUAGGAAAAUGUGGAAGUCGCGGAUAAGGGUAGAUGGCUAAGGUGUAUGUGUGGGGUACAACAUGUAAGUAGGUGAGUUCCUUGUAGUCGGGUUAGUAAACCUAGGUCUGUGUUCAUAGGUGAUGUGUUAUGUUAGUGUAGCUUACUACUAGGUAGGUGUCCUUUGUCUUAUGUCUUAGUACUUUUCUUAUUUCGUGUCAUCCGUAUGUUUCGUAGUUCGUACUUCUCUGAUGUCUAUUUUAUUAUUUUUUAUUCCUAAUUUCUCUAUUAUCCCAUCCAUCCCUUUGUUUACUGUUCUUCAUAUUGAGCCGGGGGUCUAUCGGAAACAGCCUCUCUACUUCUUCGGAGGUAACGGUAUGGACUGCGUACAUCUUACCCUCCCCAGACCCCAUUUUAUGGGAUUACACUGGGUUUGUUGUUGUUAUUGUUAUUUGUAAUAAUUUUAUUUAUAUGGCCAAUGAAAUUAUCUCUCCGUCGGUUAUUUGAGGUCACCCCAUCAUAAAAGACGGAAUUUAUUUAAUAAAGUUAUUAUUUUAUAUUAAAGGCUAACACUUGGCCGAUGAAGAAAUCUUUCAUCGAUUUUUGAGGUCUCCAUAAAUAAAAAGACGGAUAUUAUGUGUAUAAAUACGUAAUAAAAUAAAUAAAAUUGAGCGAUGACGAAAUUUUUAUAACAAUGCAAAAGUUUAUGAUUCGUAUCUUGGCAAGAUGAUUUAGGACGGCUAAUAAAUUGAGUAACCACUUCGUAGCAAUGGCGUAUCUAAAAUCUGAUCCGAGCCCACUCUUUUAAUGAAAAAUUAUAUUUUUAUAUAUAUACGUAUACAUAUUUUUUUAAUUUAUUUUGAUAAUUAUUUAUUUAUUUCUAACAUUUUAUUUACAAGUGUUUAUACUGGUUAUUGAAAAUACUCAUCGAACUAGCAUUCAAAGAAGGAUUUAGUUUUUAUGUUUGUAUUUUUAUAUUUUUACACUUGUACAAAUAUUAAUUGUAGUGAAAUCUUUAUUUUUGGGGUGUUAGGCGGGAUAUUCUUUAUUCACGCAAUUCUCACCACGCGUUUAGGCAAAUUUAAGCCAUUAAUAUUUAUAUUAAAAUUGAUCUAGGUAUUUAAUCAAAUAAUUCACAUUUUUUACAUUAAAAAAUAUGACGUAAUCUUUGCCUUUAGAAUAAUUUUUCUCUAAUCAAUCUUGCUUUACAUGUAUUUAUAUACUUUUGUUUAUAUAUUUAACGAUAGCAUACACAUUAUAUUAUAUCAGUACAUACUUUAUAUCUGUAUUUACAAUUAUUGAUUUUUUUUCUUUUAAUAAAUCUAAGUCUGGCCGGGAACCACAUUUGUGGAUUUUGAAGGAUGCCUAACCCCUUUCCUUAGAAAUAAUUUGAACCCUUACCUGGAAUCAAAAUGAGUUUCGUAGAUUACAAUAAAUUCAUACUUGUUAAAUAAAUAAAUAGGUUUCCUAUUUUUUCUUAAAAAUUAGGUGGCGACUCCGUACAAAAAUUAAUUCUUUUGAGUUCAUAAUGUCUUACUUGUUUUAACCCUAGGUAAAAAUUAGGUAUGACAAUUAGUUUCACCCUUUACACGCAUUUUGUACCAUCACUUAGAAAAAGCUAAGUCAUAGCCUACCUCAAAAGUCGAAAUCAGUUUGCUACACUUUAAACCCAUGACCUUAAUUUUUACGAAUGAUCCCGAACCCUACUAAAAAUAUCAAAUAUAUAAUUUACGCAUCAAAAUGAAACUAACGACACUUAUAUUGACUAAUUUUGGUUCAGGAUCAAAACGUACCUGGGAAACGAGUUUUCAAAAAAGAGGGGCAAAAUAAUAACUUUACUUCAAAAAUGUGGUCCCAUAUUUUUAGCUACAGCUGAAAACCCAAGUCAAAUUGAAUCAAAAAAGAUGUUCAAAUCGAAGAAAAAUUAUUUUUAAGCUUUACCAGGUAAAAUCUUUGAAAUCCAGGUUAAAAUCAAGAAUUGAAGUUGUUUUGAAGGUUAAAUUGAUGAAAAACUAGUAAUUAUAAGAUUAAAAUAUUAUUCAAGUGAAAAGAAGUGAAAUUGGGAUUUAAAAUCGAGCCCUAAGAUUUUAGUGUUUUUGAGAACCUAAUCAAGAAUUACUUAGAAAAUGGAUGAUUUCUUACCUUAAAUCUGUAAGAGAAUCAAGAAAUGAAUGUUAAUCUAGCUUCCCAAGCACCCCGUAAGCUUCACUUUAAGCCCCUACACUAAUUUUAGGGUUUAACUCUCAAGGCGAAGUUGAAAGAAUGAGCAAAAACUAGAUAAAAAGGGUUAUUUAUACUGUACUUGGGUACCAGGUAAAAUAAGGCAUACAUCGCACCUAGGGAAUACGAUUUACCCUUUAAAUUUCCUGGUUGCACCAGCAACCUGGUGCACCAGAUUUUUAAGUCAAAACAGACUUCGACAGGUGUCCGUAAUUUGUUCAGAAUUCGAUAUACGCAAAUGUACUAUAUAAUCACAUUAAAUUCGUUGCUCCUGACUCAAUGGAGAUAUCAGAUUUUAAAAAACAUAUUGUUUUUAUAAAGUUGACCCCCGAAAUUUGAAAUUGUAAUUUUUUGAAUCGAAGGUCAAAAUGAGAUUUUAAAGUCAUAAAUUCACACCAAACAUGUUACUACCCUAAAAUCGACAUUUCAGAUCUAAUGGCGAAGUUGGAUUUUCCAUUCGAGGUCAUUUCAACCAAAUGUGGUCCCACAUUCAUAUUUUUAAUUUUUUCAACUUUCUGGCUAAUAGGUCGAAAUGAUCUCGGGUGUGCCGGUAUUCGAACCAAAGGUCUACCAAGACUAAAAUGAUAUUUCGGAGUUGCUGGUGCAGUCCGUUUAGCUAUCCGUUACAUGGAUCAAAAGAUAUCCAUAUACGUCCAAAAUAAGGUUCUUAAACCCAUAAAAAACCAUAAUAUCGCAUAAAUGGUACCAAAUGCAUCAAAAACUGUGUCAAUCACCCCCACACCCCAGAAAUACAAUAAUGUAACUACGAGGAGGGAUAAAACAGUCAUAUUACAGAAAAUCACAAACUUUACAUGUUUCGUGAAAUUUUAAGGUCGUUACAUUAUCCACCACUAAAAAUCUAGUUCGUCCUCGAACUACGACAAAGAAAUAUAUGAAUCAAUGAAGAGCUGGGAAUAGGAAUGACGCAUAUCAAACUCAACCUCCCAAGUAGCCUCAUCUACUGGUCGAUGUCACCACUGAACCUUAACCAUACUGAUAACUCUAGAGCUUAACCGUCUAACAUCCCUAGCCAAAAUAGAGAUCGGUUCUUCAACUAAGGGCAACCGCUCAUCUAACUGAUCCGACUCCCAACAAAUGACAUGAGACUCAUCAGGAAUAUAGUGACAAAGCAUAGAAACAUGAAAAACUAGAUGAAUAACUGAUAGAUUAGGGGGCAACGCCAACUCAUAAACCAUAUCACCAACAGUCUGAAGAAUCUCAAAUGUACCAAUAUACCUGGGGUGAAACUUGCCUCUCUUCCUAAACCUUAUUAUAUCCUUCAUGGGUGAAACUCAAAGGAAAACACAAUCAUCAAUACGAAAUCUCAAGGCAUGAAGUCUACGAUCAGUAUAGCACUUCUCCCUACUCUGAGCCGCUAUAAGUCUAUCCUAAAUGACCUGGAAUCUAUCCAAAGACUCUCGAAGCAAGUCCGUACCUCGAGGUCUCACCUCUGAAGCAUCAAACCAUCCCACUAUGGAACAACAACGCCUACCAUACAACGCCUCAAAAGGAGCUAUGUCUAAAGCCAAAUGUUGCUCCCAUGGGCCCCCAAAGUCUAUCAUAUAUGUGUGAAGCAUAUCCUCCAAAACCUGGAUAGUCCGCUUUGAUUGGACAUCAGUCUGGGGGUAAAACGUUGUGCGAAGAUCAACCCGAGUAUCCAACUCAUCCUGAAAAGUCUUCCAAAAAUGAGAUAUGAACACAGAACCUUAAUCUGAAAUAAUGGACACCAGCACACCAGGCAGACGCACAAUCUCACGAAUGUAGAAAGGGCCAACCUCACAACAUUGAAUGAGACUUGAACUAGAAUAAAAUGAGCUAACUUGGUCAAUUGAUCUACGAUGACCCAAACACUGUCAGAACCAUAAGAUGUACAAGGUAAAUCAAUGACAAUGUCCAUGGUGACCCGUUCCCACUUCCACUCGGGAAUGGGAAACCUUUGAAGCAAUCCACCAGGUAUCAUAUGCUCGGCCGUCACCUGUUGACAAUAUAGACAACGAGCCAUAAACUUCACUAUAUCUCGCCUCAUACCACCCCACCAGCAGUGUUGUCUCAAAUCACAAUACAUCUUAUUAAUACUUGGAUGUAUGGAAUAUCUAGAAUAAUUGGCCUAUAUCAACCUAAACCAAUCACCCACUCUUAACACACAAACUCGGCACACAAUUCUUAAAACUUAAUCUGAAUCAAGUGAAGUUUCUUUAGCCUCCCUGCUCAACACCUUAUCUCGAAUAAACCUCAAUCCAACAUCAUCAAAUUGAUGAGCUCGAAUCUACUCCAUCAAAGAAGAUCUGACCUCCACAAAUGCCAAAACACGCCCAGGUGUCGAAAUCUCAAACCUAACCAACUAGUUAGCUAAAGACUGAAUCUUUAAGGCCAAAGGCCUCUCCUAGGUAAAAGAUGUGCCAAGCUACCCAUGCUAGUCGACUUCUGGGUCAAGGCAUCCAUAAUCACAUUAGCGUUGCCCGGAUGACAGUGAUAGUCAAGUCGUAAUCCUUAAGAAACUCAAGCCAACGAUGCUUCCUUAUAUUUAGAUCUCGCUGAGUGAAGAAGUACUGAAGGCUAUGAUAAUCUGAGAAGAUCUCACAACGGACUCCAUAUAAGUAGUGCCUCUACAACUUCAAGGCAAACACAACUGUGCACAACUCCAAAUCAUAGGUAAGAUAAUCCUCUCAUGAGGCUUUAACUAAUGAGACAUAUAAGCAAUCACUUUGCCCUCCUGCAUCAACACAACACCUAACCCAACAGCUAAAGCAUCAUAAAAAAUGGUAAAAUCCACGCCUUCUUUGUGCAAUGUCAAGAUAGGAACUGAAGUCAACAAAUCCUUAAGCUUUUGAAAGCUCACCUCGCAAGCAUCAAACCAUUGAAAAGAAAUCUUCUUCUGGGUCAACUUGGUCAAUGGAGCUGCAACGGAUGAAAAAUCCUCAACAAAACACUGAUAAUAGCCUGCUAAGCCAAUAAAACUCCAAAUAUCGAUGGGCAAAGUUGGUCUAGCCCAAUCACAAACCAUGGCAAUCUUAGUUGGAUCAACCAUAAUACCUUCCUUAGUUACCACAUGAUCCAAGAAAGGAAAAGACUCCAACCAAAACUUGCACUUAGAGAACUUCGCAUACAACUUCUCAUCUCUCAACCACUGAAGCACAAUCCGCAAAUGCUCUUUAUGCUCAGCCUCACUCUUGGAAUACACCAAGAUAUCAUCAAUAAAUACAAUAACAAAUGAGUCGAGAUACAGUCAAAAUACCCAGUUUAUCAACUCCGUGAACAUUGUAGGGGAAUCGGUCAACCCAAAAGACAUAACCAAGAACUCGUAAUGACCAUAUCGAGUCCAAAAAGUUGGCUUGGGAAUAUCUGAAGCUCUAAUCCUCAACUGGUGAUAACCAAACCUCAGAUUAAUCUUUGAAAAUACUGUAACACCCUGGAGUUGAUCAAAUAAAUCAUCGAUGCGGUAAAGUGGAUACUUAUUCUUAAUCGUCAUCUUAUUCAACUAUCAAUAAUCAAUACGCAUCCAUAUAGAUCCAUCUUUUUUCUUUACAAACAAGACGACGCACCCCAAGGUGAAACACUAGGUCGGAUAAAUCCCUUAUCCAACAACUCCUGCAACUGAUCCUUCAGUUCCUUCAAUUCUGUUGGGGCCAUCCUAUAAGGAGUAAUAGAAAUGGCUUGGUGUCCAGCUGAACAUCAAUAGCAAAAUCAAUAUCUCGAUCUGGAGGCAUACCAAGCAAGUCCAUAGGGAACACAUCCAUAAACUCACGGACAACACAAAUAAAUCCAAGAAAGUAGGCAAAACAACAAUGGUCGCAACUAUGAGCCAAGUAAGAUAAAUAUCCCCUCUUAAUUAAUUUACGAGCCUGGACAUAAGAUAUAAUCUUCUUAGGACCCGAAUGAAGUGCACCCUUCCAGGCUAUCAUUGGCACACCCGUGAAGCUAAAGUGACAGUCUUAGCAAAAUAAUCUAAGAUAAAAUGAUAAGUAGACAACUAAUCCAUACCCAAAAUAACAUCCAAAUCAACCAUGUCUAACACAAGCAAGUUUACCAAAGUCUCAUGCCCGACAAAAGUCACAACACAAGAUUGGUGCACUCGAUACACCACUAAGAAAUCACCUACCGGCAUAGAUAUAUGAAUAGGCAUGGCAAGAGGCUCACUAAUAGAAUCAAAACCCAAAGCAAAAUACACAAACACAAAGGAGAAAGUCAAUCGGGGAUCAAAUAUUGCCGAUGCAGGUCUGAAACAAACGGGGAUGAUACCAGUAAUCACAACAUCAGAAGCCUCAACCUCAGGUCUAGCUGGUAUAGCAUAACACUGACCAUGACCACCAGCUACCUAGGUAGCCCCACACCACCAACUGCCUGAGUGGCCCCAUAGCCACCCCCACGAACUCUAGUACCUCUAUCCCUUGCACCUCUGGUAGCACCCCUACCCCUCACAGAUAAAAUAGGAGUGACCUGAAUCACCCGGUAGGGAUAGAUCCUGGCCACAUGGCCAAUCUUAUCACACACAUAGUAACCUCUCAGUCCAGUCUCAACAUGAGAAGGUACAACUAUGCUCGAACGGUCACCCUGAACUGCUAAACUAGAAAAUACAUAACCUAAACUCUGUAAAGCUAUCUACACUUGACUACCAUAGUAUCCACGAUAACCUCUAAAAUCUCUACCUCGAGAGGUAUAACUCAUGAACUCACCAAAACUUCGCUCCUUCUUGGUGCCUCCCUGAGAUACACUAAGAAUACCCUCUGUCAUCAUAGCAUGAUCCAUAAUACUCUGAAAACAAACCCCAAACAAAACCAUCUGAGACAUAGCCAACAGAAAAAAGACAUCCAAAACCUUCACAAACUUUUGAAUCUUCUCAAACUCGAUAGAAAUGCUUUUAUAAAAAAUAUCUAGACAAGGCAUGGAAGUGUGCCCCAUACUCAACAAAUUUCAUGGAUCCAUGCUCCAAAUGAUAAAACUCGUCCCGUAUACUAUCUCUUAAAUUUAAAGGCACAAAUCUCUCUAGGAAAGCCUUAAAGAACAAAUCCCAAGUCAUCUCGGGAGAAUCACAGGGUCUGUAAAUGACAAGUGAACUCCACCGAUCUCUCACUGUAUCUCUCAACUGAUAAAAUAUAUAGGCAACUCCAUGAAACUCGAACAAACCCAAUUGUGCAACUUCUCUCGGCAAUCAAUUAGAAACUCAUAGGCAUCCACGCCCACUGCACCACCAAAUCUGGGAGUACCCAACCGGGUAAACCUCUCAAAUCUCUUCUGAUCCUUAUAAGACAUUAUUACACUAGUAAUGAGAGGAGGCAUAGUAAAUCUGGCAGGCUAUAGUCCCAUCUAAGAAGGUAACUAAAUGACGGUUGGAUUCCUGAUCUCAAAACCCAUAGUCAGAUGUCGACAUUGAAGGUGGAAUAAGACUCGAGGAUUUAUGAGUACCCAAACUAGAAGUAGGUGCAACAAGAGGAUCCACACUCUGAACUGGAGGAACACCCGGCAUAACUAAAGAAGAACCCUUUAAAUGGGUUAAAAUAAACCAACAAUCCCUCCAAAACUGGGGUAAACUAACUCUGAAGAACUGGAGUAGGCCCACACCUCCAACCUUCUCAACAUGAGGCUCAGGGAAGAGUCCAUUAGAUCUUCUCCUAGAUGGGGUUGCACCACGGGGCUUUCCCCUCCCUCGAGUUCGUCCACAACUCGAGGCUCGCCCUCUUAGUGAAGACUUUACAUCACUACUAUCGCGAGACCUAGUCAACACCAUAUGCAUAGAAAGAGUGAAACCUAACUUAGAACCCAAGAUAUGAAAGAAAUUCGUGGUAAGGAAUAAAAUAAGGAAAGUUUCCUAAAGAUAUCUUAUAGAAAUGGAUAUCUAUGUACCUCUCAAAGAUAGAAAUGGACGUCUAUGUACUGAUUUGCGAGACUUUAUUAGACAUCCCGUUCUUACACCGUUGAGACCAAUGAAAAUUAGAUGCUCUGAUACCAAUUUGUCAUGACCCAAAAAUUGAUAUGUCAUGAUGGCACUUAUCGCGACGAACCUUGACAAGUAAGUCUUUCAUACAAACUGAUACACACGGGGAAAAGAUAGAAAGUCCCCCAAGGUAAGGCUUCUAGGACGAAAGCAAACCAUAUAGAUAUAAUAAAAGUAGAAAGAAUAAAAUUAGCACAUGCAGCCAUAACUCCCAAAACUUGGUGUCAACAAUAUAAGAACUACUAAUACAAUUCCAGAUUCAAAUACAUCAUAAAAAUAACCACAAAGGAAAAUAUUUGUAUCCGAACACUAAUAAAGACAUAACUAAUACAAGAAGAUAGAGUUGAACUCCGGGCGUGUGAAUGUCCAAUCGCUACCUUAAGAAAUAUCAAUCCGCCCGAAAUCAAACAGUCUAAGGCGCACUUGAACCUGAAGCUUCACCAAAAGGGUGAAGUAGGAGUGAGUACGAUCCACUUACUCAGUAGGUAUCAUAGGCCGACCGAGCAAAGUAGAAAAUAAAGCAUAUAAAAUACACUAAGGGCACGUCACCUGCAAUCAGAAAAUGUCUCACAAUAGUAUCCCACACCGCUUGUUCUAACAAUUAUAAUAUAUCACAUAUAUUACAAUAUCACACCAAGAUAGAACACGAGUAUGUCUUAUAUUACAUAUAAGUAGAACAAAGGGGAACAUCCAUAUACAAGAUUAUCAAAUAUAAGUAAAAGAAGAUAAGAAAAUUACAUAAAUAGCAAGUCAAUAAGUGCAAUGUAUAUGAUGAUUAUGAUAAUGAUGCACGGGGUCGUCGUAUAAUCUCCGGGAUCGUCGCACAAUAAUCUCCGGCAUCGUCGCACAAUCCUCGUAUACACCUACGAAGCUAAAGCUUACCAAUGUAGGAUCCAAGGGGGUUCUUCAACCCGUAUACAAUUCAUAUAUCUCAUAUAUACUCUUUAGCACAUCCCUUGGAAAGAGUUUUAGAAGGUUUUCAAUAUCUCCUUCCUGGCACAUACUUCGGGGGAAAAAGGUUUAAAAGGGUGUUGUCAGUGUUACUCAGGUAUUUUCAGGUGGUACCAAUGUUUCAUGAAUGAGUAUGAUAUGAGGACGCAAUAUUCACAACCAAUCACAAUAAAUAUUUCCACAACCAACCACAAUGAUACAUUUCCACAAUCAUGUGAACCAAUAUCCACUCAUUAUUUCUAUUUCAUCCAUGAAUUUUCACAUGUCUCAUAUACCAACAAAUAUGAAUAUAUCACAAUACACUAAUGGUACCACAUUAAGAAUUUCAACGCAAUAAAUUAUUCGCAUGUAUUCAGGGCUAUCAAUAUCACAUGGGACCCCACACAGUUGUACACAUCAUAUAAUAUCUCAAUUUUGACAAUUACAUCACACAUAGGCCCCCACACGGGCAAAACACAUAGAUAUCCAUUUUUCAUGAUUAUUUCUCACUCUUAACAUGCAUUUGUAUCAUCAUUUAUUACUCAGCCCAGUCUGAAAGAGUUAAGCCAUAACCUACCUCAAAAGCCGAAAUCGGUCCGCUACACUUUGAACCCACAACCUUACAUUCACAAACGAUCCCAAACUCUAUUAAAAACAUAAAAUAUAGAAUCUACGUGUCAAAACAAAACCAACGAUACCCAUAUUGACUACUUUUGGUUUGUGGUCAAAACGAAACCCCGAAAUGAGUUUUUGAAAAAGAGGAAACAAUCAUAACUUUACUUCAAACACAUAUUCUCCAUAUUUUUAGGAGCUGAAAACCCAAGUCAAAUCGAGUAAAAAAUGAGGUUCAAAUUGAAGAACAAUUAUUUUUAAGCUUUAUCACGUAAAAUCUUUGAAAUUCGGGUUAAAAUCAAGAAUUUGAGUUGUUUUGAAGGUUAAAUUGAUGAAAAACUAGUAAUUAUAAGAUUAAUUAAGUUAAAAUGAGUGAAAUUGGGAUUUAAAAUCAAGCCCUAAGAUUUUUGAAUUUUUGAGAAUUUAAUCAAGAAUUACUAAGAAAAAAGGGUGAUUUCUUACCUUAAAUUCGUAAGAGAAUCAAGAAAUGAAUGUUAAUCUAGCUUCUCAAGCACCCGCAAACUUCACUUUAAAUCCUCACACUAAUUUUAGGGUUUAACUUUCAAGGGGAAGGUGAAAGAAUGAACAAAAAUUAGAUAAAAAGGGUAUUUAUACUGUACCCGGGUACCAGGUUAAAUAAGGCAUAAAUCACACUUGGGGAAUGCAAUUUACCCUUUAAAUUUCCUGGCUACGCCAGGAACCUGGUGCAACAGAUUUUUAAGUCCAGACGGACUUUGACGAGGGUGUCCAGGAUUCGUUCGGAAUUCAAUAUACGCAAACAAACUAUGUAACCAUACUAAAUUCGACGCUCCAGACUCAAUGAAAAUAUUAGAUUUUUGAAAAAAAUGUUGUUUUUAUAAAGUUGACCCCGAAAUUCAAAAUCGCUAUUUUCCAAAUCGAGGAUCGAAAUGAGACUUAAAAGCCAUAAAAUCACAUCAAAUAUGUUACUACCCUAACAUCGACAUUUCGGAUCUGUUGGCAAAGUCUUUUCAUCCAAGGUCAUUUCGAUCAAAUGUGGAUCCCACACCUAUUUUUCUAAUUUUUUUAACUUUUCGAUCAAUAGGUCGAAAUAAGUUCGGGUGCACCGGGACCUGAACCAAAGGUCUACCUAGCCUAAAAUCAACAUUCCGGAGCUGCUGGGGCAGUCCGUUUAGUCAUCCAUCACACGGAUCAAAAUAUAUCCACAUAAGUCUAAAAUAAGGCUCUCAAAGUCAUUAGAAACCAUAAUAUCGUAUAAAUGGUACCAAAAUGCAUCCGAAGCCAUGCCAAUCACCCCCACGCCCCAGAAACACAAUAAUGCAACUACGGAGAGGGAAAAUAGUCAAAUCACGCAAAAUCACAAAUUCCACAUAUUUCAUUGAAUUUUUAGUUUGUUACAUAAAAUAUACUUUAAAUUAAAACUUUCUUAAGGUAUGUAACAAGUAAACAAGGGCCAAGUAAUAUGAAAUCGAGGAACUACAUUAUUUUAUUAAAAAGGAUAAACAACUUAAACUUUGAUUUGAAGUAGGCCUAAAAUUACACUUCUUUUCUUGAUUUUUACAACACCUAUCCUUUUCCUUUUAUUGCUUUUUAUUAUUUUUUUCAUCUAACGUUUAAUAUCUUUCGAUAUGUUUAUUUAAGUAGCAUGCAAUAUUGUUUAUUUAAAUUUAAUAUGUCAUCUAGAAAAUACAAAUUCAUUUAUUUAAUCUGAUUUUGCCAAUUAGCAAAUUUUAUUUAAAGUUAAUAAUGUCUCAAGAAAAAUUGAGUGAUAGAGAUAUAUUAUUAAUUAGAAAAAAUUAUUAAAAGACGUCACUCACAAGUGGAUUUUUUAUAACUUUGCAUUCGGGUUGUUGUUGUUGUGCGCAUAUAUAUUAUUCAUAACUUUGCAUUCAGGUUGUUGUUAGUGGUGGUGGUGUGUAUAUAUAAAAUCUCUAUCUCUAAUCUCUAAUCUCUAAUUUUUAAUCUUUAUCUUUAAUCUAAUCUCUAAUCUAUCUAUAACUUAUAAUUUAUAUCUAUAUAUAAUAUAUUAAAAGUGUGAAGACACUUAGAAAAGUGAUUCGAACUUUUUACCCUUCAUUAAAACGCUCUGCAAUAGACAAAAUCGUCUCUUCACCUUUUUUCUUCAAUUAUUAUAUUAUUGAAUUAAGACUCCUAAAAUAUAUGGAAAGGGCCCUGAUAAAAUAAAUAUAUGGAAAGAAAUUAAGAAUUUUAAACUACUUAAAAUAUAUAAAUUCUAAAAUAUAUAUAUGGAUCCUAAAAUAUAUGGAAAGAAAUUAAUAGUCCUAAAAUAUAUGUAAGGAAUUAUAUUUUAUUUUAAUUAAAUAUAUAGGCUUGACAUAUACAUUUCAACCCCUGGAUCCAAAUUCUUUUUUACCUUCUCACGUUUUUUUUCCUUUUUUUUUUUCUUUUGCAAAUAUGAGCUUUUUUCUAUGGGGGUUUUAAGCUUAUGUUUGAUAGCUUUUUUUGUUGUUGUUAUUUAAAUUUAUCUUCAAAAUAAGUUUAUAUUCUUUCGUUGUUGAUUUAAAUUAGGCUUACUAAAAUUGAAUAUUCUUUAACUUUUACGAUGGUUUUUUUUCAUAAUCUUAAAUUAUUUCUUUCAUAAAUAAAUCAUUAUUGAUUGAUUCUUUAAUAUGUUUGUGCAGAUGAAGAAAGAUUUGUGUAAAACGUGUGAACGAGACUUCAUGCCGAUUACGAGUGAAUUUAAGGUAUGAUUUUCCUGUUCUAAAUUUUAUUUUUUAUUCAUGUUAGUUAUAUUUCUUAUUAAUGCGUAAUUCAAGUUAAUACUCUUUUGAUAGAAUCAUACAUAUAUAAAAAUAAAAUAAAAACUAUUGAGAGAAAAAUAAAGUAAAAAUUGUGAUUUCUCAUGAUAACAAACAAAUCAUAGUGUCAAACAAGUAUCAAAUAAAUUCAUUAGUUGGCUACAAGAUAAAAUAAAAUGGGGAUUAGAGAUUUCAUGAGUUAGCAAACCAAAUUUAUAACCUAUUUCAUUCUUUCAGCAGGUUCUUAGAGAUGGACGCUAGGGAUAAUUUGCAUCGCUCGGUUUAUAUUUUUUUGUCGUACUUAAGACUCUAAAAUAUAUUUUUUCUUUCAAAAUAUAAUAUUAAAUAAUUGAUAUUUCAACGUAUUUUUUUUUCUAAUUUUUUAUUUAUAUAUUUGUUUCAUAAUUUAUGAUUAUUAGUCUUGGAUGAGAAAACAAAUGACAUGAAAUGUGAUUUUACUUGCCUUGAUGUGGGUGGUAUGAAAAGAAAGAAAUGAGAUAUCUUUCAAAAGGUAAGCUUUUCUCUAUCAAGAAACUAGCCUUAAGUGACUUUAAAUGAAUCUGAUUCAUAACUAUGAAAUUUUUUAAGGCGGGUCAAGUAUAUUGUUUGAUAUAAAUGAUAGUAACUUAUUUUUUAUACACUUAUUAUUAUCGUCAUACACAUGUGCAAAGCACGUACACUUAACUAGUAUAUUAAAAGCGUGAAAGAAGUUAUAAAUAUUGUUUGAACGUUUUACCCUUUAUUAAAAUACUUCGCAGUAGAUAAAAUUGUCUUUUCAUUAUUUUCUAAUAAUUAUCAUUUAAUUAAAAGACAAUGUUAUAUUGAGAGCACUUUAAAAUUAAUUAGAAUUGUACCAAUUUGAAUUCCAUUAGAAUUGUACCAAAAAACUAAAAGGUUGGUUGGUCUAAAUAUGCCAUUCUCCAUGCGUACAUGUGCACAUAUCAGCCAAAAUAAUUUAUGGAAAUUUAUUGAAAUUUAUAAGGUUAGCUUUAUGGCAUAAAGAAAUUUACCUUAAAUAAAAAGAAAUUCACAGAUCCAUCCAAGUAAUGUUAUGUAUCAAAUUUUACGCAAGUAUGCUUUUUUUAAUAUUUUAAUCUUCUAUUUUUACACUAACAAUAUAGGUCAAUCUUCAAUUACUUUUAUUUCCUUUUAGGUUUUGUGAUUUUCAAUUACACUAAAUAUAUAUUAAAGAAAAUAAAUUGAUGAUUUUAUUAAAUACGAAAAAUACUUAAAUAAAAAAUUAAUAUAUUCAUACAAAAUCAUAUAAAAGCAUUUAAAAACAUUUUAAACUAAAUUAAGAAAAACUACAAGGAAAUGCCAAAAAAUGCUUAAAAAUUUUCUCGAUAUGACAUAUGGAGCAAUUCGGAUGUCGUUAGAAGUGUUAGAGGGCAACAAAUUAAUAUUUUUACUAUUAUAAGAAAAAGUAAUAUACUAAGGAAAGAAUUUAACAAAGAAACACUAAACUCAAUCAACAAAAUAUUUCAACAUGAAUUAUAUGAUACAACAAACAAACAGUGCAUAAAAAACAUGUCGAAAAGGAGAAAAAUAAUAACAAAAUCAAUUGAAAUCAUUAUAAUAAUAAUGCUAUAUGAUGUUGCUUUAAAAAAAUUAGCACUACACAUUAUCAGAAUAUAUAGCAAAUAUACUUAUAAACUAUCGAAUACAUGUGAAAGGAGUAAAACUUGCAAUAGUUGAAGGAGAAAUACAACUCCCAUAAAAAGUAGUUGAAAAGGGAAAAAGAUAAACCUUCAAUUUUUCCAGCUACUUCAUUCGGCGGCAACAUGCUUGUUUCAUAUAAUUUUUCAAUUGAAAGUGAAACAUGAGAAAUUAUUAAAAGAAAAAAUCCCUUGUCAAUUAUGUAUAACACAUAUAUAAUAUUUAAAUUUCAUUAACUAAAAGGAAUGAAGAACAAAAAAAGGAUGAUAAUAAGGGAUGCAAGAAGAAAACUUUAAUCAAUCAUCAAUCAAACUAUCAAAAUAAGAAGAAAACGUAGAAGCACAACAAUUUAUAGACAUAUCAAAUUAAAAUAAGAAGAAUACGUAGAAGCACAAUAAUUUAUAGAAAUAUCAAAAUAAAAAGAAAACGUAGAAGCACAACAAUUUAUAGACAUUUUUUUUUUAUAAAGUAAAAUUCUAACUAAUUUAAAAAUGUUAAAUUUUAUAAUUUCUUACCUAUCUUGUUUUAAUUAAUUUGAAAGUCCUAAAUAUUAGGAUAAUUAUUAUACUUUCUCAUAUUUGCUUCUUAUUUAUUUUUUCUUUCCAUUUAUAACUUUUUUCUUAUUUUGGUUAUUAAAUUUAUUUCUUUCGCAUAGCUUUUUACAUAAAAAGCUGUUAGGGCUUUUGUUUCCCACCAAAAAUUUAGCACAUUUAAUUCUUUUAUAAAUCUUUUUGGUACCCCCCCCCCCCCCCCCUCCCCCUACGGAUUCCUCAAAUUUUGACAUUUUUAGUUUCUUUUUUAUUGUUCUAUAAAUAUUAUUUUAAUAGAAUUAUAAGAAUUCUUUAUUAUUAUGUAAGGUAAAUUUUAACUAAUUUAAAAGUGUUAAAUAAUGUGAUUUCUUACUUUAGUAAAAAAAGAACUCUAAUUAACUUAAAAAUACUAAAUAUUAAAGUAAUAAUUUAAUUGUCAUGCCUCAAAUCCUAUUGGGGCGGACAGGCACCCGUAGCCGUAAAGGUCCGAGAGAGCCAAUCCAUAACCUUGUACUUCUCAUGCAUGUAACUAUGACAACCAAGGGUUCUGACAAACAUGAUAUUAUGGAUUGAUGAGAAUAACUACGUAGGCAAGCACAAAAUUAUAUAUACAACACUUGGCUGUUGGGGUCACCACAUCUAAAAGACAAGACACUACCAUGUUUAACUUUAUGUUAGUCUACAAAGCCUCUAAAAUAUACAUAGACUCAGUUAGGGUCGGGACAAACUCCCGCCCUACUCUUGACUAUUGCACAAUACCAAAAUAUAUGGAGUAGACUCGGAAAGCCCCGAAUCAACCUGGAGCUCAUCGAUAGUCACUGAAUAACCUGUGCUUGUGCUAGCGAGGUGUAUUAGCUGAAGCACCUGUGCCUGCAGCAUGAAAUACAGGUCCCCCGUGAGGGAAGUCAGUACAAAGAUAUGUACUGAAUAAGUAAGGCUGAAGGUAACAACACAUGAUACAAGAGCUCAAUGGAAAUCAAAUACAAGUGUAUAAGUAGUACUAGUAGACCGACCACCUUUAUAUAUACUUGUGGGACGACGUACAUUACAUUUUUUUCUUCAUUUUUUUACCUUCCUUACUUCAUAAUCUUUGUAAGUCAUUUAAUGCAAAUGACCAGUUGAUCAGUGGUAAAUAGAUAAAUCGGGAUCGAUCCAUGCUAGGCUUAUGCCCCUGAGCUGCCAACCACAUAAGAACAUUGGGAUCGGCCCAUGCUAGGCUUAUGGCCCAUGCUAGGCUUAUGCCCCUGACCUGCCACCCACAUAUAAAGGUAUUGAGAUCGGCCCAUGCUAGGCUUAUGCCCCUGAGCUGCCAUUCGUUUUACAGAUUUAUGUUACUUAGUUUAUUUAGCCUUUGAGAUUUUUACUUUGGUGGUCAUAAAAUUAUGGUACCUUGAAACAAUAAUCAACCAAAAGAGAAAUGUAAAUGGGCACUUAAUGCAACAACAAUAAGGUAGGGAGUUAUUGGCACACAAAUGAAAUAUUUAGGAGCUGAAAAUACACAUGGGUCUUAUUUGAGUAAACGGACAACUUCUGAAAUUUUCUAAUGAAAAUAGAUGUGCAAAUUAAAUAAUAAGCAUGUAUUGAGGUGUUUUAACACAUUAGAGAGUGGGAACAAGGUCAUUGGCUACAUGCAAUGUAAUGUACUGCUAUUAUGUGUCACUUGUUAUAGGAUAACUUAAAAGCUUACUUGAUGGAACAAAUAUCCGAUUUCAUGCCAAAGAGUGAAAAUAGAGUAUGCCUUACAUACCUGGUUAUAUAACUCCGAAACUAACCCAACUUGAUUUCCCACCUUUUAGAUUACUUAUCUACAAUAGAAUAUAUGGUAAACUAGUAUUAGCAACCAAUCAGAACAUUUGGGCUACUUAACUUCACCAAAAUAGUAAGCACUUUAUUAUCAGUCAAGGGUGUUAUUUUAACCCUUUUCUCCUCCAAUUACACCCACAUACCAUACAUGUUCUUAUAAGAUUCACUGAAACCGCUUCAGCUUCAUUACACCCACCAAGCAAUACGCAAAACAAAUUGGGCAGUAAACACAUGAAAUAAUUAAUUCGGUGGUGUACCGCCACACCUUUCUUUUAUAUUUCAAUUCAAACUAGUCACACCUUUCUCCAACAUCAACCUGGCAGCCCAUAACAUAUACAUACAAUACAAUCCACCAAACAGUCCCAAAUCCCUUUUAUUGUACCAAUCAAUUAUUGAACUCAUCAUCCCUUGAGUUCUCAAUAACAACACAUCCAUAAUUCUUUCUUAAAGUCAUACAUAAGGAGAACAAAAUAGGCAGUCACCUUACCUUAAUUCUGCAACUCAUUCUUUUAAUUUGAACUCCUCAAGAACUUCAACUUUCACUUUCCUUCACACUUUAAACCAAAAAAGAAAAGAAAUCUCAUAAUAACAAAGAAAAAGUGAAUAAGUAGCUUGUUCCAUAUUCUUCCAUAAUCUUCCUUGAGAUAGUUAAGAUAAACCAUAAGUGUUUUCACUUACCUUAGCGUGUAAAGGUUGGGGUUUCUUCAAGAACUUUAGAAAGGAAAAUAGAGCUGCUCCUUGAUGUUUGAAAGAAAGUAGAGAGAAUUUGUGAAGUAACCCUUUUUUUGUGACUUACGAAUGAGGGAAAAUGACCAGCAAUGUGGCCUUAUAAAGUCCCUAAUUUUGGUCAUCCACUUAGCUGAUUUUGGACCACAAAUUUAAUCAAAUUGGUCCAAGUAGGUGAUGCACCUACUUAAGGAGUUCAAACAGCUCAAAAUGUCAAAGUAGGUGAUGCACCUACUUGUUUAAUUUCUUAGUUGGGCUCAAUUAUAUUUGGGCCUUGGCAGAUUUGAGCAUUGGACCCUUUCUUCAUUUUUCUUCUCCUUUUGCUUAAUUUGGGCCCAAAUAAGUAUACUAAUAAAAGGCCCAAAUCUGAUUCAUGGACUUGGUCCAUUAACUUGGCUCAUAUAACUCAAGUAGGUGACUCACCUACUAGCUUAAUUAAGUCAAGCAAAUACCUCAAUAUUUCAUUCCAGUUCCAGCUCCUAAUCACCUUAAUCUAACUUACAACUUGUACACACCUGAUCACUUUAAACUUUAGAUUCAAAUACCGACUUAGAAUUCCAAGUUAAAUAGUUGUAUCGAUGUUAACUUGAUCGCCUCACAUAAAAAGGUACGGGCAGCUUCUAGAAUUCCAUCUACACCAUUAAUAUUCGCAUAACAAAUCUCAUCCAUUACCUACCACAAGGCUAUACCAAGUUACAUAUAAAUAGAAAAAGUACAUGCAACGCAAAGGGGUGUCACAUUAAUAUUAUAAUAAUUUAAGAAAAUAGGUGAAAAGACUAUUUUGUCUAAAGUAAAGACAUUUAAUGAAGUGUAAAAAAUUCAAAUCGUUUUUCUAAGGGUGUUCACACUUUUAAUAUAUUAUAGAUUAUAUAUAUAUAUAUAUAUAUUAUCAAACAACAGUAGAAAAUUCGAUUUUAAAGUCAGAAAUAAAUUUGUUGGUGUUGCUAGCCAUCGAUUAGCAGCAACAUGGUUGCACGAUUGGUGGUUUAGCAUGUGAAAAGCCUGUGCGACAUUCGUUUGCAGUAUCUUUUGUAUUCCCCUCCAACUCUAAAGGGACUUUGCUCCAAGUUGUAUGUGUAUUGAUGUGAAGGAAGAAGAUAUAAGUUCUGCAAGUUUUGCAGCUUCUGUAUAGUAUUCCUUAAAGACAAGUAUGAAAAGAAAUUCACCCUCAAAUCAACUGUUUGUAGGUACUUAUAAAGAUUACUAUGGAAAGUGUGAAUGUCUUAAACUCAGAUAUCUCAAGUGCACCAAAUUACCAAUUGCUUUUGGUAGAAUUUCCUCGAAAGAGAACUUGCAUCUCGAAAAGUUUGGGUGAGUUAUAUGGGUGGAUGAAGUGCUAUAUUUUCAAUAGAAAAAUUAGAACAAUACCCUAUUUGGAAUUAGACUGUUAUCAUUGUUAGAAAUGGUAGGAGAUCUAUUCAAAUUUCAGGAGGCAAUUGAAGUUGUUUGUGUCAUCGAAUAUAAUUAACUAACUCAAUGAUUGUUACUGCUUAAUUAGUCUGUAGAGAGUGAGUCGAGUAUUGAAGAUAUUAGAAAGAGUGCUCUCCUUACGCAUCAUAAGCAAUUGUCUCUGUCGCCGAGAUUCACCAAUUACAUGACUCGGACCUGUUACACACGAUACAACACGUGCAAAGAGUUCUAUUGUUGAAGAGGGCAGAUAUGAAUUGUUUCAAAGGCCUGGCUUAUUUGGGCUUGAAACUUUUAUAUUCAAUAAUUGCACUUAAAUGUUCUAUCUUCAAGUGUCGCAAAAACCUUCAUUGGUUUCUCUACACGCCCAUGUAAAGAACAACGACACUCUAAUGGUCUAUCUUUCAGCGGAAUUAAUCUAAUUUAUUUUAGGUCCUACUAUUAGGCAAAGUUCUAAGAACAUAACCAGGGCGGUUGCAAGUUUGAAAGUCAAGGUGAGUUUAUGCUUUUGGUAGGAGAAUUUAGAAUCCAUCUUUAUACAAAUCACCUUUUGUAAUAAUGUAAGGAACUGGUAUGUUAUAAUCUUUUUAUUUCAGUGAAAAAGAUUAUACUCAAACCAACAAAAGUUAUUGCUGUUAAUGUAAGCGAUACACUCUCCGAUGAUCUUUAUUUGUAAUAAAUAGUUACUUAUAGUUAUUUGAAUUUAGUAGUUUAGUUGGUGCACAAAACAUCUCGCGUUACUUUCUGGGCAAAGAAAGGGAGGUUGGGGAAAUCAACAAAAGUUGGUUACACUUAAUCGUGUUAUAAAUACUUUAGUUGAGCAUUCUGCUGGAGGCUAGUCCUUCCUUCAGUAGUUGAACUAGAGACGCCAUUGUGUUUUGUAAAUUGAACUAUUAUUUCCUAUAUGCCCAUCAAAAUUAAAAGGCCAAAUUCAUCGGUGGCCUCUCAAAUUUGGCACGAACUUUCACUUAGACACCUCAAGUGGACGUUGUUCACUUUUGACACCUCAAAUAGCCAUAAAGUGUUCACUUUGACAUCUUUUGCCGAAUCAGCACAUUAUGUGUGUUGCACUCGCUGCCAAAGAUAAAGUGUGUUGAAUUAAAAUUUAAAGUUGAAUCUUUUUAUAUUUUUGGGGGAUUAAGCUUGAAAAUUUUUGAAAGUUUUUGUGAAUUUGUUAAAGAUAUUCAAAUUUAAAAUUCAAUAAUUCAUUAUGUUUGUAUAUAUGAAUUUAUAGUUAAAAAUUUAAAUUAGUUGGAGAAGAAUUUUAAUUAUUUGGAAUGAAUUUGAUAUUUAAUUUGUGAUAAAAAAUAAAUUAAAUGAUAUUUUAUAAUUUAAUUAUUCCAUAUUUAAUUUAAAAUAUGAUUAUUUAAAUUUUUCUACAAUUUAUAAAAAAAUUAUUUAAUUAAAUUAAUUUUAAUAUUUAAUUUAUCAUGUAGCAUUUUAAAAAUGACUUGGAAUUUCAUGAAAUACUUGAAAAUGAAGUGGAAGAUGAUAUGGCACACGUGGCACACGUGGUAGCUUAUGUGGCAGCUGACAUGGGAGAGUGUGUUACACUCUCCAAAAAUGUGCUUAAAAUGUUGCUUUUUAGUAGAUUCAGGGGUCCAGAUGACAAACAUGUAAGUAGAAGUAUCCAACUUACAAAAUCGACCUAGUACAGGGGUCCACUGAGUCAUUUUGCCUUCUAUAUAUACUUACUUUUUUCAUUAUAUAAUUGUAAAUGAAAUCUUUAAAGCAGAUAUUGUUAUGAAAUUUGUAUUCUUAAGGUUUUUACUUUAAAGUUGUUGGUUCUUUAUUUCUUUUUUGAGAAAAUACAUUAAGUCUCUGAUGUUGGCUGAACUUUUCAAAAAGACACCUAAACUAUACUUUCGACCUAUUACCCCACGAAUCUUACUUAAAUCGUUGCAAAUACACCAUUAUUCGCUGAAUUCCAGUCAGAAAAAAAAGAGUGAAUACACGCACCAAUCGGAUACUGUCACGUGUAAAUAUAUUUAAUUUCAUAUUUUAUUUAUAUUUUUUGAUAAAAUUUUUCUUUUUAAUUUAUUUAUCACUCUACCCCACCCCGUUCUCCCCCCGCCCCUCACCCCCGUCCAGUAUCUCCACCCCCCCAACCCAGCAUCUCCCCUUAUCCCUCUUCUACCCACUUCCCAGCCCUUGUCUUCUUCAACAUCAUUGUCUUCUUCAACACCUCCAUUAAAGUUUUUUUUAAAAUAAUCAUUUAACUAUUUUUAUUAAGAAUCAUAAAACUCCAUUAAAGCUCCAUUAAUGGAGUUUUAUGAUUCAAGUAGAAUGGUGUUGCAGAAGACAAUGGAGCUUUAAUGGUGUUUCAAAAAUGGAGCUUCAAAAAAUAGCUUUAAUGGAGCUUUAAAAAAAAACUCUGUUAAAGCUAUUUUUCGAAGCUCCAUUUUUAAAACACCAUUAAGGCUCCAUUGUUUUCUUCAAUACAAUUCUACUUGAAUCAUAGAACUCCAUUAAUGGAGCUUUAUUGGAGUUUUAUGAUUCUUAAUAAAAAUAGUUAAAUGAUUAUUUCAAAAAAAAAAUGGCCAAAAGACCGUCCAAGCUUUACCUUAAAUCUCAACUACACACUUAAUCUUCAUGGGAGUCCUAUCACCCCCUGAUCUAUUUUUUCAUGUAUUUAUUACCCCCUAAAUACUGAGCUGGCAACAUAAACCAAUUCAUAAUCCCUUCGUAUUUACACGCGCGGAUCCCACGUCUUCCAGGUCAUUUGCCUCCUAAAACCUAAAUGGACCCAUUAUCACCCUUUCAACUUCCUCUCUCUUCUCUCCUCUCUCUCUUCUCUCUUUCUUUCUUUCCUUGAUGAAUUUUCUCCCACCUUUACAUACGAAUUUAGCCUUUUUAGUUUGUGAAUCUUAUGUUACUAAUAAAGUUUUGUGGAUUUUCGAAGAUCAAGUCAUCGAUUGCAGCAUUAACUUUGUAGAGGUAGUCGUUUUUCCCCUAAACUAUUGUCAUUGUUAAUUAUGGUUUGCCCUAAGUAUAUGGUGACUGCUUAGGAUGUGCAAAAUAAGUUGUGUUUCUUGCUAAAAAAGUUGUCUAAGUUUUCAAUUAACAACAUAUUAAGUUCUUAAGGACAUCUCUACUUAGGGUUUUUGUUAAUGUUUUAGUGAGUUCAUUAAAAAUUAGGGCUUUUUUAGGAUUUACUGUUAAUCUGAAAAAUAAAGCAAUAAAUUGUAUGUGGUAGUAUGUGCAUGUAACUAUUUUAUUAUUUAGGUGUUCAGUUUGUACCGAAGUAGAACAAUUUUCAUGUAAUCAAUUUUUAUCUUUCUCAUCUUAGUCGCAUAAUGUGAUAGAGUAAUGUGAUAUAAAUUUGUGUUUUUUCUUCAUUGUUUAAGCAUGAUAUAGUUAUAUUAAAGUUUGUUGAUGCUUGAUUUUCGAUAAUAUAUCUGCUAUGUUUCUUUGUCUUAGUUGAAUGUUUAUUGUCAUCAGGUCAAACAUGAGUGAUUUUACUUUGAUUAUUCUAAGAUGGUACCAUGGUGGAGUGUUAGAUUUAAGUAGUGGAGAAUCGGUUUGCAAAGGUAGAAAAAUUACAAAAUUCUUAGAUGUUGAUGUUGACAAGAUGUCAUAUUUUGAAUUGAGAGACUAUAUAAGAAAAUUAGGAUAUAGCACAACAUGCACCUUUAGUAUUAAACCACCUAAUAGUGGUAUUUUGGUAGAUGUGGAUAAUGAUAUGGAUAUUUUUGAAAUGAUGUGUUCCUUGGAAAAUGGAGAUGAAGUAGAUGUAUUUGUCAAGCAUUUAGUGGAUGAACCAAUUGUUGUGGACCCCCCAAAAUUCUUAGAAAAUGGAAUUCUUGAGAAUAUGGAGGAAUCUGAUGCAUCUUUUGAUAAUAGGCCUAACUUUAUGGUAGGUGAGGACCAUAUAAAUGAGGAGAACCUUUUUACUUCUUUUUCAACUUCACCCCCUUGCACUACCACACCUUAUUUCACUACUACAAAUAGUGCUACUGCAUAUAGUGCUUCAGCACCUACUGCUGCUCCUAGUGUGCCUACAUCUACUGUUGUACCUAGUGUUGCUACAUCUACUACUGCUCCACCUAGUGCUGCUGUAGCUAGUGUUGCUUCACCUAGUGCUGCUGCACCUAGUGUUGCUACAGUUAGUGCCGCUGUAGUUGAUGAUAUAGAUGUUGGUCCUGCUGGAAGUAAUUUCUCAGAAGAAGAAGUAGAGGGUUCUGAUUACUUUACUGAGGAUAGUGUUAAAUCAGAAGGAGAAUUAGUUGGAGAUGAUAAUGAUGAUGAAGAGUAUAGUAGUGAUGUACAUGAGGAGGUUAGGAAGUUGAGAGCUGAAAAGAGGAAGUUUCAAAGGAGGAAAAGAAAAGAGAGAGUACCAGCUGACAAUGAAGAGGUACCAGUAGGUGAAGCAGGACCAGAUCUAGGGCUUCAUGACACUGAAACAGGUUAAGUAAGUCAUGAAGGAAGGUUGAGUGGUGAUGAGCCUUACUUUGCAAGUUCUGAUGAGGGUAGUUUUGAGUUAGAUGAAGAUGAUUAUUGUGGUGAUGAAGAACAUGAUGUGUUUGCAUCUGGUAGGGCAAGAUCUGUUAAGUUGUCAAGAAAAAAAGGCCAACAUCCCAGAAAAUCAUUCAUGACCCAACUGCAAAGGAAGUUGUUUGUCAAUUGGGUAUGGUGUUUAAAGAUGUGAAUGAAUUUAGAAGAGUUGUCACUAAAUAUGCAGUAAAAAGAGGGUUGAUGUGAAGUGGGUGAAUAAACCAAAAAAGGUUAGAGUUAGAUGCAAGGAUGAUUGUCCAUGACUUUUGUAUGCAGGUCUUGACAAUACCACAAAUGACUUCAUCAUAAAAACAUAUAUUCCAAAACAUACUUGCAACAAGACAACUAGAAAUUAUUUGUGCAAUGCAAAAUUUUUAGUUGAAACCUUUAGAGAGAGAAUAAUUGAGCAGCCAAAUAUAAGGGUAUUCAAUCUGCAAGAGUUGAUAAGAAAAAAAUUCAAACUGUAUGUUGGUAAGACUACUGUGAGAAGAGCAAGAAAUAAAGUGUUGAAAGAUAUCAUGGGUGAUCAUGCUGUGGAAUUUGGAAGAAUUCUUGACUACAAGGAUAAGCUGCUAAGGAUAAAUUCAGGGACAAGUUGUGUUGUUAAACUUGGUUAGGCUAACGAAGAAGGUAAACCAAAAUUUCUGAGUUUCUACAUCUGUUUUGAUGCUUUGAAGAAGGCAUGGGUACAUUGUAAGAAGUGUAUAGGUUUAGAUGGUUGUUUUCUUAAAGGAGUUUGUAAAGGGAAAUUGUUAGUUGCUGUUGGAAAAGAUGGUAAUAACCAGAUGCUGCCACUUGCUUGGGCAGUAGUUGAAAAGGAAAACACAAACACAUGGAGUUGGUUUUUUAGGUGCAUAAAGGAUGACCUAGGACUUGGAGAAGGAGAAGGUCUCAUAUUGAUUACAGAUAUGUAGAAGGUAUGUAUUCUGUAUUAUGUGUACUUAUUUUUCUAGUUUAUCCAAGUAAAUGUAAUUAUGUAGUAAUUUUACCUUGUUUUAUUGCAUGUUUUGUAUUGUAGGGACUGUUUACUGCAAUUGAACAGAUGUUACCUCAAUCUAAGCAUAGAAGAUGUACAAGGCACAUCUUAGCUAAUUGGGCUAAGGAAUGAAUAGGUCUUCAAAGAAUACAACAAUUUUGGUGGAUAGCCAAAAGUACAUUUGAGUCUCAAUUGAGGAAAAACAUACAGAAGAUAAAGUUGCUUGGUCCUACAAAAAUGAUUGAUGAUUUAAUGUACUUCAACAUUAAUUACUGGUGCAAGAUUUACUUCAACACUGAAGUGAAAUGUUAUUCUGUGGAUAAUAACAUGUCAUAGUGUUUUAAUGCAUGGAUCUUACCAGCUAGGCACAAGACCAUCAUUACUAUGCUUGAAGAAAUCAGAGUAAAGCUAAUACAAGAAUAGGCACUUUAAGGGAGUUUCCACUCUCCAAUAUGUUUAAAGGUUUUAGAGGAAAAUAUCAACAGGUCUAUGGAUUGUAUCAUUCAGUUUAAUGGAGUUUCUGGUUUUGAAGUGAAAGAAGGACUUUGUCAACACAAAGUUGAUAUUUUCAAGAAGACUUGUAGUUGUAGGGUAUGGCAGUUAAAGGGCAUACCAUAUGCACACGGUGUGGCUGCAAUAUUGUUCAAAAAGUACCCUCUGUAUAAAUAUAUGGAUUGGUUCUACGGUAAGGAAACAUAUUUACAAACUUAUGCCAAUGUUCUUCAACCACUUAUAAAUAUGAAAAUAUGGCCAGUUUCUUCAAACAUUGUUGUUGCACCACCUGAAAUCACAACCCUGCCUGGCAGGCCAGCUAAAAAUAAGAAAAAGGAAGUUGGGGAAACAAAGAAGUCAGGAAAAUUGCCUAGAACUGGACUAGCAAUGACAUGUAGUAUGUGUUAUGUUAGAGGCCACAACAAAAGGGGUUUUCCUCACAGAGCACUAUCAGCAGAACCAACUACACCAGCAGUAGCAACAGCUACUAGUUCAGGCAGGGGAAGAGGUAGACCAAAGGUAAUUUUUUUCACUUGAAUUCUUUAUGUUACACCAGUAUUCUAAUUUUUAAUAUUCUUUUUUAAUAUGUAGAAAACUCCAACAAAAGCAACUAAUGUUGCUCCUCAAGGAAAAAAGGAUGGUUCAGGUAGGGGAAGAGGAAGACCAAGGGUAAUUUUUUCAUAUGAAUUCAUUAUGUUAUGACACUACUCUAAUUGUUAACAUUUUUUUAUAUGUAGAAAACUCCACCAGAAGCACCUAAUGCUGCUCCUCAAGGAAAAAGUAAAGGUUCAGGCAGGGGAAGAGGUAGACCAAAGGUAUAUUAUGCUUGAAUUUAGUUCUAAUUUUCUCAAUUCAUAAAAUUCCUUUUAUAUUUAUAGAAAACUUCAUCAGAAGCCAUUACUGAACCUCCACAAGUAAAAAAAAUAGAGGGAGACCCAAAAGAACAAUUUCAGUAGGUGCUACUACAACUUCUCUACCUACAGCACGUCCAGUACCUACUAUUUUUCCAGCAUCCUCUUCUGCACCUCCUGAUUUUUGUACAUCAUCUUCAAUAGCUGGAACUAUAAAAAGAGAAAUGGGUAGUGGUAGGGGAAACACUACUUCAUUCAAAAGGAAAAGAGUAGUAGGAAUGGGUGUGUUUCAAGCUGAAAAUGGCUUUAAAGUCCUAAAUGUAAGUCUCUUACUUUUUUAUAUCAAUUGUAAAUUAUAAGUCAUUGAUAUAUGUUGAUUCUUAAACUUUUUUAUCCUUUCCUGUAGCCUGGCAUACCUAGCAGUAAGAUAUAGUCUACUGGUCAAGUAAAGGUGGCAAGAUCAGAUGAUGUAACUGGUGACAUUGGUUAUACACCAAGUAGUACCAGUAAAUUAAAAUGGAAUGAAAAAUCAGCAAUCUCAACAAGAAAACUACAAGAGCUUAAAGAGAACAGAAGGAAGAAGAAAGUGGGAAGUAGUUCAAACCAUCUAAGUCAAAAUACUGCUUCUUCACAGUCCAACAUGCCAUGGAAAUUAUAGUGUUGUUGAUGUAUUUUAAUCACUGUUUUAAGUUAGUUCAGUUGACAUGAAAAUAAUUUUAUUUUAGUGUUGGAAAAUAAUUUAAGCACUGUAUUUUGUUGACUAAUGUUGCCUAAUUGUUAGGCAUUAGGAAUGUGAAUAUAUUUUGGUAUGAAUGAUGAUGUGUGAAGUUGGAAUGUUUUGUUGAUGAAUACUGUCAUUAGGCAUUGUUGUUGUGUUGUUUAAAUGGUGGUGAUGUUGCUAUAAUGUUAACACAACAUUACCAUUGCACUAUCUAAGCGUAAAGAAAAACAUAGCAUUAGAACAGUGCUUUGCCUAAACAACAUUAUCAUUACACCAGUUUGUACGUUUAAAUGACAGCAACACAAUACACAACUUUGCAAGUGUAAACAAUAACAUUGCAACAACACAAGACACAACAAGUGUAAACAAAUAACAUAGCAGCAACAACAUUACCAUUGCACUAUCUAAGCGUAAAGAAAAACAUAGCAUUAGAACAGUGCUUUGCCUAAACAACAUUAUCAUUACACCAGUUUGUACGUUUAAAUGACAGCAACACAAUAUACAACUUUGCAAGUAUAAACAAUAACAUUGUAACAACACAAGACACAACAAGUGUAAACAAAUAACAUAGCAGCAAUACAGGACAUAAUUUUGUAACUGUAAACCACAACAUAGCAGCGACACAAGACACGGUUUUGUAAGUGCAAACAAUAACAUAGCAGCAGCACAGCAACCAUCAAAAUUACAACUAUGCAAAAACAAACAUAUGGAGUAUGAAUAGGCAAAAGACAACAUAACAUAACAUAAUCUGAUAUAUUUAGAGAGGUAUACAAAAUUUACACCAUAUUAGACCAAUCUAGCAACUACUUUCAGUUCAUUUGCUGCUGAUGAACAUAACAACAACAAAAAUCAAAAUACAUAAAAAAAAUCUUCCUAAUGAACCUACACCAUCUCCGUCUUCCAUUGUGCCUCUUCUCCCACGUCAAGUUAUCAAUUUGGACCUGUUUAAGCCAUGUCUUCUUCCAACUCAUUGAUUUUGUUCACCAAUCUUGGAAUGAUAAAAUUUGAUCUUGGAUCCACUUUUUCUUUGUCCUUCCAUAGAAAAAAAUUAUAUUUCUGAGACUAAAUUUUUUUGUAGAAAUCAGUACAUUAACAUAAUUUGAAUAUAAAGUAACAAUAAAAUACAAUGCAAAAUACAUACACCAUAGUAGGGGCAAGACCAAAAUUUUCUUCCCGGAUUAGACUUCGACCAUGAAGUUUGCAAGUCAAGCAAAAUACCAUGUUUGCAUCUUACAACAGCAUUGAGCAUUGGGUCUGAUUCAUCUAUACAAAGCUUAUUCAAUUUGAAUUUGUCAUUUCAUGAAUUUCGAAAAAAUCUAUCAUCAAAUUACAAACCCUAAAUUAAGAGUUGAAAAAAAUUACAAAACAAAACUCCAAGAAUUCAAGUAGAAAAUGGGAUUAAAAUCUAAAAUGUAGGUUAAAGAAAUAAAAUAAAAUAAAAUAAAAUGGACUAAAAUAAAGGCAGAUGGUGGACAAGGAGAAGAGUGAUAUAAAGAAAAGGAAGAAGACCGUUGGAAGAGAGAGAGAGAGAGAGAGAGAGAGACAUUUUUCAUAAUUUAUUUCAUUAAAAAAUCAAUUAAUGAUGUGUAGUAUACAUGUGGAAGGGUAAACUCUGACUUUUAGAGAUGUUGGGACUGAACCAACGCGCCUAGAGGGGGUGUUCUCACCUUCCAUGCUAGCUCAGCAUUUGGGGGGUAAUAAAUACAUAAAAAAAUAGAUCAGGGGGGUGAUAGGACUCCCGUGAAGAUUAAAUGUGUAGUUGGGAUUUGAGGUAAAGCUUGGACAGUCUUUUGGCCAUUUUCUCAAAAAAAAAAUAAUGGAGGUGUUGAAGAAGACAAUUGGUGGUGUUGGGGGGGGGGGGGGGUGGGAGAAUUGAUUUUUUUAAAAAAAAAUGUAAAUUUUAUAUCAAAUUAUUUACACGUGACAGCUUUUAAUUGGUCAAUAAAGUCAAUUUUGAGCCUUUCACGCGCCUGUUGUGCGUGUAUACACGCAGAGAGUCAAAAUGGUGUAUUUGCAAUGAUUUAAGUAAGAUUCGUGGGGUAAUAAGUCUAAAGUAUAGUUUAGGUGUCUUUUUGAAAAAGUCAGCCAACAUUAGGGGGGACUUUAUAGAUUUUCUCUUUUUUUAUAUUAAAUAUUUUUUAGAUGUGGAUAGUGGAAUCGAUCUUUCAUCUGUGCUUCUUAUUUUCUUCAUGAAAUUAGUAGAUAUGUAUGAAAAUUGGUUCGGACACCAUAACUAUUUUUUUAAAAAAAAAAGAUUUGAAUAUGUCUAUUCAUGAAAUAAUUAGCAAGGAUCCUAAAUGUUUCGAAUGUUAUUUGGAUUACACAAAUCUUUUGAUUUUUUAUAACUUCGUUGUCUCACUCUGCAUUCACCUUUGCUUAUGUUUUUUCUCGUCAUGUGUUUGUAACUUGGGGCUUUGAGCUGUAGGUGACAAAAGAGUUUUAAAAUGAGGUGUAAGUGACACAAGUCUUAAUAAUUGAGUGGAGGUGACAAUUACUUUAUUAUGGAUUAAGAAAUUUGAAAAAAUUUAAAAAUAACCCACAAGUUUUAAAAUUUAUAUUUUGAUCCAAAUAUUAGUUAAUAUAACAGAAAAUAGAGGGACAAAGGAGUGUUUCCCUCUCUUCUCAUCCGUUGUUGUUUUCUCUCUUCACGACUAUUGUUGUUCAUUGUUGCUACUGCUUUAUUCAUCAUCUUCUACUUUAUUAUCAUCAUCUUCUACUUCAUUAUCAUCUCCAUCUUUUUCAUGUCGACCAUUGUCGUUGUUGUUACCGCUACUGCUGCUAUCUGACCAAUUUCUUAGGUCAAAUUUUAUUUCCUAAAUCACUUUCCACUUUGGUAUUACUUCAUAGGUAUCUAUGGUAAGUAAAAUUAUGAUUUUUAUUUGAAUUUGUCAUCUGGGUAAACAGUUCCUGCUGUUUUUUCCAUCAAUAGAUAGAACCCGAUCAUAAAUCCAACAUAAAUGCCUACAAUUUAAAUAGAUCACUCAUCUGGUGCAUCAGAUGAGUAAUCUGUUGCAAUAGAAAACUCAUAUGUUGGAUUCAUAUUUAUACUUCUAUAGUGCCCGUAACAUGAGUUGAACAGAUGGGUAAUCUGUUGCAACAGAAAAUUUAUCUGUUGUAAUAGACUAGUUAUCUGUUGCAACAGACUUAUUAUCUACUGUAUCAGACUGAUCAUCUAUUGCGUCAGACUGAUUAUCUGUUGCAACAUAUAAGUAAUCUAUUACAACAGAUGAGUAAUCUAUUUGGAACAACACAAAUCAUCCCCUGCCAUAAACCCAAUAGAUAACCAAUAUGUUUCAACUCUUGCUAUUGCUACUGGAUUUAAAAUUAUUCCUUACGUCCAAUCGUCGACAUGUUUGUUGAGAAGAUAAUAGAUAGAAUGAAAAUUAAAUACUCCCUCCACCUCAAAUUAUCCAUCUCAAAUUUCCUAAUUUGAUUUCUCAUUUUACUUGUCUUUUUUCAUUAAUCAAGAAGAGACAAAAAAAAAUUCAUGUUUUACCCUUUGCAUUAAUUACUUGUUCUUCAAAUUAAAAUGUAAACAUCAUUUAAUAGGGGUAUUAUGGCAAACUAGGCAUGUUAUUAAUUAUUUUUCUUAAUCAAUGUAUCAUCUCAAUUUGGGACGGGUAAUUUGAGACGAAGGAAGUAUGAAUUAAAAUGUCAAAGUCGUGCAACAGACUAGUUAUCUGUUGCAACAGACUAGUUAUCUAUUGUAACAGACUUAUUAUCUGUUGCAUCAGACUGAUUAUCUAUUACAUCAGACUAAUUAUCUUUUGCAUCGAACUGUUUAUCUGUUGCAACAUAUAAGUAAUCUAUUGUAACAGAUGAGUAAUCUGUUUGGAAUAACACAAAUCAGCCCCUGCACAAACUCAAUAGAUAAUCAAUAUGUUUCAACUCUUGCUAUUGCUACUGGAUUUAAAAUUAUUCCUUACGUCCAAUCGUCUACAUGUUUGUUGAGAAGAUAAUAGACAGAAUGAAAAUUAAAUAUGAAUUAAAACGUCAAAGUUGAUCAAACAUAAUUUUUUUAUUAAACAAAAACAAAUAAAAUACAUAGACUAAAAAAAUCUAAUUGUUAUUAUUAUUAUUGUCAGACGGUCAAUCUUCAACCGGUAGCAGCAAGGCCCUCCUCAGCCUGCAGAUCUCACAGAGCAUCUUUACUCUAACUGCUCUCAAUUCCCAUUGUAGGUCACGAACCUGCAUCCGAAGUUAAUUCACGGCGUCUUGCAGAAAAGCAACAUCCCACACUGGAUCAUCCAUAGCUAGAACACAUAUGAAUUGACAAAAAGCGUAAAAACAAAAGUAAAGAAAAGAAUAUUCAAAUGUAAUACGACGUAUACUAUAAAUUGGCAAGAAAAAAACUUACCUAAGACAGGGAAGAGAAAGUGGUGGAAGGUAUAAUAUGAAAGACAAGAUGCAAAUAAAUAAAUAGAGUGUAGUUGAAUGAACGAUUGAGUAAGGAGGGACCUAUUUAUAAAGGAUUGAAUUUGAAUGAGUUAGGAAAAAAGGCGCGACUGUUCACCUCUAUUUAUUAAUUACAUUUUUUAUUACUGUGAAAAGUUAUGACUUAGUUAAAUUAAGAAAUAUUGUGAUAAGUCAUGAUUUUUCAAUUUAUUAUUAUUAAUUAGUUCUUUCCAAGAACUAUUUUUAUUGAGUUGUGACAACAGAUUCUAUAUCUGUUCCAUCAGAUAACUCAUCUGUGACAACAGAUAUAUCAUCUGUUACAACAAAUAGAAAACCUGUUGCAUCAGAUAAUCUAUCUGUUGCAACAUAUAAUCUAUCUUUUUUAAAAUAAAUCAUCAUCAUAUCAUUAAUACAAAUUUGUUGAAUUUUUUAUUAUAUAAAUUAAAAAAGCAGAUUUAAAAACAAAAAUAUUUUCUGUGAAAAGAAAUGGCGCCUAUUUAAUAUUAAUGUCAAUUAUUCAAAUUAAAUAAUUAUUUUUUUACGGUUAUAAAUUGUGUUUAUCAUUUACUUUCUUAUUGUUUUUUGUGAAAAGAAAUGACUUAAUUAAAUUAAGCUGGUGAGUUUUUUAUUAUCGUGACAAGUCAUGACUAGUCAGCUUAUUAUUAUUAAAUAAUCUUUUUCUCAAUUUAAAAAUCGAAGACACCUUUUCAAUAACCAUUUUUUAAUAAAAUAAUAAUCAUUUUUAUUGAGUUUUGGCAACAGAUUGUAUAUCUAUUACAUCAGAUAAACAUCUAUUGCAACACAUGUACCAUUUGUUGCAACAAAUCGACCAUCUGUUUUAAUAGCUUUUUGAUUUCUUCUAACAGCUGAUACAUCAAUCACAACAGAUGGGGAAUUUGAUGCAUCAGCAACAUUGUUGAAUGUGGUUUAGACAAAAAGUCAUGAUUGUUCACCUUUUUCUUAACAAUCAUCAUAUAAGUUAAUUAAUCUAAUAUUGUGACUUUUUUUAUAAUAUAAUAAAUAAAUAAUUUUAAAAACUAAAUUUUAAAACAAAAAUGGUGAAAAGUCACGAUCAGUUAUUAAAAUUAAAUAACCGUUCUUUUACGAUUAUAAAUUAUGUUUAUCAUUUGUUUCCAUAUUAUUUAUUUACGAACCAUUUUUCAUAUUAAAUAAUUGAAAAGUCAUAACUUUUCACCCUCUCAAUAACAACAAUAACCCUUUUUUAUUAAUAAUCGUCUGUUGCAACAUAUGAUCAAUCUGUUGCAUCAGAUUAACCUCGGUUGCCACAAAUGCUCAAUCCCUACCACCAACCGUCGACAUGUUGAGAAUAAGAAAUAAACAGAAUGAUAAAUAAAUAUUAAAUAAGAAUUAAAAAUUCAAAGUCGACCGCCAAACAUAGAUUUUUGAAUCCGUUAGGUAGAUCGAAUAUAAAAAGGGAAAAUACAUACGCUACAAAAAAAAAAAACAUAACCUAAUUAUUGUUAUUAUUAUCAUUAUUAGUAGUAAUAUUACUAUUAUUGUCAACCGAACAAUUUUCAUCCGGCAGCAGCAGGGCCUUCCUCAGCCUUUCUCUGAAGUCGGUCAAAUACCUCUGGAGUUUAUCAAACUGCCUUUGAAGUUCCCGCAAGGACUUGAUAUGAAUCUUCGUGUACGAAUCUAGAUCAGUCAUAUUUGUAAGUGUAGUAGAAUGAACGAGUAAGAAGGGACCUAUUUAUAAAUGAUUGAAUUCGAAGAGGUUAGUCCAAAAGCCACGACUGUCCAUCCCUUAAUUAAAUAAAACUGGUGACUUUUUGAAUAUGUAAAUUAAAAAAUGGAUCUAAAUACAACAUUUUACCUUUUAUUGUAUUUCGAAAAGAAAACAAAUUGCUUUAAAAUAAAUCUAACAAAUGGGUAAUCUAUUGCAAAAUAUAUUUCAUCUAUUAGAUAAGUUGCAACAUAUUGACAAUAUGUUGCAACAGAUGGAUAUAUCUGUUUGAUUUUUCCAACAGAUAUGUCAUAUGUUGCAACAGAUUGAUCAUUUGUUGUAACAAAUGUCAUAAUUGUUUGACAAUUUAAAUAGAUGUGACAUCUGUUACAACUUGUUAGUCAUCUGCUUAUUCAAUUUAAGCCAUAGAUGGGCUAGGAAGAAUAAGGUGCGUGCAAAUGGAUGGAUCCACUAUUAUGUGUGGGUGUUAAGUAUUACUGAUAAGGUCAUCAAGAUAACACACACAAAGUAGACUGAUUUUGUGAAUGUUGUUUUUACCGUUUAGUCAUUGAUCAUUCAAAUAAGAUAUCUGCAAUUUUACAGUUAAGUUUGAUAGGUCCGAACUGAUAAGGCUGAGGGACCAUGAAUAUGGUUCUGAUACCCUGUUAAGAUUUAAUGUCGGUUGUUGCUCAUCUUUAUGUGUCAAGCAUUACGAAGGGAUCUAGUUUUGGUGUCAUUAUAAAGAGAUUCAAUAGCGAUUGGACCAACUUUUAGGGUGCAUUAGACUCUAGAGGGCCUUCAAAACCUCCCACUGCUUCAACUAAGGAUGAAAAUCAAUAUAGUUAUUGCCCUAGCCUAAAUUUAUAUGGUUGGGUUACUCGUGAUGAUGAUUAUACACCAGAAAGUGCGGUAGGAUAAUGCCUGUGAGGGUAAAUGGGGGGUUGAUGAUAGAUUAUAUCAACUGAGAGCUAAUUGAAGAGAAAACAUAGGGUAGAAAGGAACUUCUAGCGAAUCUGGCCGAUGAAACAACUUAGAACUUGAGAAAUCCGAAUCAAGUGCAAAUAUGAAAGUGUAUCCAAUAAUGAAAAAUUCAUCUAUUAUUUCUAUGGAAAAAAAAUAAUGCAGAUGGUCUCUUUGAUAGGGAGCUACGUCUAGGUAGCAUGGUCGGGAUUAUCACCUAGAUAGAAAAUAGCAGAAGACCAAGAAAGCAGCCUUACGGGUAUCGAGGGUUAAAAUGAUGUACAGUAAGUCUAGAAAACUUGUGCCAAUAACAGUUGCAGUUAAAAUAAGGAAUCUAAGAAAAAGCUACAAUUUAUGAAUUUUAAAUUGCAUCUCAUGCCUUCUUAUUUGUGGUUUCGAUUGGGUCCACUGAUGUUGACCUGAUCGAAAUCACAAACAAGAUUGAAAGGCAGAUUGAGUAUCAUUACUACCUUAGUAAUAUGGAUAUAAUUGAUUGUGUUUUCUAGUCGUAGCAUACUUUCAACAUAUCUUAGAAAAGAUCAGAGGCUUGAUGUAGUUUGUGAUUCCUGAUAAUUUUUAAGCUUACCUCCAGCUUGUCGAUUUGGUCUUCAAGUUUGCCGUUGUCGUUGCCGUUGCUGUCUUUGAAGUUGGUAUAGAGUUACUGGUCUUUUGUGAGAUAGAUCAGGGGCACUUUCUUUGAAAUUCUAGCAUUGUAGAAGGCCUUCAGUUUGAUAGGUAAUGAGCCUAGGGUUACGUAACGUUUGAUAGGCUUAGUAGAGUCAGUUUAGAUCAAACGUUACGUAACUCUUUGCUAAUUAAUUUAUCAAAUCUCUUGAAGAUUCGUUGAGCAAGCUGCAUUGAGCAAUGCUCGAUAAAAGUGAGCUAUUCAGCUGUUGGAACCACUUCUUGACUGCGCAUCAACACAUUUUGACCUAAAACAAACAUAGCGACCCUCCAUGUAUCAUUUAAGGCUUCUGAAAAAAGUGUCUUAAAGGCCUUCUACAAUGCCAGAACUUUGAAUAAAGUGUUCCUAAUCGAGCUCAUAAAAGACCAGAAACUCUAUACCAACUUUAAAGAUGGCAACGACAAACUUGAAGACCAAAUCGAUAAGCUGGAGGCAAGCUUGAAAAUUAUCGGGAUUCACAUACUACAGCAAGCCUCUGAUCUUUUCUAUGAUAUGUUAAAAGCAUUCUAAGUCUAGAAAACACAAUCAAUUAUAUCCAUAUUGCUAAAGAAUUAAUGAUACUCAAUCUGCCUUUCAAUAUUGUUUGUGGUUCCAAUCAAGUCAACAUCAGUGGACCUAAUCAAAAUCAUAAACAAGAAGGCAUGGGAUGCAAUUUAAAAUUCAGAAAUUGCAGCCUUCUCUUAAAUUCCUUAUUUUAACUGCAGCUAUUAUUGGUGCAAGUUUUCUAGAUUUAUUGUACAUUAUUUCAACCCUCGAUGCUCAUAAGACUGCUUUCUUGGUCUUCUGCUAUUUUCUACCUAGGUGAUAAUCCCGACCAUGCUACCUAGACGCAGCUCCCUAACAAAAAGACCAUCUGCAUUAUUUUUUUCUAGAGAAACAAUAGACGAAUUUUUCAUUACUGUGUACACUUUCAUAUUUGCACUUGAUUCAGAUUUCUCAAGUUCUAAGUCUGUUUCAUCAGCCAGAUUCGCUAGAAGUUCUUUUCUACCCUAUGUUUCCUCUUCAAUUAGCUCUCAGCUGAUAUAAUCUUUCAUCAACCCCCCAUUUACCCUCGCAGGCAUUUUCCUACUGCACCUUCUGGCAUAUAAUCAUCACCACGAGUAAUCCAACCAUAUAAAUUUGGGCUAGGGCAAUAACUAUAUUGAUUUUUGUUCUUGGUUGAAGCAAUAGGAGGCUUUAAAGGCCCUCUCAAAGUCCAAUGCACCCUUAAAGUUAGUCUAAUCACUAUUGAAUCUCUUUACAAUGACACUAAAACUAGAUCCAUUCGCUAUGCUUGACACAUAAACAUGAGCAACAACCGACAUUAAAUCUUAAUAGGGUAUCAAAACCAUAUUCAUGGUCCCUCAGCCUUAUCAGUUCAGACCUAUCAAACUUAACAGUAAAAUUAUAGAUAUAUUGUUUGAAUGAUUAAUGACUAAACGGUAAAACAAUAUACUUUAUGUGUGUUUUUACGAUAACAUUAUCAGUAAUACAUACCUCCCACAUCUGAAUUGGUUCUAUCUAUAAGCAGUCUGUUCCUCUGAACCCAUCUUUAUUGUAGCCUCUUGUGUUGGUUGAGCAAAAGUUAAUCAACUUUCAAUUUCUUAUAUCUACAAAGAAGAGGAAAAAAAUUGAUGUCAAUCAAGAGAAGAACAGAAAGAACAUUAUCUAUCUCUUGCAACAGAUGUGUAGUCUGUUGCAACAGAUGUGGAGUCUAUUGCAACGGAUAUGGAGUCUGUUCAAUGGAUGUAGAGUCUGUUGCAAUAGAUGUGGAGUCUGUUGCAAUAGAUAUGGAGUCUAUUAGAAUAUAUCAAACCAACCUUGCUAGUGGUUUGAUUUGUUCCAAUAGUUGCUCCGUUUAAUGCAACAUCAACAACAGCAUAAACUACAAAGAAAAAACAAAUAGAAAACAUCAAUAACAUAGAAACAACAUCAUUUGUUACAACAGCAUCAACAACAUCAUCAACAAUAAAGAAGCAAUAUUCUUUGUUCUAACACCAUCAAUAAUACCACAUAACAAGUUCCAACAACAUCAACAACAGCAUCAACAACAAAGAAACAAAUAAAAUACAUACAAAAAAUGAUACUGCCAACAAGGCUUUUAAACUUCUCCCAACAUAUGACUUUUUUCGCAUAUUGUAAUAAAAAUUCUCAGUUCGUUUAUUCAACACUUGAAAGUUCCUUCAAUUUUUUUAAAUAAAUAUGAUAUGAGUAAAUAGUAAUUAAAUAAAAAAUAGAUGUAAAUAACUUGCAAAGAAGAAAACAAGAAUGAAAGAGCAAUAGUGAACCAUACCUUACCUGCAAUGUCAAAAGGGGAUCAAAACAAUAAUUUCAGUCAAAGAAAGAUAUGGAUUGGUUUAGAUAUGAAAGGAUCUUGAUGAGAAAGAGGAAGAAAAGAGAGAGAAAAGGUUGUGAUAAUCCUAAAGAGGAGAGAAUAAAAAGAUGAACGAUGAAUAAAAUAAAUUUAGGGCUGAAGGAGAAAUAAGAUAAUUCUAGAUAUAGACAUUCGUUUAAAUAUUUAUUAAUUAAUAUUCAUUAAUAACUCGAGGGGCACGAGGAAGACGGGCGACAUUGAAAAAACAAGACAAGACUAGUCAAUGAUAUUUUUGAGUUAUCCAAGAAAUAUUUUUACCGCCUUUUAAAGUACUAUUUUAUCUAUCUUUCUUCUUUCAGACAGAAGCUUGCUUUAAAACUAAAAGAAAAAAAAGAAUUUCAAACAGAUAUUUCAUCUGUUGCAAUAGAUAUAAAUAUCUGUUUGAAAAAUUCCAAUAGCUCAGUCAUCUGUAACAACAGAUGCAAAUGUCCAAUUGAUAACUAAAUUAGAUAUGUCAUUUGUUAUAAUAGAUAUCAAUAUCUGUUUAAAAAUUUCUAACAGCUUAGUUAUCUGUAAUAAUAGAUGCAAAUGUCCAAUUGAUAAUUAAAUUAGAUAUGUCAUUUAUUGCAACAAAUAUCAAUAUCUGUUUAAAAAUUUCCAAUAGCUCAGUUACCUGUCACAACAGAUGCAAAUGUCUAUUUGAUAAUUAAAUCAGAUAUGUCAUCUGUUGCAACAGAUAUGAAUAUCUCAUUAUCUUAAUGUUAAGCCAGUACCUAAAUUAAUUUAGGUAUAACUAGGGAUGAAUGAGUCCAUAGGUUCAACUACAACUUUAAUUGAGUCUUUGCAAUUAUAUGGUAUUGGUAUUGCGUUCAUCCCGACCCGAGUCGUAGAUCGAUCACUCUGAGUUGAAAAGAUUCUCAUUAGCUUAAUGUUAAGAUAUUAUCUAAAUUAAUUUUGUUAGAACUUGGUAUGAAUGAGUCCAUAGGGUCAACUACAACUUCAAUUGAGUCUUUACAAUUGCAUGGUAUUGGUAUUGUGUUCAUCCCGACCUGAGUCAUCGAUCGAUCACUAUGAGUUGAAAAUAUUCUCAUUAACUUAAUGUUAAGCUAGCAGUUAAAUUGAUUUAGGUAGAACUAUGGAUGAAAGAGUCUAUAAGGUCAACUACAACUACAACUUCAACUGAGCCUUUGCAAUUGAAUGGUGUUGGUAUUGCGUUCAUCCCGACUUGAGUCAUCGAUCAAUCACUCUAAAUUUAAAAGAUUCUCAUUAUCUAAAUUUUAAGCUAGUACCUAAAUUGAUUUAGGUAUAACUAGGGAUGAAUGAUUCCAUAGGGUCAAUUAUAACUUCAAUUGAGUGUUUGCAAUUGUAUGGUAUUGGUAUUGUAUUUAUCCCGACCUGAGUCAUCGAUCGAUCACUCUGAGUUGAAAAGAUUCUCAUUAACUUAAUGUUAAGCUAUUACCUAAAUUGAUUUUGAUAGUCUGUAGGGUCAACUAUAACUUUAAUUGAGUCUUUACAAUUGCAUGGUGUUGGUAUUGCGUUAAUCUCGACUCGAGUCGUCGAUCGAUCACUCUAAGUUGAAAAGAUUCUCAUUAGCUUAAUGUUAAGCUAUUACCUAAAUUGAUUUAGGUAGAAAUAGGGAUGAAUGAGUUCAUAGGGUCAACUACAACUUCAAAUUGAGUCUUUGUAAUUACAUGGUAUUGGUAUUGUGUUCAUACCAACCCGAGUCGUCGAUCAAUCACUCUGAGUUGAAAAGAUUCUCAUUAACUUAAUAUUGUAAAUACUAAUCUUUUAAAAAUUUAAAAAUAAAUUAAGAAUAUUUUGGACCAAAUUAACAAUUUCAAAACUUGUCAUUCUUUUCCAAAAUUACAAAUCAACCUAUACAAAUCAUUCAUUUAUGUGAAAAGCUUUUCCUCAUUUUAAAUCUCAAGUUCUCGCUAUUCUCUCUCUCUCUCUCUCAAUAAUACAGACAACAACUACUCAAUAUAUUGCUCAACUCUUCAAAACAGAUCAAUUUUCUUUCUAUUUUUGACCACAUUGUUGUUAUUUUCAACUUCGUUCUUACUUGUAUCCAUUGUUUUCUCUGUCUUCACAUGUAAUAGAGUUCGAGAAGAGUUCUACAUUUGUUCUUUAUUCUAAAAAUUAAGGUUUUUAGUUAAUGGUGAAAAAGAAGACUUUUAGUUGUAUUAUCUUCGAGAAUGGGUUAAAAAUUUUGAGUUUUGAUGCUUAAAAAAGUAGAAAGCACCCGAGAAAAUCCUAGUUUUUGUUGUAGUAGUUUAUUGACUAUCGUGGUAUUGUUGGAUGGUGUUUGCGACGUUGUUGGUGGUUGUUGGUGGUGGUGUCAGUGGUCUUGGUGUUGGUAUUGGUAUUGGUGGCAUUGGUGGUAGUGUUAGCGGUCUUGGUAUUGUUGUUGGUAUUAGUGACAUAGGUGGUGGUCUUGGUGGAAUUGGUGCUGGUCUUGGUGGUAUUAGUUGUAUUUUUGGUGGUGGUCUUAGUGGUCCAUCUGUUGCAACAUCUAGAAGAUCUGUUGGGAGAUAUUUAAUAGGUUUUCAAAUAGAUUCCCCAUCUGUUCCAACUGAUGAGUUAUUCGCUGGAGUAUUUUUUUUGUAAUGUGGCGUAUAAUAAUUUAUUAAAAUUUUCUUUACCUUUUUUUAAAAAAUUAUGUAGACAUCAAAUGUUUUGUAUUUUUUGUUUUUCUAUUAUUUGUAGUUAAAAAAUGUCUCCUAAAAGAAAAGAAACUGAAACUGAAAGUGGAUCAAUUUCUGACUACCCAAUAAAAAAGGCUAGAGUACAGAUAAAUUCGGAGGAACUUCCUAAACAAUCUCAAUCAGGGCAAAUGAAGCUGAGAAAAAUGAGAACUCCUUCUCACCAAUGGGGUGUGAAUUAAUAUCAAAAUCCCAGCAUGAUCUUGUCAAAACCAUUAGUAUCGACAGGUUUUGAGUUGCGAUGCCGAUAGAUCACCCUAAAAAAGUAACUAGUGAUCUUGUACUUAAAUGUCAGUUGGAGAAAUGUUUUGAUGAAUUUAAGAGUAUUAUGAAGAAUAAAAACAUAGACGGACUUUUCAAGAGGAACUAUUUUGCAUACAUUCUUAAGCUACCUGAGGACCACACUCUUUAUUUCCAAAUGAGCAUGGUAUAUGGUCUUCUCAAGCACAGAAUCAAGUACACGAGGGAUGAUAAAUAUUUGUAGGAGGCCAAAAAAAAGAUGGAUAAAAUCUACAUCAACUACUGUGGCAUGCCGGUUUGUUUUAGAUUAAAAGAGUUUGCCAUAGUGACGGGCUUGAGAUGUGAUCAUCCAGAAGAACCUCUCAUCAAGGAAACACCCCACAAAAGGUCCAAUAAAUACAAGGAAAAAAAAGAUGGGUUGUUGGGCAUUGUUGAACGCAGCUGCAAAGCGGGGGAUUUGAUAGUAAAUCUCGAGGAUAAAACCAUACCAAAGCAGUACAGGGAGAAAUUGUGCUUAGUUUGGUUUGUUUAUUUCGUUAUAUUGUCAAGAGACACUAUAAAAGUCAUAGAAGAUGAUUUGUUGGCGCUUACUGAUGAUUUUGAGAAAUUUAACAAUUAUCCCUGGGGAUAUAAUAUCUACUACUUGACUGUCUAAUAUUUACUGACAAAGCUAUCCCCAGGGACGAUCACAUUAUACGGCUUUCCUUGGCCUUUUAUGGUAAAAUUAAUCACUAUUUUUACUCAUCCAUUAAUUUAUAUUGAAUAUAGUUAUUAUGACUUUUUUUUCUUGCUUCUUGUUUAUAUUUUUUAGGCUUGGGCAUUUGAAGUCAUUCGUCCCUUCCAAAAGCAGUUUAGGGAUUACCCGAAUGAGGUUUCUUAUCCAAGGAUCCUUAGGUGGUUGGCUGCAAAGGGUAGCAAAAAAAUAAAGAGGUUGAUCUUUUUAAUCCUCCGGAUAAUGCAAUACUUCUUCUUUCAACUAAAAUAAUUUGCCUCAAAGAAAGAUAUUAAAAUAGAUGUGCCAUCAGUUGCGACAGAUGGGUUAUCUGUUGUAACAGAUUACCCGUCAACUGCAACUGGUGCAACAAAUGGGUAAUCUGUUGUGACAGACACUCCAUAUUUUGAAAUAGAUUAAUCAUCUGUUGCUCUAGUUCCCUGAACCCUACUCAACAGAUUACCCAUCUACUGCAAAUUAUGCAACAGAUGGAUAAUCUGAUGCAACAUAUUGCCAAUCUAUUGUGACAUACAGAUCAGCUAUUGUAGAAGAUGGAUCAUCUGUUGCAUAAGUUGGUUGUGUUAACAUGUAACUUAACUGAGUACAACUUAUUAUCAUAUGAUAUGAUUUAAAUGCAUUCUGUCUUUUUUUAGAGGUUGUGCAUCCUUGGAUCGUGCCUACUGAGCAGGAGUUGGGGAUGACUUCUUUUAUUACUCUAGGUCUUUUUGAUACAAUAGAAGUCCCAACGGUGGAGUUAAUAAAGAAGAAAUUGGCUGGAGUAACAGUCAUAAGAAGACCAGUUAGGAGAGGUCAGCCUAAUGUUGAAGCUCUUCAUGACCAACCUACUGCAGCAGAUCUGCGUACUUCUUCUGGAGGGUGUUGCUGGUGGAGCUUUUGAUGAUGGUGGUAGCCAUCCUGAUGUUGUUGCUGCUUCCAGUCAUGAUUAUGAGCAUAUUGGUGCUUAGAAAAAAAUAAAUAUGUUUGAAAAUACCCCUUUCAUAGGUCCCUCUCACCCUUACACCGGUCCCUCCCACCCUUACAGUGGUCUCUCCCACCUUUCUCCACCCUCAUAUUCUCAUUGCAAAUACAAAGUGUGAAAGGACAGAGAGGAUAAACUCCUUAAAAAACUAAAGGUUAUUGCUAAAGCUGCCAAGAAGUUGAAAUCCAAGAGGGGUGUCAUACCAUCCAAGAAAGUGAGAGAGCCAUACACUCCUAUAGUGGUGGUUAGGAAGAAGAGAAGAAAUAUUAGACAAAUACUCUCCAUUCUGAAAAUAGAAAAAAAUGCAACUCCUCCCGCUCCAAGAGUUGUUGAAGUUUAGGAGCCGUUGAAGAAGGUGGACAUAUACGCGGCACUUGGUGACAACGAGAAGAAGGAACUGGAAAAAAUCUUAUCUGACAAGACGAAGAUUCCACAAGAAUACACCAUGCAUUUAUUUGCUUCCUAAGAUUUCAUGAGUAUGACAAAUAUGCAUGAGUGGUAUGUGGACAAUGUAAGUUUACUUUUGCUAACCUAGCCUUCCUAUCUACUCCAUGAAAAGAAGCUACGCAAUAGAUAUGUAAUCUGUUGCAACAUCUAGGUAUUCUGUUAUAUCAUAAUACACAUUUAUUGCAUAAGUUGUGUUAGUUGGGUAAUCUGUGAACUGAUUCAGAGAACCCCCUGCAACAAAAUCUUUCCACUGUAUUUUUUUUUUACAAUUACUAACCUAUUUAAAAAUUGUCUUCUUAUACCACAAUAUGUUGAUGCAAUUCUCUGCCUAAUGAGGGGCAGGCAAUUAGCAUACCCGGAUGUUUAUGAUGUUGCCGAUAAGAUAAUGGACCUCAACUUCUACAAUAAUUUUAAGAGUAGGUACGAUAAUCUCCGUAGGCGAGCUGGUCCUUGUGGACGGGGAAUUGAUAAGUUAGUUUCUACAUUCAAAUAGGAUAAAGACAUGAUUAACUAUGUUAGAGGGAAAAGGUCAUAUCCACACGGCAAGAGCUGGACCUAGGCAAAGAGAAUCCUUGCAGUCAUGAACAUGAAAGUCAAUCAUUUUCUUGCUGUUGUGAUACUACUCGACGAGGGAAAGAUUAAGGUUUAUGACUGCAAAUUACCUAUCUUCAAGGAGGCCAUGUUUUUAACCCACGUGCAGCCACUCUUGAUGUUGUUCCCCAAGUUGUUGACGCAGAAUAAACUGAUGGAUCAUUAGCUAGCGAAAGUCUUGAUGAAGGAAUCAUGGGAUUUUGAAGGUCGAAAUAAGAACAUCUACCUUCAAAAACUAAAAUCGGUGCCACGUGCGAGCCGUACUCGCUUGCAUAUAUCUAGUGUUUACUGGCCGACACAGAAAUGGCCAAUUUAUGAGAUGUCAUUGUGAAAAAGAUGCAAGAUGUUUGAGCUUAUAGGGUACUAACUAAAUGGUUGGAGCCCUUGUAUAAAGAAGAAUAUGUACAAGACAAAGACGAAAAUGAUAAUAAUUUUUUAUUUCAAGUCACUUCACUUUAUUUUACAUACAUGUAGUGGCAAUUUCUUAUGUCUGAUGAAAGUUGAAUUUUUAUAAUGCAAUAGAUUGUCUAUCUGUUGAAACAGAUAUCAUACCUGUUAUGAAAGAUUGAUUAUCUGUUGCAAUAGGUUGGUCAUCUGUUGCAUUAUGCAUAUAUUUCUGUCUAUUUGUCGCAAUAAAUAUAUAAUCUGUUGCAAUAUAUAAUCUAUCUAUUACAACUGAUGGAUAAUCUAUUGGAACAAAUCAAAAAAGUUGAAAGACCUAUUAUAUAAUUUUCAGCAGAUCACAUACAUGUUGAAUAUAUAUCUAAAUCUGUUUAAUAAGAAAUGUCGUAUGUUGCAGCAGAUGUAUUAUCUAUUGCGAUAUUUGAAUAUAGUACUCUAUUUUAAUUGAUAAGUUCAAAACGAAGGAUUAAAUUAUAUUCAUAGACAACAUAAAAUAAAUUGAAGCCUUCAAAAAUUACAUGAAAUAACUCAACAAAUAAGUGAAAUAUAAAAAAAUUAUUAUGGGUAAAAAUGAUCAACUCUACAAAUAAAUCAACAAGUUAACCAAGGAGGAUGGGUUGUUAUAUUGACAGACUCAAGCUAUAAAGAUCUACUCAAUAUGCACAAGUUUUUCUUUAUCCGGUGGUACGAAUUCGGCUUUGGUCAUUGUGGAUAUUUGUCGCUUGUGUACGGUUUCUAAGCUUUUGCUUCUUCGUAUUUCCAUAAAAGAGCAGCAUAUCUUUUGCGGAGUAAUCCAACAUCAAGUCCAUCAUUUGGUAUUUGUAAUCCAUCACUCAAAUACUCGGCAUAAACGGCAACAAAAAGACUGCAAUCCCUGUGUUAUAAAAAACAGAUAAUCCAUAUCUUGCAGUUCAUGCAAGCAUUGUGAAAUUUAUGAAAUGCAACUAAAUCAUGACACUUAUACUUACAAGCUACCAAUGGUUUGUUGAGCAAUUCCUUCAACAUAUUGUACAUCAAAUGGAUUACCCAUUUUAUCCCGAUAUGCAUCAAUCGUCAACCAAUCAGUACGAACUUUUUGGUUCAAAAAGCCACUCAUAUCAACGAAAGUAGGUAAUAUUUUGGCCAGCUUUUGUAUCUCAGAUGAUGAUCCGAAAUAUCUCCUUUGUGACAUCGAGUCAUAAAUUCGGAUGUGCCUCUCUUUUAGAACGACGACAACUAACGCCCAAUGGAAUUCAUCACCACAAUUAAUUGGGAUGUACACUUCGCCGAUCAAAAGCCAAGUUAAGCCAGCUGGAAUGCUAAAACCUUUGAUAAUGUUGAUUAAGCAUUCCUCAUUUCAGAAAAAUUUUGAUUGUUGUUGACAAUACCUAUCGUAGGCAUUAUUAAUGUAAACUUUGUACAAACAAUUGCCUAUUGUGUAUCUAUAUUGUUCUUGUGUUUGCAACUUGGCCUUCUUUCGAAGGUAGUAAAAGAUGACAUUGAUAUGCUGCACAUAUUAUCAAACAUUUCACAUUACGUGACAAAAAAAUUAAUACACAGAUGUAAUUAAAUAAAGUAUUAAUUAAUAGUAAUAUGUAUGGCAUUUAAGGUACUUCAUCAUUCCAGCAAGUUUGGGGCUGUGACAUCAAAUAAAACCAAUUCUUCAUUCCGAGAUGUGCAACAACAAAGUCGAACAUAUCAAAACCAAGACUCGAUCUAUUCACUUUGUAGUGUUCUUCAUUUUGUUUUCUACAUAAUGAUUUAUAUGUGUUAAUAUCAUGUCUAUACAACAAGAAUUGUAUAAAUCAAUAUCUUUAAAAUUGAUUUAUAUUCCUGCNNNNNNNNNNNUGGCGUUAUGCUUUAACAACCCAUCGACAAUCCAUUCUAAAUAGUCGUUGAUAAACUUUUUUAGUUUUUUUGGAGCCUCUUCUAAGAUGUUGAACCCUUCAAAUGAGUAAUUCUUCUGUUCUCCCGAACUAAUAGGCUCUAUUUUUUCUUCUUAUUUGGAAGCAGUUGAUGGAUUAUCAACUGUGAUACUAUGCUCUUUAGCAGUAGCUUCUACUGUGACAUCCACCUGGAAAGCCAGAAUUUUCAAUGCUAAUUACAGAUAUACAAAAAAUUAUCUAUCUGUUGCAAUAGAUGAGUCUUACAUUAUAACAGAUGGAUUAUCUAUUGGGAAAAAUUCGAACAGAUAAAAUAGAGUGGUAUGAUAAUUUCGAACAGAUGACUCAUCUGUUGUAAUAUAAGGCUCAUCUGUUGGUACAAAUUAAAAUAGUACGAAAACCUGUUUGAUUUGCUGAAACAGACGGACAUAUGUUGCAACAGAUAACGCAUCUGAUGCAACAAGUUAGACAAUAGUUGCAACAAAUGUAUAUAUCUAUUUGAUAAUUUUUAGUAGAUGUAUCAUCUGUUGAAACAAAUAUGUGCCUGUUUGUUUGUUGGAAUAGAUGAUAUGCAUUCACCUUCUUCAGCUCAUGCUGCUCUCCUGUGGCCCUUGUAAUUGAACAGCAGUGCAAGACAAAGACAGAGGCGUUGAAAUUUUGCUUUUUUCGAUGCUUGAUGAUACCCUGGAAAUAUCUUUCCUUCUCCUCUUAGCUACCUUGAUCUCUAGUGGAAUAUAUGGAUAUGAAAUCCUCAUUAAUGGAAUGACACCCCUCUUAGAUGUCAUUUUCUUUCCAGAAGCAGUUUAUUAAUAGCAUUAAUCACUCCAUCAUAUUUUGUCUUUCAGUCUUGACAUUUGCAUGCAGAAAUUCGCUAGAAGUUGCAAAAUUUGUAUAACCAGUAUGAUCAUAAUCAUAAUGGCUUGUUGUUUCAAAAACUGUAAGAGGAGCAUCAUUAGCCCUAACAGCGGCACCACUACCACUACCACUACCAUCAUCAACAACAAUAAGUCCACCCUUCAAAAUUAUUUUUCUUGUGAUGGUUAUUGCUCUAAACAAUUUUAUUUUUAUUCUAUCAAUGACCUUAGGGUCCGAUAAAGUUUGCACAGAUCAUAAAGUAAGAAAAAUUUGCAUCUUCAACUCUGAAUUGGUCGGAACAAGCCACGAAGGCACAAUCUAAAAUAAAUCAGUACAUAUUUAAAUGGUGAUUAAAUUACUUAAAAUAAUCAUUAAUUAAAAUAAAAACCUAAUUAGAAUUAAACUUACUGCUUCCUUCGGGGGAUUGAAAAGAUCAAGAAAUUUUACAUUUUUAUCAGUUUUGGCUGACAAACAUCUCAGGAUUCUUGAACAGGAAACUUCUUCCUGGUAGUUCACUUGUUGUCUCAAAUAAGGAAUGGCUUCAAAUAUCCAAGCCUAUAACAAACGCCAAUGAAUCAAAAGCAUUAUUGAAUAAAAAAAUAAAUCAUAUCAUAAUAAAAGAAAUAUUUAUCAUGAAAGCCCAUGGAAAGCCAUAUAAGUUGACUGUCUUUGGCGUUAACGAAGUCAACAAAUAUUCGACAAUUAUUUUGAAGCUUUCAUAACCCCAAGGAUAGUUGUUAAAUGCCUCAAGAUCCUUGGAGAGAUUUAUUAAAUUGAGGUUUAUGUCGUUGUUAACGUUUCUCGCCCAAAGAUAUUAUGUACAAACCAAACCAAGAACAAUGAUUGUUUGUGCUUCUUUGAAAGUCUUUUACCUUUCAACGCUUUUAUCAAAUUUUUGUUUUUGAAGCUUGGACCAACAAUGGACACCAGGUCAUCAAAAUUACUCGACUUGGCUUUACUUUUUAAGGUGUGCGGGGUGCUUUUGUUUGGGUUAGAGUAGGUAUAACUUGAGAAGGAGGAGGAGGAUAACAUUUUAGUUCAGUAACUAUGGCAAACUCCUUCCAACCAAAAUAAAUAGGCAUGCCACAGUAAUUUAUCCAUACCCCAUCCAUCUUAUCUUUGUUUUCAUACAUAAACCUACGCUUGAGAAGAUUAUAUACCAUUUUUAUUUGAAAACGAGCAUUGUUGUCCUCCGGCAAAUCAAUAUAUUACCCAAAGCAAUUUUUUCUAAAAUAAGAAUCCAAUUUUUGUUCUCGAAGUUUUUUCUAAAAGGGUCGAAAGAUUUUCCCAUGGCUGACUUAACCACAAAAUCACCCAUUAAAUCUAUGGCACCAUCGCGCUGCAUUCUCACAGGAUAAUGAUCAAUGCUGGAGGUUUUGACCAACUCUUUGGUGGAAGGGCUAUUAGCAUUUGGAUCAUCUCUUUUGAAACAUUCAUCCUUUUUGAAACAUUCCUCCUCCCCGUGUUCAUUAUCUUCUGCUCUUGAUUGAGAUAACCCUUAUAAAGCAAGCUCAUAGAGUGGUGGAUUAGCCUAGCUGCUUCACUUGUUUCUUUACUUGGACUUAAUUCGGUUUCUUUUCUUUUGGAAGCCAUAUUAUCUUAAAUUAACAGAAACAUAAAAUAGAUUAUAAUUGAUUAUGCAUCAUUAAAAAGGGAUAACAGUAAAUCUAACAUGCAAAACAGUAAAAUAACAGUUUCAACAGACCACACAUAUGUUGCACCAGAUAUGUUAUCUGUUGUAACAUAUAAUCAACCUAUUGUAAUAGAUGAGUAAACCAUUAGAAAUAAUAAAAAUAAAUCACUCAUCUGUUGCACCAGAAAGGUUAUCUGUUGCAACAUAUAACCAACCUAUUGUAACGGAUGAUAAUCCAUUGGAAAUAAUAAAAAUAGAUCACCUAUUUGUUGCACCAAAAAGGUUAUCUUUUGCAACAUAUAACCAACCUAUUGCAAUGGAUGAGUAAUCUGUUGAAAAUAAUUAUAACAGAUCACUCAUAUGUUGCACUAGGUAGGAUAUCUGUUGUAGUAUAUAACCAACCUGUUGCAGCAGAUGAGUUAUCUGUUGGAAACAAUAAAAAUAGAUCACUCAUCUGUUGCACCAGGUAGGAUAUCUGUUGCAGCAUAUAAUCAACCUGUUGCAACGGAUGAGUAAUUCGUUGGAAACAAUAAAAAUAGAUCUCUCAUCUGCUAAACCAGGUAAGUUAUCUAUUGCAACAUAUAAGCAACAUGUUGUAGUGAAUGAGUAAUCUAUUGGAAAUAAUAAAAAUAGGCCACGCAUCUGUUGAAACAGAUCACUCAUCUAUUGCCAAAUAAGUUAUCUGUUGGAUCAAUAUUGUUUAGAUUUCUUCCAAAAAGAAGAUUCAUCUAUCGCAACAGAUGAAUGGUCUAUUAUGUUCAUCUGUUGUAUUAGAUGUUUAAUCUAUUACAUUUGAUGGUUAAUCUAUUACAUCAGAUGGUUAAUCUGUUGCAUCAGGUGGUUAAUCUGUUGAAUCGGAUGGUUAAUCUGUUGCAUCAGAUGAUUAAUAUAUUGCAACACCAUUUUUACCAAAGAAAACAACAAAUCAACCUAGCAACACCAACACAACACACACACACUAAGAACAUCAACGGUGACCAAAAAUCACCAACAAAUCGAAUCAACAGUUUGACAACAAGAACUAUAAUAACAAUAAAAAUUUAUAUUUUACACUAGAAAGAGUAGAGAAGAAAUGCCAGAAAUUAAGAUUUUAUUCAGUCCACAUUUCAAAUUUAAGCAAGAAAUAUUGAAAAUGUUAACCAAUACAAGAAGAAAAGUUGGCUCAAGUUCCUUUGUUUCUUCAUUGCUAAAAAGACAUAAUUUUUUACCUGUGAAAGAAGAAAUGGGACGACGAAGAACUCAAAAUUGUUGUCGCCGGAGAAGUCUUCAAAUCGAUUGAUGGUUGAAAGUAAAAAAGGAACUCGUCCGAAUAUUUGUCGCCAGAGGUUGAAGUCGCCGGGGAUUGAAGGGAGAAAUUUUGCAAAACUGUUGGUUGGGAGAGAGUUAAGAGAAGUUUUCGAGAGAGAGAGGAGAGAGACAGUCGAUGAUUUGGAGUCAAGAGGGGUGUGGGUUGAUCUGUAUUUUUGAAAAGAUUAGAAAGUUUUGAAAAUAUUAAUCAAGUCCACAAUUAACUUAAUCAAGUUUUCUAAUUAUGUUUGACCCUUAAAGUUGGUCAAUGUCACCAAUCCUUCAUUCAAGACUUAAAAGACACCUUUCCUUCAAUUUUCUCUAGUAACUUAGUAUUAUGGUAAAGGACCGGUACACAUAUGUAUUUUCUUUCUUUUGUACUAAUCUAUUUUUUUUAUUUGUACAAAAUAAUUCUUUUAAAAUAAAAAGGCAUCGACGAAAAUAGAAUAUACAAAUAUAAAUAUAAUCCAAAUAUAAUCUAAAUAUACAAACACAAUGAAAUCACAAAUACAAUAUGCAGUCAAUUAGAAAAUACAAAUACAAAAUAUUUCUUUAAAAUACAAGUGCGAAUUAUAUAAAAUAUAAAUGAUGGUGCAAACUAACAAAUACAAAUACAAGUGUGAAUUAUAAAAGACAAAUAGAAAUGCAAACUACAAAAUACAAAUACAAGCGUGAACUUUAAAAUACAAAUACAAAUACAGUUGUAUCAAUGAAUACAAAAAUUAAAUGACGGUGUGACUACAAAUACGAUAAACAAUUGUGGUAUUUACGUUAUCAUCCAUGACUUGUGCUCGAGUAGUCAUAUUUUUCAAAAAUGCAAAAAAUAUAAAAUAGAACAAAAAUAUGAUAAAGAAAAUAAGGACAAAAGAGAAAACAAAAAAAAUCAAAGAAAAAAAAAAGAAAAGAAAAAAAGAGAAAUAGAAGUUAGAGAUAGAAGAGAGAGAAAAAGAAAAAAAAUGAAAAAAAAAAAAAGAAAAAAGAAGAAAAAACAGGGAAAACACGAAAAAGAAAAAAAUAUAAGAAAAAUGAAAAAGAAAAAAAAUGAUAGUGCUUUUUGCGAGACUAAAUAUGUAGUGUACUUAUAUUUUUUAUGAAUACAAACAACUGAGUAAAAGUGAAUACAACGGCUAUAAAUGGUAAAUAUGUAAAGUGUGGCUAUAGAAGGUGGAUUUUGUGUCAAACUUUUGUUAUUUUGAAACUUUCCCAUUAAAAAUAGUGUUGCCUUAUUAAUUGAUAUGAGACACACGUACAAGCAGUAGAAUCAAAAUAUUUACUAAGGGGGUUCGAAAUCGAAAAAAAUAAAUAGGAAACUAGGCGAAGGAGGUUUAACAUCUACUAUAUGUACAUAAAAAUAAUUUUAACCAUAUAUAAAUUGUAUAAUUCUCAGUCGAAGCGGUUCGAAUGAACCCCUAGCCAUAAGCUAGCUCCGCCCCUGCAUACAAGCUAUCCAAUCAUGUUGAUCAUAUAUAGCUAGGAAACUUUUUAUAUGAAAUUUCAAUAAGUUAGUUGAUACAAAUAUAGCUCACUUUGUAAAAGAGAUUAGUCGUUAACGAUUAAAACUUUUCAUAUCUCCAACAUUAUUUUUUUAUAAUUUGAAGUACAUAUAAAUUUUAUAAUUAUUAUAUCCUGUACAUAUGCUUUUAUUUUAUGAAUAAAUUAUAAAAGUAAACUCAAAACCUACUGUGUAAUUCUAAAAUUGUCAAGGUGUAGGAAAUUAUAAAGUGAUAAUAAUUUAUAUUAUGAUAAAGAAUUAGGUAUUUUUAAUUGGAUCAUAAUGUACUUGGUUCAAUCUCCAAGAGUGAAUCUAGCUGUUGCAAGAGACGUGCCGAUGACUAUAAACGAACUCAAAUCAAUAUUAAAUGGUCAUAAAUUGGUGGGUAGUUGCGGUUGAUACUACUGACGGUCCAAUGACUGCUAUUCUAGAGUUUGUCUAUAGACAUUUGCAUCUCAGUUCUGGAAGCGGCACUCUGUCAUUGUUACUACAUUCGAUAUCAUUAAACAUACCUACAGCUGACAUUGAUCAUUGAUUACCAACACUAUAUGAAGUAUGUUGCUUCUAUAAGUAUGAUUUAUAUUUGUGUGGUUUAAUUGUCUUUGCUUUUGUGUUUUGAAAAGGUGGUGAAUUUGCUGCAAUCGACUUUAGAAGCACCUGGUCAUGGAAAGAACAUAAAACCCAGAAGCCUCAUCUGAGACUCUCGAAGCCAUAUCGUAAGCUAUCUAGGGAAUGAGGAACUUUAGGACAAUCCAAAGACGUCCCGGCCCCUCAAGAUUAAGUAGCCGCAUUGUUUUUUUUUUUUGUAAUAUGCGGCUAUUUUGUUUGGAUUUAAGCAAGGAGCGUAAGUUAAUUGUAUAUAGGAUCGGGUACGCUCUCCUUAAGAUUUCUUGAGGAUUCCCUCCCACAGUAAAAGGUUGGAGAGAGACAGUGGCAACCAUGACUGCCCUAGCUUGCCAACAAAAAAGAUGAGGGAGAAGAGAGUGUGUGUCCAUAGGGUAAACGAUACCAACAUAUAUAUGGUGUCCAUGUGGAUUAGAAUGAGUUAUUCAUACGUGAUUGAUUAUGUUAAUUUGUACAUAAACAGUGCAUUCAAUAUUAGAAGAAUGAGCAUGAGCAACGAAUAUGACGUCGGUGGUAUAUUUUGACACCAAAAGAAAAUAUACAUAGCCACUGAAUUUGAAGGAAGAAAGCAACAUCAAGCGAUGAGCAUUUACUAGCUAUUUCGUUGUAUAUUCUACUUUUGGUUCUUCAAAUGUAUGUAUUCUGGAUAAUUUAUAUUUUGAUUGUGCAUCUUAAUUGUAGACUAUGAGCAGUUUGGGUUGUAAUUUGAAGUCGUGACUUCGAACAUUCACGGAUGAAGUCUUAUGGUACAAUAUCUCAGUAUAUUAAUAUUAAAAUUUUGAAUUUUCUUUAAGAUUAUCAUAUUACAUUUUGAGUUGAAAGGAUGUACAUACAUACUUAUUUCUCUAUUCAAAGUUUCUCCGUUUUUCCCUCUCGUGUUACCUUACUCCUUUUUCCUCGGAAUUAAUGUAGUUUUCCUAAAUUAUACUCCCUCCGUUUCAAAAAGAAUGAACUACUUUUCUUUUUAGUCCAUUUAAAAAAGAAUGAUCCCUUUCCUUUUUUGACAAUACUUUAGUUUCAACUUUCCACACGGCAUGGUUAGACCACAAGAUUAAAAGGCAUUUUGGUACAUUUGACACAACUUUAAUGCAAGACCACAAAAUUCAAAAAUCUUCUUUAUUUUCUUAAACUUUGUGUCAAGUCAAAAUAGAUCAUUCUUUUUUAAACGGCGGGAGUAUAUUUUUUGUGAUUUCUUUUGAGUAAUAACUUUUAGUUUUUGUUGGGUUAACGUCUUUAAUUAAAUUACACAUGCAUCGUACAUAUCCUAAACUAGUAUAUAUAUAUAUAUACACACACGCACACACAUACAUAUACACACUUUUUCUUGAGAAAAACUUAAGGUUUCUCCACAAAGUGGGGUUUUAGACCACCAACAGUAUUAAGCCGUCCCUGACAACAUAGCCAAUAUAAUUUCACAAAAUCUCAAAAGAAACAUUUACCAGCGCCUAAUAUUACAACAAACAACAUUAGAUGAACACGAGUUACUGAUAAAUUAAAGUGAUACCAUAUGCUACUUUCUAAUAUUUGAGAACUUUUGUUCAUUUGAGAUAUUUACGGCCACAAUAGCCAUAAAUUGUUUUAGACCACGCGCUCAAACACCUCUUUUCUUCUUAAACUCCAUGCCCGGCCAAACAUCAUAAAUUGGGGCAAGAGUUUUAAUUACUCAUAAUCGGUGAUAAAGUUGCAUAUGAAAGUGUCAUAUGUCUACUAAGUAAUUAUCUGGCCAGCAACCACUUGGCCAUCUCUCUGAAAGACUAUCUAUUUUAUUCCUCCGAAUUAGAUAAAAGACAAGUGGGGAGAGAAGCGCCAUGAAAUUAGCCAAUAUUGCACGUCCAUUUUAGUUCCCGGCCUUGUGAACGUAAUUACUAAACAUACACAUCAGAAUAUGCAAAUUGAAGACACUCUGCAGGUACAAUUAUCUAAGCAAUCUACUGGUCUGGUUCAUUUAAGAUAAUUGGCCAACCUUAAGAGGGCUUCUCACUCACCUUCAAUGCAACAACCAUUGUGUUAUUAUACUUGUGGAAGGAAAAGUGAAGAGACAGAUGUGAAAAUUUCAAAAACUAAGCAGCAUUGGAUGCAUUAUUAUGCAAAAAUGGAGGAAGAUGAUGCUCCAAAACAGCCAAUAGUUCUCUUCCUUGGUUUACCUCUUCCAGCACUACACCGUCAAGUCUUUUUGCUGCUUCCACAAGUUGGCCCCUAAGUCUUUGUGAUAACAAGCAACCCCCUGCCUUGACACAUUCCCUAUACAGUGGCAGGUAUGUUAUUGCUAUCCGCAAGGGCCCCGGGAGGUCCCUCAAACACACGGGAGAUUCGCCCCAUUUCAAAAUACGCACGAUGUUCCAGUAGUGUUCCUGUCCUUGCCUAAGUCCGUCUGAGAAAGCAGCUUCCGACCAAUGCUCUCGAAGGAAAGACCUAAGCUCGGGAGCGACAGCCUCGUCAUCGGACUUAGCGAUGCUGUCCGCAACAGCAUAAGUGGCAGCAGGAUCGCCGAGGAAGUCUGAACUUAGGAGAAAUGCUACUCCAUCAAGAGACCCACUACUUCUUUCACCAGCAGCCUUAAGAAUCUCAAUGCUUAAGGCAGCAAGAACAUGCUGAGGAACGUGAGGAAGGAGAUAUUGUGCAACUUCAACCUGACUACUGGAAGUAGCAGCUGUGAGGGCCAGACAUAGUUCCAUGUCUCUGCAACCUCUUUUAACAAACCAGUCAACUACCUGCAUGGAGCCCCUUUCGGCAGCUCUCAUCAAAGGUCCCAAGAAUGCCAUGGCGUUCCCUUCUUCCACUAAACAUUCCAUAGUUGCAAUUUUACCAUAAUGGGAAGCAAAUCCCAAAGCAAGGUCGACAUCAACAUCCAAGCUAUUCCUUUGAGCAAUCUAUAAGAGAAAACAACCAACCAAAGAUGAGAAUGAUAGACAGCCCCACUCUCCAAAUAUGUCGAGAGAAGAGAAAACAUCAACAAAAAAGCAAGAAAUAUCAACAAAAAACACUUUAUCCAAAAUUCUAGCCCCGCCAAUCAUACAAAGAAAUGGUGAAAAGAAGCAUUAUACACCAAGGCUGACCAGAAUGAGAUACAAACCCAAGUAAACUGCCACGAAAUACGAACAGUGCAAACAUUAUACAAGUUUAUCAGCAUCACAAUAAUGAUGGUUCAUCAGAACAUGGAGCAUAAGUAAGCUGUAGUAAAAAAUAAAGCAGAAUAUUCUUGAUUAUAUAAAAACCAUCUGCAUGUCAGUUCCCAACGAAAAUAAUUCUAAACAAUACACCCCAAUCAAUAAUGCAAGAUAAUAACUCACAACAUUUAUAAUUUCAAUGAAUUUUAACCUCUCCCUCUCUCAUGGAUCUGUGUCAUGCCUAUCACAGUCACUUAACUGGACCACCACGGCACCACGAAGCCCACAAUCUAGAGGAGCAAUUAAAACUCUCCAAAUCUAAAUAGCUUAAAAACACAUAGUAAUGCCCAGUAACUGAGUAUCUAUAUUGAAGAUGGCAAUAUCACCAACUUCUCCCUUGCAGCAAAAUGAACUUUGGCAUACAAAAUGUUGGCUCAAUUUCUGAUUUUCUGUCUUUUCGAAAGGAAAAAUACAUGUCAGUAGCCAGUUCCGGAUUAGUUACAUGGUAAAAUUCAAGAGGCAAAAAGUUUAAUUUCAUACACAAUAUCUGCAAGGUUGCAAUGAUAUACUAAUAACCUGGUUAUUGAAUUAUUUCCUCCUCAUUUAGCAUCUCCUACUCUGCUAAUGUAAAAACAACAACAACAUACCCAGUGUACUCCCACAAAGUGGGGUCUGGGGAUGGUAAAGUGUACGCAGUCCAUACCACUACCGCAGAUGAAGUAGAGAGGCCCUACUCUGCUAAUAAAUGAACAUACUAUAACAGACAUACACACACAUGACCACUCUGGGAUGUUAUAAGCAGAGAAAGCAGAAAGACGAUGUGAUUAGAUACACCUAAAGGGAAAAGAACACUACGUGAUUUCUCCUCUUCUACCUUGGUGGCAAAGUUAUCUAGAGAUACCUGGUAGCAGUUACCCGAUAGAAUAAUAGAGGUGCCGCAAACUGGCUCAGACACCACUAUUAUUAAAGGGAACAAAAGUGGUACUGCUACUACUAUUUUUUACAGUAGAGUUUAUGCUACUUCUUUGAGGCAUUAAAUUACAUUUCAACUUUUCUUCUCUGUUUAAUUACUUUAGAUGCUUUCGUAAUCUUUAUACUGAUGCUCACUUAUUGAAAUAAAAAUUUGUAAUGUCUGAACCUAAUAAUUUGAUGGAAAACGCCGCUCAUAUUUUCUUGCUUGAUAGUCCUAAUAAUGUCUAUUUGCACCACAUGCAACAAGUCAAAUAUAAAAACUAACAUUUUGUCCUACUCUAGCCAUAUCGUCAUUUCAAAUUUUGUUUCUUAAUGUUCGUCCGUACCCAAACAAAGUCUAGAAAAUAUUGUAGUAUAUUAAUGCGAUAGGUUGGCAACCAUCAAAACAAUAGUCGAACUAAGAUGAAUCUUGUUAAUAAAUAAUUUGUUGGAAUAUACCAAUUUCAAACCUUAAUGGUAUGCAUUAGCAAAUGUUAGAGUUAGUAUAGGUAAUGAGUCUUGUGCAGAAAAGGGAACAUCAUAAAGGCCAAAAGAUACCAAUCUACUGUAAUUUCAAUUGACUUUCUGUCUAACAAAUCACUCCAGCAUGCGGCAGUAUAUUUGGAUGUUUUUAACUUUUAACUGCCCUUUCUUUAGGAGAAGGAGGCACGUGUCAGUUUUGUGGUGUAUAUGCAUUUUCUUUACUUCUUUACGUUUCAGUUGCUUUUUGACUAAUUGAAACUGGAGUAGAUGGAAAUAAUAACAGUACUUCCUAAGCCAUAGUACUUUCUGACUUGAAGUUAAGGGCGAAAAGAAAAAAUGUCGGGACAAAACAAGCAUUACAAGUGACAUAAUAUAUCAAGAACCAUAGGAACACAGUAAUCUUGGAGAAAUACUAGGAACGUUCUAAAGGCAAGAGUAGAAACAUAAACAAUAACGCUUGUAUACCUGCAAGAGAAUGCGGACAAGCUCAGUGCUCCCAAAACGUGAUGCUUCAAGAAAACAUUGAUUGACAUUGUCUGCACCGCCCUCCACCAACAUGCCAAGCAAUCCUUGGAUUGCAGUUGCUGAAAUACCUGAUGCCCAGCCAGGGUCAAAUGAGCUAGAGAAGAGUGUAAGUGGGAAGCAAGCUGCAUCAAAUGCUUCUGUGAAGUCCUUUCCUGUAAGGUGGUUCCCAGCAAGAUCAAGGAAGGUCUUGAAAGCCGACAACUGUAGUUGUAUUUCUACAGCAGCAUUGUUCCCAGCCCUAUCCCUGUUCCCCUGGCAGCGCGAAUGGAAACCAAUACAUUUUAGAGCCCACUCAGUGAACUUCUGGACCUUAGCACCAGCUUCUGCCUUCAAAAUUACAUCCCCAUUGCACUCUUGAAGUCGUUCAUGUAACCUGCUAAUAGCAGUUGUGAAAAUCCAACAUGAGCGACACAAGCACCCAGCAUAAGGCAUGCAAAUUGACAUGAAGCAAAAAAAAGGGAAGGAAAGAAAAACAAAAUGAAAAGUUAAAACUGCAACUCUUAAACUAUUACCCAUUGAAAUCCUAAACAUGAAGAUCAUAAUAACCUCAACAGUAACCUCAUCAAAGAAAUUCUAAUAUUAGACAAUCAAAAUUAUAUAAAGAUUCUUUUAUUUACCUUACCGAUAAACAAAUGCAUGUUCCUAAUGCUUACAAUGUCUGGAGAAGACUGAAAGUAGAAAUUUCAGCAUGAAGAAUUAGGGAAAAUAUGAAUUUCAUGGAUUGUUCGAGGCAGAGAAGCUAGUAAGAUGCUCCUUCAAGGGAACGAAUAUGACUCUUAGGGUCAGUAAGACAUGCCGGCAAGAAAUUAUAUUUAUGAGAAGAGCUUUCUAAAGCUAUGCCAAGGAAGACAUCCAGUGAAUUGUACCUGGAAAUCCAAAUUCAUGGUUUUGGGAGAACUUAAAAUUAGAAACAAGCAUGCCCCAAUGUGCAAUAUUUGCACUAAUUUGAGCAUAAUUGCAUAUUUAAGAGAUGAGGAGACAUCAACAUAGUUGUUUCGACAUCAUGGUGGGAAGUUCUGAGUCUUCUGACAUGGUUCGGAAUUUAUUGGGCGAUGCCAAGCGAUGUAAAAGGUUUAAUUGUUCAGCUGGAGGUGCGGAAGAAGAAGUCGAAGAAGCAGGACUUCGAAUGUUGCUCCACAAGCACUGAUGUGGGUCAUUUCAAGAGAAUGAGACGGGUGAUCUUUUGAGGGCGUGGAGAUGAAUUUUGUAAUGUUAAGGAGUAGUCUCUUAUAUCUUAUUUCUUUUUAGUGCACCCAUGAGGUUCCUUGUUGUAUAGAUGAUUGGAUUUGCUUUUGAAAACCAUCUCUUUUUGUAGGUUUUCUACUUCUCUGAUAUACCUCUCGUGAUUUCCCCACUUUUAAUGAAGUUGAUUUACUUUAUCAAAAAAAAAAAAAGAUAUGCGCAAACAUUGAAGAGUAAAUUGAUUAUCCUUUGUACUUUUUUUACCAUCAAAGACUAAAUUCAAGUUAUUAAAGUCUUAGUUCAAUCAGACAAAUGAUGUAUAGGGAAAAGGCAUAAUCUCUGACCUUUGUGCCAUUACAGUCACAGUAUCUGUGAGGCUCAUGGUUCGACUUUGGCAAGCAGAAACACAAGAGGCAAGAAAUGAAGUCCUUAGGGCUGCCCGAGUGAAAUCAAAAGCACCAUUAGAAAUGAUCUUCUUAAUCAGCCCUGUUAUCCCAUACAACUCUUCUUGCGUACUUAAAAACCAUAUCGAGUCUAAAGCAAUGCACAAUGAAUCAUUUAGAGUUUGGGGAUCAGCCAGUAGAAUCAAACUCUCUGCAAGUUCCCAAUCAUGGCAACUCACAGCACCCUGAAACAAUCGCCCUAACUCAAUCCUCUCUUGUCUAUUAAGCUUCUUCUCGUGUCUAGAUUUCUCAUUUUUUCCAAUCUCACCGUCUGAACUAGCCAAUCUGGCUUUAAGUUUAUUAACUCCACAAUUACACCCUCCUACUACUACGGCAGAUGAUCUAAAGUCCUUACAUACAAUCGGAGAUUCUCCAGAAAAGACCACGUUAACAUUGCUUCCUUCACCAUUCUCUGACGGAAAACCUACAAUCUCAUUGCUUACACUAGGUGUUCCUCCAUUCUCACAGGAUUCCACUUCCAUCCCGAAACACUGAGACUCUUCCGCAUUAAUCUUGAUCUCACUUUCCAACUGUUCACUUCCUUCAACAAAAAUAAUUCCAUCUUCUUCCAUUUUUACCAAUCAAUCGAACACCCAAAACACUCCAAACAACUAAAACAAUCAAUUCUUCCAACCAACACCCAUAAGCUAAAUUAAAUAGCCUUAAUAAAUACACUCAAAAUCCCAAAAUUUAAACAAAGCCCUCCUUUAGCAAAUUUUGCACAAUACCAAAACUGUUUUUCACUCUCCUUCUCUACCACAAACAAAAACAAACCCCCCAAAAAUGAAGCCAAAAAAAGAGACCUUUACCUCCCCAAAUCAAAAUAUAACAACAAAUUUAAACAACGUCUCCUCCUUUACCAAAUUUUACACAAUACCCAAAAAUCAAGCCAAUGAAAGAUCAAACUCCAUCAAACCAAAAAAAAGACACACCUUCACCCCUCCAUUUUCAACAACAACAAAAGGAUUAAAGAAGCCCUCAAAUCAACAUAUAACACCAAAAUUAGACAAUACCCAAAAUUGCUUUUUGCCCAAAAAUUAAGUUAAUAAAAGAUCCAACUCCAUCAAACCAAAAAAGAGAUCUUUACAUCCAUUUCAAGAACAGCAAAAGGAUCAAAGAAACCCCAAAUCAACAAACAACUGUAAAAAUUAUACCAAAAAAUACCAGCUCAUCAUCAUCAUAGACCCUAAAACCCCUUUAACAUCAACAAAUCAAUAUCCAAACCUACAAGACAACAAAUUCCCAUCAGCAACAAAAAGGAUAUGCAGAAAAAGCAAAAAAAUCAACCAAAAAAUAUUAAAAAGGCAAAAACUUUGCAAUUUAUUUUUUGAUUUAUAAAAAAUACAAAUAAUUAGGAUUAUUAACCAAAAAAAAAAAGGGGGAGAGGAAAAAGGGGAAGGGAAAAUGGGUGCAAAAAAAUGGAGAAGAGAAGAAAACCUGAAUAAUAAUUAGUGGGAGAGAAAGUGAGAAAACCCUUUGCCCCUUGUUGUUCUUGGAUGGUUAAGAGUAUUUUGCCUUUUUAUGUGUUUUUAUUUUAUCUUUCUUCUUUAUUUUUCUCCUGCUAUCUUUUGUUUUUUAAUUUCAGAUUUUCUUUUUCCUAAUUCAUGGAAUCUUAAUAAUAAUAGUACCCCACAGAAUAAGAUUUGAAGAAAAACCGGAAAUUGAAAGAAUAAGUAAAAAAUGUAUGGAAUCAAUUUAGUUUAAAAAUUGAACAAAUGGGCACUGUCAUCUUUUGCUUUACUUGGUAUCAUUUGGUAUGCGAAUUAAAUUGUUCAGAAAUUAUAAAUCUGAAAUAAUAUAAUUUAUGUAUUAAUUUAUUUAUUUAAUAUGGAAAUAUAAUAAAAUAAUCUUAAAUUGCAUAGCAUAAGGUGAGAUAUACUAAAAUAAGUUUGGAAUAAGAUAUAUUAUACGUUUGAUAAAUUUUAAAUUUAUAUUAUUUAUUAAAUAUGAUAUAAAUUUUAUUUUAUAUUUAAUUAUGAGUUGUUUUACUUUAUCCCGCGUAUCAAACAAGUACAUGUAUAAUACUAUUCGUAUGAGUUUUAACUCUUUUACACGGAUAAUUUGUAAUUUUCACAUUAUCAUGCUAAAGUGAAACAAAAAGAAUACUACUAAUUGGCUAAUUGCUUAUAGUAUUACUUCUUUUUUUUCAAUUUCAAUUUGUUUGUAGUGUAUUUUAAAAAGAAUAUUUAUUUCUUUUUUAGUAAUAAUUUAAUUUUAAUUUUUCACUGAAAAUUAUAAGAUUAUAUGAUAUUUUAAUUAUAUUUAACAUAUCUUUAAUUAAAAAUUAUAAAAUUUAAAAUUUUCUAUUAUUUUCUUAAAUUUCUCGUUAUUCUUUUCCUUUUUAGCUCGAGCUUCGUUCAUUUAGGUAGUAAGAAUAAUCUUUUCAUUUCAUUUGGUUCAAGAGAUCUUUAAUUCAUUUUAUAAAGAAAAAAAAGAUAUUCUUUUGUAAUUAAUAAAAGGAAAGAACUGUCUUUUUAACUUUCACGAGAAUAAUAUAAUGGAGGACAGCACGAAUAUUUUCCUUGAGUAUAUAUAAAAGUUUUUCAUAUACAUAAGUUUAUGUCAUAAUUGUUUUGUAAUAAUAUGCUUGAAGAUUGUGAAUAAAAAAGAAAAAGAGAAAACUACAAAAAUAAAUUGGACAGACAAGAGUGGAAUGAGUCAUGAAAGUGAGAGUUCCCCUUACUAUAACACACACCACAAAAGGUUGCCCCCUCCAUGGGCCCCACUUCUCCCCACUACAAUCAUUACACAAACUCGCACCCUCACGCUCUCCCUUGUCCUUUUUUAAUACUACCUCAGUUUAAAUAAAAAUGACAUUUUUUUUUAAUCUAUUAUAAAAAAAAAAAAAUUAUAAUACUUUAAUUUUAACUUUUCAUGUAAUAUAUUUAAGAUUAUAAGAUUAAAAAAUAUUUUAAUAUAUUUCACACAAUUUUAAUUUAAUGUCACAAGAUUCAAAAAUCUUAUUCAUUUUCUUAAAUUAUGUGUCAAGUCAAAGUAGGUCAUUUUUUUAAACGGAGGAAGUAACUACUAGUUUAACCACAUGUAUCUCGCACGUAUAAUCUUUGAUUAUUUAAAAUUAAAUAAUUUUAUCUAUUGUGAAGAUUUUUAAUGAAAUACCAAAAGUUUAAAUUACUUAUUAAAAAUCCUUCAUAGUUUAAUCUAAUAAUAUAAGCAUAACAUAUACGAAGUAUUUCAUUAUAAGCACAUAUAUAUUUUACCACCAGAAAUUUUAAGUAAUUAAUGGAUCAUCAUUUUUGAGUUUAUCAUACAGUAUCUCUUUACUGUCAGAGGAUAAGAGAGACGCAUCGAUUUAAAUCAUACUUAUAAUAUGAUUAUUUUUUUAUUUUUUCUAUACUUAAAAUCUUUUCUUAUUUUUAAAGUUAAUUUUGUAGAAAAAAUUGUAUUAAUUACUUAAAAAAAUUUAAAAUUUGGCACUUCUUAUAUUUUUCUUAAUCUAACGCUUUCAUAUUUAUUUUUAAUUGUUUUAAAUCUUCUUAAAGUUGAUUUGAUUUAGCAUUUUUAAACUAAUGAAAAAGGUAUUAGUUAUCAUUAAUUCUAACGACUUCUAAUAAAGAAAGGUUUUAUUAUAAUGAUUUAAUUAAUUUUCAACUCUUAAAUAUUAAAAAAAUACUGAAAAGACGAUUUUAUCUAAAGCGGAGACUUUUAAUGAAGGACAAAAAGUUCAAAUAAUAUUUCUAAUGCCCUUCACACUUUUAAUAUAGUAUAUAUAACUUUUAAAAAAAAAAAAAAAAAUAUACUCCCUUCGUUAUAUUUUAUCACUAUUUGACUUGUUAAAUUAAAGAAAAAAAUAUAUAUUUAAAAUUUAUGAUCUAAAAUAAUUAUUUGACAACUGUGUGAUUGUAUAUCAUUUCAUUAUAAAGAAAAGAAAAAAUUUUAAGUUAAAUUAUUUAAGAUGACAUUUUUUUAGAUGAGCUAUCAUAUAAAAUGAAACGGAGGAAGCAUAUAUUUUAUCUCAAUUUAUGUGAUGGGUUUGAAUAUUUGAAUAUAUGCUGGAGAUUUGAUUUGUAGUUUUUUAUAAAUUUAUAUUUAAUUCUAUAUUUUUAUUAUGUAUAUUUUAUAAGUGGUUAUAAGAGAUCAUUUUUAAACUAUAUACGAAAUUUAAUUUAAAAAAAAAAGAACUUUUUUAGCAGACAGUUUAACACAAAAUAAUUAUCACUUUAAAAUUUUACUUUUAACUAUAUUUCUAAUAUUAAAUAAGAAUGCAUAGUAUUUAAGAGGGGGGUUCUAAUUUAUCUUCCUUAGAUAAGUGUAACUUACGGUGUUUUGGAAUGUCAUCUGGUAAUUGAAUAGUAUAAUUACUAGAAUACUAAUAACCAGCCUAGUAAUUACAUCAAUCUAUUUAUUUGUCAUAAUGGAAUUACGAUGGAAUUACGAAAUAUAAUCACAUGACUAUAUUAAAUCAUUAAAAAAUUAAAAUUUACUAAUAUUUGACAAAAAAGGAACUUUAUUAAGAAUAUUAAAUAAGGUAUUAUAGAUAUAUAUUGUCUUUUGAAUAUAUAUUAAUUGACAAACAUAUGUUCUUAACAAAUAUUAUCAACAAAUAAUUAAUAAAUAUUUUUUAAAUUAGUAUAUUUACUUAAAUUAAUCAUAAAAAUUAGAAGUAUAUGAAUUUUUAAAAAAUCAUAAACUGCAUGUUUGAAAAAAAAAAAUAUCAUAGAUAUAAUGUCAUAAAUUUGCUAAAACACUUGAAAAAAAAAAAAGAUAAUUUGUCAAUUUUAACUAUUAAAAUAAUGUGAUCAAGUCAAUACUACUAAACAAAUAAACUGAAAACAAAAAUAUAAUAUAAGUUCAAAAUUAAAAAAAAAAAAUUAACAGAAUACUCUUAUGUCAAAUUUCAGUAUAAUGUAUAUAUAUAAUUCAAAAGAAAAGAAAAAUGUAAGUCUGUAACUUUAUACACAAUGAAUUCUAUUUUAAUUUUAAGUUAAAAUACUAACAUAAUUAUACUAAAUAAGAAAAUAAACACCAAAUAAAUAAAAACAACCAAUACGAACAAUUGAAUAGAACUACAAGAAAUAAAGAUUGAGAAAUAAGAAGUAAGGAAAUGAAAUAUAAAUAAUAUAAAAUAAAAUAUAUUUUAUAUAAUAAUAAAAAAAAAUAACCUUAUAAUUAUAUCAUGUAAGUAGCAAUAAUUCACAACUCCCCCACCCCCACCCCCCACAUAUCUAUUAGUUUUUAAUGAGCAUGAAAAAAUUAAAAACUACAGUUAAAGUGAGAUGGAGGAGUAAUUUAUAUUUAUUUAAAUAUAAAUUGUAUUAUUAAAAAUAAUAUAAAGUUUAUAAUUAAAUUAUUUUUAAAUAUUAAAAAAAGAUUCUCUUAAAAACAAACUAAAAUAAUGAUUAAAUAUAAAUAGUGACAGAGAGUAAAAAGGAGGCCAUUUUAUUUCUCAAAGACCAUACCUACUUCUUUUGUAUUCUCUUUUUAAACAAUAUUGUGCAUGAUUACAAGAUUAACAUAAUUUUUAAUACACAAAGUAAAUUAUUUGUAAGGUUACGUGGAUAUGAAAAUUUGUGCAUGUUCUUGGCGAUCAAAUGUAUUACAAAGAGAUUCAUAUUAUCCUAUAUUUAAAAAUGACACUACUAACAAUUCUUUAAUCACGAAGAAUACUUAGGAGAAAAAAUUCAAGAAAUAAACAUAGUUGCUCUUAUAAUUCAACAACAAAAUAUGUGUUUCAUUAUAUUUAUUUGCCACGAUUGUAAUUAAUUUUCAGCGCUAAAAAUUGUUAUAAAUAAAUUGGCACGUUUAGCAAGGUUAAAUCUAUCAUUCAUCUUUUCUCUCGCAAAUUAAAUUUUCCAAAUCUAAAUUCACAAAAUUACAAAGAUGAAAAUUCCAUUUAUAUGGGUACUUUAAGUCUCUAUUGAGUUUCAUUAAGGGGUCGUUUGAUAGAGUGUAUAAGAUAGUAUUGAAUAUGAUGUAUUAGUAAUGCUGGGAUUAUUAAUGCUGGGAUUAUUUUUUAUUCAGUGUUUGGUUUGAUGUAUUAAAAACAAUAUGUAUUAUUAUAUUUUUAAAAUAGUAUUAUUUGUUUACAAAAAUACCCUCGACAUACUAUAGCUUUGUAUUUAUUUUUUUUGCAAAGCUUUAUUAUUCUUUUUUAAAAAUAAAAAAAUUAACAAUAUACCUAAUAACUUACUUUGAAUUUUCAAAAUUUAAUCUUUCACUUGCAGAAAUUAUUUUUUUGUUGUUAUCUUUUCUUUAUUUGUUUGUCAUUUUUUUGUUAUUCCCAGUUUGUGGUGUCCUUAAGUUGGAGGGAGGUAUGUGUAAACUUUGAAUGAGACAAUAGAAUCGUUGUUAACAUAAAAUUAUGUUUCAUAAAGUGUUAAAGCUAAGCCAAAAAAAAUAAUUAUUUGUGAUAUAUCUUAUUUACUAAAUUAAAGCUUGUAUGCAAUUUAUUAUCGGGUUUUGACCAAGUUACUAGAACAUACGUAUUUCUUAAUUUAAUUGAGUAGUUUUUUUUAUGACUAAAAUUAUCAUCUUGAUAAAUUAAAAAGACAUAACUCACAUUGAAUAAAUUAUUUUUUUUUGAAAGAUUUAAAGGAACUUGAAGGUAUUUUUGUCUUUACUCAUAUUUAUCCCAUGCAUUAUAAUUUAUGGAUUACUAAUACCCCAAAUGAGAUGUAUUAGUCAUACACCCCGUAAUAUCAUGUAGGGUGUAUAACUAAUAUAUGUAUUAAUCAUACAUUGAUUCAAAAUUACUAUCAAACAAUGUAUUAAAUAAUACCACACUUUAAUACAUGAAUUAUUUUUCUAAUACACUCUACUAUAUGGCUCCUAAGUGUACACUCCAACAAGCCUUAAUGUAGUCAGAUUUAAAAUAGGACUCUACAAGAUGAGUUCAGUCCAUCUUCAAAUUCUAAGGUCCAUUUGAAUUUCUUGGAGAAUACUUUACCUUAAAUUUUAGCUUACAUCUCUUGACAAAAAAAAAAAAAAGAUACAUAUUUUCAUAAAGAGGCAUCUCAAAUAUUUCAUAAAAUUUUGAAUAUUCACAAAGAGGUCAAGACAACAACUAUUGUCUUUCUCAAAGCAAAAGAUAUCCGACGUUCUUGAAGAUCAAAUAUAUCUCAAGGAGGUGCAUAUCAUCCUAUGUUCUAUAAAAUAUGCUACUAACAAUCCUCGAAUCACAGAAAAAAUUUAAGAGAGAAUAAUCAAAAGAUAAAAAAAAAAAAACUGUACUUAUAUAUAUUCAUCAAUAAACUCUCGAUUUAAUCAUAUUUUAUUUGUGAUUAUAAUCAAUUUUCACCACAUUAAUUUUGCUAUAAACAAAUUGACACUUUUAGUGGGACCUAAUCCGUCUUCAUCUCUUAUCUCACAAAUCUUAUCUGCAAAAUUCAGAGCCACAAAAUCGAAAAAAGACGAAAGCUUCAUUUUUAUAAGUACUUCAAGUCUCAUCUUUGAGUUUCAACAUGUCCACUACUCCAAGUCUUAAAGUAAUGACAUUUAUAGAUAUUAAAAUUUUAACAAAUUUAAAAUAGGCUCUAUAAGACGAGUCCAAUCCCUUUUCAAAUGCAAAGAUCCGCUAGAAAUAUUUGAAAGCUACUUCACCCUAAACUUUAGCUCACACAUAUUUACUUGAAAAGACAUCUCAAAUAUUCAAUAAAAUUGGGUAUCCACAAAGAGAUCAGGAUAUCAUAUGUCUUUCUCAAAGCAAAAUGUUAUCUUUCUCUCCCGUCAAUAACAACAAAUAACAACAAAUUCAAUAUAUUCUCACAAAAUGAGAUCUGAAAAGGAUAAGUGUACGCAGUCUAUAUCACCACCUCAGGAUUAUCAUAUUCUCUUAACAAUUAAAUAUAUUACUAAGAGGUCCAUAUUAUCUACCGUAUGAAAACUAUGCUACUAAUGAUCAGAGGUGGAGCCAGGAUUUUAACAAAGGGGGUUCCAUAUUCAAAGAAAACUUAGAAUUUCAACUAAGGGGGUUCCAUAUUCAAAGAAAAUUUAGUCGAAGGGGGUUCAACACCUACUAUAACCACAUAAAAAAUAAUUUUAAUCAUGUAUAAAUAGUAUAUUUUUUCGUCGAAGGGAGUUCGGCCGAACCCCCGAAUAGAAAGCUGGCUCCGCCCCUGCUAAUGAUACUUAAAUCACAAAAAAUAUUUUGAAAAAAAAAUCAAGAAAUAAACACAUAAUUAUACUCAUAAAUAUUCAUCAAUAUAACCUAUGUUUAUUAUCUCUAUUUAUGAUUAUACUCAAUUUCCAUCAACUAACUUCAUUUAUUAACUUGACGUUUAAGAGGUAUAUAUCAAAAGAUAUGGAUUGAAUAAAUACAUAAUGAGUUUAAGCAUCCUUUAGUUCUAUUAAAAUAAAGAAAAUCAAUUAAAGAUAAUUGUGUUUUUUCGAAAGCAAAGUAAGACAAAUUAACAUGGUAGUUAAAAUUAAAUAAAACUAUACUGAGUUUUAGGCUUUUUAAGCUUCAAUAAGAUGAGAAAGAAAAAAAGAAAAUUGUAUUCACCUUGAAACGAAAAGGGUGAAAAUCGUUUUCACCUCCCAACUAUACUUUAAAAAUCAAAUUUUCCUUCAACAUUGAAUAAUAAUUAUACUCUCUCCUUUAGCUUAUGCAAUAUCUAUUUCACCCUUAUAAUUUUAAUCUUAUAUUUAUUUAAUGCCUUUUUAUAUUAUAUAUAAUAUAUUUUUUUUAACCUAAGUAAUUAUAUUAUUUUAUUUAAGUUAAUUAAUAUUAUAAGUAAAAUAAUAUUAUUUUAUAAAUUUGUCACAAAAUUGAAUGUUAUUUUUUACGAUUGCUAUUUUAAUAUUAUAUGUAUUAGAGAGUCAUUUCAUGUGAGGUGUAAUUAUAAUAAUUUGAGGACAAAAAUUCAUGAUUAUUUUAUCCUGCAUUUGGUUAGAGGUAUUAGUUAGUCUCAAAAUUAUUUAUUCCACCGUUUAUACAACAGUGAUGGGAUAAGUUAUCACAUAUACAUAUUGGUAUAAUUUAUUUUAGGAUAACUAAUCCCGAAAUAACUUGUCCCAACCAUACUAAGACACCCUUAAGUUGUAUAUAUGUAUGUACAUACAUGUGUGUAUUUUUUUUUGUUUCAUCACUCUCUUACUAUAUCCAUUUAAUGUUACUUGACUUUUGUUUACAUGACACAAUUCUUAAGAAAUUUUUAUAUAUAAGUGUAUUUUACUAAAUUAACUUUAUUAAUGAUAUUUUAAAUUUUUGAAUUUGUUUAUACUACUACUUUAUGUAGUUAUUUAAUACUAAGGAUAAAAAAAAAAAUAAUACAAUUCUCUUGAUUUCAUAAUUUGGAUAAGUAAACUAAAAUGAUUAUUUUUAGUAUGAGAGUCAAGUGACAAGAAAUGAUAUCAUAAAUAAAUUUGUCAAUAAUAGAGUAUUACAUAAGUUAUAAUUCAUCUAACUAAAUAUAAUCUUUAAAAUUUUGCCCUUAUUUUAUUCAUUAUUUUAUAUUUUCUGCAUUGAAAUAUGUUUAUAAAUUUAAUAUUAAUUAUUAUUUUCACUUGUAAAAUAAAUAUUAGAGUUUUGAUUAUUAUUAAUAAUUUUUUUAUUAUGUUAAUUUAUUUCAUUAUAGAUCAUCAUUAGCUUAUAUAUUUAAUUAGUAUUUCACACUUUUUUCAACCAAAAGAUAAUGUUUAUAUUUUUAUGAAAAUAUUAUUAUAUGAAUCUUAAAAAAAUAAAAAUAUGAUGAUUUUAAAGAAGUAAAAAAAAGCCGAUGAUGAGAGGAUGUAAUAGACAUUUUAAAAAUUUAAUUAGGAUAAAGAAGAAAUAUGACUAUUAUUCAAAAUUGAGAAGGAAGUUUAAUUUUUAAGACAAAAUCGGGGAAGUAAAAAUGGUUUUCACCCAUAGAAAAUAAGACAAAUUAAGGGUGUGUUUGGUAUGAAGGAAAGUGUUUUCUAUGAAAAAUGUUUUCCUAGAAAAUGUUUUCUCGAAAAACAAGUUGGUUUCUUAUUUGUUUUCUUAUGUUUGGUUGGUGAGUAGAAAAUAUUUUUUGAAAAAUAUUUUCUAGUGUUUGGUAGGUGAAUGAAAAAAUAUUUGUCAGAAAAUAAAUUUGAGUAAAAAUAUAUUUUAGAAAAAUAAUUUUUGACCCCAGAAAAUAUUUUUCUUAUGGUGUGAUCGAUAUGAAGGAGGAAAAAUAUUUUCUAGAAAAAUAAGUUGUUUCUUACUUAUAUUUUUGUGUUCGUUAUGCAAAUUGAGUAAGUAUAUAUUUUCUAAAAGAAUUUAUAUAUAUUUAACAAAAAUAAUGAGAGUGAAUAGGAUAAAAAGGGUGGGAUGAUAAUUUCAUUUUGAUUUUUUUAAAAUAAAUCAAAAAAAAUAUUUUUUUUAGGAAGGGGGUGGUAGGUAGGAGGUUGGGGCUGUCAAAAUAGGUAGUAGAAGUGGGUAAGAAAAAAUUUUUAAUUAAAAAAAAAUUUUAAAAAAAAAUAGAGAGAGGGGGGGUUAGUAAGGGGGAUGGCGCAGAAGAAUGAGGAUGGGGUAAGAAUUUUAUUCUAUUAAAAAAUAAAUUUAAAAAUUUAAUUUGGAGGGGGAGGAGAGGAGGUUGGUUGGGAGGUUGAGGGUUAGGGGGUAAGAAAAAAGUUUGAAUUCUCUUGAAAAAAUUAAAUAUUUUCUUUUGGGAGGGAGUAGGGGUUUGAGUUUUGAGAUAAGGAUGAGAUAAGAAAAAAAUGUGAAAUAUUUUUCUUGAAUGGAGGUGGUAAGGGCUGGAGGUCGUGGUAGGAGAGUGAGGGUGAGAUAAGGAAAAAAUUAAAAAAUUUUAAAAAUAAAUUUUAAAAAUUUAAUUUUUCUUAGGGGGGAGGGAGUUGGUAGGGGUUGGGGGGGAGGGGUAAGAAAAAAAUUUGAAUUUUUUUUUAAAAAAUAACUUUUUUUAAGAGGGGGGAGGGGGAGUUACGGGGUUUGGGUUUGGGGUAGGGAAUGAGGUAGGAAAAAAUUUUGAAAUAUUUAUUUUGGAUGGGGGUAGAGGAUUGGGGGUUGGAGUAGGAGUGAGUGAUUUUGAGAGUUGUAUGAAUAUUUCAACUUAAAAGUGAGGUUGAAAGAGAAUUUUGAAAAAUAUUUUCCGAACUUUUUGAACGAAAGUUAUUUUUCUUAGAUUUGAGAAAAAUAAGGUGAUUUGAAAAAUAUUUUUCAAAACAAUUAAGCCAGCUAAAUAAAAUAUUUUUUCUGAAAAAUAUUUUCGUUCAUACCAAACACACCCUAAUAGUAGAUUUAUUUUUGAGUGAGUGUAAUUGUGGUUGUUAAAAGUGCAUCUAACCAACACAAUGGGACAAAAAAGAUUUUUGCUGUGAUGGCGCUAUUCUUGGAAUUUCAAUAUAAAAAAAGAAUGAAAAUUAUUAUUGUAAUCACCUCCAUUUUGAGUAAGUCCCACAGCAUCUAUAAUCAUUUAGUAAUGAAAUUAACAAUUGCAUUAAAGUAUGAUAUUCAUAGGGAUUAGUAGCUGAGAUCAAUGGUACUUGCACAAUUUUUUAAUGGGGUAGUAGUCGUAUUAUACAAGUUUAUUAUAUUGGAAAAAUCAUUUUGGCCAUAAAAUUUGGCCAUAAUUUGACCAUAAUAAUAAUAAAUCCUUUUCACAUUACAAAUUAGUUUCUUUUUAGAUAUUUUUAUCUCUUUCAUCUUAAAUUUAAAACUCUUUCAUUACUUAUUUUAUUACUUUUUUCAAUACAUUGAAAACUAUCCAAUACAUGAAAAUGGACAAAUUAACAUAAUUUUCAUAAAUAUGAUUGCAUAAUACUUAUUGCUUGAAAAGAAUAGUUUAGGAUAAAAAUAAUAAUAUAAAAUUAAUUAAUUAUAUUCUUAUAUAUCCAAAAUCAGUAUGACCAGAGUAGUAUUAUUUGAAAUUUUUAAUUUAACAUUAUAUAUUUAUGUAUCAUAUCUACUUAAUUAUGUGUUUUAUCAUCGAAAUAAUUCUUAUUUUUUUAAUCUUUAAUUUUAAAUUUUAUAUCUCUUUAUUUUAUAUAGACAAAAUGGGAGGUAUAGAUAUAUAACUUAAAACCUAUCAAUAUUUUGAAUAACUUUUAGUUUUUUAUUUUUGUUGAAAUCUGAUUCAUAGUUUAGUAUUACAUAAAAUAAACAAUUAUAGAAAGUUCCAACACAAAAAGUUAAUUAUUUUUUUAUGAAUUCAGUUGUACAAUUUUAAUUAUGCUGUAAUUUUUCUCAUGAUAAUUCAAACGAUUUUUUUUUUCAUUUCAAGUCUUUUCUAUCUAUUUUUAGAAGUAGAGUGGAAAGAAGUCAACAUAACAUUUGAAAAUUUUUCAUAAAAGUUUUCUUAGUUGAAUUUUUUUUUCACCCCAUGUUAAUCUUACGCUUAAAUUAUAUAUAAAUGAUAAGAAAAAUACAUAAAGAAAAAAAUAAAAAUUAUUUAUGAGUUUUAAAACUAAAAGUUUGCAUAGUUAGAUAAUUUUUAAUAUAAUAUAAAAAUAUUUUAAUAAAAACUUAAAACACUUUAGACGUGAUAGACUUUGACAAGUUAUAAAAAUCAUAUAGUUCAUAAGUGUCAACUUUAAUUAACAAUAACCAAAGAGAGUCAUGCAUUGAUGUUGUAGUCUUGUGUCACUAUGUUACACGGAUUUGAUAACUUAGGAAUCAUUAUUUAUAAUUUUAUUAAUAUACAUGACUUCUAAUUAAGGAACUAUAUUAAUUUAUAUGUUUAUAUAAAUUUAAACUACAUCUUUGAAUAGUUUUUUUUUUUAAAUAUAGUUUAAAAAUAUUUCAAUAGUGAUAGUCAAAGCUCAAAUUACUUUAGACAUGAUAGAUAUCGUCAUAAAAUAAAAAUUAUAUAGUUCUAAAAAAGUCAAUAUUGGUUAAACAUCAAUUCAAGAAAGUCACACAUUAAUGUUAUGGUCAUGCGAUCCUACGUACUUUAAUUAUUAUAUUUGUUAACUGGUGAAUUAAAAAUAUAAUUAUUAACUGGUGAAUUAUUUAUUAUAUUUGUUAUUAAUAUGAACUUUAACUACGUGAUUUUAUUUGUAUGUUUAAAAAAAUUGAACAACAUAUUUAAAUAGUGUAUUACGGCUACAAGCUGAGGUUACUAUUGCUAAAUUAACUUUUAUCGUGUGAAAAAUAAUUUUUUCACUUACACUAGGCAUGUUGUAGGUGAAAAUUAAAAAGAAUUGAAAAAUUGAAUAACUGAAAUCAAAGAUAGGUAAAAUUUAUCUGCUAUUACAUAACAUUGAUUCUAUCACAUAAAAAAAUUCAAACAUAAAUGUCAUUUAACUUUAAGAAUUGAUAUUUGUGACAUAAAAAUAUUCUAUCUUCUAAAUUUAGAAAACAAAAAUUAUUUGACCACAAUUUUUGUGUACUAUUAGAAAAUAACAAAUUAAAGGACAUAUAAUAGUUAUAAUGGCUAUUUUAUGAAAUUGAUUUGAGACACAUAAUAAAUACUAAUUCUCAUAGAACUUGAUUAGGAUAAGCUUGUGUGAGACUUAAUAAAAUUUUGUUUAGAUUUGAUAUAAUUAAUUCAUCAAAGUUAAUAUAAUUACUUAUUUUUAAAAAUUAUAUUUAAAAUUUUACAAGCUAUAAAAUUGGAUCUAAUCGUCGACAACUCUAAUGACACUUCAAAUACUCUAUAUGUGAGACAAGACUAUCAAUUAAUUUUAAUCGUGGAUAUAUAUAUGUAUGCUUAAGAUACUGAAAUAGCUCAUAUUGGCAUCAAAUCAAUAAUAAUUCAUACAAGCUAAAUCUUCUAAUCGAUAGUUAAGUCAAAAAAAUGAAAUUUAAUUUAUUCAUUUUUCUCUUUAUAAAGAGGUUUUCUUUCAUCCAAAAAUUGACUAUAAUUUCAUUUUAAAAUACAGAACUUCUAUUGACGCCAUUGAAAUAAAGGUAUUAUUAUCGAACAAACAUAACGUAACACUUAGUGAACUUAAUUUGCUUAAAAUUAAUAUAAUUAGUUGAUUAAAAGCAAUUAAAUUUAAUUGUCCAUUUAUUUAGAUAUAAAUUAUUGUAUAGAUAUGCUUUUAUAAUUAUAUGUUCAGUUAUUAAUCCUUGUUCAACUAACAAUAAUUACAUUUGCAGUAAUUAUUAGUUAAUUCAAUUUAAUAAUAGACCAUAAAAGUAUUAUUCCAAUAAAUAAUGUUUGAGAGUCAUAACAAUUAUCAAAAUAUCUGAUCAAGAUAAAACUUAAGUUUAAAUGCAGAAUUUUUUUAUUUAAAUCGUCUAUAAUUAUUUAAUUAAAAAUAACUACAUUAUAAUCAUUGAUCUAUUUAAAUUAUAUUUCAAAUUUACUUGUAAGACUCGGUAAGAUUGUAUCAAAUCAAAUCAAAUGAUUAAAAAUCUAAUUUAAUUAGAUCGGCAAAUAUAUUAUUGUGAUGAAGCUUAGUGUUUGAUUUUAUGAUAAAAAAUUUUAAUCUCUAUGUAGACACAAUAUAAAUUUAGUAUUGUAUUUUUGUAAUCAUUUUUCAGAGAAACUUAUUCGAUCUAGUUAACAACAACCUAGGAGAGUACUAAAAAAUUAAUAUUGUAGUUUUUGUGCCAAUAUUUUAUGCCAAUUUGACAACUUAUGAAUCAUUACUUAUAUUUUCUAUUAAUAUGAGCUCUAAAUAAGUAAUUUUAUAAAUUAUUAUGUUUGAAUAAAAUUUAAACUGUAUGUUUUUUUUUAAAUAUAACUUUUAAAUAUUUCAAUAGCAACACUCAAAAUUCAAAGUACUUUAGUUAUGAUAGACAUUGACAUAUUAUAGAAAUCAGGAAAGUUAUACAAUUCACAAGUGUCGAUUCUAAUUAUGAAAAUCAAGCAUACAUAUGCUAUAUUUUGAAAAUCUUACACCUAUACUUUCCGUAAUAUUAUACCUAUUUUUUAAAUAUUUUUAAAAAUUAUUUAUAAAAUAAUUUUACAGUGAAAGAAUAAAAUAAAAUAUUACAUUUAAAAAAAAUUACAAAUAACUCAAGUAUUUAAAGUGAAAAUAAAUUAUUACUAAUAGUUGGUUUAUCCUAUUAAAUAAUUUGUAUCAUUUCAUAUCACACUCAUUAGACACAAAAAAAUUAUUUUAUAAAAUAAAUAAAUUAUAUAUUUGCUAACUUUUUAUUUUAAAUUAUUCCCAAAUUAAAAAUAAAAGAAAAAAAUAAUAAUUUAGCCUCUUUCAUCAAUUUCUCUCCGAAUUAAAAGGUGUCGCAUGGAUAUUUAGCCUCUUUCAUCAUCCGAUUUUUUUAUCACUAUUUAGUUUUUGCUUUUUAAUCUUAAUUUUUUUAUUUUACGUUAUUUAUGUUUCAUUUCCUUUCUUUUUAUUUGUCAAUCAUUACUUCUUGUAAUUUUAUGUUAUGCCACAUAUUUGUGGACCCUAGUUAACAACAACUAGAGAUAUCAAGAUGCAUUAUUGUUGUAUUUUGUACCUCCAUAUUACGGUAAUUUGAUAACUUGAGAAUAUUACUUAUAUUCACUAUUAAUAUAUCCUCUAAUUAAAUAGUUUUAAUUAAUUAUUAUAUUUUAAUAAAUUUAAACUAUAUUUAAAUAAUUUAUAAGUCUAAUUUGAAAAUAUUUCAAUAAUGAUAAUCAAAAUUUAAAAUAUUUUAAACNNNNNNNNNNNNNNNNNNNNNNNNNNNNNNNNNNNNNNNNNNNNNNNNNNNNNNNNNNNNNNNNNNNNNNNNNNNNNNNNNNNNNNNNNNNNNNNNNNNNNNNNNNNNNNNNNNNNNNNNNNNNNNNNNNNNNNNNNNNNNNNNNNNNNNNNNNNNNNNNNNNNNNNNNNNNNNNNNNNNNNNNNNNNNNNNNNNNNNNNNNNNNNNNNNNNNNNNNNNNNNNNNNNNNNNNNNNNNNNNNNNNNNNNNNNNNNNNNNNNNNNNNNNNNNNNNNNNNNNNNNNNNNNNNNNNNNNNNNNNNNNNNNNNNNNNNNNNNNNNNNNNNNNNNNNNNNNNNNNNNNNNNNNNNNNNNNNNNNNNNNNNNNNNNNNNNNNNNNNNNNNNNNNNNNNNNNNNNNNNNNNNNNNNNNNNNNNNNNNNNNNNNNNNNNNNNNNNNNNNNNNNNNNNNNNNNNNNNNNNNNNNNNNNNNNNNNNNNNNNNNNNNNNNNNNNNNNNNNNNNNNNNNNNNNNNNNNNNNNNNNNNNNNNNNNNNNNNNNNNNNNNNNNNNNNNNNNNNNNNNNNNNNNNNNNNNNNNNNNNNNNNNNNNNNNNNNNNNNNNNNNNNNNNNNNNNNNNNNNNNNNNNNNNNNNNNNNNNNNNNNNNNNNNNNNNNNNNNNNNNNNNNNNNNNNNNNNNNNNNNNNNNNNNNNNNNNNNNNNNNNNNNNNNNNNNNNNNNNNNNNNNNNNNNNNNNNNNNNNNNNNNNNNNNNNNNNNNNNNNNNNNNNNNNNNNNNNNNNNNNNNNNNNNNNNNNNNNNNNNNNNNNNNNNNNNNNNNNNNNNNNNNNNNNNNNNNNNNNNNNNNNNNNNNNNNNNNNNNNNNNNNNNNNNNNNNNNNNNNNNNNNNNNNNNNNNNNNNNNNNNNNNNNNNNNNNNNNNNNNNNNNNNNNNNNNNNNNNNNNNNNNNNNNNNNNNNNNNNNNNNNNNNNNNNNNNNNNNNNNNNNNNNNNNNNNNNNNNNNNNNNNNNNNNNNNNNNNNNNNNNNNNNNNNNNNNNNNNNNNNNNNNNNNNNNNNNNNNNNNNNNNNNNNNNNNNNNNNNNNNNNNNNNNNNNNNNNNNNNNNNNNNNNNNNNNNNNNNNNNNNNNNNNNNNNNNNNNNNNNNNNNNNNNNNNNNNNNNNNNNNNNNNNNNNNNNNNNNNNNNNNNNNNNNNNNNNNNNNNNNNNNNNNNNNNNNNNNNNNNNNNNNNNNNNNNNNNNNNNNNNNNNNNNNNNNNNNNNNNNNNNNNNNNNNNNNNNNNNNNNNNNNNNNNNNNNNNNNNNNNNNNNNNNNNNNNNNNNNNNNNNNNNNNNNNNNNNNNNNNNNNNNNNNNNNNNNNNNNNNNNNNNNNNNNNNNNNNNNNNNNNNNNNNNNNNNNNNNNNNNNNNNNNNNNNNNNNNNNNNNNNNNNNNNNNNNNNNNNNNNNNNNNNNNNNNNNNNNNNNNNNNNNNNNNNNNNNNNNNNNNNNNNNNNNNNNNNNNNNNNNNNNNNNNNNNNNNNNNNNNNNNNNNNNNNNNNNNNNNNNNNNNNNNNNNNNNNNNNNNNNNNNNNNNNNNNNNNNNNNNNNNNNNNNNNNNNNNNNNNNNNNNNNNNNNNNNNNNNNNNNNNNNNNNNNNNNNNNNNNNNNNNNNNNNNNNNNNNNNNNNNNNNNNNNNNNNNNNNNNNNNNNNNNNNNNNNNNNNNNNNNNNNNNNNNNNNNNNNNNNNNNNNNNNNNNNNNNNNNNNNNNNNNNNNNNNNNNNNNNNNNNNNNNNNNNNNNNNNNNNNNNNNNNNNNNNNNNNNNNNNNNNNNNNNNNNNNNNNNNNNNNNNNNNNNNNNNNNNNNNNNNNNNNNNNNNNNNNNNNNNNNNNNNNNNNNNNNNNNNNNNNNNNNNNNNNNNNNNNNNNNNNNNNNNNNNNNNNNNNNNNNNNNNNNNNNNNNNNNNNNNNNNNNNNNNNNNNNNNNNNNNNNNNNNNNNNNNNNNNNNNNNNNNNNNNNNNNNNNNNNNNNNNNNNNNNNNNNNNNNNNNNNNNNNNNNNNNNNNNNNNNNNNNNNNNNNNNNNNNNNNNNNNNNNNNNNNNNNNNNNNNNNNNNNNNNNNNNNNNNNNNNNNNNNNNNNNNNNNNNNNNNNNNNNNNNNNNNNNNNNNNNNNNNNNNNNNNNNNNNNNNNNNNNNNNNNNNNNNNNNNNNNNNNNNNNNNNNNNNNNNNNNNNNNNNNNNNNNNNNNNNNNNNNNNNNNNNNNNNNNNNNNNNNNNNNNNNNNNNNNNNNNNNNNNNNNNNNNNNNNNNNNNNNNNNNNNNNNNNNNNNNNNNNNNNNNNNNNNNNNNNNNNNNNNNNNNNNNNNNNNNNNNNNNNNNNNNNNNNNNNNNNNNNNNNNNNNNNNNNNNNNNNNNNNNNNNNNNNNNNNNNNNNNNNNNNNNNNNNNNNNNNNNNNNNNNNNNNNNNNNNNNNNNNNNNNNNNNNNNNNNNNNNNNNNNNNNNNNNNNNNNNNNNNNNNNNNNNNNNNNNNNNNNNNNNNNNNNNNNNNNNNNNNNNNNNNNNNNNNNNNNNNNNNNNNNNNNNNNNNNNNNNNNNNNNNNNNNNNNNNNNNNNNNNNNNNNNNNNNNNNNNNNNNNNNNNNNNNNNNNNNNNNNNNNNNNNNNNNNNNNNNNNNNNNNNNNNNNNNNNNNNNNNNNNNNNNNNNNNNNNNNNNNNNNNNNNNNNNNNNNNNNNNNNNNNNNNNNNNNNNNNNNNNNNNNNNNNNNNNNNNNNNNNNNNNNNNNNNNNNNNNNNNNNNNNNNNNNNNNNNNNNNNNNNNNNNNNNNNNNNNNNNNNNNNNNNNNNNNNNNNNNNNNNNNNNNNNNNNNNNNNNNNNNNNNNNNNNNNNNNNNNNNNNNNNNNNNNNNNNNNNNNNNNNNNNNNNNNNNNNNNNNNNNNNNNNNNNNNNNNNNNNNNNNNNNNNNNNNNNNNNNNNNNNNNNNNNNNNNNNNNNNNNNNNNNNNNNNNNNNNNNNNNNNNNNNNNNNNNNNNNNNNNNNNNNNNNNNNNNNNNNNNNNNNNNNNNNNNNNNNNNNNNNNNNNNNNNNNNNNNNNNNNNNNNNNNNNNNNNNNNNNNNNNNNNNNNNNNNNNNNNNNNNNNNNNNNNNNNNNNNNNNNNNNNNNNNNNNNNNNNNNNNNNNNNNNNNNNNNNNNNNNNNNNNNNNNNNNNNNNNNNNNNNNNNNNNNNNNNNNNNNNNNNNNNNNNNNNNNNNNNNNNNNNNNNNNNNNNNNNNNNNNNNNNNNNNNNNNNNNNNNNNNNNNNNNNNNNNNNNNNNNNNNNNNNNNNNNNNNNNNNNNNNNNNNNNNNNNNNNNNNNNNNNNNNNNNNNNNNNNNNNNNNNNNNNNNNNNNNNNNNNNNNNNNNNNNNNNNNNNNNNNNNNNNNNNNNNNNNNNNNNNNNNNNNNNNNNNNNNNNNNNNNNNNNNNNNNNNNNNNNNNNNNNNNNNNNNNNNNNNNNNNNNNNNNNNNNNNNNNNNNNNNNNNNNNNNNNNNNNNNNNNNNNNNNNNNNNNNNNNNNNNNNNNNNNNNNNNNNNNNNNNNNNNNNNNNNNNNNNNNNNNNNNNNNNNNNNNNNNNNNNNNNNNNNNNNNNNNNNNNNNNNNNNNNNNNNNNNNNNNNNNNNNNNNNNNNNNNNNNNNNNNNNNNNNNNNNNNNNNNNNNNNNNNNNNNNNNNNNNNNNNNNNNNNNNNNNNNNNNNNNNNNNNNNNNNNNNNNNNNNNNNNNNNNNNNNNNNNNNNNNNNNNNNNNNNNNNNNNNNNNNNNNNNNNNNNNNNNNNNNNNNNNNNNNNNNNNNNNNNNNNNNNNNNNNNNNNNNNNNNNNNNNNNNNNNNNNNNNNNNNNNNNNNNNNNNNNNNNNNNNNNNNNNNNNNNNNNNNNNNNNNNNNNNNNNNNNNNNNNNNNNNNNNNNNNNNNNNNNNNNNNNNNNNNNNNNNNNNNNNNNNNNNNNNNNNNNNNNNNNNNNNNNNNNNNNNNNNNNNNNNNNNNNNNNNNNNNNNNNNNNNNNNNNNNNNNNNNNNNNNNNNNNNNNNNNNNNNNNNNNNNNNNNNNNNNNNNNNNNNNNNNNNNNNNNNNNNNNNNNNNNNNNNNNNNNNNNNNNNNNNNNNNNNNNNNNNNNNNNNNNNNNNNNNNNNNNNNNNNNNNNNNNNNNNNNNNNNNNNNNNNNNNNNNNNNNNNNNNNNNNNNNNNNNNNNNNNNNNNNNNNNNNNNNNNNNNNNNNNNNNNNNNNNNNNNNNNNNNNNNNNNNNNNNNNNNNNNNNNNNNNNNNNNNNNNNNNNNNNNNNNNNNNNNNNNNNNNNNNNNNNNNNNNNNNNNNNNNNNNNNNNNNNNNNNNNNNNNNNNNNNNNNNNNNNNNNNNNNNNNNNNNNNNNNNNNNNNNNNNNNNNNNNNNNNNNNNNNNNNNNNNNNNNNNNNNNNNNNNNNNNNNNNNNNNNNNNNNNNNNNNNNNNNNNNNNNNNNNNNNNNNNNNNNNNNNNNNNNNNNNNNNNNNNNNNNNNNNNNNNNNNNNNNNNNNNNNNNNNNNNNNNNNNNNNNNNNNNNNNNNNNNNNNNNNNNNNNNNNNNNNNNNNNNNNNNNNNNNNNNNNNNNNNNNNNNNNNNNNNNNNNNNNNNNNNNNNNNNNNNNNNNNNNNNNNNNNNNNNNNNNNNNNNNNNNNNNNNNNNNNNNNNNNNNNNNNNNNNNNNNNNNNNNNNNNNNNNNNNNNNNNNNNNNNNNNNNNNNNNNNNNNNNNNNNNNNNNNNNNNNNNNNNNNNNNNNNNNNNNNNNNNNNNNNNNNNNNNNNNNNNNNNNNNNNNNNNNNNNNNNNNNNNNNNNNNNNNNNNNNNNNNNNNNNNNNNNNNNNNNNNNNNNNNNNNNNNNNNNNNNNNNNNNNNNNNNNNNNNNNNNNNNNNNNNNNNNNNNNNNNNNNNNNNNNNNNNNNNNNNNNNNNNNNNNNNNNNNNNNNNNNNNNNNNNNNNNNNNNNNNNNNNNNNNNNNNNNNNNNNNNNNNNNNNNNNNNNNNNNNNNNNNNNNNNNNNNNNNNNNNNNNNNNNNNNNNNNNNNNNNNNNNNNNNNNNNNNNNNNNNNNNNNNNNNNNNNNNNNNNNNNNNNNNNNNNNNNNNNNNNNNNNNNNNNNNNNNNNNNNNNNNNNNNNNNNNNNNNNNNNNNNNNNNNNNNNNNNNNNNNNNNNNNNNNNNNNNNNNNNNNNNNNNNNNNNNNNNNNNNNNNNNNNNNNNNNNNNNNNNNNNNNNNNNNNNNNNNNNNNNNNNNNNNNNNNNNNNNNNNNNNNNNNNNNNNNNNNNNNNNNNNNNNNNNNNNNNNNNNNNNNNNNNNNNNNNNNNNNNNNNNNNNNNNNNNNNNNNNNNNNNNNNNNNNNNNNNNNNNNNNNNNNNNNNNNNNNNNNNNNNNNNNNNNNNNNNNNNNNNNNNNNNNNNNNNNNNNNNNNNNNNNNNNNNNNNNNNNNNNNNNNNNNNNNNNNNNNNNNNNNNNNNNNNNNNNNNNNNNNNNNNNNNNNNNNNNNNNNNNNNNNNNNNNNNNNNNNNNNNNNNNNNNNNNNNNNNNNNNNNNNNNNNNNNNNNNNNNNNNNNNNNNNNNNNNNNNNNNNNNNNNNNNNNNNNNNNNNNNNNNNNNNNNNNNNNNNNNNNNNNNNNNNNNNNNNNNNNNNNNNNNNNNNNNNNNNNNNNNNNNNNNNNNNNNNNNNNNNNNNNNNNNNNNNNNNNNNNNNNNNNNNNNNNNNNNNNNNNNNNNNNNNNNNNNNNNNNNNNNNUUAGAGUCAAAAUUAUGUUAGAGUCAAAAUUAGAUUUAGAGUUAAAACAAUUUACUUAUAAUUAAUUAAUUAUGCGAAGACCAUUUAAAAAUAGAGAAGCUUUUAGAAAAAUUAAAGAAUCUUUAAUUAGUAAUUAUUCAGAAUAUAUAAGUCUAAAUAAAACAAAAGAAAAUCCACAAAAACUAGCCUACUUAAUUACAUUAAUAUCUAGUAUUGAAUCAAAAUUAAUAACACAUUUAAAAUCUAGAAGAAUGAAACAUAUACCACCUAAUUAUGAUAAAAUUAGAUUUAGAUAUCCACCGAGAUAUUAUAAAUAUAAUUUAAAAUGAAUAAAAUACAACAAUAUAAAGAAUUAAGACAAAUUAUCUCUGAAAAACGUAAAGAAUUAAAAAUAAGAAUAGAAAGACUACAUUAUAAUAUAUUUGCCGGAGUUAGUAAAAAUUCAAUAGAUACACAAAAAGAUGAAAUAUCAAAAUUAGAAUCACAAAUAGAUAGUUUAGAAUAUGUAUAUCAACAUGACCUAUUCACAAUAAAAUGAAUAAAGAAGAAUUUAUAAUAGAUGAAAAAAUAUAUGAAAACUACGAAGGAUCAAAAAUAAAAAUAGUAUUUUCUAAUCUAGGACGAAGAUAUAAGAAAAUAGGUGAACAUUUAUAUCUAAUGUUAGAAAAAGAAGAAUUAAAAUUAGAAGAUAAAUUAACAGCAAUGGUAAGAAUAGAAAAAGAAAAUGAAGAGAUAGAUAGGAAAAAAGAAAUAGAAAAAAUAAAACAACAAACUACGGAAGAAAUACGAAAAAUAGAAGAAACCAAAAAUAGUAGAAUUGCUGAAUUAGAAAAAGAAUUACAAAUGUUAAAAGAACUGUAUGAACAAAGACAAAAAGAAAAAGAAGAAAAAGAUAGAGAACAGAAAUUACUAAAUGAGAUAAAUCAAUUUAAGGAAAAAUUAGAAAUAAAAAAUGAAGAAUUAGAAAUAAAUAAUAUAGAUAUUGAAGAGACAGAUAAUUAUGAGUCCGAAGAUAGUGAAACAUACACAGAAAUAUUAACAAAUACAAAAAAUUUAGAAAUCAAUGAAGAACAAAAAAUUUAUGAGGAAAACUUAGAAAAUACCCACACAGAAAUAAAUACUCUUGAUAAAAAAGAAAAUGAAAAUAUAAUACCUAAAACAACAGAAAUAAGAAAACCUAUAUAUUAUAAGAAUAAGUUUAAAAAAUAUAAUGAAUAUGAUAAAUGGAUACCAAAACAAAUAGUGAAUAAAAAUUAUAACUUUUUAGAUCUAGACUGUGUAAUAGAUACAGAAAAAACAAUACAAUUAUGGAUAGGAUAUAUGACAAAACAAUUAUUAGAUAAUAAUAUAAAUAUAACAGAUGCACCGGAAUAUAUAGAAAAAACACUAAUAGGAUCAGUAAAACUAUGGUUUGCAAAUCUAACCGAAAAUAGCAAAAAAGUAUUAAGAACUAAUAAACCUAUAGAAGGAACAUCAUCGACAACAACUAAACUAACACCUAUAGAAUUAUUAAAAAAAUAUGAAACAGCUAUAAAAGAUGAAUUUGGUAGUACGACAACAAUCGAAGAAGAACAAAAUGAAGAAAAAGAUACAAAUAGAAAUUUAAUGUUAAAAUUAGCAAUAUGUAAUAUGUGUUAUAUAGAUGAAUAUACUUGCGCAUUUAAAGAAUAUUAUUACAAAGGAGCAUAUAGUAUAGAAGAAAGUAAAGAAAUAAGAAAAUUAUAUUUUAAUAAAUUACCCGAGCCAUUUAGUUCGAAAAUAAUAAAAAGUUGGGAAGAAGCAAAAAUAGUAGAUACGUUAGGAGCAAGAAUAAAAUAUUUACAACAAUGGUAUAGAAACUUAUGUGAAAAAUAUAGAGAAGAAUUAAAAAUGGAAAAAACAUUAAUAAGAAAUUUAGCUUGUUGCAAAAAUAAAAUAGCACCCCAAUUUGGAUGCGAAGAAAGAUAUUAUAAGAAAAGAAAAAGACAUAAGAAAUAUAAGAAAUAUAAAAAAUCAAAAUAUAAAUAUAAAAAACCAAGAAAAAGAUACUAUGUAAAAAAUUAUAAACAUAAAAGACCAUAUAGAAAAAAGAAAUCUAUAAAAGAAUGUACUUGUUAUAAUUGUGGAAAGUUAGGACAUUUAGCUAGAGAUUGUAAAUUACCUAAAAAUCCAAAAAAUAAACAAAUAUCAGAAAUAAAAAUAGAAAAUACCGAAUACAUGCAGAUAGAUUAUAUAGAUUAUGAAUUAGAAAGUGAAGAUAGUAUAUAUGAAAUUUCAGAAAACGAAACAGAUAAUGAAAUAGAUAGCGAAAUAGAUGAAUCAAAUGACUGAAGAAGAUAUAAAAAUAAUAACAAAGGAAGAAUAUUUAAAUGAUGAAGGAACGGAACAAAAAAUAAUAUUUGACAGUAAUAUAUUUGAUGAAAUAAAAGGAAAAGAAUUAGAUUUAAGUGUAGACAAAAUAUUUAAAAUACCAACAAUAAAAAAUAUUUUUACUAGGAAAAAAGAUGAAUAUUAUGUAGUAUGCCAAAAAGAACAUGUAAUAGAUUGCAGAUAUGCAAAAGGAAAAGCUAGUAUACCACUGGUAACAAAAAGAAUAAUUAAUAAAGAAAUAAAUGAUAUAAAAAGUAAAGGAGAUCCAAUAAAAUAUGUACACCUUGGAGGUACAGAGAUAUUAAUAAAAGCAUGUUUUAGAGAAGGAAUAGAUACACCAAUAGAAUUAUAUUUAGCAGACGAUAGAAUUAUAAAACCUAUAGAAAAAAGCAUAAUAACUGCCGUAAAAGGAAAUCUAAUAUACCAAAAAUUUAAAUUUAUAAUAAGUGCAAAUUAUUCAGUAGCAGUAACAGAUAGGAAUAUAGAUAAAUCAUUAGUAUUAUAUUGGAAAAUAUCAGGAAUAGAAUUAACCCCAGGAAGUAAAAUAUUUACAGCAAGAUGUAAAAAUCUAUAUGUAUUAACAACAAAACAUAAAAUAACAGGAAAAAAUAAGAUUAACAAAAUACAAAUAGAAAGCCCAUUCGAACAAAUAGUAAAAACAAUAGAUUAUAAUGAUUAUACCUAUAGAGACAUAGAUACAGAAGAAAAUUUAGAAAUAGUAAAUGAUAGAAUAAGUACAACGAAAAGAAUAGCUAAUGAAAAGCCAGAAUCAUCAAGCUCAUCAAAAAGAACAAGUUAUGAAACAAACUCAAUAAGUAAUUUAAACCAAUAUUACAUAACGGGAAAAAUAAAUGAAAAAGAAUAUUUAAUACUUUUGAAUACAGGACAAGAAGAAAAUUAUAUAGCAAAAUAUCUAGUAAAAAAUGAAGAAAUAAAAACCGACAAUAAUAUAUGCCCAGACUUACUAAGAAGUUUAAUAAAUAAUAAAAAUCUAGCAGAAAAAGAAAUAAUAUUAGGAGUUAGAAAAAUAAAAAUAGAAUUCGAAGUAAAGGAAGAAAUGCAAAAAACAGAUAUAAUAUUAGGAAUAAAAUGGUUAGAACAAGUAAAACCAUAUAAUAUAGAACAUACACAAUUAACCUUAACAUAUAACAAAGAAAAGUUAUUCUUAAAAAGAGCCUUAACAUGAAAUGAAGAUACAUGUAUUAAUGAAGAUAGUAGUAGAAGGAUAUUACAGUAGAUAUUAUACGCCUAUGAUAGAUACAGGAGCAGAAGCUAAUUUAUGUAGAUAUAAUUGCUUACCAGAAAGCAAAUGGGAUAAACUAAAAACACCAAUAAUAGUUAAAAGAUUUAAUAAUGAAGGAAGCUUAAUUACUUAUAAAGCUAGGAAUAUGGUAAUGUAGGUAUUCACUAUAUAUAGUAAAGUAAACAUUCACUAUAUAUGGUAUAUUUAUAAUACUCCUCCUUGAAUGUCUAAUUGAUAAAUAAUGUGCCUCAUUAAAACCUUACUAGAAAAAAUCCAGUGGGAAAAAAAUCUAGUGAAGGAAAAAGAGUACACAUCUCUAACAAUACGUUUAUAGACUGCCUCAUUAAAAACCUUACAAGAAAAACCUAGUGGGACAAAACCUUGAAAGGAAAAAAGAGUACAACGCAUAUUUGCUCCCCCUAAUGAGAAUAUCCUUGAACCUUUGCAUCCCGAUCUUGUGCCCCAUCUUCUUGAAAAUUACAAUUAGAGGAGACUUGGUGAAUAAAUCAGCCAUAUUAUCACUUGAACGAAUCUGUUGCACGUUAAUAUCACCAUUCUUUUGUAGCUCAUGUAUGCAGAGAAGCUUUGAUGAAGUGUGCUUCGAUCUAUUUCUUUUUAUGAAUCCCCCAUUAAGAUGUGCUAUACAAGCUGCAUUAUCUCUUGCUAACAAACUGAUCGAAAGGCUAUAUCGGGCCUUGUAGUAAUUUUAAGGUACAUGAGUGCACCAAUUGCACUAAGAUAUGGUACUUUAUAACCAAUUCAAUUCGAUAUAUUUCUCACGUAGGCAAACAAUCUAUUGCUUUUGAAAAUUCUCCAAGAGUUUUAAUAACUUCCAAGCUAUAAACUUAUACAAUAUAAGGAUUCUAAAUAAGUUUUCCAGAAACUUUUAUACGCUUCAAAUAUUUUGAAUCCUUAGACAAGUUUUCAUGUAAAUUUUAUCAAGUGACAAUACUUAACAUUGCAUCUGUGAUAUUUUCAAGUGUCUGUACUGCAAAUCAAAUAAGUUUUACACUUACCAAGAUGCAUUCUUUCAUGUCACUUGAUAAAUGUUUCAACGUCAGCAUGCUUAAAUAAACAUAGAAUUCAGAUCCUCGUAAUCUCUCACAAUAUUGUGCCAAUAUUAUAUCAAAGAUAUUGAUGAUAUAUCAUUUCGUAUCGGUUCAUAGUGUGACAUAACAUUUUGAGAUCUUAUCACUUCAUUAUUUUCAGGUACCUGAACCUCUCAUAGGUUUCAUGAAGUGUUAUGUCGUAGGCUCUUCAAGAGCACAUUGCCUUCUUAUUAUGAUUAUUUGCUCCUUAUCCUUUUCAAGGAUUAUUUCAUUUGGAACCGAUUGGUCUAGCACGCUUCACGCAUGCAUAAACUUUGUCCUUUAGGGACAUAAGAUAUGAGCACUUACAACUUAAAUAUGAGAUGAGUUCGACAUUUAACUAGAAUUAUCUUUUGAAUGAGGAUCUGAUGAUAGUUUCUAACAUAUUUCAUAGAUGCUUAUAAUCUCCUCCUUAUGUUAGGGAAACUAACGUACAUCCUUCAUCUUCUUUGAGGAAUCCAUCUUUGUGCACCAUGGUAUCUUCAUUAAUUAUAUACUAUACAUCAAAACUAUUAGAUGGACAACGUGUCAUUCCUGACUCAGAACCAACUUUGAGGGGAAAUUAAUCAUAAUUUGUUGAUUUGAUGCAUACAAGUACUUUUGUAUAAAAUAAUUUAAACCAACACAUGAAGCUUUGUUCUCAUUAGCAAUAGUUCAAUUAUUUAUCGAAUGCAUUCAAUGCUAAACCAUUAUCAUCAAGAUGAAUUAUCUUGAUUACACAAUCUGAAAGUUAUGCCCUUAACUCAAUUUUAUUGAACAAGCAACUUUAUGAAUGUCAAACUGCAGGUUGACAAUAAAUGUACAUGUGAUUAUCUUAUUGAUGCAUGUUUUUAACAUAUCACAUGAAAGGUGAAUGAGCCAUUAUUCACCUUUUAUAUUUUUCAUGAGAACAAACAACAACAACAACAAACUCAGUGUAUUCCCACAAAGUGGGGUUUGGGGAGGAUAAGAUGUAUGCAGUCCAUACCGCUACCUUUGAAGAAGUAGAGAGGCUGUUUCCGGUAGACCCUCGGAUCAAGAUAAAGAAUAGGCGACAAGGAGAUGGAUUACAUAACAGAAAAAGCGUAAGGAAUAAUAAAAAGUAAAUCAGAGCAAAACAAAAAUAUGAGAGAUAUGACAACAUGAAAUAAGCAGAUAACAACUGAGAAAAUAUGAAAGGGACACCCACAUAUAAGUAACACACACUCGCCGCCAUAAAAACCUAUAGACACAGACCUAAGGUUACUAACCCGGCUACACAAAAUCUCUCCUGGUGGCUUGCUACAAAUCAUGAGAACAAACAAUAUGAAUAAUUCUUGAAAAAUUUUCUAAUUCUUCAUUACAUGUCCAAUACUCAAUAUGCACAUCUUCGGGAUGUCAUAAUCGUUCAUGUCAACUUAUGAACUUUUAUUCUAGCAAACUCCAAGUUUACCUUGACAUGCACCUUUUACUUUAGUAAAUUUUAGAUUUACUAUUACAUGAAUAAAUUUCAAAUUUACUAUUUCAUAAGUAGAUUUCAAAAUAACUUUUCUCAAUUAUUCAACCUCUUUCGGAAGUGAGUUGUGAUAUCAUCACAGUCAAGUGUACGUUUGCAUGAAUAAGCUUCUCAUUCCUCAGGAAUGGAAUAUAAUCAUGCCUUAAGUGUACCAAAUUAUGAUAGCUACUACAAAAGCAAAUUGAGGCAUACAUAUGAUUUAUUGUUACCACAUUCAAUUCAAGGAAUGAAGCAUAUUUAAUGGGACAUGUUUCAUCAAAUAUCCAUUAUUUUGCCUUAAUCAUCAUAAUAUCAUCAAUAUGGUGCAUUGAGUUUCAAACUCAACGUCUUAUCCAUAUAAAAGCGUCUUAGGCAUAAAUCGAUGGAACUUAAACCCAAUAUAUUAUCAUUCCUUUUGAUAAUAUUGUUCUUGAGGAAUCAAUUUAAAAAAUAAAUGGUUCCAAACCAAUAGUAUUUUUCCCCUCAAAUUCAACAAUAAUUAUAUUAUUAGUAGCAAAAGACAGAUAACAUAAGGAAUUACUAACCUUGAAAUUACCUUUACCUUGUUUGGCAGAGUAUCGUGCUGAUAACAUGUUAUGAAAUAAUAAAGAACAAAGAAGAAGAGUAGAGAGAGAAUAGAGAGUAAUUCUUAUUUCUCUUGAUGAAUGAUUUACAAUGAAGAAAACCCCCUUUAUUUAUAGGGGAAAACUAAUCCUGGGAUUUAUAACUUUUCCACAAAUAGACAUACAAAAUAUGGUAAUGUAUGUAUUCACUAUGUAUGAUAAAGUAGACAUUCACUAUAUAUGGUAUAUUUAUAACAAGUGAUAACUUAUCCCACAUAAAUUUUAGUUGCAUUUAAUAUUAAAAAUUUACUUCUUUUUUAUUAAAGGAAAAGGUUAGUAUGGUCUCUGUACAUUUAUGGCCAUUUUAUGGCCAAAAAAUUAUGGAUAUACAUUGACUACACUUGUUGCUUCACUAGACUUAACACACAACUCGUAAUUCUAUGACAUUUUUUUGUCUGUGGGAGUGGAUGUGAUGACGACUUUCCAUCAUUAUUUUAUUUGUGUCUUUAAAAGUCUGUUUUGCCCCCUCGUCGUAUUUGUUAAUGCAAUGAUUUUGGUGAAACAAGAGAGGGCUUGACUUUCUAUUAGUAAUAGAAAAAGUACAAACUUAACCUCAUAAUUAAGUUAAAUUAGUUUAAGUUACGCACCACGCGUACUUACCUUAUUUUCACGAGUUUAAUUUUAUAAAAUUAUUUUAGUAUCAUAAAAAUAUNNNNNNNNNNNNNNNNNNNNNNNNNNNNNNNNNNNNNNNNNNUUUAAUUAAUAAAUAAAUUACUUCCCCCGUCUCAUUUUAUGUGUCGCUAUUUGACCGGGUACAGAGUUUAAGAAAUAAGAGAAGACUUGAUAAUAUUUACCAAAUUGUCCUUUAUCAAAAAAUGUGCUACUAUUUUUUUUAAAUAAGUGGGCCCAAUAAGAGUAAAAGUGUAAUUACGUUUUUAAAUAUUUACCAAAUAAGGAAACAUGACAUUCUUUUUGGGACGGGCUAAAAAGGAAAUGAUGACAGAUAAAAUGGGACAGAGGGAGUAAUAAUUUUAUUAAAUACGAAAAACACUUAAAUAGGCAAAAUAAAUAAAUCUAACUUAUUGUCAUGCAUAGUGCUUAAAAGGAUUUUGAAACUUGACCACGACUAGAAAAUCAGUUUUGAAAUUAUAGACUAAUAAAUUCACGUAACAGAAAGACAAUUUAUCAAUAAAACCUUACUUAGGUUGCAUUUUUUUUACUAGAAUUCAGACGUCUGAAUCUGAAUGCACAUCGAAUGAUGAAGAUGUUGUCUCUAGAUCUGAAAGCUAAAUGAUAAAUACUGUUUGUUUUUCAACAUCUGAAUAUGUAAAAUUUAUUUAUUUAUAUAUACAAUGAAAUAUAAUUCAAAUAAAAUGAUUAAUAUAUACUAAAAAAUAUUUAAUCUAAUACAAUAAAAUUAUUAUUUGAUUGAAAAAAAUAUUUUUGUUAGUGAUAGUGAAGAUGGUUUGUACUGGUGAUGGUAAUGAUUGAUGUUAGUGACUAGUAAUAUUGAUGGUUACAGUGGUGAUGAUAGAGAUGAUUAGUAUUCUAGUGACUGUUAAGACAGUGACGAUUGGUAGCAGUGACGAUUGGUAGCGGUGAUGGUGGUUGUGAUGUGAAGUUGGUUGAUGUUAGCUAUUAGAGGUGUUAAUUGCGAUGACUAGGGGUGUACAGACCAAGCCGUCAAGUCAAACCGAACCGACGAACCAAAUAAAAAAAAUUGACUUAUGGUUUGGUUUGAUUGGUUUGGCAUUAGAAAAAAAAUCCGACCAUUCUUGGUUUGGUUUGGUGUUAGCCAAAAAAAAGUCGAACAUAACCCGAAUCAAACCAACAUAAUCUAUAAUCUAUAAUAUAUUAAAAGUGUGAAGACCCUUAGAAAAGUGAAUCGAACUUUUUGCCCUUCGUUAAAACACUCCACAAUAGACAAAUUCGUCUUUUCACCUAUUUUCUUCGAUUUAUAAUAUUUGAUAUUGAUUAUACUAAAUAUCUAAAAAUAAAUAAAUAAUGAAGGUUUUCUACUUAUAGAUGAAUUCCUAUAUUUAUGGUAAUAUUUUGUUGGGUGUUUUUACUAUUUUUCUUAAUUUAGGACUCCUAAAUUUCAUGGAAAGAAAUUAAAGAUUCUAAAAUAUAUGGAUUAAAUAUGCGUUGUAAACCUAAUCAGUAUUUGUAGGAUUUUUUUCCCUUUUAACGUUAUACUUUGUUUUCCUAUAAUAUACUGGACAUUGAAUUCUAAUUGUUUGAUUAUUUAUUCAUAAAGCGUGAUAAGAAAUCCUAAAAAUAGGUUUAAAAGUACUCCUAUUAGUAAUUUAAGAAAAUCCUAUAAACUAGGUUUUAAAACUCUACUAUUUUUCUAAUUUUUAAAAAUUUAAAAUCAAUAAAUAAUUUAAAAGGAAAUUAAAAGUCUACAUAGUUAAACUAAAAAAGGAACCAUGAACGUCUAAAGAAAAAAAAAUCUAAAACUCCUAUUUGUAUGAGUUUUAGUUUAUUUGGAGUUCAUACAUAAUUUAUGAAAAAAAUUAUAUAUCUACCAUAUUUAGAUAAUUUUUUUCUUGAAGAAAAAAUUUUUGGACCUCUAUAAAUUAAGUAUUCUUCCUUUAUACAACAAUACAAUGGUAUCUAUAAUGAACAUAAGGAGCAGAAAAAUAUUUAUUUUUGGUCUUAGAUUAGUUGUUCUUUAUUGUGAUUUGGAAUUCUUUUACGUCAUGAAAUAUAUUUUUGUAAUAGUUGAUUUGCUUUGUAGGUGCAUUAGUUUUUGUAGGUAUCUUGAAGAUGGAUGAUGAAAAAAUCAAAAUAUUAAUGAAUUUCUUUGUAAUAUAAUUUUUCGGCAAUGGGCGACGCAACACAUAACUUUCAUUUAAGCUUACAUAUUGUUGCAUCAGUUUAUUGCUCAAUUUUAAUAAGCUUACGUAGAAUGAUCUUGUGUAUAAGGUGAUUAAUAUUGCAUAUGUUUCACAAGUUUUGUUCUGAUAUUAUGGUUCAGGUUAAGUUUCAAACAGAUAAGAAGUAGUAGUGAAAAGAUUAUAGCAGAUUUAGGCAAAAGUGAUGGAGAAUUCAAUUCUUGAAUGGUAUUUACGAUAAGUUGAAGAGCAAGUUGCCCCAUUUGCUAUGGCUAUGAGGGUGGUUGAAGCAGUUGGAAUGAUUCUCUUACAAAAAAAUUGUUCUUCAUCCUUUGAGGAUUCUCUUACAUAAACUUUGUUGUUCAUCCUUUGACGUCCUGGCUUAAAAUGUGGUAGCAUUUCAUCUGUUUAAUGUCCAUUUGAAUGUUGUCAUCAGAGCAUAUAUAAAUUACUCCAUAUGUCAUAUUGGGAAAGUUUUUUUAAGUUUUUUUUGUCGUUCUAUAACCUUUGUAGUUUUUCUUAAUUUAGUUGAAGUUGGUUUAAUGCUUUUAUAUGGUUUUGUAUUAAUAUAUUAAUUUUUUAUUAAAGUGUUUUCAUUUUUUAAUAAGAUCAACGAAGUUGUUUAUUGAUCAAAGUAUUACUUUUACAACAUCUAAGCGAUUUUAUACAAUUAAACUCAUUAAAAUGAGGUACACACGCGGAGUGCGUACCCUAAACUAGUAUAUAUAUAUAUAUACAUAGUAUUCAAACUUUUUUAUACAUAAAAUAUUAAUUAUAAUCUAUUUUUUAAAUAUUUUUUCAACUAGUUUUAGUAAUUUUCAAUAAUUUGAAAGUAGAUGUAGAUAUAUAUUGGAAAAAUACAUAAAGUAGCAUACUUAAGUAUUAAAUUACAAAAAAUAGCAACACUUUUAUCAAAUUACAUUUUAUAGCAUAUGUAUUUAUAUGUAUUUGUAUUUUUAUAGCAACAGUUUGCAAAAAUACAAAUUACAUAUCUAUCAUAAGGGCAGUAAAAAUCAUAUGUAUUUGUAUUUUUGAAGCAACAGUUUGGAAAAAUACAAAAUACAACUUGCUAUAUUAUGUAAUUAUAAAACUGUUGCUAUGAAACUCAUAAUUAAGGGGAUAAAUAUGCUAUUUCUUAAUUUUGCCCAAUAUAUAUUUAGAUUUGGGCCUUUAAGUUGUAAUAUUUGUUCAUUAAUUGCUAAUUAAAUGAUCGAAAACCUAAUAUAAACUUAAAACCUACACUUUUCACUCUUCAUCUUACUUUUUAGUUUCAAGAGAGUUUUCAGCUCCUUAUUUUUUCAUAAUUAUGAUUUUUCAUUAGCACAUGAGUGAAAACAUAUUUGAUCUAGUCUUCGAUCAUAAUAUAAUUGUAAAAACUAAAGAUAAAAAAAAACUCAAAAAAAUCCGAAAAAACUGAAAAACCCGACUAAAACCUAAAUCGAAAAAACUAAUUUUAUAUUGGUUUGAUUUGGUUUAUAGUUUUAAUAAACCGACAUGAUUGUUUUUUUUAAUAAAAACUGAACCAACCCGACCUAUGUACACCCCUAGCGAUGACUGAAAAAUGAUGAUGUUUGACAAUGUAUUGGUGGUAGUUAAAGACGUUGUUAGCUAUGAUAGUGUAGAUGGUUGUUAGUAGAGAUAGAUUGUAGUUAUGGUAAUGAUUGAAGUGGUGGUAGAGGUAGCGAUAUUGGUGACAAUAAUAGUGGUGGUGACUAAAGAAUGUGUGGAGGUUGAUGAUGUGUUAGUGGUAGUUAGCAGCGGUGCUUGUUGUGAUGGAUGAGUUACUCGGUAGCGGUUGAUGAUAGUGAUAAUGUUGAAAUUUGUGUUAGCGUUCGCAGUGGUGGUGGAUAUAAUUGGAAUAAUGGAGGAGGUGAUUUUUGUAGCGGCUAACAAUAGUGGUUGGUAUUGACGUUACCUUAUUUAAAUGUUACCUUAUUUGGACGUUACUUUAUUUAGUAUCACAAAAUCAAAUACUGAUUAUCACAAAAUCAUGAAUCUGAUCCCUUUAAAUCCAUAAUCCUUAAAUUAGGGAUCUCUUCUGUCAUUAGGCUAGUAAUUAGGAGAUAAUUAGGACUCUUUUCUCUGUAUAAAUACACUGUAGGUUCAUUGUUAUGUACACAACGAUAUUGAAUAAUUCUUUCAUCUAUAUUGUUCCAGUUUUCUUCCUCCUUUUAACUUGGUAUCAAAAGCCUUAUUUUUUCCUCUCUCUGAGAUCUGAAUAUUCAGUUUUUUAUUCCAGAAAAUCCAUUUGAUUCAUCUUGGGCUCGGAUUCUUUAUCCACAUCUGUUACUCUGGUUGUAAUCUUUGGAUCUGUUUGUUGAUUCCCUCCGACUUUAAUUUUUUUUCUUCAAUAAGAAUGGAUUUACGAGAUAUCUUGUCAACCAAAUUUGAUGGACAUAACUUUCCAAUCUGGAAGUUCAAUUUCAGGGCUUUCAUUAGAGGCAAAGGCCUCCUUGGUAUUCUAGAUGGAUCAAAGGCUAUACCUAUGGAAGACAAAGAAAAAGAAGUUUGGGAAGCUAAUAAUGGCAAAAUCAUAACAUGGCUUGUUAAUUUCAUUUCUACUGAUAUAGCUAUGGAACUGACAUCUUUUAAGAAAGCAUAUGAAAUGUGGACUCAUCUACAUACUCUCAGUAACCAAAAAAAUUUAGCUAGAGAAUUUGAAUUAGAAAGGCUACUUACAGAAUCGACACAAGGUGAGAAAAGUGUUCGGUGCUUCUAUCCGGGAUUACUCAGAUUAUGGGUAGAGCAAGAUCAAUAUUUUUCUGCCCCAAUUAGUGCUGCUAGACUAAAGGACUUCAUGACUACUACGAAGAGGACAAGGAGUGUCCAAUUUCUUAUAAAACUCAGGUCUGAGUUCGAGCCUUUACAUGCCAGCAUUCUCAAUAGAGAAAAACUACCAGUUUUAGAUGCAGUGGUUUCUGAAGUACUUUGAGAAGAAACUCGGUUAGGUUCUCAAGACUCUAUGGGAAAUUCCCUUUUUAUGGACACUGCCAUGGCUGCAUACAAAAGUUCUUCCUCGGGAAACUCUAACAAACUAGUUCAAUGCUAUCAUUGUAAAGAAAUAGAGCAUAUCAUUUCCCAUUGCAAGAAUAUAAAUUAUUGUAAUUAUUGUAAGAAGGAUGGUCACAUUAUUCUGGAAUGCCGUAAGAAAUCUGGUUUAGUAAAAUGCUCAAAUCCUCAUAAAGCCUUUCACGCGAUGACAAGGGAUGUGGGUACACAACACACUCCAUAAACACAAAAUGCACCACAAUUAUUUGAUUACAAUAACAUUUAUAAGAUGAUACAAGAUUCAUUGGCGGCUUCUCUCCCUAAUAUAAUCUCUACAGCUCUGACCGUUAUAUAUCCCGAUAAGAAUAAGAUUUCGAAUUCAAUGGUAUGACAUAUAGAUUGUGCUGCAUCUAAUCACAUGAUAGGAAACUAAAAACUUUUUUCUAAUCUAUCUAAAACAUGUUCCACACAUGAAAUUGUUACUGUAAAUGACCAUGUUUUAUCUACAUCAUGUAUGGGUUCCAUUAAACCAUUUUCAAAAGUUCUUUAUGUACCGAAACUUACUGCGAAUCUUUUAUCUGUUGGACAACUUGUAGAACAAAAUUGUUUGGUUAUUUUUUCCUCUAAUGGUUGUAUAAUUCAGAACAUAUUGUUAGGGAAAAUGAUGGCCAGGGGGCGUAAGUUUGGUAGGCUAUUUCUUCUUCAAUCUCCGGAAAGAAUAUUUCAUCAUUGCUUUUUUUUACAGCUUCAAAUAAAGAUAUUGAGUUUUCAAAUAAAAUGUGGACUUUAUGGCAUCUUCAUUUAGGCCAUCCAUAUGCUUCGCGUUUAAAUUUUAUGUUGAAAUCCUAUAAUUUGUUGGGUAAAGACUCACUAAUUUUGCCCUCUAAAUUACCUUGUGAGAGCUGUGCAAACUCAAAGAGUCAUAAACUUCUUUUUCAAUUAAGCAAUAUUACUUAUUCUACUCCAUUUAAUUUAAUUCAUAGUGAUGUUUGGGGACCUUCUCCAAUUAUAUCUCAUAUGGGUUACAAGUAUUUUAUCUUGUUCAUCGAUUAAGAAUCUCGUUAUACAUGGGUUUUCUUUUUGAAACACAAAUCUGAGGUACCAAACAUUGUCAAAAAGUUUUAUAACCUCAUCGAAAUGCAGUUUUAUAAAAAGAUUAGGAUUUUUUGUUCAGAUUCGGAAGGAGAGUAUGUAAAUUCAAACCUCACAAGUUUCUUUCACGAAAAAGGCAUUAUUCACCAACGUUCUUGCCUCUAUACACCGGAACAGAAUGGUGUGGUGGAACGUAAGAAUAGACAUGUUGUUGAAACUGCCUUAGCUCUUCUUGAUACAUCAAAUGUUCUAAAAAUAUUUUGGGUUGAAGCAAUCCAAACGUCUAUUUAUCUUAUAAAUAGACAAUCAUCGUCUGUUAUCAAACAACAUUGUCCUCAUUUUGUCAUUUUAAAAAAAUUGCCUGACUAUUCGCACCUUAAAGUAUUUGAUUGUGUAUGUUUCAUUCUUCUUUCAGACCAUGAACGCCACAAAUUAUCCCCAAAAGCUUUUAAAUAUACUUUUUUGGGGUACAAUGAUAUCCAAAAUGGGUACUUGUGUUAUGAUUCAACACGUCGCUAUUGAGAAUAUCUCGACAUAUUAUCUUCUUUGAAAAUUAUUUUACUUAUACUAGUAAAGACUCACAAUUGUCUACUAUAUCCUUUUUGGAAGAAUUCAUGACUCAUGAUUCUGCUUGCCAUAACAACCUAGCCCUUGGUCCAUCACUAAACUUGUCUUCUGCCACAACAGGUACUACUUAUGACUUAGAUAUUUUUUUUGAUAAUGAUAUUACUUCAAUGAACACUAAUUCUUUACCUCACCAAGCUGACUGUUAUAAUGUUUCUUUAAAUCAUAAUAAUCAACCUCCACCUCCUCAAAAUAUCAUUGACCCUGUUAGACGCUCAUUUCGUCAUGCUCCUCCUCCAAGGCGAUAUGGAUAUUCUAUAGGUGAAUAUGGUCGAUUAUAUGCCUUACUAACAACCUUGAAUUCUAUAGUUGUGCCAAAUACUUAUAUGCAAGCUAGUGGUUAGAAGUGUUGGAAAGAUGCAAUGAAUGAAGAACUAGCAGCCGUUGAGAAGAAUUAUACAUGGGAUAUGGUGGAUAAACCAACAAAUGCAACAGUUACUGGAAGUAGAUGGGUGUACUCUGUCAAGAUGAAAGCUGACGGAUCCCUAGAUCGAUAUAAGGCAAGAUUGGUAGCUCAAGGAUACAAGCAAGAGUAUGGAAUCGACUACGAAGAUACCUUUGCUCCAGUAGUCAAGAUGACAAUAGUACGUAUAUUGCUUGCUUUAGCAUCAAUAAGAAGUUGAAGUUACACCAACUAGACGUCAAGAAUGCGUUCCUACAUGGAGACUUGCAAGAAGUGAUCUACAUGAAUCCACCACCAGGUUACAAAUAUUCUAGUCCAAAUCAAGUGUGUCAUCUUAAAAAAUCUCUUUAUGGAUUAAAGAAGGCUCCUCACUCAUGGUUUGAAAAAUUUUGAACUACAAUCCUUGGUGCUGGUUUUUCUCAGAGUAGCUCAGAUUAUUCAUUAUUCCUACGUUAGUUUGGCUUAGGUUUACUAUUCUUCUUAUUUAUGUAGACGACAUGAUUAUUACAAGGAACGAUGAGGUUGGAAUCUCUUAUUUUAAAAACCUAUUACACUCCUCGUUCAAGAUGAAGGACCGUGGAAACUAACAUAUUUUUUUGGUUUGGAGGUAAGUUAUGGUGUAGAAGGCAUAAAAUUGAGUCAGCAAAAAUAUGCAUAAGAUCUUGUUAAGUCAGUUAAUCUAACUGAUCAUAAGAAGGUUUAUACUCCAAUGGAAGUGAAUACUAAAUACAAAAAAGAGGAAGGAGAGCUUUUUAGAGAUCAAACUCUGUAUGGAAGCCUAGUUGGAUCACUUAUAUACCUUACUAUAAGUCAUCCUGAUACCUCUUAUGCAGCACAUGUGUUAAGCCAGUUUGUUGCGAAGCCCUACAAGAUUCACUACUCAACUUUGCUCAGGGUUAUUAGAUAUAUAAAAGGCACAGUGAAUCGAAGUCUUUUAUUUCCAUCAUCUUCAUCGCUGGACAUAGUGGGAUACGCAGAUACAGAUUGGGCAGGAUGCGCUGAUUCAAGACGAUCCACAACAGGCUGGUGCAUGAUGCUUGGAUCGUGUAUGAUGUCUUGGAAGUGCAAGAAACAAUCUCAAACAUCAAAGUUAUCCACAGAAGCAGAGUAUAGAAGUAUGUUAGCUGCGUGCUCUGAAAUCAUUUAGCUACGGAGGCUAUUAUCAAAACUUGGCAUCAAAAUGGAAGGAUCAACCAUAUUGUAUAGAGACAACAUCAGUGCAAUCAGAAUAGCAACCAACCCCAUGCAUCAUGAAAAUACCAAGCACAUAGACAUAGAUUGUCAAUACAUCAGAGAACUGGUUGAAGAUCGGAGCAUUAAUCUUAGAUAUAUAUAUCCUCUAAAGAUCAAUUGGAUGAUUUAUUCACUAAGGCCAUGUCAAGAAGUCAACAAAAUUAUCUUUUGUCCAAACUCAUGUUUUGUGAUACACAACAUAAGUUUGAGGGAGGGUAUUGACAUUACCUUAUUUAAACGUUACCUUAUUUGAACGUUACCUUAUUUAGUGUCAUAAAAUCAGAUACUGAUAAUCACAAAAUCAUGAAUCUGAUCCCUUUAAAUCUGCAAUCCUUAAAUCAGGGAUCUCCCCUGUCAUUAGGCUAGUAAUUAGGAGACAAGUAGGACUUCUUUCUUUGUAUAAAUACACUGUAGGUUCAUUGUUAUGUACACAACAAUAUUGAAUAAUUCUUUUAUCUAUAUUGUUCCAGUUUUCUUCCUUAUUUUAACUGUUGGUAACGAUAUUAGUUGUCGGUGGUGGUUGUGAUGGUGGAAGUAGUUGGUGAUGGCGGUCGAUGGUGGUGGUUGCUGGAUGACAAUAGUGGUGGUGACUGAUGAUUGCGGAUGGAAUGAUGGUGAAUAUUAUCCUGCACAAGAAUACCUCUUAAUGACAUUAUGACUUGGUUCAAAUCUAAAUGAUUAAUACCUAUUAAAAGCUAAAAUCUUAACAAAAAAUAAAUGCACUUAAUGAUCUGAAGUCUGAACCAUUCAGAUUUAGACCUCCAUUAAGUGCAAACAAAUGAGGGCUUAUCAAACAUAUUUCUAGUAGCAGGCUUGCUUAGAGAGAACCAUGCUUAAAUAUAUGCUAUUAUUUUACUUCUUCAUGUGCUACUGUGUCUACUAAGGCUGCAUUUGUUUUUUUAAGGAUUCAGAUGUCUGAAUCUGAAUGCACAUAUGAAUGAUUAAAAUGUUAUCUCUAGAUUUGAAAACUAAAUAAUUAAGACUGUUUUUCAACAUCUAAAUGUGCAAAAAAAAUUUAUUUAUAUAUAAUAAAAUAAAAAAUACAAUUCAAAUAAAAACUAAUAAUAUAUCAGAAAAGUAUGUAAUUUAAUACAGUAAAAUUAUUAUUUGAUUGAAAAAAAUAUUUAUGUUUGUUAGUGAUAGUGAAGAUGGUUUAUAAUGGUGGCUGCAGUGAUAAUGAUUGAUGUUAGUGAUUAGUAAUGUUAGUGGUGAUAGUUGUGAUGGUUAGUAUUGUAGUGCCUGUUAUGAUGAUGGUGGUUAAUAGUGGUGGUGGUGGUUGUGAUGUGAUAUUGCUAGAUGUUAGUAGUUGGAGGUGUUGAUUGUGAUGGCUGAAAAAUGAAUGCAUAAUGGUUGAUGAUGUGUUGGUGCUAGUUGGAGAUGUUGUUAGUUGUGAUGGUGGAGAUUAUUGUUAGUAGAGAUAAAUUGUAGUGAUGAUAGUGAUUGAAGUGAUGGUAGAGGUGGCGUUACUAGUGACAAUGGUGGUGGCCGCCAAAGAAUGUAUGGAGGUUGUGAUGUAUUAGUGGUAGUUAGCGGUGGUGCUAGUUAUGAUAGAUGAGUUGGUUGAUAGUAUGGAUUGGUUGGUAGUGGUUGAUGAUGGUGAUGUUGUUGACGACAGUGGUGGCAGUAAAUAUAAUUAAAAUAAUAGAGGUAGUAGGUGUGGUAGCUGUUGACAGUAGUGGUUUGUAGCGAUAUUUAUUGUCGAUGGUGGUUGUGAUGGUGGAGGUGGUUGGUGGUGGUUGACAAUGAUAACAGUGACAAAGGUGGUGAUUGAUGACUAUGAAUAGAGUAGCAUGAAUAUUAUCCAACACCAGAAUACCUUUACAGACCUAUUAAGACUUGAUUUUAGAUCUGAAUGAUUAAGACCUAUUCAUACCUAUUAAGAGCUAAAAUUUUAAUAAAAAACAAAUGCACUUAAUGGUCUGAAGUCUGAACCAUUCAGAUUUAGACCUCCAUUAAGUACAAACAAAUGAGCCUUAAGAAAGGAACAAUUUAUAGAGUACUUAAUUUGCAUAUGUCGUCACAUAGUAUUUCAAUUUUGUUUGUUACUUUUACUGGGUGAAAAGCUAAAAUACUUUUGAAAUAUAAGAUUUGAUAUAAUACAAUUUUUGAUUUAUCUAUUCACCUUAUGAGUGUGGACGACAAGGAAUAAGGGUAUUUUGUAUUCUAAGGUAAUAUUGAAGGCAUUACAGACACAACAGAUAAAUAAAAAGUAAUAUUAUAUCAAAUUUUAGAUGCAAAGUGAUUAGAUAUCAUGUGAACUUGUAAAAUGAAGAAUUUAGUUAGUUACUUUUUGCACAAAUUUCUAAAAUUUUGAAAUUCGACAUUUAACUCCGAUAAAAACAAAUAUUUUUUCAUGGCCAAACGCCCCUUAAAGAACUUGGAUUCCUUUACAUGUCCUUGCACUCAAUUUUCAAAAUUAGGUGUUUCUACAUUUUUAACUUGACAAUCACUAAAGAACAUAAAUAGUUAUGAAAAACUUACAUAAAUACUGAGUCGAUUAUGUUUGGAAAUUGUAGUUAUUCUUCCACCUUUCCUUUAUGUAACGUUAAAUUCAAGUUCACCUUUGCAUUCAUAUAUUUAUGUGUUUAUAUGCUUGCUCGAGUUAUUCCUAUGUCUUAAAAAUCAAAGUUUCCUGAAAUAUGCUAUUACAUGUGAAUUUGUCUUUGCUAAAUUAACAUGAUUAUAUUUUUACUGUCUGCUAUUAAGUAAGAUGCAUGAUAUUUUAAUAGUCUUUUUGAAUAUUAGUGUUAGGAUAUAAUUUUUUUUUGUUCUUUUACAUGUGGAUACGUUCGAGUCCUACAUGGACUCUUUCCAAAAAAUCCCCUUUCACAUUUUCGUUAUGGGCAUUAAGGACCAUUUUACCCCGAGUCAGUUCCAAAAGAAGGUCCAAAAGUCGGUCAUAUGACGUACAGGUACAAGAAAAUGAGAGAAGAAAAAAUGGGUCAAAACCCAUUGAUGAAAUUUCUAGGUGACUUGAAAAGUAUCGAUUUUUAUUAUUUUUAUUUAUUUAUUUAUUUUGGGCCUCGAAGCACAAGUUGUAACUUAAUAUAGGUGAAGCAGAUUUUAGGCCUUAAAGGUCCGAAAAGUAGUUUAGGACAUGUUUUGUAUCAAAAGUCCAAGCAAUUAGACUAGGACAGGUUGUGGCUCAAAAGCCCCAAUGAUUAGAUUAGGAUAGGUGCCGAUGAGCCAAAAGACCAAUUAAACUAGGACAAAUUCAUUUGGAAGAUUUGGGCCUAAAAGCCUAAGUCUUCAGUUUUUCUUUUACCCUUUUCAUGCUUUAUUUGAUACAAACCUUUUUUUUCAAAAUGUAGUUAAAUUCCCCACUAAGUCGUCAAAAAACUAAUUUUGCACGAAUCUAAAAAAAUAUUAAUUUUUCCUUAAUCAUUUUUUUUCUAAAUAUAAAGCAAACUUUUUUUUAAGUUAGUCAAAAGGUUGAUUUCAAAUAGUUCGGACAAUCACAAGUUAGUGGACAUUUUAAGUGCCUUAAAACCUUCCUAAAGUGUUAAUAAGAACCUUCUACCCAAAUUUUUCUCUAAAAAUCUAGGUUCUUCUUUUCUGCUUUAAAAACUUGAAUUUCCUUUGAAUUUUUUCUUGAUUUUUCUAAAUAAAUUAAAUGGUGACUUUGUUUUCAAAAAAUCAAAUUUGAAAACUUUUUCAAAGUAUUAGAAUUCGUAAAAAUCACAACAGUCAUCUUUUCUCCACAAAAUAGAAAUGACGACUCGGCUGGAGAUUUUAAUUUGGUUCUAACCAACUACUUGAACUAACUUCUUUGACUAACUAUUCAGGUUUGUAAUAUUUGAACUGUUUGUUAUGUGUUUAAAUUUCAUAAAAUGUUAAUUGUUGCAUUUUAUGACAUACUUACACAUUUGAAAUAUAUAGACUGUUUGGGGUUUCACGGUUGUCUUGGCCCCUAUUGCUUAAUUCCAAAUGAAGUAUUGGAAAUACGAUGAUUUAUUGGUACAUUAGGUGUCUGAUAACUGUUUGUAUUUUCAAGCCCAAGUCGUCCACUUGGGAACCUGGUUCAAGCCCACUCUAGACAUCUAAGAUAGAGAAAAAUCAAAAUCCUCUUUUAGGCAUGAGCCUAGGACGACCCAAUACCUGAGGGGGUAUUUGGUCUAUUAGAAAACCUACCCUGGGUCUAUCGGCGAAGAGUCAAUUACAGACGAAUCAUACUUAUGUGUUGAAGGAAUAUAUGUAAUUGAUCUAAUCCAUUAUCCUUUGGGGGUAGGGGAAAUGCUUACUUUGUUUGCUUUCAUGUAGGAAAGCUCAACCAUACCCUUGUAGAAGAUUCAAAAUAGUUACCAAACCUGAUACUUUCAUUAAAGUGUGGUGGUCCUAUAUUAGUGUAGAAUAUAAAGAGAUUGUUAGGACACAUAUCAGACACCUACCUUUGCUUAUGCAAAUGGACGCUUGGCUUAAAAUAAUUCACGUGCUAACAGAAUAUUGGGAUGUACAACAUGGUGUUACACUUUGGGGAAGUGGAAUUGACCCCUACUAGCAAAGAAGUGGUAAAUUAUUAUGAAAGCAUUGACUUGUGCAUCAAAAGAAGGAAGACACCUAACAAUAGUAUUUUAGUACCGAUCAUAUGAAACCAUCAAAAGACCAAAGUUGUAUUUUCAACAGAAGAUGAUAUCUGGUUGGGGAAACAUGAUGGGGAAAACAUACCUUUUUAUGAGUUGUAUCGCCGGUUUGGAAGGUUUAAUGCUUUUGAAAAAUUCAAGCAUAAAUUUGUAUCAGAGUCAAAAUGGAAGGAGAAAAAAGCAUUUUAUUUUGAGGCGAUCUUACUUGGAACUAUGGUGUUCCCAUAAGGAAAAAAUAGCACCAUUCCAAGUGUCAUUAUGGUGACAAAUUCCCUCUUCUAUAGAGUGAAUUACGACCCCACUAAGGUAUUCCACACCUUAGCUCCUAUGAUCGUUGUUGAAAUAUAUUGAGCUUGAAAUAUUGUCAAAAAGGGCAUCAUUUUUUUCAAGAAUGCAAUCUUUUUACAAUGGUGGAUAAUGAAGCAUUUGUUGAAACAUCCCAAAAAGGAGAAGGCAGACCACCGAACAAGGGUGGGUUUUUAUUAUCACAUAGCAUUUGGUUAUCUGUACAAACUUUUAAGAGGGAAAAGAUCCCAAAAUUUUGGUUCAAGACUUUCGAGGAAUUAUAAGACGACGAUGUCCAGUGGUUGAUUAAAUAUCUUCAUUUCGGAAGUACAUUAUUUAAGAAAAUGAAUAGCCUUUUUUAGUACUUCCAGGCCUCAGGGGACUUGCCCUUAUAUUCGUGACAAUGUCCUUAGGCAAUUCAAAAUUAAGCAAGAAACACCACAGACUGAGCCUAUGGCUAGAUUCAUCAUUGAGUAUGAAAAAGUAAGGCUUCACUCAUGGACAUCGUGGUACAUGAGUGGAAGAAAAAAUAGACCAGAGAAAUCUUUUUCGUAUCGGGUAUGAACCCGAGGUUAGUGAUACUUAUAAAGAAUAGUUGAAGCAAAGCCUUGCUGGAACAAUAGUCCCGGGUCUCAAUGUGUCUACACAAAUUAUUGAUGUAGAAUCAAAAUAUCAUAUUUAGAUCCAUAGGCUUCAGGAUCAAUUCCAAACAAGUAAGAUUGCACACCAAUAAAACAUAUGGAGGAUGCCUCAACCAUAAACUAAUUGAGAGAAGAACUAAAGCGAGCUAGGUAAGAGGUAGAUAAUGCUAAAUGGUUCUUGAUUGAUUUAGAAGAUUACAUAGUUUCCUAGAUUAAUAAUAUAGGGAAAAUAACCUAUAAUAAUAAAGCACAAUUAUGUGGUAGCCCCUUGAUCACCAAGAGAUAUCUCAUAUAGCAAGAAAUGGAUAAAGAUAAGAGGGUGAAGGCCAAUGAGGGAUCACCUGGAUGCUAGUUUUUUUUAUCCUCUGCGCGAGACCUUAUUAUUUUUUACAUGUCUUCUUCCCUUCCCUGAAUAUUGUAUCCCUUUUGUGUAACUUUGGAGGCAUAUUGUAUCCUUUUAUACAACUUUGUAGUCAUUUAUUCCCUUUUUAUAUGUCUAUGGAGAUUUUGGGAGAGGGGUAGUGGAUUGGUUUUAAAAGACAUAUAUUUCCUUCAAAUUAGCUAGGCCAACCCUUGGCUUAAAGGAGUCACACAAUUAGGAUAUCCGCUUAUUGUAAUAUUGUUGUGUGAUAUAACCAUCUUAUGUGUUUAUGUGAUUUUGUGUGAAUCAAAGGCGAAUUUAUCCACUAUGCUUUCGUGGAUCUCCUUGCCUAUGAUGAAAACAACUCUAUGUGGUUACUUCUUGUUGAAUAUCUUGCAUUUUUUAUCAUGUAUGUGAUAUAAUAUGUCUGCCUUUGAGUUAUUUUACUUUGUAGAUAGUAGAAAACUACUUUGUGUUGAAAUAAACUGGCUAAACUAUCACUACCUAAAUUAGGGCCUGACAGUGACAGGUAUCUCAUGUCUAACAAGGAUAGGAGACCACCCUCUGCUCCUAAUCAAACAGAACAUAAUACCCCCAAUGUCGGAUGAAUUCUGAACAUAUAACAAGAUGGCAUAAGAUAAGCUUAGAGAAUUUAAGAUAUGUCUAUGAUCGGUAAUCAUCAUUCAAACAAAAACAACCAACAUUACCACCCAAGUUCACAGUAAUCCACAAAACCUUCUAACAAAACUAAAACCAAUAAAGUGUCGGGACAUGCCCCUGGCUCUAACAGUAGAAAUGACAUUGUUAAUGAUAAUAUGAACUCUCAGUUCUAAUCUAUGAAUGGAGAGUGAUGAAAUGUCCAAAUCUUUCGGAGAGUGAAAGCUCACCACUUCACCACUAAUGAUCAACGAACUGAGCUGAUCCAUCUAACACUGUGUAUGAAAAUUAAAAGUAUUUUCGGUGCCAGCAUCGCGUGGGGAUACAACAUCUGGAGAUGGUUAGUGGGUUGAGCACUAGCAUGUAACUCAGGGAUAAGGGAAAAAAUAAUGUCAAGUCAAGAUCCAAUUCAAAACCAUGUGAACAUCAUCACAUACAUACAUAAAUAAUAUGUCAGGAAAGGGAACAAGGCUUAACAUGUACUUUAAAACUUUAACCGAGAUUUCUAUAGCUCAACUUCAUAAGAAGGCACCCAUGGGAUAUGUGGGUCCAACUCUUCCCUCGCUGGAAGGCCAUCAGUUUUUUGUAUCCGCACAAACCAAAGUUUGUAUAUAUGCACUGUUAUAUCUUAUUUUUUUAUGAUAAUUAGUUGACAAUAAGGGACCAGGUCCCUGGGUCUUCAUAAAAACAUACAACUGUCAUAUCUCUGCAUAGUUUUGUCUGUUAGUGUGACAAACUGAGCAGGUGAGCUGUGUACCAGACAUCACACUUGGACCAAUCAAAAUUCUACCCUAAUCAUUAUCCUAUUAUAAUUGGAAAAGAAUGUUUCUCAAUUUAAUAGUUUUUUCAAUUUGAUUAUUCGAGAAGAAAAUGACAAAAACUCAAUAUUGCUCAAGUUUUAAGUUUCUAUGUGCUGAGUGCGUAAUUGUUCUUGAGUCAAGUGUUGGUCUAUAAUUGAAUUACUCAUCUUAUAAGAGUAAUGUUUUCCUUGUUUCUGUAGAGUGCUUAGGUAGAGUUUCCUGAGUUGAUAUUGGUUAUUAAUCAAUACUAAGAGGAGAUCUUGGUAGAGUUGUCAAGGAGAGUUUAUAAUAGAGUUAUUACAAAUUAGUGAAGCUUAGAGUUAAAUUACAAUGGAGUCUAUAAUCAUAAGUUUGAUUAUAGUGGAUUCUUGAGUACUUGUAAGGGCAAGCCGUGGUUUUACCUUAAGGAUUCCAUACCCUUGAAAAAUGUGAAGAAGAACUCUCUACCUAGAUGGGCCAAGAAAGAUUUGAUCACUCCUUUAUCUCCCUUAAGAGAAGUCAAACUCAAUUGGGUUCCCAAAUAUAACAAAUAACUUUGAUUGUAGGUAGAAGAAAGGGAAUACAGUUAGAACUGGUUUAUGGACAGUGGAUGCUGAAAGCAUAUGACUUAGAGGAAUGCUUGUUUUCUCUCUCUCAAGACACUUUCAGGUGGAGGUGUUUUUUUUGGAAAUUGUAAAAAGGGCUAUAUCCAUGGUGUGUGAAAAAUUAGAAAAUCACCUGAUCAACAAAUAUAAGAUGUGUACUAUGUGAAUGGCCUUAAGUACAGUCUUCUAAGUGUUUCUCAAAAAUCUGUGAUAAAGGUGAUGUGAAUUUCUUAUCUGAUGGAUGUACUGUGUCAAGAUUGAAGUCUGGAAGACUUAUUCUCGAAGUCAAAAGGUUCGUAUGUGGCUGAUUUAGAGUCUGUAGCUGAUGGGGAAUUAACUUGCUUAAGUGUUCAAAGUGAAGAUGCUGAUCUAUGGCACAGAAGGUCAGGACAUGUAAGUUCCUCUUUGCUAAACAAGUGGAUUUCAAAAGAUCUGGUCCAUGGUUACUAAAGCUAAAAUUUCCAGACAACAAAGUUUGUGAUGCUUCUGUUAAGGGUAAAUAAACCAGGUCUUUCUUUAAGCUGAAGAUGCAGGUGAGUACUUCUAGACCUCUUGAGUUGCUGCACUUGGAUCUAUGUGGACCUGUUAAAGUCCAAAGUAGAGGAGGAAAGAAUUAUGUAUUUGUCAUUGUAGAUGACUACUCCAGAUUCACCUGGACAAUGUUCUUGAGAACCAUGGAUAAAUCUAUGAGGUUCUAGCAAAUUUUGACAAGAAAAUUUAAAUGAAGCUGAAUUAUAAGAUUGCUUAAUUCAAAUAUAAUCAUGGAACUGAAUUUGAGAACUCUCAAGUUACAGGAUUUUGGGCUGAAUAUAGAAUCAGACAUAACUUAUCUGCUCCUAGGACUCCUCAGCUAAAUGGAGUUGUUAAAAGGAAGAACAGAACCCUCAUAGAGAUUGCCAGGACCAUGCUGAUUGACAGUGGGCUUCCAAAAAGCUUUUGGGCUAUAGAUGUUAAUACUACCUGUUAUGUGACAAAUAGGUGUCUAAUCAGAUAUCUCCUAAACAAGACCCUAUACGAGCUUGUGUUCAAUAGAACGCCUAACCUUAAUUACUUCAUACCUUUUGGGUGCAAGUGCUUUGUUCUAACUAAUGAGAAGAAUGAACUAGGAAAGUUUGACUCCAACAGUUAUGAAUCAAUAUUUGUGGGAUACUCCUCAACAAGCAAAAUAUACAAAGUUUUCAAUAAAAGAACUCUAUGUGUGGAAGAAAGUAUACAUGUGGUCUUUGAUAAGUCAGGAAAGCUAGUGAAUCCAGGUGAUGUGAAGAUUCUGAUAUUAAAGAACUGAUUCUUAUUCAAAGGGAUAAUAUUGAUGAAGAUAAUUAUCAAGGACUAAAUGAUGCAGUUGGAAAUGAUGAACUUGAUGGUGAUCCAGGAUCCCAGUUAUAGACCCUUGCUCUAGUUGAAGAAUAUAAAAAAGGGUCUAGUGAAAAUCUUUAGGGACUUGGACCCAAUGGAGUGCAUCUCAGAAGGUCAAAUUGGAGGCACAAAUCUUCUCACCCACUUGAGAAUUUGACUUCACCUUUGGAAUCUAGAGUCCAAACAAGGGCUCAAGUAACAAAUUUCAUGGCAUUAUCAGCAUUCUUGUCCCAAGUUGAGCCCAAAAAUAUGGAAGAAGCUCUAAAAAUUACUGACUGAAUCAAUGCAAUGCAGGAGGAGCUUCAACAAUUUGAAAUAAGUAAAGUCUGGCACUGAUCCCCAAACCUGUUGACAAUAUAAGUAUUGGGACAAAAUGGGUGUACAGAAAUAAGCAAGAUGAGCAUGGAUUUAUCAAUCAAAAUAAAGCAAGGCUGGUUGUUCAAGGUUAUAACUAGGAGGAAGGAAUUGACUAUGAUGAGAUAUUUGCCCUUGUAGCAAGUAUAAAGGCUAUCCGAAUUCUUAUUUUAUUUGCUGCUUACUUGUGGUUCAAACUCUUCCAAAUGGAUGUUAAAAGUGAUUUUCUUAAUGGAAACUUGAAGGAAGAAGUCCAUGUCAAGCAACCUCCAGGUUUUGAAGAUGCCGAUUUUCCUCAUCUUGUGCUUAAAUUGGACAAAACUCUUUAUGGUUUGAAGCAAGCACCAAGGGCUUAGUAUGAGAGACUUUCAAAGUUUCUUCUGGAAAAUGGUUUUAAAAGAGGGAAAAUUUACAAACUCUCUUUUUAAAGUCCAGAGGUAGAAACUUACCAAUUGUUCAGAUAUAUGUUGAUGAAAUAAUCUUAGGAGCUACUUCUGAAUCACUAUGUAAGGAGUUUGUAAUUCUAAUAGGGAAUGAAUUUGAAAUAAGCAUAAUGGGUUAAUUAAGUUUCUUCCUAGGCCUGCAUAUCAAGCAAACUUCUCAAGGGACAAUGAUUUGUCAAGAGAAGUACAUCAAGGAGCUACUGAUGAAAUAUAAUAUGAAAGAUGCCAAGCCGAUUGAAACUCCAAUUAGAACUAGUUCAAAGAUGGAUGAUGAUGAAUCUGGUCCUUUAGUUUAUGAGACCAUGUAUAGAGGGAUUAUUGGAUCCUCACUAUAUCUCACUACAUGCAGGCUAUAUAUUGUAUUUAGUGUAGGAAUGUGUGCCAAAUGUCAGGCUUGCCUAAAGGAGUCUUAUUUGAAAGCUGCAAAAAGAAUUCUCAGGUAUCUGAAAGGGACCCAGUCCUGUACUAUCCAUCUGGAAAUAGUUUUGAUCUAAUAGGAUAUGCUGAUGCAGAUUAUGAUAGAUAUUUGGUGGAUAGAAAAAGCACCUCAGGAAUGACUCAUUUUCUAGGUUCUUCCUUAAUCUGCUAGGGUUCUAAGAAGCAGAAUUCAGUUGCUUUAUCUGUUGUUGAAGUUGAUUAUGUGGCUGCAGCUUCUUAUUGUCCUCAAUUGUUAUGGAUCAAACAACAACUAAAGGAUUUUCGCAUUGUCUCAUAACUAUCCCUCUGAUGUGUAACAAUACAAGUGCUUUUAACAUUGCUAAGAAUUUAGUGCAACAUAAGAGGACAAAGCAUAUCGAUGUAAUAAAUCAUUUUUUCAGAGUCAAUAUUAAGAAGGGAUCUAUUUGCAUGAAGUUUUGCAAAACUGAGGAUUGGAUAGCAAGCAUCUUUACUAAGGCUCUUCACAAGGAACAAUUUAUGAAGAAUAGAUUGAGGCUGGGGUUGAUAAAAAUAGCCUGACCUACUAGUUGAAUUAGUUUUUCUCCAUAAAAUUGGUUAUUAUCAAGAGACAGAUAUCCUUGAUAAAGUAUGUACUUGUUUGUCUAACUCAGUACCAUACCUUUGCAGGUAUACAUGCAUGGGAAUAACUUUGGAAGAGAACAGUUGAGACGGACACAAAUUUGAGGAUUCACUCAAAAAAGAGAGGGACCUGGUCCCAUCUCUCAAGUUAGUACCAAAACAGUUUGCUUUAAAUAUCAUAAAAUUCUUUAUAACAAAGCCACAUGUCUUUCCUUCUGUGAGUAAAAGCUAUCAAAUCUUUAGUAAGGUGAAGGGUUGCACCUAUUAGGACCAGACAUGUCAUUUCAUUCAAAAGGCCUCUCAUUGACAACGGUCACUUCCCUUAAGUACAAAAUUAAACUAAUUACAUUCCAUUCUCUUCGAAAUUAAUUCACAAAUUAUCUUGCUCAAUUAUUCAUCCUUUUAGACACAAACUAUUUUCAUUCUCUCUUUCACAAAAGCUCCAAAUAGCUAAAAUUCCCACUCACUUCAGCCUCACUAAAGACCCAAAAAUUAGUCAAUCCCUAGAAAUUUAGUUUGAAAAGCUCUAAAUCAAACAUUCUGAUUCUUCAAUAUCCAGAACUAUUAAAGACCUCUCGUCAAAACCUCAACAAGAAUCUGAGUCUAUGCCACCUACUACAUCUUCUCUAGAAACUAGCAACCUUUGAAAUCCCUACUGGGUCAGCCAUGGUGGUGGACCUAAAUCAGGGCUUUAGUUCACCAAUUGAAUCCGAAAUUUCUCAACCAGAAGUUUCUCUUUACUUAUAAGAACAAAAAAGGCCUAAAGUCUCUAACACACUUAACGUACCUGGUUUCCAUACUCCCUUAGAGUCAAACCCCAUUUUUUCUCAACUGUUCGAUAAAGAAAUUCUAGUAAAAAGGUCUGACCUUUCCAGUAGUGAGAAUUGGGUAGCCGAGAAUUUACUUCUGCUCGACAAUAAUCCUAAGGAAAUUUCCUCUGGUUUAAAUGAUCAAAUAAUAGGUACAACAUUUGAUAUCACCAAGGUUGCAGAGUUUGUGCAACCUCUAAAUAAAGAAGAUAAAGUUGAUGAUUAGGAAUUACCUCUAAGGUGGUUAGUUAAAAAGCUGAAGAGUAGUAUAGGCAAAUAAAAAGUGAUGGAACUUGGUGUGAAGGUUACUAGAACAUACUCAACUAAGAGUUCUAAGAAAAAGUUAAUGAGGGAUGCUACGAAGGCUAGUAAAUCAUCUACUGCUAAGAGAAAGAGACUGAAGAAAGCUAGUGUUGUAUAGACGGUGCCGACCAGUAUCGGAUCUAGAAGCGAACGUAGAACCCUUUGGUGCAGGAACUGACGAAGUAGCAACAUGGAUCUUAUUUUCCCCAGAAGAAACCCUAGAAGGACAAUCCCUCUACAUAUGCCCACUAUGACCAUAGUUAAAGCACUUGUUCCUCAUCUCUUCACAAACACCACGAUUCACCUGACCACAAAAUCUACAAGGAGGAUAUGACAAAGUUGACUGAGUCCCACUAUCUUGAGGCUGGGUACCCUGUGCCCUAGGAUCAACACUAUUUUGAAAAUGGCGAUCACCCGAUGACUUCAGAUAAAGAGCACUAGCUGUAGAGUAGGAACUAGAAUUUCCCUACUUUUUAUUAGACUAUUUUACACUGUAUCUACCCCUCUGCUGACCUAUACCCUGAUUUGAAUAUCGAAACUUCUUAUUUUGCCUUUCUCUCAUAUCUACUUGAAUUUUGUUUUCCUCUUACACUUGUUGCAUUGCAUAUACACCAUAAGUCUAGAGAUGUACAUAUCAUUGUUCAAAAGGCUAUCUUUUUAAGAUCAAAUCACGGGACAACCCAGAAGUAAACUUCCUCAUUCUAGCCCUCAUGCUACAUACUAAUUUUGAAGCAUAUCGCUAUAACUGAUAAAACUUCAGGGCAUACUCCUUUACUAGCAUUCUUACUUGAUUCAAAUUCAUGAAUUCCUAAGCCUUUGCCUCCCUCAACUCCUAUGGAAAGAAGCAAUCAAGAAAAGCAUUAGAGAAGUUAAUCCACAAAGUGGACUUAGCACCAUCACCCCUAGACUGGUCCAAUUCCUUAUACCACUAAUAAGCUACAUCCUUCAACUGAUAAUCAGCGAACUCCACACCCUUCACAUUAGUAUCAUGCAUCACACAGAAAAUAUUUUUCAUCUCAUCAUUAAAAUUUUGAGGAUCUUUUUUAAAUAUAAAACUAGUAAAAGUUGGAGGAAUCAACCUCAUAAAUUGGCCAACUUUAGUAACCUUAGAAGAUGGAUCAAUAGAAGCAACAUGCUUAGUCUGAGAGGCUACCAACUGGGUAAGUAAAUGGAUUGCCUGGUGAAACUCUACAUUAGACACAUUAGCUUGAGUUGUUCGAAGAGGGCUCGGGGAACCGAUGAACUCCAUGUGGGGUAGUACAUUGAGAUCUGGAGCUCUAGACCAAGUCUGAACUUUAUAAGUAGUAAGAGCUUCAUCCAUUUUGUUCUCAGACAAGACGGAAGAGUUUCCAUGAGCAUCAGAUCUUUUGGGAGGCAUUAUUUGUAAAGCAAACAUACGAGAAUUAGAGGAAAUUUCAAGAUCUUAGACUUUAUAGCCCGAAAUAGAACAACAAGAAAGGAAAAUAUUCCUAAAUGCCUCAUAGCCCCUCUCUUAGAAGUGUGGCAUGAUACCUACCCAUAAAAGAGACUAUACUUGACACGACUUUGUGGACACUUAAUGACACCAAACCUAGGCUCUGAUACCACCUUUGUCAUGACUCGAACCAAGGCCUGGCCGUGACGGGUAUCUCAAGACGAACAAUAACUAGAGACCACCCCUGCUUUUAGCCAAACAGAACAAAAUACCCCUAACAUCGGAUGAAUUCCAAACAUAUAACAAGAUAACAUAAAAUAAGCUUAGAGAACUUAAGAUAUGUCUAUGACCAAAAUUGUCAACCAACCAAACACAACAAACAUCACCACCCAAAUCCACAGUAAUCCAAAAAGUCUUUUUGCAAAACUAAAAUCAAUAAAGUUUUGGGACAUGCCCCCGACCCUGAUAGUGAUAAUGACAAUGUUAAUGAUAAUGCGAACUCUCAAUUUUAAUCUAUGAAUGGAAACUGUUGAAAUGUCCAAGUUUUUUGGAGAAUGAAAGCUCACCAUUCACCACCAACGAUCGAUGAAUUGAAUCGAUCCACCUAACACUAUAUGUAAAAAGUAGAAGUAUCUCUGGUACCUACAUCACGUGGGGAUACAAUGUCCGAAAACAGUUAGUGGAUUGAGAACUAUCAUGUAACGCUUGGAUAGAAGAAAAAGUAAUGUUAAGUCAAGAUCCAAUUCAAAACCACGUGAACAUCAUUAUAUACAUAUAUAAAUAAUAUACCGGUAACAGGAAUAAGGCUUAGCAUAUACUUUAAAAAUUUAACCUGGAUUUGUAUAGCUCAACUGUUAUAAGAAGGCACCCAUGUGAUAUAUGGGUCCAGCUCUUCCCUAGCUGGAAGGGGCCCAGUAUGUGUAGCCGCAUGUAUUAGAGGAUGUACAUAUGCACCAUAGUGGACUCAAACCUCCUGGCAUAUCAAGGUGACUUAAGCACCCAAUCAUGUAAUAUAAUAUGGGGGACUUGAGCCUCUCAAUCAUAUGAUAAGGGGGACUCAAACCACCUCAUCAUUUAGACCCCCACGUCGGCAGCCGCAAUUUCUAGUAUUGGUUCCUUGGGAUAUCUAGUUUUAUGACUCAGCUACACAACCCUCUUUUAACCCCACUAAGAUAUUUAUCACACAUUCUCAUUUAUUGAACCACAAUACACAUUUAGGCAUACACUGUUGGUAUCGAUGAAUCAACUAUACUUUCAAGGUAAUAUCAACAUGACAUUAUAAUUUUAUUAACAUGGGAAAAUGACUCACUUUUUUCACUAAAUCAAACCACCAUGUUUAAAUAACCUCUUUAUAUCAUGUGAUUAUUUUGAAAAUAGUUCAAUGCAAAUUUUACUCGUACUCAAAACCACUUUCACAAAAUUGGGUUGGGAUUAUUACCAAUUCAAUUGCUAAUAUUCAUAAAAUUUGAGGAAAUCACAAUACCCUAGUUUUGAUGUUGGGUGUAAUUAUGCAUUCUAGCGUCACUAUUCUAGCCUUUUUAGCCUUAUUUUGAGGAUGGUUCAUGUGAUAUAUGGGUUGAUAAUGAGAUAAAUGUUCAUAGAAGUGUUAAAGCACGUGUUAUGAUGUUUAAAGUGAGUUCCAAAUAAGUUUGUACUUAAAAGAUUCAUUUAGAGUUCAACUUGAAAAACUAGCAUUACUAGCUUGAGCUAGGUGCAUGUCUAGUUGAUUCUGGUGGAUUCUAUUGUGUUUAAAGUGUUCCUAAUAAUUUGUAUGUAUUAUUAUAAGUUGAAUAACUUGUUUUUAAUGAGAAAAGUUCAAUUUGAAUGAGUCUACAGCUGGAACAAUAAGUGAAAGAUCAAUGCUAACUAGCUAUGUUUAGCUCUUGUUUUGAUUCAUCGUUAUGGGUAUUGUGUUGUGUUUCUCUCUUAAUUAGUUUGGUGUGAUGAUGUAGGAUGAUUUUGGAUAUUAAUAUGAUGAUAAUUUGAUGUUAAAGAAUCUUGUAAUUCAUGGUAAAUAUGCCACAAGACAAGGGAUUAAGAGGGGAGAUUCAACACUUAACCAAAUUUCGGAGAACAAAUUCAAGUAGCUCUGGGCGAUAUUGAGGCACUGCCCCACCUGUACCGGGGCUAUAGUCAGGGCGCUGAACCACCUGUAGUAGGGAUGAACCCAGGGCACCACCCCACCCACUUAUAAGCUCAACAUCUGAAACUUUUCUUGUCCAACACGGAAAGGGCUUGUUCCUAUACUAUAAAUACAUGUUGUAUCACGUUUUUACACAUCUUUUAGCACAUUUUGGAGACGAAAGGGCUGAUAUAACUUCUUAAUGAGGAUUUUAUUGUUUUUAUUUAGUUCAUUCAUGUUUUUAGUCAUUAAUUACUAUUUUGCGAUUACGAUUAUGACUAUGCGUGGCUAAACACCCUUUUUCGGGGUUAAAGCCAAAGACAUGAUUACUUUUGCUAUGAAUUAAGUUCGUUUACGUUGCUUAUAAAUAUUAGUUGUGUGUUAAUCUUUGAUUUAACUAUUUUAAGGAUUUGUCACCCUUUAAAUAUAUCAAUUGUCUACCUUUUGAUCUUGGGAGAGGGAAUAGGGGAUAGAACAUGGAGAUGAACAAAGUAUGGGUUGUAUUCUUUUAUAAAAUAAAGAAUUGAACUUAGCACCUAGGACAGGGAUUUACUUAGGAGAUUUACUUAAUUCAACGUAGGAUGAUAGAUUAAAUAACUUAAUUGGAUCAUUAUAUCCCCGCUCAAUGAUGUAGUUGCAAGGUUCAACUUAUGUAAAGGAUUAGAGGUUGGGAAACCAUAAUCAUGCAAUUAACCCUAUGAAUCCACAACCAAGAUAAGCAAGUUAACGAAUGAAAUUUAAAACAUGGUAUGAUUUUUGAAAGUUCUUUAACCCUGGGUUUUCUCCUAUUGAUUUUUUUAAGAUCUUUAAUUUUCGCAUUAUUUACUUUUCUAUAAUUUACAAAUUCCAAACUCUUUUUUUAGUUACGCUUGCAUCAAUUGAAUCUAAAUUGUGGACUAAAGUAGAAUUGUUGUUAAAUUAAGUCUCUGUGGGAUCGAUACUUGGCUUCUUGAAGGGAACUUUACUACUUGAUAAAACCACGUACCCUUGCGUGUGCGCUUGGACGCUGUCAAGUUUUUGGCACCAUUGCUGGGGACUUGUAUUUUGGCAAUUGUUUAUUUUGGUUUUAAUUUUAGAUUUAUUUGGUGUUUUUACGCUUGAUCUUGGUUUUUUUAUUGCAGGAAAUAGGUUUUUAAAGCGGUAAGUUGGCAAGGGAUAGGGAGUUGGUUGAACCAAGCUCUGAACUCGAGCAACUUUACCAUUAAUGAAGGGGAGAUGCAGUCCUUCUCCCACGAAUUCCUCAAAUCUAAGAAGACCAAUAAAAUCUGGCGCAAAUGGCUGAGGAAUAACAAUUAGCGUGCAAGACUAUUCGGGAAUUGCCAGUCCUACUUCCGACAAAUUUGACUUCCCCCAUUCAAAGACUGGCUACUGGGGGAAAUUUUUAGCUUAAGCACAACAUAGUGAAACUAUUGAUUAGCAGUGGGUAAUUUGCAGAUCUGUCACAUGAGGAUCCACAGGUUCACUUGUAGAAUUUCAUUGAGCUCACGACUACAUUUAUUCCAAUUGGUAUAAAUAUUGAUUAUGUGAGGCUCACACUCUUCCCCUAUUCACUUAUUGGGGAAGCUACAAAGUGGUUGAAUGUGGAGCCAGCCAAUUUAAUAACAUCAUGGGAUGACUUAGCGCAAGGUUUCUCAUGAGAUUCUUUUCAUCAGGCAAGACAGCAAGACUUUGCAGUAAGAUAGUGAGCUACAAACAAAAACCUGAUAAAAUCUAUAUCAUGCUUGGAAAUGCUUCAAGGCCCUUCUCUGGGAUUGUCUACACUACUAACAGUCGAAUGAGGUACUUGCUUAUACUUUUGUAGAAGCUCUUGAUCAUAAUACAAAGAUUUUGAUAAAUUCAGCCGCAGUUGGUCAAGCGCUGGAGUUGACUUUUAAUGAGCUGUACACAUUAUUGAAAUACAUAGCACAAGGAAAUCUCGAGUGGUAUUCAGAUUCCAAAAGUGCCACAAAAAGAGUUGCAGGUGUUCUAGAAGUGGACCAAUUCACAACCCUAUCAGCACAGGUGUCUGCAUUACAUAAUUUGAUCAACACUCAGUUUAGCAGCAUGAAAUUAGGAGCUCCACAGCCUAGCACAACCAUUAAUACAGUUUAGUAAAUUAGUUGUUAGUGUGAGGUAUGCAGAAAUAGUUGCUAUUCUGCGGCCAUGUGUGCUUCAAAUCCAGAAUCAGUGAUGUAUGUAGGCAACGCUCAAAGGUCAAAUUAUGGUAACGCCUACUACAUGAAGUGGCAGACUCAGCCAUGGAACGCCCCACAGCCACAGGCCCAACCAAAUUAGUCAAGCAGCAAUAUGGAGAAGAUGAUAAAACAGAUGUUAGCUAAUCAGAUACAAUUUGCUACAGACUUAAAAAAUUUUCAAGAGUCCACAAGAAGUCUAGAGUUGCACAUGGGGAAAAAUCAGCAAGCAGUAAAUACUAGGACACAAGGUGGGUUGCCAGCUGACAUAGAAAAUCUAAAGCAAGUUAUGGCAAUCACCUUGAGAAAUGGUAUAGAGCUUCAAGAAAAACCUCUAAAGGUAACAAAGGAGGUAGAUGCUGAUGUGGUGACCCAACAGGUAAAUAAAGAAGUUUCUAAAAAAUCAAGGAAUUUUGAGUACUUGAAAGAAAAAGUUGUUGAAUCAGAAGUGAAGAAAAUACUACCAUUACCUUUCCCUUAAAGAAAAAUUAAAGCGAAGAAGGAUGCACAAUGUAAGAAGUUCUUUGAUACAUUCAAAGAGCUUCACAUUAACUUACCUUUGUUAGUUAUUUUAUAAAAUAUGCCCAAGUACGCAAAGUACUUAAGGGAUGUGGUGGCUAAAAAGGUGAAAUUGUAGGAUGUAGGAGCUGUAACACUCAUUGAAGAGUAUAGCACUGUGAUGACAUAGAAAAUCCCUAAGAAAUUGAGAGAUCAGGGAAAGUUUUCCAUCCUAAUCCAAGUUAGGAGUAAAACAGUCUAUCCUCUGAGUAGUUUAGGGGCAAACAUCAACUUGAUACCCCUAUCGUUGUUUAAAACAUUGGGCUUGGGAGAGUUGAGACCGACCAAUAUGGUGUUGCAGUUGGCAGAUGGGUCACUAACAUAUUCGGAUGGAAUAAUUGAGGAUGUCCUCAUAAAGGUUGGUAAAUUUAUUAUACCUGCUGACUUUAUUGUUCUUGAUUUUGAGGUAGAUGAACAGAUGCCAAUCAUCUUAGGGCAUCUAGUUUUAGCAAUUGGGGAGUGUUAAUUGAUGUUAGAGAAAGUAUGCUCAAAAUAAGGGUAGAGGAUAAAGAGGUUGUGUUUGAUGUAUACAAAGCACCCACAAUUAUGUCCCAAGUUAAAGAUUUAUGUAUGAUCAAUGUUAUUGAAGGGGACAAGUGUGGGGUGUCUAGUCCACAAAAGACCUCUUCAAACUACCUAAUUGAGCAGCCUAAGAAUCUAUCUCCUAAGCCUGACAUGAUGGAAGUUGGUGAGCUUAAAAAGGCUAAAGUUGAGAAACCUGCUACUCUUGAGAAUUCACACCUAAAAGGGGUAAAAAUGAUAAGAAGAUGGCCUCUAAGUGUGAGGAAAAAGAUGAAGUAAUAUGGUUGAGUUGAGUUGGGUCAUACUGCGACACUAAAUCAGGUGCUGCUUGGGAGGCAACUCAAGUUAAUUAGGUAUAUUUUUUUUUCCAGUUUUUUAGUUUUUAUUUCACGUAGUUUUUGUUUUUGGUUGAGUUCCAGGUUAAUGGAAAGUAUGGGUACCAUAAACUUGAGCUAAAAAGCAUGACAAAGAUUGAGUGUGGGGUCCUAUGGACCUCCUUUAUACAAAAAGAUGCAACUAGCUAGGCUUAGAGGCCUUAGGGAGUAUUUCUAUCUCUUACUUUUAAAAUUUACUUUGGGGACAAAGUAAAUUUUUAAGUGUGGGGUGAGGAAAUUCCCAAAUUUUAUCUCAAUUUAAAAUUUUGUUUGUGAGAUAUUCUUGUUGGUGCUAUUUGUGAUUACAUGAUGCAAGUAGGUUUGUUUGUAAAAGUAUGUUGAUUGAGUGAAUUGCUAUUUUUGAGACUCUUAGGCUCAUGUUUAUGACUCUUGUACUUGUUGGCUUAAUUUUGAAUUCAUGCUAUUAUUUGGUUGGGAGUCUAUAAAGAUCCUAUUGAGUUGAGCAUGUGCCAUGUGUGAUGUGAGGUAUUUGUAUAUUCCUUGUUUCAUGUGAUGUCCACAACUUUCUCAGUGUGUGUGUAAAGCAAAAUAAAGAGUGUGGUUUUAGGAGAUGAUUUAGGCAUUUCCUUGAUAGCCUUAUUCUAUGCCUUCUAUUUGUCCUACCAAUUAUGCAUUAUCCUAGUUAACCCCCAUUGAGCCUUUAGCCUUUUCUUUGGUAGGUUCAUAUGUAGCCAAAUCCCCUUCUUUGAUAGACCAUAAUUUGAUCCAAAAAGCUCCUAAGUGCUUUAAUAAAAAUCAAAUAAUUGAAAAAGGAGUUUUGAGAAAUUAAAGAAGAAAAAGGUAAAAUUGAUGCCCCAAGGUAAUAGUUAUUGGUAUUAAUAAUUGAUGUAUGGUGGAUGGGUGUAAUAUAAUUUAUGCUAGAAUAUUGCCAUGAUUGUGAGAAAAGAGAAACAAAUUGAUUCUUGUGGUAUUAAACUAUAUGUGCACCAAGUGUUUGUGAAAAUGCUUAAUAGAGAUGGGGCAAAAACAAAAGGUAUGGAUGAAUGAAUAAGUGUAGUUUAGUUGUUGGAGAGUGAUUUUAAAUGUAUAAUGAAGUGUAUUAAAGCGCUUAGAGAGGUUAGUCACUAUUCCCAAAUAGUUCCUACCAGUCCCUUAGCCUACGUUACAACCCGAAAAAGUCCUCAUUGAUCUUAAGCUUUACAUUCGACUAUUAGUAGAGCAUUACACUAAGAGAAAGCCUAUGGUUCAUUGUGUGUAACUUGUAUAUUCUUUUUGAGAGUGAGAGUAAUUUGAUUCUUGUACCCAUCAUGUUCUAAAUUGCUUAAUUGUGAGUGAUUAUGGGUAACUCUCUUGUUGUGAGGGCACAUGUUUGAUGAAUAUGGGUGAUUUUUAUGAUUUCUUUGAUUGAAUGAUGUUCAUGAGUUUGCCAACUUGGUGAGUAAAUUCUUAAGGCUAGGAUGUUUUGGAGUACUGUUCAUAAGCUUUCAAUUGUGUUUGUAACAUGCUUAGUAUAGUAACUUUCAUUUCGAGUAGUCAUGGUAGUACUAGCUCGAGUGUCUUGCAUGUAGUAGAGGUGUAGAAUCUACAGCUCAUGAGGUUUCUAGUAAAGAUUUGUUCGAGGACGAACAAGGUUUUAAGUGAGGGGUGGUGAUGUUGGGUGUAUUUAUGCAUUCUAGCGUCACUAUUCUAGCCUUUUAAGCCUUAUUUUGAGGAUGAUUCAUGUGAUAUAUGGGUUGAUAAUGAGAUAAAUGUUCAUAGAAGUGUUAAAGCAUGUGUUUAUUAUGUUUAAAGUGAGUUCCAAACAAGUUUGUUCUUAAAAUAUUCAUUUAGAGUUCAACUUGGAAAACUAGCGUUACUAGCUUGAGCUAGGUGCUUGUCUAGUUGAUUCCGGUGGAUUCUAUUGUGAAAGUGUUCCUAAUGAUUUUCAUGUGUUAUUAUGAGUGGAAUAACUUGUUGGUAAUUAUAAAAUUUCAAUUUGAAUGAGUCUACAGCUGGAACAAUAAGUGAAAGAUCAAUGCUAACUAGUUAUGUUUAGCUCUUAUUUUGAUUCGUCGUUAUGGGUGUUGUGUUGUGUUUAUCUCUUAAUUCGUUUGGUGUGAUGAUGUAGGAGGCUUUUUGAUCUGAAUAUUAUGAUAUUUUGAUGUUAAAGAAGCUUGUAAUUCAUGGGAAAGACGCCACAAGACAAGGGAUCAAGAGGGGAGACUCAACACUUAACCAAAUUUCGGAGAACAAAUUCCAGUAGCUCUGGGCGAUAUUGAGGCGCCGCUUCACCUAGACCGGGGAUAUAGUGAGGGUAACACCCCACCUGUAGAAGGGAUGAACCCAGGGCGCCGCCCCACCCACUUCCAGGAUCAACACCUAAAGCUUUUCUUGUCCAACACGGAAAGGGCUUGUCCUAUACUAUAAAUACAUAUUGUAUCAAAUAUUUACACAUCUUUUAGCAUAUUUUGGAGAGCAAAGGGCUGCUACAAAUUCUUCAUUAGGUUUUUAUUAUUUUUAUUUAGUUCAUUCAUAUUUUUAGUCGUUAAUUACUAUUUUGUGAUUAUGAUUAUGCCUAUAUGUGGCUAAACGCCCUUUUUCAGGGUUAAAGCCAAAGACAUGAUUACUUUUGUUUUGAAUUAAGUUUGUUUGCUUUUCUUAUCAAUAUUGGUUGUGUGUUCAUCUUUGAUUUAACUAUUUUAAGGAUUCGCAACCCUUUGAAUAUAUCAAUUGUCUACCUUUUGAUCUCGGGAGAGGGAAUAGGGGAUAGAACAUGGAGAUGAACAAAGUAUGGGUUGUAUUCUUUUGUAAAAUAAAUAAUUGAACUUAGCACCUAGGACAGGGAUGUACUUAGGAUCCUUACUUGAUUCAACGUAGGAUGAGAGCUUAAAUAACCUAAUUGGAUCAUUACAUCCACACUCAAUGAUGUAGUUGUAAGGUUCAACUUAUGUAAAGGAUUAGAGGUUGGGAAACCAUAAUCAUGCAAUUAACCCUAUGAAUCCACAACCAAGAUAAGCAAGUUAACAAAUGAAAUUCAAAACAUGGUAUGAUUGUCGAAAGUGCUUUAACCCUGGGUUUUCUCUUAUUGAUUGUUUUAAGAUCUUUAAUUUCCUCAGUGUUUACUUUUCUACAAUUUACAAAUUUCAACUCUUUUUUUGGUUAUGCUUGCAUCAAUUGAAUCUAAAUUGUGAACUAAAAUAGAAUCGUGGUUAAAUCAAGUCUCUGUGGGAUCGAUACUUGUCUUCUUAAAGGCCACUUUACUACUUGAUAAGACCACAUACACUUGCGUGUGUACUUGGGAGCUGUCAAGUUUAUACACCAGACCCAUGCAUCAAAUUGAUUUCAAAACCACCAUUAAAAUAUAAUAAAUGCAUAUCUAAACAUGAAACAUCACAUAAAAAACAAUCAAUCAAAACCCUCAACCUAUGUUGAAAACCCACAUUCAAAACCAUCCAAUUAAAUAAUUCAAACACAUGCUUUUUCAUAAAUUGAGGAUUAGCAAAGUGUAACAUGCCUGAAACACCAAGUUUUAUGGAGAGAAUUCAACCAGUGAGCCCUUAGAUGAUCUACUUCUUGAAAAUCCUAAGUAUCUUGCUUGAGGGAAUUUAGAGAGAAUAGAGUGUUUUAAUUUAGUUAUGAAUUAGAGAUAACCCCCUUGAGUGCUUUAUGGAUGUGGGGCUUUAAUUGGGUAAGAAGGGAAUUUUCUAAAGUCCCUCAACUUAAAAGCUGAAAAAUUAUCGCCAGUGACUAUGAUUGAUACUGCGACUCGUAAUGACAAGUUACGACUUGUCACCACGAGUCGUAGCCAAGACCGUGUCAUUAUGCUCGCAUACUAUUGACCCUAUGACUUACAUUAUAUGACUCGCUUAGGGACCCUAUGACUCAUACGGUCUUAGUCUUCACCUGUACAAUAAUACUUGGAACACUCACUGGUUUGACUAUGUUUGGGACAUUAUGACUCGUAAUGAGUCCAUACAAUUUGUUGAGGUGCAUUCAUACUCAGAACAUAAAACUUGGCCACACACACUGUUUAGGCUACGAUUUGGAUCCAAUGACUCAUCAAGACUACCUAUGACUCAUAAGGGGAGUCGUAGUCUAGACAAUGAGGAUAAAAUUUCAAAAAGAUUCAAGGGUCAAAAAUUCGGGGUGUUACAUAAACACUCUUAAUUCACCCCAUCAAUAGCUCAUAAAAUCCCAUCCCCUAGCUAUCAUUCAAACAUAACUGGAAAUGAUGAGGAAAAUGCAUAACCAUCAGGGACAAUGUGAUAGCAAAACAAAGUGAAAUGAUUGCUGAGAUCACGAGAAAGCUGGAUAUGCUCCAAGAGAAGAUGAACCAUAUUGGAGAUAUGGCUAAUUUGGCCAUCAUCAUAAAUGCUUCUAUCCCAGGAGGACACGGUCCUCCACUCUAAAUUCCUCCCCUUAAUACCCUCAUUCUCGAGAAUCAUCCAAAUAACUUAUCAUCCAUAUGCACUUCCCAAUUACCCAUAGAUCCCAUCAUUAAUAACCUACUUAUUCAUACUCUACCCAUCUAAAACACCAAUUAAGAGAGCAAUCCAAAUGCUUACCAUACACAAAAUCUGUCCCUCACUCUACAAAAUUUAUUCCCACUACACAAAAUCCCAUUCCCAACUCCAUAAAAUCUGUACCUAAUUCCAUAAAAUCCUUCUUAAAUUCCAUCAAAUCACUCCCAUAUUCCACAAAGUAUCCUCAGUUCCUAAAAUGUCCUCCCUAUCUACCACCUAACUUUCUCUCAUCCUCAAAAUCAUGCUACAAUCCCAAAUUAUUCUCAUAUCCGACCUAUACCUCCACCCUCUUUUUAUGUUAUUAUAUCUCUUAACAUUUAUAAUACCUUUCCAAAUCCCAAGGUAGACCAUUAUGAGGUAAAGGAACAGGAAUAGAGGAUUGAGCUUGAAAAGAAGUUGUUGGCCAUGAAUAAGGAGAUUAUGAGGAUUAAAGAAUCUCAUUGGACAAGGGACAAUGAUGGUCUUAGUUAUGAUAAUUUGUGUGGUCACCCCGGGGUAAAUCUACCAGUAGGAUAUAAGAUCCCUAAAUUUGAAACAAUCAGUGGCACCGAAAAGCCCAUGGCUCACUUUAGAAGAUAUUAUGAUCAAAUGGUUAAAAUAGGGAGCAAUAGGUAUUGCUAAUGCUAUUAUUCAGUCGAAGCUUAAGUGGCGAAGCUGUAGAAUAGCUUACAUCUUAGGAAUUGAGAAAAUGGUCUGGUUGGGGGGCACUAGCUAAAUAAUUUCUCAAUAGGUUACAAACAAUGUUGAAAUAGUCCCUAACCGACAUUCACUAGAUCGGAUCAAGAAGAAGAGUGAUGAGUAUUUUUGGGACUAUGCCUAUUGCUGGAUAAAGAAAUCUGAAAAAGUACAACCUCUAAUGACUGAGGAGGAAAUGGUAUCAGUGUUUUUCGUGCUCAAGAAGAAGAAAUUUUUUACUAGAAUUGUGUCAGCGGUCUGUGCAACAUUCACAGAUUUAGUAAAGAUUGAAGAGUCACUACCGGAGGUAUUCAAAUGGGAAAGAUUAUCGAGACCCCAAUGUCAUCUGGGUCUUCUAGGUUCAUGAAGAAGAAAAGAGAAGAUGUGUCUGUAGUCUCCACAUGUCAUGACCCGAACCAGGGCUUGGCCAUGAUGGGUAUCUCAAGUCCACCAUGGACCGGAGACCACCCACUUUGCCUCGACAAACAAAACACAAUACACUGACAGUGGCUGAAUUCCAAAUAUAUAACAAGAUAGAUAAAUAUAAGCUCAAGAAGUCUAAAAUACAUCAACAACUAAUACCCAGUCUAUAGUAAUCCACAAAGCCUCGAUGACAAAACCAAAUUAAACCAAUAUCAGGACACACCCCCGAAGAUAGCCAAAACAAGUAAAAAAAAGUCUAUGAUAAUAGAUAAACCAAGAAGUAAUGGCAUUCCAAAAAAUGGAAGCUUACCAUUUCAAGCUUACUGCUUAUAACCCAAAAAUCUAAUCACUGUGUAGGAAAAGUAAGUGUCUUUGGUUCCUACAUCAUAUGGGGAUAGAACGUCUGAAGAUGGUUAGUGGGUUGAGCUCUAGCAUGUAACUGAGGGAAGUAUAAAAUAAUUCCAUGAUCAAUAGUUUAAAAUAAUCCAAAUCUAAUGCAUACAAUCAUAUGCAUAUACAUAUACAUAACUAUAACAUACCGAGAUAGGUAACAAAGCCUAGCAUGGACUUUAAACAUUAGCCUAGACUGUGUAGCUCAACAUCAUAAGAAGAAGGCACCCACGGGCUAUAUAGGCUCAGCUCUCCCCACUGAAAAAGGCCCAGUGCGUGUAGCUGUAUCAACCAGAGAAUAAUUAUAUGUACAUAUAUACCAUGGGGGACUCAAACUGCCCAGUCAUAUAUCAAGGGUAACAUGAACACCCGGUCAAAUAACAAGGGGGAUUCGAACCACUCGAUCAUAAGCAAGGGGACUCGAACCCCAGGCCCUUUAGACCCCCACACUGACAAAUGCGGUUUCGAGUAUUGGUCCCUUUCAAACUCUACUUUUACGGCCUGGCUACACACCUCUCUUUAAGCCUAGUUAAAACAUUUUUCACACAUUUCCAUUAAUUGAACCACAAUAUUUCUUUAGGCAUACACUGUUGGUUUCAUCAUACCAACUACACUCUUAAGGUAAUUUCAUCAUUCUAGAACAACUCGAUUCACUUGGGGAAAACAAACCACUUUAUUAACUAAAUCAAUGUGUGGGAAUGCCUCGACCCCCUUUGUUCACUAAAUCAAACCAUUAUAUUUCAAUAACCUUUUUAUAUUAUGCAUUGGUUCCAUAAAAUGUUCAAUGCAAAUAUACUCAUAUUUAAAGCCAAUUUCACAAGAUUGGGUUGGGGUUAUACUAAUCCAAUUAUCUACAUUCACAAAAUUGAGGGAAAUGCAUGACCCCUUCUUUGUUCAUUCACCAUGCCCAUGCACCCCACCUAUUCAAAACCAUUAAUUCAAACCAUACAUGAUCUAUUAAAGUAAUGGGAGAAACAAGUAAGUUAAUAAUGUUCAAUAACCCUCAACCCAUAUUUAAAUCAUCAAUUAAAUCUCAUGGGUACAAUAAUAGACACAUGUAUUUAAUAAAAUUAGAUGUGGAGAAGAGUAACAUGCCUGAAAGUACAGAGAAUUAUGGAGAGAAAUCAACCCUUGAUCCCAUAGAUAACCGACUUUGAGAAACCCUAGCUUGUUCUUGCCUUAGGGAUUUGGGAGAGUUUGAGAGAGUAAAGAGAGUGUUUAUGAUUGAUAAGGGUUGGAAUUAAUGGCCUCAAGGUGUUUUAUAUACAUGGGGUCAAAGUGGGGAGUGAUGAAAUUAACCAUAUUGCCCUUAAUUAAAAUGCCGAAUUUAACGCCCAAUCGUUAUGGGUCACCCUAUGACUCAUAAUGACUGGAUACGAGUCAUCCCUUGUCUCGUAGUCAAGGAAAAUUCCUUGAGAACUCACACUGUUGGCCCUAUGAAGUUUACCCUAUGGCUUAUAAUAAGACCCUACGACUCGUUAGACCCAACAUAUAACUAAAUAGAAACAAGGGUACCCUUCACUGGUCACCCUACCUUUUGGACACCAUGACUCAUAAUAAGUCUUUACGACUCAUGACCUCUAGUCAUAAUCAGGACAGUAACAUAGACACUACUCACUGGUCAGACAAUAAUUUGGCUCCUAUGGCUCGUAAGGACACCUUACGACUCGUAAGAUGAGUCGUAGGUUGGGCAAGGAGUUCAAAAACUCAGAAUAUUUCUGAGAUCAAAACCUGGGGUGUUACAUUCUUCACCCAGGAUCAUUCAUCCCCGAAUGAUGAUACACGGAAUCCAUUAGCAUGAUUUAAUAUGGAACACAACCACACUUUUCUUUAGCACAAAUAGAAAACAAAUAUGUUAAGGAAAACACAUACCUUAAGCAUGAUUAUCCUAAGACAAAAAUAGGAAUAGAUAUUUGGACUUCAGGUCCUCUUCAGUUUCCCAAGAGAUUAUUCAAUCUUAUGAUUCCUCCAUAAAACCUUUACCAAAGCCGCAUCCUUAGUCCUUAAAUGACAGACUUACUGAUCCAGGAUUUUCACCGAUACUUCCUCAUAAGACAAGGAGUCCAAAACGCUGACACUUUCUAGAGGAACAACUAAGGAAGGAUCACCCACACACUUAUUCAACAUUAAGACAUGGAAGAUCAGAUGAACGAAGCCCAAACUAGAAAGCAACUCUAACUCAUAAAUAAUGUUUCCCAUUCUUGUCAAAAUCAAGUAAGGGCCAAUAAACUGGGGACUGAACUUUUCCUUUUUCCUAAACCGCAUCACUCCCUUCAUAGGAGACACCUUAAAGAACACCUAAUUGCAAACAUCAAACUCCCUCUCCCUAUGCCUUACAUCUGCAUAGGAUUUUUGGAAACUUUAGGAGAUCUUAAGCCUAUCCCUAAUUACCAUCACCUUCUACAUAGCUUGGUGAACUAAAUUGGGAACAAUCAAUCCAGCCUCAUUAACCUCGAAUGACCCAAUGGAAGAAUGAUAUCUCCUACCAUAAAAAUCCUUGUACGGAGAUAUCUAAAUGCUAGAAUGAUAACUAUUAUUAUAUACCAACUCUAUGAGAGGCAAAUGGUCAACCCAACAACUAAUAAAGUGGUAACGCCCCAAAAUCUAGUUCCUGGGAUUCCACACGGUACUCCAAACUACAAGUAGACUUGCUAAUCCUGGCUGCUUCCUACUAAAUCUGAAUCUCAAAAUGAGAAAGUAUGAAUGUGAUAUCAUCAUAAAUGCGGAAAUCUAGCUGAAUAAUCUGAACAUAUCUGGAAAUACUAGUCUCAUCAAUAAAAAAAAAAAUAUUGAAAAAAAAAUCUGAAAAUGACAACUGAGAUCUAAGACUGAUCUGGUAGUCCGACAAGCCUCUACUAACUAAAUCUAGAGAGUCACUAGGACAAGCCCCAGCUGACUUAAACUAUUUGAAAUAAAUAAAGAAAUAUCUACUAAUAAGCUAAAAUAUGAAUAGCUAAGUCGCCGAACUAUGAGGAUUCACCAACUGCAGGGAUGUAGAUGAGAUGCUAAAAAAUCACUGUAGCUGAUGAGACUAAGCACCUGAACCUACAUUAUGAGACAAUGUAGCACACAUAAAUAUAUGUGGAUCAGCACUUUGAGGAUGUACUGAGUAUAUGGGGGUGAUAUGCAUAAAUAAAACAUCAUCUCUUCAUCAUUAUUUAUAAAACAAUGCAUGCUAAUUGAAAAUGACUCACACAGGCUAGAAUAUCUGAAAGACUGUAAUCUGAAGUAAUAAGAGAAAUGUAUACUUAAUAAUUAUCAUUAGCCAUAUCAUUUAGUUUUAAAAGUUAUACUUGUAUUCUUUUUUUAAAGCAUACUUUCUAAGUGUAGAAAAGACUCACUCUAAAAUCUAGAAUCUGAAAGGUAAAAUCUGAAGCUACUAUCUUUCUUUAAAAUAUAAUCUGAGUAAAACUUGUGAGCCUUUACACUUAGUUUUCUAAAUGCUUUUCUAUUAGGGAAAAAUACUUUAUUUGAAGGGAGGUUCUCUUAACCCACAUAAACCAUGCGAGCUACAUGGAGUCCAAUGUCUUGUCCUCCUAAGGAAGAAACCUCACAUUAGGGAGAGGUUCAUACUCUUGCCAGGGUGUAUAACCUCAACUCAAGUGAUCACAACUCAUCCUCUAUAGGCACUCAAAUUCUCAAUCCUAUGGUGACAUUUUGUUCUUGGGUAUAAAACCGCAGUAACGUACCCAUCUCGGUGCUAAAUACUACUCCCUUAAAUUAGCUGCACUCAUCUCGUGGAAAUCCACAUUAAAACUCGCAUAAAGGUUUCUUGUAAAACCAGUUAUGCAUUUAUCUAAAUAACUCUGUAAAGUGGAUUCCAAAACUGAUUCGAAGGAUCAAAAGAUCAAAUAUUGUUUAUAUAAUUGAAUAUAAAUAUCUCAAACUCAUGUAAAUGCAUGACAUAACAUCAUUCUUUGCAAGCUUCUUAAAACUCUUUAAUAAUAUCAAAAUGAUAAUUCAAAUCACAAUCUCAGGCUCAAUUCAAUGGAAAAACUACAAAUAAUAUCUCAAAUCAUGCUCAUGGUAUUCAAAAUCAUAAAAGAAUACUUUUUAACAUAAAACAAACAUGGGAUUUCAUAAUUUAAUCAUAUCAUACUCAAAAAUCAUCAACAAGAUACUUUGGGUGUAAACCCCAAUUUCAAAUCAUAAGAAAUUUAUUGAAAAACAUAAUUUUGGGCACAAGGACAAAAGAAUUAUCCUUGUUCAAACCCCACAUACCUUAGAUGAUGAACUAGAUGAACAAGCUUGCUUUUUAAGAUGCUAUUUGUGCUUUUGAAUAGAGGUUCUUGAAAAUCUUGUAUUGGGAACUCUGAAUCGUGAACUAAUUUGAAAAACAAUAGUGGAAUCUUAAGGUUCUUGGAAUUAGGUAUUGAAGCUUAGGGUUUUUAAUUUGAGAGGAUUUGAUGAAAAGUAAGCCUAAUAUGGCUAGAAUAGGCUUUAAUCUUGUGUUUGGGCAAUUGGGGUGGGGAAAAAUGACUCAUUUGCCCAUAAAACCCAAAUAAAAUACUGCUGAAUAGGGCGGCCCUCACGUCGUGACCCCUGCUUGGGUCAAAUGGCCCCGCGAUGUGACACCUAAUCAAAUCAAAUAAACAUUGCAUCGUGAACCCUAUCUGGGUUGAUUGGCCCUCGUGAUGCGGGUCUAUCACGAGUCAUCACUUUUUUGGACGUCUAAACUCACCCUUACGCUAGUUCGAAAAAACCCUAAAACUAAACCGAGAUGUAUAUGGGCUUCCCCGAUCAUGAAUCAACUUAGAAAUCAACUUUCCAAGGCCAGAAAGAUCGUAAAUAAAAUCUUCAAAGUUUGAAGGCUUUGAGAAUGACUACGUCCCAAUACUUAACUAAAAUUUUCUAAGUCUAGGACCUCUCUUGGCAUGCUUUAAAAGGCUUAGGCAAUGAGGAUUUUGUGGGGUCUUACAAUAUCUCCCCCUUGGGACUAUUCAUCCUCAAAUAUCGCUAGUUAGGAUAGAAAUACUGAGGAGUCUUAGGAUACAUAAUAGCAUGCACAACUGAAAUAAGUUUGCUAAACUGAUUCUAAAUCAUUCUAAACUUUUUAGUUAAUCUGUGAGUGCAUGAACUUGCAAUGAGGACAUCUAUAUAGCUGAAUAUACGAUUAUUAAAGAACUGAAUCAAGGAAGAGUAGUACUGUCAGCUAACUCUGAGUUUGUGGAGAAGAGGUGAGGGUACUUGGCUUGCAUAUCUACUUCUGCUUCCAAAGUGGCACCCUCAAUAGACUGGUUCCGCCAAAGGACUUUGACCGAGGGAACUUCUUUGUUCCUUAGUCUACGGAUCUGGUAAUCUAAAUUUUCAACUGGAAUCUCUUCGUCUAAAAGACUGUCCUAAAUAUCUGAACUCUCUAAAGGAAUUAUGAUAGUGGAGUCACCAACGCACUUCUUAAGCAUAGAGAUGUGGAAUACCAGAUGAACUGCUGACAAGUCUGCGGGCAACUUAAUCUGAUAAGCUACUUUCCCGACAUGACUCAGAAUUCUUUAAAGGCCAACAUACCGAGGACUAAGCUUCCCAUUUUUGACAAAUCAGUUCACCCUUUUUAUGGGUGAAAUCUUCAGAUAGACUAAAUCACCAACUUCGAAUUCAAGAUCCCUUCUUGUCACAUCUGCAUAUGGUUUUUGAUGACUCUGGGCUACCCUUAACCUUUCUCUAAUCAACCUAAAUUUCUCCAUGACUUCAAAUACUACAUCAGGCCUAAGCAAAGUGUCCUCACCUACUUCAAACCAACCUAUGGGUGAUCUACAUCGUCUGCCAUAAUGAGCCUCAAACGGGGCCAUCUGAAUGCUAGAAUGGUACCUGUUAUUAUAAGCAAACUCAAUCAAGGGCAAAUGUUUAUCCCAACUACCUUUGAAAUCAAGAGUACAUGCCCUCAACAUAUCUUCUAGAGUUUGGAUGGUCCUCUCUACCUGACCAUCUGUCUACGGAUGAAAAGCAGAACUGAAAUGGACUUGGGUACUAAGACUAGGGGUGUUCAUGGUUUGGUUUUUAACCAAACCGAACCGCGAUCCAAACCAAACUGAUUAAAAAACUCGAUAUUUGGUUAAGUUUGGUUUGGUUUUAUUUGGUUUUGAAUUUUAAAAAAUCUAUACUAAUUUGGUUUGGUUUGGUUUUACUCUAAAAUAACCGACAAAAUAACCAAACCGAACCGAUAUAUAUAUAUAUAUAUAUAUAUAUUUUUAUAUUCUUUAUAUAAUAUUUAUGUAUAAAAUAUAAAUAUUUGUUUUAUAUUUUACAUGAUUUAACUUUAGUCGUAACACAUUAUGUCAUUUCUUCAUCUAGUUGAUAGUACCUUAUGAGAUUCUAAGUGAAUUUCACACUUUGAAUGACAAAUGAUACUAAUUGUGAAAAUAAUUUCUUGUUGUAUAUAGAAAUUUAUAGAUGAGAUUCAUUUGUCUAUAGACAAUCAUUAAUUUUAACUUUCUUUUUGAACCUUGUUGAGUAAGAAGUUUAUGUGUUCACCUUUUGAGGGGUUUAUAAUAUCAUUCUGUUAAAUGUAGUUUUAAAAUUUUUUUUUAGAAGCAUUCAUAUGGUGGUGUUCAUAGCUUUGCCAAAGUAUAACACUCAGUUGACAUCUUAGUUUCAAGGUUGAGAUACAACACUCGGUUAAUAUCUCAUAUGUUAGACUGGAUUUUUUUUUUUUUUAAUUUUCAACUUUUAUCAUUAGCUAAAGUUAUAAACCAAAAAAAUUGAACCAAACCGAACUGAACUGCAAGAACCAUACCGACAAUUAUAUUUUUAUUGUUUUUAGAAAUUAAAAACCGUCUAAGUUGGUUUGGUUGUGGUUUGGACCAAUAACCGACCCAAACCGACCCAUGAACACCCCUAACCAAGACCCUUCUGAAAGGCUUUCCAAAACUGGGAAGUAAAUUGAGUACCCCUAUCUGAGAUGAUAGACAAGGGAACUCCAUGCAAUCUAACUAGCUCUCGGAUAUACAACUUAUCAUAAUCUUCAACGGUAUAGGAUGUGUGAACUGGCAAGAAAUACGCUAACUUAAUUAAUCUGUCUACAAUAACCCAAAUCAAAUCAUGGUGCCGACGCUAUCGGGGUAAACCAAUCACAAAAUCCAUAUUUACCUCUUCCCACUUCCAAGUGGGGAUGCUAAACUCUUGCAAUGUAUCGCCAGGUCUUUGGUGCUCUACCUUAACCUGUUGACAAGUUGCACACUUUGCUACAAAAUCGACUAUAUCUCUCUUCAUACUACUCCACCAAUAUAUUUCCCGCAAAUCACGGUACAUCUUGGUAGCACCUGGAUGAAUGGAAUAUCAUGCACCAUAUGCUUCAACCAUAAUUCUGUCUCAAAUCAUCAACACCAGGCACACACAACCAACUUUGAUAUCUCAGCACGCCAUCUCCUCCUUGAGAGAAAACCUCUAUCCUUUGGUCUUUAACUAACUCCUUCAAUUUGGCCAAACUAGGAUCCAUAUCCUGCUUCUCCUUCACUUCCAAAACUAGGAAAGAUUCUACACUCUUCUGUACCCAAACUCUACCCUUACCCGAAUCAACCAAUCUAACAACCAACCUAGCCAAACGAUGAACUUCUCGAUCUAACUCUUUCUUAUCGUUCUCUACAUGAGAAACACUGCCCAUGGACAAUCUACUAAGGGUGUCUACCACUACAUUGGCCUUGCCUGGAAGAUAUAACAUACUUAUGUCAUAAUCCUUUAAUUCUCUAACCAUCUUCUCUGACAAAGAUUUAAUUCCCUCUGAGUAAACACACACUGCAAGCUUUCGUGGUCUGUGAAUACAUCUACAUGAGCACCAUAUAGAUAGUGUCUCUAGAUUUUCAAAGAAAAUACCACAACAACUAAUUCCAGAUCAUUGGUUGGGUAAUUCUUUUCAUGAGGCUUCAACUGUCUAGAGUCAUAGGCUAUGACCUUACCUCUCUGCAUUAAUACACAACCCAAACCAACUCUAGAGGCAUCACAAUAAAAAAUAAAACCACCCAUACCAUCGAGUAACACUAGGACUAGGGCUGAAGUGAGUUGAGUCUUCAACUACUGAAAACUCUUCUCCUAGGAAUCUGACCACAAGAACUUAACUUUCUUUUGGGUCAGUCUAGACAUAGGGGACGAAAUAGAUGAGAAACCUUCAACAAAAUGGAGUUAAUAGACAGCUAUACCCAAGAAACUUCUAAUGUCUGAUGGAGAGAUAAGUCUAGGCCAAUUUCUUACAGCUUCUAUCUUUUGGGAAUCAACUCUAAUGCCAUCGGUGGAAAUAAUAUGAUCGAGAAAGGCUAUGGAUCCUUGCCAAAACUUACACUUGCUGAAUUUGGCGAACAAUUGGUGAUCUCUAAGAGUUUGCAAGGUAAUUAUAAGAUGAUCUACAUGGUCAUCCUCACUAUAUGAGUAUACAAGGAUAUCAUCUAUGAACAUUAUGACAAACAUAUCUAGAUACUAUUUGAACACUUGAUUCAUGAGGUCCAUGAAAGCUGCUGGAGCAUUAGUUAGACUGAAUGACAAGACUAGAAACUCAAAAUGGCCAUAACAGGUUCUAAAGGCUGUCUUUGGGAUAUCACACUCCCCUACUUUAAGUUGAUGAUAGCCGGAUCUAAGGUCUAUCUUUGAGAAAUAACUGGCACCUUGUAAUUGAUCAAAUAAAUCAUCAAUUCUAGAAAAAGGGUAUUUAUUCUUGAUCGUGACCUUAUUUAGCCGAUGAUAGUCAAUGCACAUUCGUAAAGAACCAUUUUUUUCGCAUGAAUAGGACGGGAGCGCCACAUGAAGAAAUACUAGGCCUUAUGAAUCCCUUAUCUACAAGACCUUUGAGUUGAUCCUUCAAAUUCUUCAGUUCUGCAGGAGCCAUACGAUAUGGAGGAAUAGAAAUGGGCUUAGUAUUGGGAAGAAGGUCAAUCCCAAAUUCUAUCUUUCUAUCGGGAAGUACCCUUAGGAGAUUUUUUGGAAAAACAUCAGGAAACUUAUUUACUAUUCUGACGGACUUAAUUGGUGAAGUCUCAGACUUAGCGUCUUUAACUCAAACUAAAUGAUAUAAGCAACCUUUGGAUAUCAACUUUCUGGCCUUAAGAUAAGAUAUAAAAUGACUCUUGGGAGACGUGACUUACCUAACCUCUCAAAGACUGGCUCAUCUAGAAACUGAAACUUCACCACUUGGGUGUGACAAUCUAUAGUUGUAUAAUAGGAAUGAAGCCAAUCCAUACCAAGAAUAAGAUCAAAAUCAACCAUAUCUAACUCUAUUAGGUCGGCUAACAUGACCUUAUAAAACACAGUGAUAGGACACUUUUAUAAAUCUGCUUGGAAACAACUGACUCACCGACAGGGGUAGAAACCAAGAAAGGCUCAGGAAUCUUCUCAGAACUUAUCUCAAAAUUCACAGUAACUAACAGGGUCACAUAAGAGAAACUUGACCUAGGGUCUAACAAUACAUAAAAAUCAAAAUGGAAGACACGAAGCAUACCAGUAACAACAUCAGGUAAAUAUUCCUGCUUCUGACGGGAUGGUAGAGUAUAAAAUUAGUUUUGGCGCUGACCGCCACCAGUACUGGAUAAUGCGCUCUGAGGAGGAGCUGGGCGCCCUAGAGGAGCUGGUGCACUAUUUGUCGGAGUCUAGGGACGAGCAUCUCUAUUUCCCUUCUUAGAAUAUGGACAUUCUUUAAUUAUAUGGCCUAUUUUUCCACAACUAAAACAACCCUCUGUCUAGCGAAGCAUUCGCCGGAAUGGUCCCUACCACACUUCGCACAAGGAGGAUAACGAGGUCUUUCGCUCACACUAUUCUGAGAUCUGGACAUAAAAGACUUACCCCACUGUUCCUAUCUAUUCCUGGGUACAGGAGCACUGGCAUAAGAAGGUGCGGGCAUAGAUGACUGAUUCUGAAACUGGGAACGACUUUCUCCUCCAGACCUAUUCUGACUAAAAUCAAACUGCCCUAUUCUAACCCUCUUACUUACCCUCUCUCUCUCCUUCAUAUUCUCUACCUCAAUCUACUGAGCAUGCAUUAUCAAUCUAGAAAGAUCCAUGUCUCUGUUGAUCAUAGCAGUCCUGCACUCCUUAACCACCAACCUAGACACACCAGUCACAAACUUACUCAUGCUUGACCUAUGGUUAGCCAUUUUAUCAGGGGCAUACUUAGACAACUGGUUGAACUUGAGGCAAUAAUCCUUCACUGUCAUGAAGCCCUGCCUUAGAUUCGUGAACUCUUCUAUCUUAACUUCCCUCAUCCCAAGUAGGAAGAACUUAUCUAAGAAUAAAUCCUCAAACACCUGCCAAGUCAUGGGAGCCGCAUUCUCCCUUCUACUCUUCUUCCACAUCACUACUCAAUCAUAAGCAACAUACUUUAGCCUAUAGUUUGCCACUUCUACACUCUCUUCCUCAGAAACAUGCAUAAUUUGGGUGAUCUUCCUCACCUUAUCAAGAUAAAGCUGUGGGUCCUCACUUUCCUUCGACCCAAAGAUUCUGGUGGGUUCAUUCUCAUAAAAUAUCUUAUUCUAGAUGUGGCUAAAUCUCCAUCUUGCUAAGAUAGGACUGCAGCCUAAUGGUUACCCUGAACAUUAGCAAUCACAGCUUGGGCUAGCACCUGAAAAACUACCCGAAACUCUACUUGUGACACAUUCUCAUUCAAAGGAUCUGUGGAUUGAGGUGGUUAGUUAUCAUUUCUAUGGGAAUUAGCUCUAUGAGGAGGCAUAUUCUAUCAUAAAAGAGCACGAGUUAAUAUCAAAUAAAGACGGCUGUAAGAACGAUGGAUUAUGAAAAAAAUAAGGAUUUUCCUAAAAUGCUCCAUAGCCUCUUGCUCAUAGAUGUGGCGCACUUCACACCGAUGAUCAAGACUCUAUGUAACAUGGCUUAUCGAACUCCCUAGGACUCUCUAAACCUUAUGCUUUGAUAUCAAGUUUGUAACGCCCUAAAAUCUAGUUCCCGGGAUGCCAUACGGUGCUUCGAACUACAAGUAGUCCUGAGCUAACCCUGGCUGCUUCCUACUAAAUCUGAAUCUCAAAAUAGAAAAGUAUGAAUGUGAUAUUAUCAUAAAUGUGGAAAUAUAGCUAAAUAAUCUGAACAUAUCUGGAAAUACUAGUCUCAUCAAUAAAAAUAAAACAAAUAUUGAAAAAAAACUAAAUAUGUCAAUUGAGAUCUAACACUGAAUCUGGUAGUCCGACAAGCCUCUACUUACUAAAUCUAAAGAGUCACUAGGACAAGCCACAACUGAAUCAAACUAUUUGAAAUAAAUAAAGGAACAUCUACUAAUAAGCUGAAAUAUAAAUAGCUAAGUCCCCAAACUAUGAGGACUCACCAACUGCAGGGAUGUAGAUGAGAUGCUCAAAAAUCACUAUCGCUACUGAGACUGAGCACUUGAACCUAUAUUAUGAGACAAUGUAGCACACAGACAUAUAUGUGGAUCAGUACUUUGAGGAUAUACUGAGUAUAUAGGGGUGAUAUGAAUAAGUAAAACAUCAUCUCAUCAUCAUAGUAUACAAAACAAUGCAUGCUAAAUGAAAAUGACUCACAUGGACUAGAAUAUCUGAAAAACUGUAAUCUGAAGUAAUAAGAGAGAUGUAUACUUAAUAAUUCUCGUGAGCCAAAUGAUUUAGUUUUAAAAGUUAUACUUGUAUUCUUUAUUUAAAGCAUACCGUCUAAGUUUAUUAAGGACUCACUCUAAAAUGUAGAAAUUGAAAGCUAAUAUUUGAAGCUACUAUAUUUCUUUAAUACAUAAUCUGAGUAAAACUUGUGAGCUUUUACACUUAGUUUUCUAAAAGCUUUUCUAUUAGGGAAAAACUCUUUAUCUGAAGGGAGGUUCUCUUAACCGGCAUAAAUCAUGCGAGCUACAUGGAGUCCAACUUCUUGUCCUCCUAAGAAAGAAACCUCAUGUUGGGGAGAUGUGUCAUACUCUUGCCAGGGAGUAUAACCUUAACUCAAGUGAAAACAACUCUGCCUCUAUGGGUACUCAAAUUCUCAAUCCUACGGUGGCACAUAUUUUCGGGGUAUAAAACCGCAGUAACAUAUCCAUCUCGGUACUAAAUACUACUCCCUUAAAUUAGCUGCGCUUAUCUCAUGGAAAUACACAUUAAAACUUGCAUAAGGGUUUCUUAUGAAACAAGUUAUGCAUUUAACAUUUAUCUGAAUAACUCUAUAAAGUAGAUUCCAAAACUCAUUCAGAGGAUCAUAAGAUCAAAUACUGUUUAUAUAGUUGAAUAUAAAUAUAUCAAACUCAUAUAAAUGUAUGGCAUAACAUCAUGCUUUGCAAGCUUCUUAAAACUCUUCAAUAAUAUCAAGGUGAUAGUUCUAAUCAAAACCUCAGGCUCAAUUUAAUGGAAAACUAUAAACUAUAUCUCAAAUCAUGCUCAUGGUAUUCAAAAUCAUAAAAGAAUACACAAACAUGGGAUUUCAUAAUUCAAUCAUAUCAUACUCAGAAAUUAUCAACAAGAUACUUUGGGUGUAAACCCCAAUUUCAAAUCAUAAGAAAUUUGUUGAAAAAUAUAAUUUUGUGCACAAAGACGAAAAAGUUAUCCUUGUUCAAACCCCACAUACCUUAGAUGAUGAACAAGAUGAACAAACUUGCUUUUUGAAAUGCUAUUUGUGCUUUUGAAUAGAGGUUCUUGAAAAUCUUAGAUUGGGAACUCCGAAUGUUAAACCAAUUUAGAAAAAUAAUGGUGGAAUUUUGAGGUUCUUGGAAUUGGGUAUUGAAGCUUAGGGUUUUUAAUUUGAGAGGAUUUGAUAAAAAGUAAGCCUAAUAUGGUUAGAAUAGGCUUUAAUAUUGUGUUUGGGUGGAUUGGGGUGGGGAAAAAUAACUCAUUUGCCCUUAAAACCCAAAUAAAAUAAGGCUAAACAGGGUCGCCCUUGCGUCGCGACCCUUGCUUGGGUCAAAUGGCCCCGCGACGCGACACCUAAUCAAGUCAAAUAGCCAUCGUAUUGCGACCCUUAUCUGGAUUGAUUGGCCCUCGCGACGCUGGCCUAUCGUGAGUAAUCACUGUUUUGGAUAUCAAAACUCACCCUUACGCUAGUCUGAAAAUCCCAAAACUUACCCAAGAUGUACAAUGGGCUUCCCUGGUCAUGAAUCAACUUAAAAAUCAACUUUCCAAGGUAGAGAAGGUCGUAAAUAAAAUCUUCAAAUUUCGAAGGCCUUGAAAUUGACUAAGUCCUAACACUUAGUUAAAAUUUUCUAAGUCUUGGCAUGCUUUAAAGGGCUUAGACGACGAAGAUUUUGCGGGGUCUUACAAAAGUCAAUCGCACAAUAUCUUAGCAUAUCUUGAAAAGUCUUAAUAUUCCUCUCUACUUGUCCAUCCGCCUGAGUAUGGAAACUGGUGCUAAGGUUCACCUUAGUCCCCAAACCUCUCUAAAAUGAAUGCCAAAAGUUCGACGAGAACUGCGUACCUUGAUCUGAUAUAAAGGAAAAUAGAGCACUAUGAAACUUGAUGAUCUCCUGAAUGAAAAUCUUAGCAUAGUCCUUUGCGGAAAAAUUAGUCCUCACAGAUAAGAAAUGAGCACUUGGUCAUCCUAUCCACGUUGACCCACAUUAAAUCAAACUGAUGGAGAGACCGUGAAAGACCAGUGACAAAGUCCAUCUUAAUCACUUCUCAUUUCCAUAUAGGCAACUCAAUCUCUUGAGAAAACCCACCAAGCCUCAAGAGUUCAACCUUAACUUGUUGACACACCAUGAACUUAGCCAUAAAAUUGGCCAUGUCUCUCUUCAUGUUAUUCCACCAAUAGAUCUCCUUCAAGUCAUGAUACAUCUUCGUUGAAUUAGGAUGAAUAGUAUACCUCUACUCAUGAGCCUCAUCCAAAAUCUUUUCCCACCACCCAUCGACAUCGGGAAAGCACAAUUAACCUUGGUAACUCAGGAUACCAUCACCACAAAUCUCAAAAGCCAGGACUUUGCUGAUCCAUAUUAUUUUUUAUUUGCAUCAAGGCAGGAUCCAAAACUUGUUUCUCCUUUACCUCAGUACCGAGAGAAGACUUCACCACCACUUGAGCAAUCACUCUAUCAUCCUCAGAAUCCAAAAGAUGAACUCCAAGAUUGGUCAAAUGAUGAAUAUCCUUCACCAAACCUUAUUUCUCCUUAUGAACAUGAGAUAAGAUCCCCAUGGAUAACCUACUAAGAGCAUCAAAAGCCACAUUAGCUUUACCUGGAUGAUAGUGAAGACUCAUAUCAUAAUCCUUGAGCAACUCAAGCCAUCUCCUUUGCCUGAGAUUCAACUCUUUCUAAGUAAACAUAUACUGCAGGCUCUUGUGAUUAGAAUGUAUAUUAACAUGAACUCUAUAUAAGUAAUGACGCCAAAACUUCAAAGCAAAAACCAUAGCCAAAAACUCCAAAUAAUGAGUUAGAUAAUUCUUUUCAUGCACCUUAAGCUGCCUAGAAGCAUACACCACCACCCUGCCAUACUGUAUCAAAACACAACCAAGUCCUAGAAGGUACACAUCAUAAUAUACAACAAAACCACCCAUACCCUAAAUUAGGGUCAAAACUAGAGUCGAAGUCAACUUAUCCUUAAACUUCUCAAAACUACUCUCACAAGUAUCAGACCACAAAAACAUCACCUUCUUUUGUGUCAAUUUAGUCAACGGAGCAGCAAUCAAAGAGAAAUUCUUCACAAACCUCCUAUAAUAACCAACUAACCUAACAAACUCCAAAUAUCAGUUGGAUUCGUGGGUCUAGGCCACUUCUUAACCACCGCAACCUUUUGUAGACCCACCAUGAUCCCUUCAGUAGAAACAACACAACCCAAAAAAGUAAUAACUUUCAACCAGAACUCACACUUAGAAAUUUUAGCAUACAAACACUAAUCUUUAAGGGUCUGUAACACUAUACGGAGGUGAUUGGCAUAAUCCUUCUCACUCUUCAAAUAUACCAAAAUAUCAUCAAUGAAUAUAAUGACGAAUAAGUCAAGAAACUAACGGAAUACUUAGUUCAUAAAAUCUAUAAAUGCCAUUGGGGUAUUAUUCAAAUAGAAAUACAUAACCAAAAACUCAUAAUAGCCAUAUCGGGUAUGUAAAGAAGUCUUAGGGAUAUCCACCUCCCUAAUCUUCAACGAAUGAUAAAUUGGCUGAAGGUCAAUCUUAUAAAAGUACUUUGCACCCUAAAGUAGGUCAAAAAGCUUAUCAAUUCUAGGAAAAAUAUACUUAUUCUUCACAGUCACCUUAUUUAAAUGGUGGUAGUCUAUGCACAUACAAAGGAAACCAUCUUUCUUGCAUAUGAAAAGAACAGGAGCACCCCACGGAGAUAUACUAGGGUGGAUAAAACCCUUAUCAAGAAGAUCUUUCAACUGAUCCUUAAGUUCUUUCAACUCAACCUGAGCCAUUCAUAUAUCAAGGGUGACAUGAACACCCCUUCAGAUAACAAGGAGGGCUCGAACAACCUGAUCAUAAGCAAGGAGAUUCAAAUGCCAGGAUCUUUAGACCCCUACAACGAUAAAUGUGGUUUCCAGUAUUGGUCCCUUGGGACCUCCGCUUUCAUGGCCUAGAUACACAAUCCUCUUUAAGCCUAGUUAAAACAUUUUCACACAUUCCCAUUAAUUGAACCACAAUAUUCCUUAAAGCAUAGACUAUUGGUAUCGCCAAACUAAUUACACUUGUAAGGUAACAUUAUUAUGCCAAAACAACUCUAUUUACUUUGAGAAAACAACUCCAUUUAUUCAUUAAAUUAAUUUGGGGGAAUUCCUAGACCCCCUUUGUUCAUUAAAUCAAACCAUUAUGAUUAAAUAACCUCUUUAUAUCAUGCAAUGUUUCUAAAAAGAUUUCAAUACAAAUAUACUCCUAUUCAAAGCCAAUUUCACAAGAUUGGGUUAUGGUUAUACUAAUUCAAUUAUGUACACUCACAAAAUUGGGGGAAAUCUAUGACCCCACUAUUUAUUCCUCAUGCCCAUGCACCUCACAUGUUCAAAACCACCAAUUCAAAUCAUACAUGAUCUAUUAAAGCCAUGGGAGAAAUAAGUAAUUCAAUAACCCUCAACCCAUAUUUAUAUCAUCACUUAAAUCACAUGGGUACAAUUAUAAAUACAUGCAUUUUAUAAAAUAAGACUUGGGGAAGAGUAACAUGCCUAAAAGUAUAGAGAAUUAUGGAAGAAAUCAACCCUUGAGCCCUUAGAUGACCAGCUUUGAGAAACACUAGCUUUGAGAGAGUAAAAAGAGUGUUUAUGAUUGAUAAGGGUUGGAAAUAAUGGCCCUAAGGAGUUUUAUGUCACGACCCAAACCAGACCUGUCCGUGACUGGUACCUUAAGUCCAACAUGGACCAGAGAUCACUCACUUCACCUAACCUAGUCAGCUUAACAACCUCAAGUGUCAGAUGAAUUCCGAACAUAUAAUAAGAUAGUGCAAAAUAAGACUAAUGGUAAUUCAUGAAAUGUCUAAACCAAUCCACCAAAACAACACACCCAAGUCUAUAGUAAUCUAACCAUGCCUCUAUAAAUUCGAACUCAAUAAAAUAUCGGGACAUGCCCCCGACAGUAGCCAAAAACAAAGUCUGAGUCAUAGAAUAUAAAGACCAUGAAAUGAAGCCUUCCAAAGUAUGAAAGCUCACCACUUCAAUGUCAACUCACGAACCACUUGAACACCUGAUUACUACGUAGAAAAACUAGAAGAUGUUCUGGUGCCUGCAUCGCGUGGGGAUACAGUUUUUGGAAAUAGUUAGCAGUUGGAGCACUAACAUGUAACUCAGGGAUAGAGGAAUAAAAUAAUGCCAUUAUUCAAAACCAAGUCACAUCAUCAUAUACAAUUCACAUUUAUAUAUAUAUAUAUAUCAUGCCGGGAUAGGGAACAAGGUUUAGCAUGAACUUUGAAAACCUUAACCUGGGCUGUGUAGCAUAACCGUCAUAAAACAAAAUACCCAUGGGCUAUACUGUCCCAGUUUUCCCCUAGUUGGAAGGGCACUAGUACGUGUAGCCACAUGAACCAUAGAAUAUCCAUAUCCAUCUAUGCUUUUAUAAGGGGCUCAAACCUCCCGACAUAGUCAAGGUGACUUAAGCACUAAUGUAUAUAAUAUAGGGGACUCGAACCUCCCAUUCAUAUCUUCAUUCAAGGGACUCAAACCUCUCGAUCAUUUGGACACCCACAUUGGCUAGUGCAGUUUUUAGUGUUUGUCCUUCAGACUCCACUUUCACAGUUUGACUACACAUCCUACUUUAAAGCCUAAUUUAAAAAAUUCAUUACACAUAUAUACAACCAAUAAUCCAAUUACUUACCAAAGGCAUCCUGUUAGUAUCGUCAUACCAACCCUCACUUAAAAGAACACAACAUGCCAUAAUCAUUAUCAUUCAAAUUUAGUAGUCGAACCCAUUGUUUAAAUAAGGACAUCAAUCCAAUUUAACAUUUAGGGACUCAAACCCAUUUAGCCAAUUAAACCACCAAGGUUUUAUUCAAUCAAUUUAUGGUCAUCAAGACCUUAAUAAAACCAUUUAUCAAUCAUUAAUAUUCAUAGGCCAAUGUAAUUCAUAUGUGAUAAGAUUUUUCUCAUUGACAUUUUUACAAAUAGGUUGAGGGCAUACCAUUAUCAAACCAUUAUUUAAAGAAAAUAACUAUCAAGUGUAGGGUUAAACAUUACCCAUUUAUUAAACCAUAAUUCCCAUGCACCCACAUAUGCAAAAUCAUUAUCAAAACAUGUAUAAUCAUAAUUUAAAACAUGAGAAAACAAUACUCAAUAUUAUGUAUUUGAACCCACAACCAUGGUUUUCAAAACCACCAUUAAUGAAUAAUGAACAAUGUUUAAAAAAUAUGAUUUUUUUGUGAACUAACAAAGAAAGGAGAGUCACAUUCCUAAGUUAUGAAGAUUCAUAGAGAGAUUUUGAUCCUUAAGCCUCUAGAUGACCACUUUCAAAAACCCUAGCUCAAUCUUCUUUAGAGGUGGUUAAAGAGUGUUUCAAUUUUAUAAAGUGUAUAAUGAUGGCCAAAUAAGUGUUAUAAGAUGUGGGGUAUUAAGGGAUUGGGGAGGGGGGGGAAAUAUCCAAAAUACCCUCAGCUUAAAAGGUGUAGAAAACUUGCAGGUGUGUACGAGUAAACCAUCCAACUUGCAACCACAUCAUACGAGUGGUACCCUCAAGUCGUCACUUGAUCAGAGAGUUGGACACCACAUUCUUCUAAAUAUACUAUCCCCUCACCCAACUCGUAUCAUCACCAUAUGACUAGUAUCAUCAAGUCAUACCCAAGGCAGAACAUCAAAGGCUAGACACUAGACAGUAUACGAUUGGACCUUAUACUUCUCUUCACUUGAUCAUUCGACUCAUAUGGAGUCUCUCAUACUUUGAACAGAACUUGGAAAAUAUCACACUGACAAACAUAUGACUAGGGUCCCUAGACCCAUCACCACACCAUAUAAGUCAUGAUAUGAGUCAUACGAUGAUAAGAAGCUUCAAGACUCAAGAAUUUUGCAAGGGCCAAAGUUUAAGGUAUUUCAUUUUAUGCACAUGGGUUCUAAGUGGGGCAUGAGGGAAUUGACCAUAAUGCCCUCAGUUAAAAUGCUGAAUUUUACCACUCAAUUUUUAUGGGUCACGCUACGACUCGUAACGACUGGUUACAAGUGUCCCUUGACUCGUAGUUUAGUCAGAGUCCUUUGGCGUACACACAUUAUUUACCCUAAGAUUUGUACCCUAUAGCUCAUAAUGAGACCCUACGACUCGUUAUACCCAAGUCGUAACCACAUCAGAAAUCAUGGCGCCCCUUCCUAGUCACCCUACGAAUUGGACACCACAACUCGUAGUGAGUCAUUACGACUCGUGACCUCUAAUCAUAAUCAGGAUAGUAUCAUAGACACUACUUACUAUUCAGAUGAUGAUUUUUAUCCUAUGGAUCAUAAGGACACUUUAUAACUCGUAAGAUAAGUCAUAGGUUGGGCAAUGAGUUCAAAAACUAAAAAUUUUUUAGGUACCAAUCUACAGGGUGUUACACCGCUGAUGCUAAAUUAAGGAGGAAAUUGUCACAACCUAAAAACCAAGGGUCAUGAUGGUACUUCUCACUUUAAGCCUUGACAAGUAAGCCUAUCACCUAAUAUGAUAUUAAAAGAGAAAACAAUACCAAAACCAAGGAAAGCCCCUAGAACGGAGUCGAGCCAUAUAUGUAUAUAGUAAAAGCAAAAAUAUAAUCAAGACACCAACCAAAUUCCAAAUCAUGGUGUAAUAGUGUAAGAACUAACUAGUACAACUCAAGGUAAAAAACACAUAAGAUAUUCCAAUAGGAGCAAAACUCUGUUUCUAAAUACAAGUAAGAUAUAGUCUAGAUAAGAAAAGGUAGAAGUCAACUCUGGAUGCAUGGAUUAAUGUCUACCUCGAAUGGCUCUAAGUAUCACCUGAAUUAACUAUUCACGUGACACACUGAAACUAGAUCUGCACUGAAAGGGCACAGUAGAGGUGAAUAUGGUUCACUUGUACUCACUAGGUAUUAUAGGCAAACUAAGUAAAUUAUAAAGCAUAUAAACACAAACUAUGGGCAUGUCACCUGGAAUACAAAAUGUCCCAAAUGGUAGCCCACACCUUCUCCACUAAUAGUUCAAUUGUAGACAUAUAAAAUAAGUAUNNNNNNNNNNNNNNNNNNNNNNNNNNNNNNNNNNNNNNNNNNNNNNNNNUAGAGCAAAUGGAGAGAUAGUAAGUCAAAGAAAUAAAAUACAAUCCCAACAUAAACAUAAUAUAUGAAGUACAAUAAAGAUGAUGAUGAUGCAUGAGGUCUGUAAUGCCUAAAAUCUAGUACCCGAAACAUUACAUAGUGCUCAUCACCCUAAAGGACCACAAGCUAACCCAUGACUGAUAUCUGUACCUGGACAUUGCAUAAUAUAUUGAGUAAAUACAGAAAUAAAGGCUGUAAUGACAUAAGGUUCAAAACUGAGACACAAUAUCUAAUAAAAUAUAACAUCUGUGCAGGGUAUGAAAUACCUAAAAUAAACUGGCUGAAUAUGAUAGUCUGAAAAGCCUCUAAUUAUCUGAAUAAGGAGUUGAUGGGACAUGUCCCCAACUAACUCCAACUACUAAAAUAAACUAAGUACUGAAAUGAUAAGAUAAUGCUCAUGUCCUCGAAGAAUGAGAAAUCACUGCUGACUCUGACUACUGAGUACUGGAAUGCUACUGAUGCUCUGGAGCUCAUGCUUCUGAACCUAUGGUAUAAAAUACCAUAGCUCAAAUGCGUCAGUAUAAUUGAAUGUACUGGUAUGCAUAUGAGGUAGGCUGAAUGUAAAAGGUUCACAUGUAUGAACUAUACUAACUGACUGAACAACAUGAACGUGAGAAUAUAUACAUGAAUAUAUAAUAACGGUAAUUGAGUUCGUGAUAACAUAAUUACUGAUAACAUAAGAUACUAAUAAUUGUAUAACUGAAAUAACUAAUACUGGGUGACUAUAUCUGAUAGUUUAGUUUCUGAUGAAACUAGCUGAGUUUCGUUCUAUUCUGAGGUGACUACAUCUGACAGUCCUAAAUUUUGUAGAACUAUCUAAGUUCUAUUGCUGAGACUGAAUGACUGUAUCUGACAGUCCUGAUUUGUAACUAUAAUUAUGGGAAGUAGUCAUCAAAUCAACAUACCCCAAAAAUGCAAUAUAGCUAUGUUGGGGUCCAAUCUGUAACCCCAAUUAGAAGGGUGUUAAUACCGCGUAACUAGUAAGGACAACCUAUGGGUGACCCUCAUCUGACAGUGUCCCCAAAAGAGAAUGGUGGGAUCCUUAUCUGACAGUUUUUAUCCACCUCAACAACCCUUAUCUGAUAGUGUUGAUGUCUCAACCUAUACUGGUUACAUAGUUCUGGAAUGCAAGAAUGACUUCUAAGAAUUAUACCCUUAUCUGAUAGUGUGUGUUCCCAUCCUUGGGUUCACUCGAUGCUAAUUCCUACUCCUAUCUGAAUAGACACUGAACAUGGAUUACUAAAUUGAACUGGAUUGAAUUAACUGAGUUUUCGUUAACUGACGGAAUAGUACUGAGAUUACUAUAUUACUGAGCUUUUCUGAGUCACAUGACUGACUGAGUUUAAUGAAUUAUGGAUUGACUGAGGAUAUCAUGAAAACAUGAUACUAACUCUAGGCACACGACUAUAUUUUUUGGGUUCAAGUACUCCCAGGACUCUAUGGGAAGAAACUGACCAAGGAUGACUUUCUUGAAUACAUGAUCAACAUCACAAUCCAUAAUACAAUAAGUUGGAGAUUUCAUGAAGUACAAGUUCUAAAGCACCACAAUGGCUACAAAUAUAUCCAUACUUCAUUGACUAAGAAAUUUCAUCAAACACUUGACAUGCAUAAACUUCUACAUGAAUGGAGAUUUCAUAUUAUUAUACUAGUAUGACACUUUUCCUUCACAUAGGCAUUUAGUCAAACACAUGGGGAGCAUGCUUUGGUUAUACUAUCAUCAACACAUCUAAUAAUCAUGGAUACAUCAAUCAACUUGUAAAUUGAAGAGGGUUUAUCACAAUUAUUAAGCAAAUUUUCAUAUACUAGGGUCAAUCAUUGGAAUAUGUAAUUUAAAACAUGAAUCAAAACCCCACAACAUCAUGAACAUGAAUUUCAAUUCUAUUUAAAUCAUGAAUGUUAAUAAAUACACAAAUAUUGUAUUUUGAAAAGAGAUUCUUUAGCUUCAUGGGUGAAAGGGGCCCAUGAAUCAAUACAUGACAUACCUUGAUACUUGAUUUAGGAAGAUUGAUGGAAGAAUCCUUGAGAUUUGAAUCUUGAAUUGAAAACCCCUCUUCUUGUUCUUGAGGUAAUUUGAGAGAAGAAUGUACUUUGGUGAAAUGGAGGCUGAAUUCAGUGUUUAUGGAGAUUUGGGGUGAAGGAAAAAAUACCAAAAUACCCCUCUAAAACCAUUUGGAAAAUGCUGAAUUCUAUGGCUGAUGACAUUGGGCUGAUGUCGUCAUAUAUGUGAUAAGCCGUCAUCUCAUGUCAUUACUUGAUGCUGGAAUUUAUGAAUUUCUACCUAAGGCUGACGACAUUAGCUGAUAAGUUGUCAGAUAUGUGAUAAGCCGUCAGCUAAUAUCGUCACUUAGUUGCCAAGCUAACAUGCUGGAGUAAAAUAGAUAUAACAUUUUGCUCCGAUACUAGAUUUGGGAGAAAUUGGUAUCAUUGGAAAUAUAAUUCAAUUAUAUAUCUGUUGGUGGGUCAUGAUAUCAAAAUUUCUUUGUAUAAUAGGAGAUAUUCUCAUUUGAAGUUGACUAUACUAAUAUUCUUUCCAAGAAUUCAAUCGAUAAAGAAUGUUUUGAUUCGCCUAAUAGCUAGGACAUAUUUGAGACUUUAAUUGAAAUCAAACUUGAUCAUGAAACUAACAAAUAACCAUGACGUAAUAUGAAUAAGCUUGAAAUAUGGCGCUAAUAUUGAUUUGCAUUUUUUGGGGUAUUACAAGGUCAUUGCACAACCUUCGUAUAAACCUACUGAGCUAAAACUUUUCGAUAUGGUACCUAUAAGGGUUUCAUCAACCCGUAUACAACCAAUAUCCAAUAUCAAAUGUGUAUAUCUCCUCUCCAGCAUAUACAUCUGUAGAAGGUUUUUAUGAUGUCAUAUUUUUUGUCAGAUAAAGCAGUGUUUCUUGUAAUUCCAGUAUUUUUUGUCAGGAAAAGCAGUGUUUUUUGUAAUUCCAGUAUUUUUUGUCAGAAAAAGAAGUGUUUCCUGUAAUUCCAGUAUUUCUAUGGUGGUACCAAUAUUUCAUGAAUGAAUAUGAUAUAAAUAUGUAAUGCUUACAAUCAACAAAAAUUAAAAUAUCCAGUAUCCAACCAAUAUACCAGCUAUGAGAGUCCAAAAUCCACUAAAAUCAACCAACCAUCUAUGAUCCAAUAAAAUUUAAAAUCCAUCAAAUUAAAUAUGCCAGAAAAUGCCAUUGAUACUACAAAACUCCCAAAAUCUAGGCUUUCCCAACCCCAAAAAACAAAGUGUAACUAAACAAACAUAUGUCAUUACUAGGCCAACAAUAUCAUAUAAGACCCCACGGCGUCACACAUAGCAAAUAAUGUUUGAAAACCACCGAAUAUUAUCCACAUAGUCCCUCACAUAGGAGCAUAAAUCACGUAACACAUUUUCCAUGGUACAAAUCCUUACCCAUAGCAUGAUUUUACAUUAUUAUAAACUACUCAACCCAAUCUAAAGAAAGUUAAGUCUAUCAAAACUGUGCCUAUUAUUCAAGAGCGAUCGGGCAUUAUACCAAAGAUUGCAUUAACCUGAAAUAUAAAAUCCAUGACUUUAUUAAUCAAAAGUUUAUUACUCUUCAUUAGUAAUGCCAAAUAUCAAUAGUAAUUUAUUUCCUAAUCAUGGUGGAUCCACGAUGAACCUAAUCAAAAUAGAGAACGAACUGGUAUCUAGAAAGACUAUUACUAAGGUUAAUUUGGAAAAUCCCAAAAGGAUGGAGGGAGUAGAGAAGAUUGAGAAAGCUGUGGAUUCUUUAAGGGUUAAUGAAAGGCUCUUAUUUAUAGUGAUGAUAGCCCCAACUCAGACAUAUGCUCCACCCUCGCCCAGAAAUAAAUUUAUUGUAGAAACUAUCGCUACACACGGGAUGAUAAUGUUUGGAUGGUGCUAUAUUCAUGAGAAUUUAUCCAAAAGAAAGAAUUCAUAGAAAAAUCCAAUCAUUAAAGGGGAGGUCAAAGAAUUUGGAGGUGUAUGCAGCCAAAAGAAUAUUUUAUUUUCAAACAUAUAGAAAAAACUUCAGCCCAGAUUUCUGCGUGGGCACUAUUAAUGAGUUUGAAAUACCACCAAUAAGAUUUAGGUAAAGUAAUAUAUUAAGCAUAUGUUCCCAUAGGCACGAGUAUUGAAAAUAUAGUUGCAAUGAUAGGGAAUGUUGUAGGAAGUCAGCACAUAUCAUUUAGUGAGGAAGAGGUUCCUUUUGAAGGCAUAAUACACAACAAAUCCUUGCACAUUACUAUCCGUUAUUGUGACUAUGUAAUUAAUUGGGUAUUGAUAGAUAAUGGAUUUGGCUGAACAUUUGUCCUCUUUCUAUAUUGACUCAACUGGGCUAUAAUUAGGAAAGGUUCGCCAAAGCCAUAUCAACGUGCGAGCUUUUGAUAGAGGGUAAAGAUAUACUAUAGGUGAAUUUGAUCCAUACAUCCAUAUGGGACCUGCUGGAUUCAUGACAAAAUUUGUUGUUACAGAUUUCCAGUUACAACCUACUUCUCGGUAUGCUAUGGAUUCAUGGUGCAAAAGCAGUUUUAUCGCCUCUUCAUCAAUUAUUAAAGUUCUUUUGGGAAGACCACGAGGUGGUCAUAUAGGUAUAAGGAAGAAAUUUUAGUCACCACAAUGGUUAUAUACCUGUCAUUGAAGAUAUUCCAAGGGGUAGUAAUUUUUAUACAGUAGAAAUUGUGAAUGCCUCAGAGAAAGGUCAAACUCCCAAAAUAUCAAUACUCUGUAUCUAUAAGAUGAUUGUGAAUGUGAUGUUAAGAAAUGAGUAGAGCCUAUCCAAGGCUUGGGAAGGAAUUAUUGAGCCAAUUAUGGUCCCAAAAAAAUAUUUAGGUAUGGGUUAGGGUACAAACCAACAACAAAAGAUGAGAAUGUAGAGAAGUAAAAAAUGGGUCUAACCAAUCCAUUGCCACUCCUAUGCCAGUUGUUUCCUGAUAUUGGUUUUGGGGAUGGGAUAGAAAAUCUAUUUGGAGGAUACAAUGCUAUAAUAGAAGAUUUCCCAUAGGCUGGUAGCGUGAGAAAGGUCGCUCCCGAGAAACGUUACAAAAUUAAACCUCCACUCCUCUCAUGAAUUAUUGCCUAUUAUGGUAGAUAAAAGGGCAAUUACUAGUAGUUUUAAAAAUUGGUGACGAUCCAAAGGAGGCCCUGUGAUCCACACUUUUAUGUCUCAAAUUUCCUUUUUACAUCUUACUUUUUUCAAAAAGGCAUGAGCCCGUAUUUGUGUGAGUCAUGAGCCAUGUUUAUAAAUAUUCCCAGAUUUUAAUGAAAAUGCCUCCCUUUAUCUAAAUAGUUAUUUUGAAGUAUGAUUAUGUUUAUUUUACUAUUUUUGAAUUAUCUUGUUAUCAUCUAACUUGAUUUGUUUGUCUAUUUUAUAACAAUAAUUUAAAACCUAUCAUUGUCAGUCAUGUUAAGAUUUCAAUAAACUAGGUGAGGUGAAUAAUGAUGAAUCAAAAGACUAUUAUGAAGAGCAGUUAAUGGGAGAUAUGGAAGAAUUUAAAAAUUGAGGGAAACUAAACCUGGAGGAAGCUGAAGUAGUCAUCCUAGGAGACCACGGUGAAGUAAAGGAGACAAGAGUUAGCGUUCACUUGACUGAGGAACAUAAAGAGAACUUAUCCAUUUGCUAUGGGAAUACAUUGAUAUAUUAGCUUGGACUUAUAAUUAUAUGCUAGGAUUAAACACCAACAUUGUGUCACAUAAGUUACCAAACAAUCUCGAGUUUAAUCUAAUAAUGCAAAAAAUUUAGAAAUUUAAGCCAAACUUAAGUUUGAAGGUUAAUGUAGAAGUCAUGAAGAAAAUUCAAUGUAAAGUUGUGGAGGUAACAAAAUAUCCAACAUGUCUGGCCAAUACUAUUUUGGUGCCAAAAAAGGACCACAAAAUCUGAAUUUGCAUUGACUAUAGAGCUUUGAAUAAAGCCAGUCCUAAAGAUAAUUUUCUAUUAUCCAAUAUCCAUAUCCUUAUGGAUAACUGUGCGAAGCAUGAAAUGCAGUCUUUCAUAGAUUAUUUUGCUGGUAUCAUUACGCCCUAGGGUGUUUAUCACUACUGAGUAAUGCAUUUUGGUCUCAAGAAUUCUAGUGUAAUAUAUAUGAGGGCUAUGAUGAUGUUUUUUCAUGAUAUGAUUCAUAAAGAAAAUGAGGUGUAGAUGGAUGAUGUAAUCAUCAAAUUCCACAAAAGUUUAGAUCAUCUGACACGUCUGAAAAAGCUAUUCAACUGACUAAGAAUGUACAAUUUAAAGUUUAACCCUGCUAAGUGUGCUUUCGGUAUGCCAGCCAAAAAAUUACUAGGGUUUAUAGUAAGAUAAAAGGGCAUCGAGCUCGACCUAUCCAAAAUUAAGACAAUUUAAUAACUACCGCUGCCAAGGACAAAGAAAGAAGUAAUGAGUUUCCUAGGUCAUCUGAAUUAUAUUAGCAGGUGCAUUGUUUAGUCGAUAGUCAUAUGCGAGCUAAUUCUUGAGAUGUUGAUGAAAGGUACAUUAAAUGAGUGGGCAGAAGAAUGCCAAAAAGCUUUUGACAGAAUCAAGAAUUAUCUAUCUGCUCCCCCUGUUUUGGUUCCCCCAAGAGAAGAAAGUCCAUUGUUACUUUACUUUUUAGUCUCAGAAAAUGCUUUUGAAUAUGUCCUCAGGCAACAUGAUAAAACCGGCAAGAGAGAGGAUGAUCUACUUCUUGAGUAAAAAAUUUACUCCAUACAAAGCUCGCUACACUCUAGUUAAAAGAACGUGUUGUGCUUUAACUUUGGUCGCACAAAAGAUGAGCCAUUACUUAUCUUUGUAUACAAUGUAUAUUAUUUCCAGAAUGGAUCUAUUGAAGUAUAUAUUUCAGAAAUCCAUGCCUACGGGAAAGUUAUCCAAGUGACAAAUAUUGUUGAGUGAGUUCGACAUCGUGUAUAUGACUCAAAAUGUAAUCAAGGUGCAAGACUUGGCAGAUCAUUUAGCUGGGAAUUUAGUUGAUAAUGAAUAUUAUCCACUUUGAACCUACUUUCCAGAUGUAGAGAUUUUAUUCGUGGGAGAAGAUAUUAUAGAAGCAUACCCUAGGUGGAGAACGUUUUUUGAUGGAGUGGUCAACUAUAUGGGCUCAGGAUUUGGAGCACUUUUGGUGCCGAAAAUUAUCCAACAUUAUCCAGUAACCGCUAAAUUACAUUUCCCAUGCACCAAUUAUAUGGAUGAAUACGAAGCUUGUUUUCUAGGCCUCAUGAUAGCACUUGACAUAGGUGUUCGAGAAUUAUUAGGCAAUGGAGACUCGAAUUUGCUAAUUGACCAAGUGAGGUAGGCUGUUAAGAACUCCAAGAUUACCCCUUAUGUAGAACUGGUACAGGAUUUAUGUGGAAGAUUCAAGGAAAUUAACUUGAGACAUAUCCCAAGGAUACAAAAUGAGUUUUCUGAUGAUUUGGCUACUAUAUCCUCUAUGAUUCAGCAUCCAAAGCAAAGUUACAUAGAUCCUUUAGAAAUAAGCUUGAUGGAAAAACCUGCACAUUAUGCACAUGUUAAAGAGAAAACAGGUGGAAAGCCAUGGCACUUUAACAUAAAGAUAUAUUUAGAAUCUGGAACAUAUCCUGAAGAGGCCAACAACAAUAAGAAAAAAUCAAUCCAGCGUUUGGCAAAGAAUUAUUUUCCAAGAGGGAAAAUUAUUUUUUGGAGGAUCCAGAACUUUGGAUUUCUAUGAUGUGUUGAUGCCACAAAGCUAUGAAGUUAAUAAGAAGAAGUACAUGCCAUAGUUUGUGGGCCCUAUAUGAACGGGUUUGCCUUAAUAGAAAGAUUCUGAGAACUUGUUACUUCUUGGUAACCAUGGGAAAAUGAUUGCAACAAGUAUGUGCAAAAGUGUUCAAAAUGCCAGAUACACGGAGAUUUGAUUCAAAUGCCCCCACAUGUCAUUUAUGUAAUGAGUUUACCUUGGCCUUUCAUAGCUUGGGGUAUAGAUGUUAUCGGACCAAUAAAGCUACUUGCGUCAAAUGGAUAUAGGUUCAUUUUGGUUGCUAUUUAUUAUUUCACUAAAUGGGUAGAAUCUUCUUUAUAUAAAGCCGUAACCAAGAAGGUAGUUGUAGAUUUUGUCAAGAAUAACCUGAUUUGCCAUUUGGAGUGUUGGAAUCAAUCAUUACCGAUAAUGGGGCUAACAUGAACAGUUACUUGAUGAAUGGGAUUUGUGAACAGUUCAAGAUUUUCAUCAUAAUUCAAUCGCUUACCACCCACAAAUGAAUGGGGCUGUUGAAGCAGCUAAUAAAAACAUUAAGAUGAUUUUCAGAAAAUGGUUGAAAAUAACAGAUCAUGGCAUGAGAUGCUGUCGUACACUCUUCUAGGAUACCAUACAGUAGUUCGAACCUCAACAACGGAAACUCCUUAUCUAUUAGUUUAUGUAAAUAAAGUUGUGAUACAUGCCAAAGUCGAAAUACCUUUUUGAGGAUUAUUUAAAAAGUCGAAUUAAGUAAUGAGGAAUGGCUUCAUGCUCGCUAUGAACAACUUAUGUUGACCGGUGAAAAGAGAACAGUUGCUGUAUGCUAUGGAUAGUUGUACCAACAAAGAAUGAUCCAUGCCUUCAACAAAAAAGUAAGAGUUCAAACAUUUAAAGUUGGGUAACUAGUUCUCAAAUGCAUAUUCCCUUACCAAGAAGAGUGCAAAGGCAAGUUUGAUCUAAAUUGGCAAGGGCCAUGUAGAGUUUUAAAAUUACUAUCUGAAGGAGCUUUGAUCCUAUCUGAGAUAGAUGGUCAAGAGUGGAAUAAACCUAUCAACUUCGAUGCAGUAAAGAGAUACUAUGUCUAAGGGAUAGUUUUUGCUUUUGGUUCCUCUGUUUGUUUGUAAUCGCACUGUUACGAAGAUAAUUGUUUUUAUGAAUUAGGUUUCCCUAGAAUCCCUUCCCUUUUAUGUACGAACUACAUUUGACCCGAGUUUACAAUAAAGGGAUACAUAGGCAGCCUAUGUCAGUUUUUGUCAGACCCUUAGGAGAAUUUACUCUUCCCUUUUAUGUAAAUUACAUGAUGACCUAAAUUCUCAAGAAUGAGAUACGUAGGCGGUCUAUGUCGGCUUUGAUCAUCACUAAAGAUUUUUUUAUAUCUCCUUAGCAUAGUCCUGAACUACAUUUGACUUUAUUUCGUCUUUAACGAGAUACGUAGACACCCCAAUGGCUUGGUCAUAUCACCCCAAGAAAUAGGAACUAGGGCAGAAUUUUUGAGAAGGAAUUCCAAAAAUUCAAAAAAAAAAGAUCAUCCUCUGGCAAGGAGAGAAAAUACCAGCAAGGACUUGAGGAAAUAGUUUCGAGAUCCUCACAAGUCAAGACAGUAUCAAACUGGGGAAAAUAUUUUUAGGAGGUCCUCAAAACUUUUGCUAGAAUUCUAGAAUAAAUUCCAAAUUCCCCAGCACCAGGAGAUGAUGGCCAAACUUCAAAAAUCACCAUCUGCGAUCGAGUAUGGAUAAACUAAAUCUCCAACUAUGACAGAACAUUUUGGUAGAAAUCCCUAGAAAAAACAAUGAGUAUUUGAAAAUCCUUCAUUGAAUAUAAGACAUAGUUGAGCCUCAGGAGUAACAAGUUCAUUAAGCUAGUACAUACAUGACUAAAAGAGAUAAAAGCUUUUACAUAAGUUUUUGAAACUGAGUUUCAAAAUCAAAAACUAUUUUUGAAAAUAUAUACACAUAUUUUCACUUUAUUUGUACCUAAACAUCUAUUGAAAUGGGGAGUCAGGGAAAAAGUCCAAACAUGAUGGAUUACCCGAAAGAUGGCAAGGAACAAAUCAAAGAUUGAAGGAGUUCAACAUAGAAUAGUUUCAUCCAAAGCUAACACUUUUUCUGUGGAUGCAGAGAUAAAUACACAAAAAUAGAAAUAAUUUUUUCAAAAAUCCCCAAGCGAAUUGCGAACCUCGCCAAAGCAUAUAAUAUUUGAGGACAGUAGUUUUGUAUAGCCCCAAAUACGGGUUUAAUACCCAUUUAUCAAGGACCUUUUGAAUUGUUUAUCUUAUUUCAAAAGACCAUAAAUGGCAAACAAAGGUAUCUUAUCCUCUUUAUGAAUAUUUUAUUUAAUGUUUUUCUAUAAAUAGUCGCUAGCAAAAGUGACUCUGUGUCUACUAAAUUGUAAUACCCCGUACUUUUUCCUAGCUAAUUUCAUCUCAAGAAUGUCUAGUAUUAGCUUCUAAAUUGAAUGAAGGUUAUUCCAUGAGGAAUUUUGGAGAUUUUUACUUUUUGUCAUGUGGGAAAUUCAACAAGCUUUCCAUCGAUAUAUGAUUCGCCCAAAUUCGAUAACCUAAUCAGAAGUAUGACUAUUUGAAGUUCCUGUCGUAAAAUAAUGCCAUAUUAGUCAGUGGCAUGCUGCGCCACAAGAGGAAAUGGAAUUUUCCAAAUUUCAGUAGGGGUCCACGAUUAUGGCAUGUCGCGUCAGGGCCCAAAUUCAGAAUUGUCCAUUUUCUAGUAUCUCAGCGUGAUUUCCCCCGCGUCACGCUAAAGUUCCAGGUCACAAAAGAAGAGGCAACGCGAUGGCUCCGUGUUACUCUAUCCCUCAGUUUACCAAUUGUCAAAUUCCAGAUCGCACCGCAUCACGUUAAAGGUCCAGUUUGGGAAAUUUUUACAAUUUUAAAAGACACACCCAAGGGUUAAAAAGGUUAAUUUCCUACCCCUAUUUAACCCAAUAAUACAUGAUUUAGCUAUUCUUCACCCAAAAUAUACUAGUUUUUCUCAAGUUUCUCUCAAGAACAAGCUAGGGUUUCUAUUAGGGAUUCAAAUUCAAGAAAGUUUCAUCGUCAAUCCUCAUGAAAUUACGAACUAAGGUAUACGUUGUGUUUAUUCAUGGACUCCUUUCAUCCAUGAAGCCCAAGAAUCCCUUUUCUAAAUUCAAGUUGAUGGAUUUCCUUAUGAAUUUCAUGAUUGGUCUGCUCUUGUUCAUGUGGAUAGUGAGAAAUUAAAUUCUACUCCAUGUUGGAUGAUAAAUUCUAUGUGGGUUAAAUUAUUAUAGAUAUAGAUUUAUGGAAACCUAUGACUACACCCUUGAAUGAUGUUUAAUUAUUGUACAGUGAUGUUUACAUGUACCAUGCCUAUAAUAUGUUUGAUUAAAUGCAUAAAUGAAGGAAAAGUGCUUGCCUAACAUGAUACCAUGAAAUCCCCAUGUAUGUACAAGUUAUGCCAAUCACAUGUUUUGAUUAAAUGUUUCUAUAAAUGUAUUAUGUAUUAUGAUAUAAGUUAUAUGUUCAAGUAAGAUAUGCUUGGUCAGUUUUCUUCCAUCGAGUACUGGGGGUACUCGUACCUAAAACAUUAGUUGUGUGCCUAGAGCCAUGUUAUGUUUUCACGAUACUCUCAGUCAAGCUAUGAAUCCUUAGACUUUAGACAGUCUUAUGACUCAGGAAAUAUCCAUGAUCUCAUGAACUCAGUCAGUUGUCAGAUAUCAAUAGUAUUUUACCAGUCAAAAGAAUUCAGUAAAUCAGCUCAUGUUCAGUUCAGUAAAUCAUGUUCAGAGUCUAUUCAGAUGGGAGUAGGAAUUAGCACUGAGUGAACCCUAGGAUGAGAACACAAACUAUUAGAUAAGGAUGUGAUUCUUAGAAGUCAUCCUUGAGUUCUAGAACUAUGUAGCCAGCCUAGGUUGAGACAUCAACAUUGUUCGAUGAGGGUUGAUGAGGUGGAUAAGCACUGUUAGAUAAGGGCCCCACCAUUCUCAUAUAGGGGAUACUAUCAAAUAAGGGUUGCCCACAGCUUGUCCUUACCAGUGGCACGGUAUUGACACCCUUCUAAUUAGGGUUACAGAUUGGACCCCAACUCAGCCAUAAUGGCAUAUGAGGGGUAUGUCAGUUAGAUAACUACUUCCCAUAGUUUCAUGUUAUAGAAUUAGGACUGUCAGAUACAGUCAAUUAGUCUCAGUAAUAGAACUCAGUUAGUUCUUUAGAUUUCAAAACUAUCAGAUACAGUCAACUCAAAUACAGUACGAAACUCAGAUAGUUUCAUUUGAUUUAGGACUAUCAGAUAUAGUCACUCAGGUUAUCAGUUAUAUUCAGAUUCAGUAAUCAUGUCAUCACAAUAUUAGUGUCAGUUGUUACGUCUCAUAUAUGUAUUCUCACGCUUAUGAUUGUUAGUCAGUUAUUAUUACUAUUCAUGAAUAUAAAUCCCAUGCAUUCAGCCUACCGUACAUGCAUACUAGUACAUUCAAAGUACUGAUGCAUUUGCGCUAUGGUGUCUUAUACAAUAGGUUCAGAGACACGAGCUCCAGAACAACAAUAAAUUCCAUAUAUCCAUAGACAGAGUUAGAAGUGAGUUCUCUUCUUUUGAGGACAUUAUUAUUUACCUAUUAUCUCAAUAAUCAGUUUAUUAGUUGGAGUUAGUUGGGGACAUGUCCCAUCAACUCCUUACUCAGACAGUUCAAUCAGUUAGAGGCUUUCUAGAUUAUCAUAUUUCAGACUUCAGUAUGUUCAGUUUUGUUUUGGGUAUUCUAUUACCCCACACAGAUGUUAUAUCAUUCAUUUCAUGUUCAGUAUUGAAUCUUAUGGCCUUUCAGUGCAUGUUUUCGCAUUAUUAUGUCAUAUUAUGCAGUAUACAAGUACAAAUAUUAGUCAUGGGUUAGCUUGUGGUCCUUCGGGGUCAUGAGCACCGUGUAGCAUUCCGGGUACCAGAUUUGGGGUGUUACAAACUUGGUAUCAGAGCCUAAGGUUCAAUAGAGUCCUAGGAAGUCUGAAAGCCAUAUCUAGCAGAGUUUUGUACAUGGGUAUAUUGCGCGCCAUAUUUAUGUGUGAGAGGCUAUAAGAUGUUUUAGGAAAAAUUUCAUUUAUUUCGGUAUUCAUGUAGUGCCAGUGAACAUAAUCUCAAGUUAAUCUCUUAGUCUAAUCUGUUUCCCCCUUUCUUUUACAGAACAUGCCUCCUAAAAGAAGAAAUGAAAAUCAGUCAGCCCCUCAGCCCAAAGAUCCUUUAGGUGAUCAUAUUUCUUAUGUAGAGUUCAUGGAUUGCCGCUCAAAAUGAAUGGCCAACAGUCAUUCCAACAAACCCAGUGGCCAAUUCAGCCACAGCUAGGAUUUGGGACUUUACCUGAAUAAAUCCUCUGUCCUUCCUUGGGUCUAAGGAAGAGAGGACCCUUAAGAAUUCUUUGAUCAGGUUCAGAAGGUGAUAGAAAUCAUGGGGGUUACUUCUAGUGAGAGUGCUGAGCUAGCUCCAUAUCAGUUGUAGGAUGUUGCUCACACUUGGUUUAAACAGUGGAAGUCAGAAAGGCCAGAUGAUGUUGGGCCUGUUGAGUGGGAGGAGUUUGCUUUUACUUUCCUUGAUAGAUUCUUUUCCCAAGAGCUUAGAGAGGCUAAGGUGUUAGAAUUCAUCAACCUCAGGUAGGGAAACAUGACGGUGAAAGAGUAUUCUUUUAAGUUAACUCAAUUAGCCAGAUAUGCCCAUCAUGUGGUUGCAGACAGUAGAGCGAAGAUGAGUAAGUUCACUUCAGGGGAAAAUGAUAGCAUGGUUAAUGAGUGCAGAUCUGCCAUAUUGAAUAGUGACAUGACUUUAGCUUGGCUCAUGACUCAUGCUCAACAUAUAGAGGAGCAGAAGAUUAAGCAUAGAGAGAAGCAUAAUAAGAGAGCUAGGACAGGUAGCUUUAAUUUUAGUCAGCCUAAGUCAGAGGGAGGCAAUCGCUCUCAGAUUCAUCCUAAGUCAUCAGUUCCAGCUUCUUCUUCAGCCAGUGCUCUAGUUCUUAAGUUUAGGGAGAGUAACAGAGAUAGAACGGCAGGCUCUAGGCGUCAGCGUAGUAUUAGCAAUGCCCGAACCAAUCCCUUUUGUCAUACUUAUGGUAAGAACCACAAGGGAGCUUGCAGAGCUGGUAGCGAUGUCUAUUUCGAUUAUGGCAAGCUAGGCCAUAGAGUCAAAGACUUCCCUCAGUUAGGUUAUCAGAGUCAUCUCCGCUCUUCAACUCAGUUCGGUAGCCCGAAUCACCAGGAUGCCACCACUAGUGCUAUUAGUGGGCAAUGUCCAAAUCAUCUCUAUGCUCUUCAGUCUCGAUAGGAUCAGGAAAAUUCUCCUAAUGUAGUUACUGGUACGUUAUAGAUCUUUCAUGUGCAUGUUUAUGCUUUGCUAUAUCCAGGAGCUUCUUUGUCUUUUGUUACUCCCUAUAUAGUAGGCGGUUUUGGAAUCAGUCCUGAAAUUCUAGUAGAGACCUUUUCAGUUUCUACCGCAGUAGGUAAAACUAUAAUAGCCCGGUGGGUAUACAGGAACUGCCCGGUUAUGAUAUUUAAGAAAGUCACUUCAGUAGACUUAGUCGAAUUAGAGAUGACUAAUUUUGAUGUUAUUCUCAGCAUGGAUUGCCUUCAUUCCUGCUAGCUAUGCCAUAGUUGACUGCAGAAAUAGAAUAGUCCAGUUUUAGUUUCCAAAUGAACCCAUCCUUGAGUGGAAGGGUAGUACAUCAGCAUUUAGAGGUCAACUUUUUUCCUACCUUCGGCCAUAGAAAAUGAUAUCUAAAGGAUGUGUCUAUCAUCUUAUUCAAGUUAAGGACACUAGUUCUGAAACUCCCAACAUUGAAUUAGUUCCAGUUGUAGGUGAAUAUUCAGAUGUCUUUCCCGAAGAUCUUUCAGGAAUUCUUUUUGAAAGGAAAAUAGACUUUGACAUUGAUCUUCUUCCAGUUACUCAUCCUAUAUCUAUUCCGCCAUAUAGAAUGGCACCAGUAGAACUCAGAGAACUAAAAGAACAAUUGAAGGAUCUCUUAGAUAAGUGAUUCAUCAGGCCCAGCGUUUCCCAUGGGGAGCUCCAAUAUUAUUCAUGCGUAAGAAAGAUGGUUCUCUUAUAAUGUGUAUAGACUACUGUCAACUCAAUAAGGUCACGGUCAAGAACAAGUAUCCUCUUCCUAGAAUUGAUGACUUGUUUGAUCAACUUCAGGGUGCCAGUUAUUUCUCUAAGAUAGAUGUCAGAUCCGGCUAUCAUCAACUCAGAGUUAGAGAAUAUGAUAUUUUGAAAAUAGCUUUCCAUACUCGGUAAGGUUGUUCGAAUUCUUAGUUAUGUCUUUUGAUCUUAUCAAUGCCCAGUAGCUUUUAUGGACUUGAUGAACCAUGUGUUCAAGCAGUACUUAGACAUGUUCGUCAUAGUCUUCAGAGAUGAUAUUCUGGUCUAUUCCCGUAGUGAGCAUGAUCAUGCAGACUAUCUCAGAAUAGUACUUCAGACUCUCAGAGAUCAUCAGCUAUUCGCCAAAUUCAGUAAGUGUGAAUUUUGGCUAAGGUCAAUAUCAUUCCUUGGUCAUAUCAUUUCUGGUGAUGUUAUUAGAGUGGAUCCUCAAAAGACCAAGGCAGUUAGAAACUGGCCUCGCCUUGUAUCUCCAUCAAAUAUCAGGAGUUUCUUGGGUUUGGCUAGCUAUUACAAAUAAUUUUUUAAGGGAUUUUCUUCUAUUGCAUCCCCUAUGUACAAAUUGACUCAGAAAAGUGGUCAGAUCCUUAUGAUAAGAGUUUUCAGGAGUUGAAGACUCGACUCACCUCAGCUCUAGUUUUAGCUCUUCCAGAUGGUCCAGAUGGGUUCGUAGUGCAUUGUGAUGCAUCCAGAGUAGGUCUGAGUUGUGUCCUCAUGCAGCAUGGUAAGGUCAUAGCCUACACCUCCAGACAGCUUAAGCCCCAUGAGAAGAAUUAUCCUACUCAUGAUCUUGAGUUAGUAGCCGUAGUCUUUGCCCUGAAGAUUUGAAAGCAUUAUUUAUACGUUAUUCAUAUAGAUGUCUUCAUAGAUCAUAAGAGUCUUUAGUAUGUCUUUUCUCAGAAAGAUCUCAAUUUUCAUCAGAGAAGGUGGUUAGAGCUCUUAAAAGAUUAUGAUAUGAGUGUCCUUUAUCAUCCGGGCAAGGCCAAUGAGUGGCCGACUCUCUCAGUAAACUAUCCAUGGGUAGUGUUUAUCAUGUUGAGGAUAGUAAGAAGAAUUUAGCUUAGGAAGUCCAUCAGCUUGCCAGAAUAGGCAUUCACUUAGUCGAUAUAGAAGAGGGUGAUAUAUGGGUUCAGAGUAGUUCAGAAUCAUCUCUAGUUUCUGAGUUGAAAGAAAAGUAAUAUAGAGAUCCCAUACUUGUCAAGUUAAAAGAGUCAGUCCAGGAUCAAAAAGUAGAGGUUUUAUCCUAAGAGGGAGAUGGUGUUCUUCAUUGUCAGGGUUGUCUCUGUGUUCCAGGUGUAGAUGACUUAAGGCAGUAAAUUCUUGGAGAAGCGCAUGGUGCACGCUACUCUAUUCAUCUAGGGGCCACAAAGAUAUACCGCGACUUACGGGAAAUCUAUUGGUGGAGUGGGAUAAAGAGAGACAUUGUAGAGUUUGUGGCUAAGUACUCUAUAUGUCAGCAGGUUAAAAUAGAGCAUCAGAAGCCUAGUGGGACCAUGUAGGAGUUUUGGAAAGAAGGGAAAGCUCAGCCCCCGAUAUGUUGGUCCCAUUAAGAUUUUUAAUCGCUUUGGCAAAGUAGCUUAUGAGCUUGAAUUGCCUUUAGAUCUAGCCUCAGUUCAUACAGUCUUUCAUGUCUCUUUGCUCAAGAAGUGAAUAGGUGACCCAUCAGGUAUAGUCCCUAUUCAGAGCAUUGAUGUUCAGAACAUUCUCUCUUAUGAAGAGAUUCCAGUCGAAAUCUUAGACUACAUACCCGUAGAUUGAGGAACAAAAAAGUCCCUCUAUUUAAUGUUCUUUGGCAAAAUCCAUCUAUCGAGGGAGAUAAUUGGGAAGCAGAGGUAGACACGUGUACUAAGUAUCCUCACCUCUUCUUCACCAACUCAGAUCAAGCUCAAGGUAACAGUUCUUCUUAAGCUUACUCAGUUUCAUGUUCGGUAUUCAUCACAAACUUGGUAUGCAGUUUCAUGCUUAUGUUCCUAUUAUAAACUUGGUAUCAAGUACCAUUGCAUAUUUGAUCAUGCACUUAUGUAUCAGUUUAGUAAUGUAAUUAUGCAUCAGACAUGCAUUCUCAUUAUGAGAAACUUAGCUCUUCAGAACACUCAGUCAUGCAUUCAUGAAUCAGUUACACAUGCAUCAGAUAUGCAUGUUCAGUAUUAUAUGUUCAGCUUGUCAGUCAUGUCAGUCAUGAGAUCAUGCUCCAGUUAUUCAUGUUCAUUAUGUACGUCAGUUAUCUUUUCUCCCCUCUCUGUCAGUCUCAUUCGAGGAUGAAUGUUCUUAAAGGGGAGAUAUUGUAAUACCCCAUACUUUUUUCUAGAUAAUUUUAUCUCAAGAAUGUCUAGUAUUAACUUCUAAAUUGAAUGAUGGUUAUUCCAUGAGGAAUUUUCAAGAUUUUCACUUUUUUUCAUGUGGGAAAUUUAAUAAGCUUUCCAUUGAUAUAAGAUUCGCCCAAAUCCGAUAACCGGGUCAGAAGUUACAACUAUUUCAAGUCCCCAUUGUAAAAUAGCGCCAUAUUAGUCAGUGGCGCCCUGCGUGACAAGAGGAAAUGACAUUUGGCAAAUUCCAGUAGGGGUCUGCGAUUAUGGCGCAUCACACCAGGGCCUAAAUUCAAAAUUUUCCAUUUUCCAGUGUCUCAGCGCGAUUUCCCCUGCGUCUCACCAAAGUUCCAGGUCGCAAAAGAAGAGGCAACGUGAUGGCUUCAUGUCGCACCAUCCCUCAGUUUCCCAAUUAUCAAAUUCUAGUGAAACGGUACGAUAGUGCUGCAUCACGCUAAAGGUCCAGUUUGGGAAAUUUUUACAAUUUUAAAAGACGCAUCCAAGUUUCUCUCAAGAAUAAGCUAAGGUUUUUAUUGGGGAUUUGAAUUCAAGAAGGUUUCACCGUCAAUCCUCAUGAAAUCACAAACUAAGGUAUGCGUAGUGUUCAUUCAUGGACUCCUUUCGUCUGUGAAGCCCAAGAAUCCCUUUUCUAAAUUCAAGUUUAUGGAUUUUCUUAUGAAUUUCAUGAUUAGGCUGCUGUUGUUUAUGUGGAUAAUAAGAAAUUGAAUUCUACUCCAUGUUGGGUGAUAAAUUCUAUGUGGGUUAAAUUAUUAUAGAUAUAGAUUCAUGCAAACCUAUGAUUACACCCUUGAAUGAUGUUUAAUGAUUGUUUAAUGAUGUUUACAUGUACCAUGCCUACAAUAUGUUUGAUUAAAUGCCUAGAUGAAGGAAAAGUGCCUAACUAGCAUGAUAACAUGAAAUCCCCAUGUAUGUACAUGUUAUGCCUAUUACAUGUUUUGAUGAAAUGCUUCUAUAAAUGUAUUAUGGAUUAUGAUGUUAGUUAUAUGUUCAAGUAAGAUAUGCUUGGUUAGUUUCCUUCCAUCGAGUACUGGGGUUAAUCAUACCCAAAACAUUAGCUAUGUGCCUAGAGCCAUGUCAUGUUUUCACAACAUUCUCAGUCAAGCUAUGAAUCCUUAGACUUCAGACAGUCUUAUGACUCAGAAAAUAUCCAUGAUCUCAUGAAGUCAGUUAGUUGUCAAAUAUCAUUAGUAUUCCAUCAGUCAAUGGAAUUCAGUAACUCAGCCCCUGUUCAAUUCAGUAAAUCAUGUUUAGAGUCUAUUCAGAUGGGAGUAGGAAUUAGCACCGAGUGAACCCAAAGAUGAGAAAACACACUAUCAGAUGAGGGUGUGAUUCUUAGAAGUCAUCCUUGAAUUCUAGAACUAUGUAGCCAACAUAGAUUGAGACAUCAACACUGUCCGAUGAGGGUUGAUGAGGUGGAUAAGCAUUGUCAGAUAAGGGACCCACCGUUCUAGUAUAGGGGACACUAUCAGAUGAGGGUCUCCCACAGCUUGUCCUUACCAGUGAAAAUUGGGGUUAUAGAUUGGACCCUAAAUUAGCCAUAAUGGCAUACUAGGGGCAUGCCUGUUAGAUAACUACUUCCCAUCUUUUUUAUGUUACAAAAUCAGGAGUGUCAGAUAUAGUCAAUCAGUCUGAGUAAUAGAACUCAGGUAGUUUUUCAUAUUUCAGAACUGUCAGAUACACUUAACUUAGAUACAGUACGGAACUCAGAUAGUUCCAUCCGAUUUAAGAUUGUCACAUACAGUCACUCAAGUUAUCAGUAAUCAUGUCAUCACAAUAUUAGUGUCAGUUGUUACGUCUCAUGCAUGUAUUCUCAUGCUCAUGAUUGUUAGUAAGUUAUUAUUAUUGUUCAUGCAUAUGAACCCCAUGAAUUUAGCCUACCUCACAUGCAUACCAGUACAUUCAAAGUACUGACGCAUUUGUGCUAUGGUGUCUUUUACCAUAGGUUUAGAGACACGAGCUCUAGAGCAACAGUAGAUUCCAGAUAUCCAUAGACAGAGUUAGAAGUGAGUCCUUAUCUUUUGAGAACAUGAUUAUUUCCUUAUUAUCUUAUUAAUCAGUUUAUUAGUUGGAGUUAGUUGGGGAUAUAUCCCAUCAACUCCUUACUCAGACAAUUCGGUCAGUUAGAUACUUUCUAGACUAUCAUAUUUCAGACUUCAGUAUGUUCAAUUUUGUUUUGGGUAUGCUAUUACCCCACACAGAUGUUACAUCAUUCAGAUCAUGUUCAGUAUUGAACCUUAUGGCCUUUUAAUGCAUGUUUCCGCAUUAUUAUAUCAUAUUAUGCAGUAUAGAAGUACAAAUAUCAGUCAUGGAUUAGCUUGUGGUCCUUCGGGGUCAUGAGCAUCGUGUAGCAUUUUGAGUACCAGAUUUAGGGCAUUACAUAAAUAUUUACCUAGAGCACGGUGUAUUAAAAAAGGUCAACUUAACAAGGACACAAUCAAAGGAUCACUGAAUAAGAGGAAAAGCAAAAACGUCAUACUUAAAUUCACCAUGAUGUGAAGUAAAUAGUAUCCGAGUGAUCCCCCAAAAGGGAUUUUACCCCGUUGUUUACAUACAAUGGAUUUAUUAUUUAAAUAUAAGAAAGAGAAAAUGAAAAACAAACUAGGUCAUUCAGAUUAAUCAUUUAAACUAUGGUAAAAUCUGUCUAUGGUUGCUUGCAAGAGCGACAUUGUGUCUACUAACCGUCUACCAUGAGUACAAGUACAUGCAGAAAGCCCACGUGUUGGUAAAUAGACUCAGGUGAAGCUUCUCUUCAACCCACCAAGAAGGCCAUUGCACCCCAUACUAUUUCAUUAUUGAUUGAGCCAUUUCAUUCCAUACUAUUUCAUUAUCGAUAGUACCAUGCCUAGAUGGCCAUGCCAAGAGGGACAUUUUAUUGCUAAGAGGUCCAUACCGAGAUGGCCAUUCCAUUUUAUUUUAUGCCAUUACUGAGAGGGAUAUUAAUUCCAUUUCAUUUUAUUGCCGAGAGGGCUAUUUAAUUCCAUACAUUUCAUUACCAAGAGCGCCAUACUGAGAGAGCCAUUUCAUUUCGUGCCAUUGCCGAUAGGGCUAUGUCGAGAGGGCUAUUUUAUUUUAUUCCAUAUCAUUACCAAGAGGGAUAUCAUACCAUUCAACUAAGUCUUCAUAAUCGUUCACCAUAAAAGACUAUAAGGUUUGUCUUUGCAAGAUGCUUUGGAGCACCAAUAUUCAUUGACUAUGCGAAGAUAGCAUAAUCUGGCAUCGAGGAUAUCUCAAUAUUUUAUAUUUGUUAACCAUGCAAAAGUGAGAGCCCAUCAUAGAAGAUAUUUUAACAUUUUAUGAAUGAUCAUUUGAAUGCAUCAAUAUAUCAAGUUGAAACAGUACUUGAUCCGAAGGGACGCCUUUAAGUUGCUAUCUAAAAGUGGACUAUAUAUUAGAUUGCCAAAAAAUUGAUAAUCCAAGGGUCAUCUGUUAGUCAUAAUAUUUGAGAGAGGAUAUUGUGAGAUAUUACCUACAAGUUGAUAGCCCAUAGGUCAUCCGUAAGAUAUAGCAACAUGCUAACCAAAUAGUGUGCAAGGUUAACCAAAGAUCAAUAAUUUGAAGGUUAUCUAUAAGUCACAACUAAAUCCUUACUAGAGAAUAUGCGAGAUUACUAAAUUGCUAGGUCCAAGAGUUAUCUAUAAGCCACAUCAUAUUUAAGAUCGAUUAUGCACAGGAUUACCCAAUUACUAGCAAAUUGAGAUAUAUAUAUAAGUUAUAUUGUAUCUAAGGUCAGAUAUAUGCAAGAAUAAUUAAGAGCUAGUGAUUCGUGGGAUAUCUGUAAGUUAUUUCUUAUCCAAGGUCAGAUAAUAUGGAUGAUAACCUAAGAAGCUUGCAACUCAAAGGAUAUCUAUAAGUCGCUUCAUAUACAACAUCAUAUAAUAAGAAAGAUCUCCCAAAGAUAAACAAUUCAAGGGAUAUCUAUAAGUCGUAUCGAUAACAAAAGAUGCUAGAAAUUUACCUGAGGUCAUAUGCAUAAGAUCAUUGUCAUUAUCCAAAAGGUUAUCAUUCCACAUAUAAGAAGCAUCAUAGGUAACCAAGUGGGUUGACACAUCAACAUAGUAUCAAACGAUUGCAGGGACCAAUCUAUAAAAAGUGUCGUCAGUGACCAAGAGGGCCACUCCACUUUGAAGAAAUAUUCAAUUGACAAAAGAGAUAUUUUGUUCAACAACCAAAAGGGUUAUUGUGUCUAUUAUUACAAGUUAUUGCCCUCCAAAUAGAUACAUGAGAGGACGAUUUCACUUUUCAGAUAACAACUUAUGCGGAGAUAUGGUACAAAACUAUUUACCCAAUUUGUGAAUUAUGUUUAUUACUAACAUUUUUUGUUUAAGAUAUUAUCGAGAUCACCCGAGAGUAUGAAAAUAUCAAUCCAAAAACAUAGGUUCGUAUGACUUCAAAAAGGAUGUAGCACAACGUGAAACUCUUUCUUAGAAAAAAAUUGGGACAUAGUUCAGAGAGAGACAUCAAACUCUUUGGGUACGAGCUAAAGUAUAAUUUCACCACCACCAUAAAAACAUACACCUAUUAUAAAGCAUGUGGGUGCUUUGGAAUAUUUUGGUUUCAAUUUCACUUUUGAGAUAUUUCUAAACUCCUAUUGGAGGUAUUAUUCUUUUUUCUUCAAAUUCGGGUGACAACACAGUUUAGAGUUUUGGAAAUUAUGUCCAGGUAAAAUCUUGCCUAUGGAUGUAAGGAUCCCACAUGUAUGGUUAAUAGGUUACAAGCCUAUUUUCCAUAACUCAAAUAACUUGUCACUUUCCCAGUUCAAAGAUCGUCUAAAAUAAAAGACUUUCUUUCUACCGAUUGAGUCAAACUACAAGCAACCAGAUUCCCUAAGUCACGGGAAUGUAGGCAAGGCUCUAUUUUGAAAACUCAAUAGCAUUCCAACCUCACCUCAAUUCUCUUAUUCCCCAUAUUUCCAAUUUCACUAAAGUUGAAAAAUCGAGAUAGCUUGUGAAAUUUUUAAAAAUCAUGCUUAAAAUCAAGCGUUAUGAACUACAAAUAGCUUGAGUUCUCAUGUAACCUAAGAUAUGCAGGAAACUCAAUACCAAGGUCCAACCAUAAUUUCUAGAAACUCAUGUGAAAAUCAACCUCUUUUGAGAAAUAAAUAUGUGGUCGGAAAAAAAAUAGGAACGUCAAACUACCUUCGCCUAGGGUUACUUGCAUUCACCCUACCCAAAGGAAGGGAAAGUUUUUGACACCUAGUUUUUUCCUCCGUGACUAAAUUUAAUUGAGAGUUUCUUCAAUUUUAAAUAAAAUUAUAAAAUUUAUUUUAUCCAUUUAAAAAUUUUCAAAAAUAUUUAUCUAUGUAAUUUUGUCACAAUAAGUAGCAAUGAUAUAUUUUCGUAUCCAUAUAUACGAGUUUAUACAAUAUUGUUUCUUAAAUAAUUGUUUUAUGAAAAAUCAGAUUUAAAUCGAGGGUUAUCUUGAAAAUUAAUUCAAAUGGGUAAAAUAUUGAUCUAACUAUCAUUUGUUCUCAAAAUAAUUUAUUUAGAGAAAUAUUUAAUUGAUUUUAUCAAAUCAAGAAGCUCAAAAUUAUAUAAGGUAUUAGUUCACAUCAAAUGUCUAUUUAAUCUAACCAAUCUAUUAAAUUUUUCCAUAAUUGAAAUCAAAUUGUUGCAAUGUAAUUGGCUAAUUGAUUUUCAAUAUGCCUGAAAAUUAAAUGAAAUAGGUAAAAUCCUAAUAUAAUUGGGGUUUGUUUUAUAUAACCCCAAAUAAUAACCUAAUCUACCCUUACCAAUCCAACCAACCGCUCUAAUUCCGGGCAUAACUUCCCAGCCCGACAACCAAACUUCUCCCAAUUACCCAGUCCAAACCCAAACCUCAAUAGGACUAACAAUAAAUCCCAGCUGACUCGACCUAUUUGAUUUAUAUUCUUCACCAACAAAUAGUCAACAAAACUUACAAUAAUAGCAAACAACCAGCAAUAUAAACUAAACUCGAAAUCAACACGGCAUAACUCAAAUUGGGAAUUUUCCUACCUCGUUCAUCUCCCUCUCUCUUUGAUCGUACUUAUCAUGUGACAAGCAUAAGAUUGUGUACCAAGGAAAGGCUUAGAAUAUUCUAGAAACACUGAGGUGGCUUCCCCAACUGUCGUAUUCGUAUGAAUUCGUACAUCUUUGUGCGCAUUUCAUUGGUUCUUGGGAUAAUUCUGUUUCCCCAAUUUCUAUUGGUUGAACCCAUUUUUAAUUUAUCCAAAAAAUCUUAAAUUGGUACAAGGAUGAGGUGUAAAGUCCUAUCCUGAUCCUAAAUUUGAAAAUAUCUCAUGAAAAUUUCAAAAAUUAUCCCCGAUUUCCCUUUUUCCCACAUGGUGGAGCUGAAUUUUCCAUCCCAAAAUUCCUUCUAUAUAAAACUCAUUAUUGAUAUGAAAAUGAUAAGUCUUAAAGGGUUGGAAAAUCUUUUUCAUCAAAGAGUUAAAAUCUUUAGUGAAUUUUUUUUUUAAAGAAGCCGUUGACUAAUCAAAAGUAUCGUCUAGUGGUGGUAGAUUCCAACAAUAGCUCGAGUCCUUUUUUGCUUGGUCAAAAAGGUAAAUGCAUAUUUAACUUUUAGUUUAUUACUCUUCUCCUUCUUCAUCUCUUUUUUUGUAUCAAUAACUUUGUAGUCGUAAUCGUAGUUGGUGAGAUUUUUUGCUGUAGAAGGCCUUGAAGGCCAUAGAUUUAUGUGAUAAAGAUUGUGGCUCUUAAUGUAUUGAUGUGCUUUUGUGUCAUCUUUAUGUUUUUGGUUUUGUCAUUUCCAUCAAAGCUCAUUAUUUUGAUUCUUAAUUGAUAAUCCAUAGUUUCUUGGUUUUAGGUCCGAGCACUUUUGUGAAUUUGCUUCUAGACGAGUAAUUCACAUUACUUGUACUGUUAUUGGUCGUUUGGUAUGGUGUUUGAUGAAUGUGUUUGGUGUGAUAUUUUGAUUAAUGUGUUUGGUAUGAUAUUUUGAUUAAUUUGCUUCUAGACGAGUAAUUCACAUUACUUGUACUGCUAUCGGUCGUUUGGUAUGAUGUUUUGAUUAAUAUGUUUGGUGUGAUAUUUUGAUUAAUGUGUUUUGUCACGGUCUCUAGCCUACUUUUAGCCUAAAUAUAUGUUUAUUGAGUUCAUUGUAAGCUUGAUCUCUUAAACAGGGACUGCUUCUUGAGUUUCUUUAGCCUUAAUUCUAAGAAAGAUGAUAAAAACCAGUACAUGUCGAGGUCGCUAGUCCAAUGAAUUCUCAAAAACCAUUUCAAUUCUUGUAAAUAUAUUCUAAGAGUCUCAAAAAAGGAUGAAGACUAGAAUGACAUGAUCUUGCAUCUUCCUUUUCUGGCAAAUUCUAUAAUGUGUGGAAGAUGUUUGAAUUAUGCUGACGUUCCAGUAUAGUUUUCUUCAUUAUUUCAUAUAAAUAGAUGUUUAAAAUAAUUGAUAGGGUUUUAAAAUGAACUUGAUAUUUAUGUUCAAAUGUUGUUUAGUAUAAACAUUGUAACUUGAGAUUUAAUUAAUGCAAAACUUUUAUCUUGGGGUGUUGAAGCCUAAAUAUCAUUUUCUUUGAAUCUGUGCGAGUACCUAUAAUUUUUUAAUGCUUGUCUUAGAUAUGAAAAACCCGUGGCAUCUAGUACAUAUUUGUAGGCGAUUUUUGUCAUUGGUCAUGAACAAAGUUUGGGAUUCUAAGUAUGUGGGUUUAUUAAGAGGCUAUCCCAUUUCAAUUUCUUCUAUUUAAAAUUAGGACAAGGAAUGAGACUCACUCUCACUAUGGCCUACUCUCGAGCCUGAAAGUUCUCAUCUAUAACUUUGUUGAACUACCAAUAAAGUUAGGACCUUUACCUCUCUUAAAUAAUUCUAUCACAUUUCCUCUUUGCCUUACAAUUAUUGGUCUUCUUCCGUUUAGAUUCUUCCUAUAUAUUUUCUGCACAUCUUGUUGGAAACACUUUAUAGAACUAAAUAAGCAUUGUAAAUAACUAAGAUACUAUUUGGAGUGGUAACAUUUGUUUCGGUAAAGUGUAAGAUUCUUGGAAAUGUUGGAUACUUGUUCUUCUUUGGUUGAAUCAUGUUCUAUGGGUUUUCUUUCAUUUGCUUAUUGAUUUUGUUUGGAAAUUGUAGUUAUUCUUCCACCUUUCCUUUACGUAACGUUAAUUCCAAGUCCAUCUUUUCAUUCAUAUAUUUAUAUGUUUAGAUGCUUGCUUGAGUUGGUCCUAGGUCUUAAAAACCGAAGUUCCCUGAAAGAUGCUAUUGCAUGUAAAUUUGUCUUUUACAAAAUUAACACAAUUAUAAUUUUAUUAUCUACUAUUCAGUAAGAUAUAUGAUAUUUCAAUAGUCUUUUUGAAUACUAACGUUAGGAUAUAAAUUAAUUUUCUUUAUGUUUUAUUCUUUUAUAUGUAUGUUCGAGUCCUAAUGGACUCUUUGCCCUUUUGCAUUUCCCUUAAGGGCCAUUGAGGCCCAUUUCUCCCUGAGUCAGUUUCAAAAGAAGGUCCAAAGUCAGUCAUAUGGUGUCCAGGUGCAACAAAAUGAAAGAAGAAAAAAUGGGUCAAAAUCCAUUGAUAAAGGUUCUAGGAGACUUGAAAAGUUUCAAUUUUUGUUCUUUUUGUAUUUUAAUUUAUUCAUUCAUUUAUUUUUGGCCUUGAAGCACAAGUUGGAACUUAAUAUAGGUGAAGCAUAUUACAGGCCUUAAAGGUCCGAAAUGUAGUUUAGGACAGAUUAUGGGCCAAAGUAAUUAUAUUAGAACUAUUGUGGGCCAAAAGCACAAAUGAUUAAAUUAGGAUAGGUGCAGAUGAGCCAAAAGCUCAAUUAGACUAGGACAAGUUCAUUUGGAAGAUUUGGGCCUAAAAGCCUAAGUCUUUAGUUUUUCUUCUACCCUUUUCAUGCUUUAUUUUCUACUAAUAUUUUUUUCAGAACAUAGUUAAGUUCCCCACUAAGUCGUCAAAAAAUUGGAUUUGCACGAAUCUUAGAAAAUAAUUUUUUCCUUAAUCAAUUUUUUUCUAAAUAAAAAGAAAACUUCUUUUUCAAGUUAGCCAAAAAGUUGAUUUGCAAUAGUGCGGAUAACACUAGUUAGUGGACAUUUUAGGUGCCUUAAAAACCUUCCUAAAGUGUUAAUAAGAAUCUCUUACCUGGAAUUUUCUCUAAAAAUCUAAGUUCUUUUCUAUUUUAAAAACUUAGAAUUUUCUUUAAAGGUUUUCUCUAUUUUUCUAAAUAAAUCAUGUGGCGACUUUCUUUUUAAAAAAUUAUAUUUGAAAACUUUUUCCAAAGUAUUUGAAUUCGUAAAAAUUGCAACAGUAAUCUUUUCUCAACAAAACACCUAGCAUUGGAGAGUGAAGGUUUACCAUACCCUAGUUCCAUAAACUAUGUGCCACUGUAGGUUAUUCAGCUUGUCCAAAAGGACAUCUAGCUUGUCCAAAUUGACAUAUAUGGAAAUUAUUCUACUUGUCCAAAUGAACAUGAAUAGGUGAUCAUACUAGUUAGCCUUUAUACCCUAGAAGGGUAUUUCGACCCCUUUUAAUGGGUUUUUUUACGUUGGACUCCGUGUUGCUCGCAUUAUUUAUAUCGGUUAAGAUAAUCUCCUAUAGAAAAAUCUAAUUUCAUAACUACUACGUGUAUUGACACACUAACUUUACCAGAUGUUGUUUUAUGAUAUAUGCUUUAUGAUAUUUCAACUUUUAGUUUAUUCAAGAUCAAGGUGAGUCUAUUUACACUUGACAAACAUGUUUUAUGAUUAUCACCAGCUCUGGCUCUACUUAUUGCAUUCACCCCCAUAUACUCAGUACAUUCUAAAAGUACUAACCAUAUAUAUAUAUUUAUGGAUACAUUAUUUCAUAAUAUAGGUUCUGAUGUUUAUUCUCAGUGGUACUGUUAGCCACGAUCACCACCUCUUACAUCCAGCCAGUUGGUGAGUCCUCAUAUCUUGAGAUCCAAGUUUAUGUUUGCUUCCAAAUGCUUAUCAUUAUUAGUCCAGACGUUAUGAUUUCAUUUGGGGUCAGCUAGUGCCUGUCCCAGUGGCUCUUUAGUUUUAGUUGAUGGCUUGUCAAGACUAGUCAAACAAUUUGUUUCCUUCAUAUUCUCAUUAGUUUCAAAUGAUGUUAAGAUAUGGUGUUUUAUUGAGAUUGUUCAUCCAUUUGAACCCAAUUUAUAAUUUUCUUAAAUUUCCGCUCAUGUUUUAAGUUUACUUUAUUAUGGUUCAGUGCUAAGUAGAUAUCAGGGGUUAGCUUUGGGGCUGCUUCUAGUUCUAAGCACCAUAUGCCGUCCAUAGGGUAGCCUUGGAUCAUUAAAAACUUGGUAUUACCCAACUCAUGAUUUGGAGUUUGUAGGUGUUGUAUUUUCUUUGAAAAUUUAGAGACACUAUUUAUAUGGUGUGCAUGAACAUAUUUUUACUGAUAUAAGAGUCUCUAAUUUGGGUUUAUGCAAAAGGAGUUAAAUCUUUGUCAGAUAAGGUGGUUGUAGUUUCUAAAGGAUCAUGACAUGAAUAUGAUCUACCAUUCGGGUAAGGCAAAUAUAGUUAUUGAUGCUUUGAGAUGGUUGUCUAUGGAUAGUAUACUCCACAUGGAAAAGGAGAAUAAGAAGUUGCCCAAAUAGGUGCAUAGAUUAGCUCGAUUCAAAGUAUAUUUUCUUGACAUGGAUGAUGGUAAUUUAGUGACUUAGAACGAUUCAAAGUCAUCCUUAGUAGCCGAAGUGAAACAGAAAGCACAUAAUGGCCCUAUACUUAGCCAGUUAAUGGAUCCAGUUCAUCAGCAAAAGGUUGAGGGUUUCUCCCUAGGGUGAGAUGGUGUCCUUUGAUAUUAGGGCUAGUUAUGUAUUUCCAAUAUUGAUGGGUUGAGAGAAAGGAUAUUAGAAAAAGUUCACAGUUCUAAGUAUUCAAGUCAUCCUAGCGCUACCAAGAUGCACCACAACCUGUGAGAAGUUCAUAAUGGAAUGGUAUGAAGAGGGACAUAACAGAGUUUGUGGUUAAGUAUCCCAAUUGUCAGCAAGUGAAAGUUGAGCAUCAAAGGCCAGGAGGUACACUCUAGGAUAUUGACAUUGCUACUUGGAAACAGAAGGUAAUUAAUAUGGAGGGUAAAGUAUUAGGUCAUUAAUAUUCUUUAAAUAAAUUAUUAUAUUAAUAUUAAAAAUUAAUUUAGAAGUGGAGUGUAAAGUAUUAGAACUUCUUAUAUUUUUGUUACCAUAUAUUACAGAACUCCUUAAAGGACAAAAAUUAAUAUUUUUGGGAAAGCCAAUAAAGUGACGUGCCCAAAACUAAUUAACUAUAUGUUUUUUAAGGAAAAGUGGACAGAUUAAAAAAAUGAAUUUUGUGGACUUACUAUUAUUUAAAUAAAAUUUUAGAAAUUCUUUUUAUAUAAGGUAAAAAUUUAAUUGAUUUAAAAGUGAUAAAUAGUAUGAUUUCUUAUCUAGAUCAAAAAGGACUUUAAUGAAUUUGAAAUAUUAAAUAUUACAAUAAUAAUUUAAUGACAAUUAAUUGUAGGUAAGAGUGAAAAAAAGAGUUUGUCGUUUGAAGAGUUUCUUAAUGAAGGACAAAAAGUUCAAACAACAUUUAUAAGACUUUUCACACUAUUAAUUUAGUAUAGAUAGCAUGUAACACCCCGUGUUUUUCCUAGCUUAAAAUUCAUUCCUAGAAUGUUAAGAGUGUGAUUCAAAAAGGAAUAACCUUUACUUCAUAUGGAAUUUUCCAUAUUUAGACCUUCCAUUGUGUGAAAAAUUGAAUAAUAUUUUCAUUGAUAUCCAAUUUACCCAAAUUCGACACUCGGUGAAGAAGUUAGAGUAUUUUUAGUAAUGCAGUAUCCCACCCGGGAACUCACCGCAUCACGGUGGAUGCCAAAAUGGAAAUCGUAACAUUCCAGUGGACCUCCGCGAUAUUGGUGCAUCGCAGAGAGGUCUAAAUUCCCAAUUGUCCAUUUCCAGUGGCGCAACGCGAUAGCACCGCAUCAUGCCAGAGUGCAAAUUCGCACUCAUUCUUUUCCAGUAGCUUAAUACGAUUUCAACGCAUCACGGUGAAGGUGUAAUUAUCGUACUAUUGAUCCAUAAUUCAAAUUAUUGUGGCAUGAAUUUAAUACUAAGUAUGUAAAGUCCUUAUCAGGUGAAUAAUGUUCAUAGAAGUCACUUAGAUCCAAGUGAAGCUAAGAACAUUAGAUUCGACCAAAAUUUGGCAUUCAAUCCUUCAAGGGUCUACUUUAAACAUGUAUAAAAUUUUAUAUAAGUGGAAUUUUCCAUCUGAAGAUCUAUCAAAUUAUAGAUAAUUGAAUUAGCUUUCCGACGAUACCAAUUUUGCAAAAAUUCGGUACCCGAGCGAAAAGUUAUAGCCAUUUUAGUGUGAGGCAGUGGGCUACCGCGAUGGUGGCGCAUCGCGCUAGUGGAAAAAUUGGGAUGCGGGUAACGAAUUUCUACUUUAAAUUAAUAAGGAGAAAUGAGGUCUUUUACCACCUCAACCCAGGUCAUAAAAACACGAUCUAAGGCUUCAAUUGGGGCAUUAUUUGCCCCCAUUCUCCAAUUUUUCCCUCAAGAACAACCCUAAUCAAUUCCAUCUUCUUCUCUUAAACAAAAAGAUCAAGAAUUUAGGGUUCUUAAUCCAAGAACUUCAAGAAUGUCUUCAAGAUCAUAUCCAAAGGGUUCAAAGUUCAAGUUUUAACAUUCAAUUCAUCAUAGGAAUCAAAGAUUCAAGCUUUCUCAUCUAAGAUCAUCAAUUAAGGUAUGUGGGGUUAUGAAAAAGGACAAUCCUUUCGUCCUUGUGCCCAAAAUUAUAUUUUUCCGCAAGUAUCUUAUUUUUUGAAAUUAAGGUUCAUACCAAUUAUAAGUAUUUGAUGAUUAUGAGUUUACAAGUGAAUGAAUAUUGAAUUGCAUGACUAUUUUCAUAUAUUUAUGCGCGUAAUGCAAUUUUCCAGUUUUUCAAAUUGAGUUUAAGCAUGAUAUUGAGAUUCUUGAUCUUAUUAUUUAGAUGAGCCAAAAGCUCAAUUAGACUAGGACAAGUUCAUUUGGAAGAUUUGGGCCUAAAAGCCUAAGUCUUUAGUUUUUCUUCUACCCUUUUCAUGCUUUAUUUUCUACUAAUAUUUUUUUCAGAACAUAGUUAAGUUCCCCACUAAGUCGUCAAAAAAUUGGAUUUGCACGAAUCUUAGAAAAUAAUUUUUUCCUUAAUCAAUUUUUUUCUAAAUAAAAAGAAAACUUCUUUUUCAAGUUAGCCAAAAAGUUGAUUUGCAAUAGUGCGGAUAACACUAGUUAGUGGACAUUUUAGGUGCCUUAAAAACCUUCCUAAAGUGUUAAUAAGAAUCUCUUACCUGGAAUUUUCUCUAAAAAUCUAAGUUCUUUUCUAUUUUAAAAACUUAGAAUUUUCUUUAAAGGUUUUCUCUAUUUUUCUAAAUAAAUCAUGUGGCGACUUUCUUUUUAAAAAAUUAUAUUUGAAAACUUUUUCCAAAGUAUUUGAAUUCGUAAAAAUUGCAACAGUAAUCUUUUCUCAACAAAACACCUAGCAUUGGAGAGUGAAGGUUUACCAUACCCUAGUUCCAUAAACUAUGUGCCACUGUAGGUUAUUCAGCUUGUCCAAAAGGACAUCUAGCUUGUCCAAAUUGACAUAUAUGGAAAUUAUUCUACUUGUCCAAAUGAACAUGAAUAGGUGAUCAUACUAGUUAGCCUUUAUACCCUAGAAGGGUAUUUCGACCCCUUUUAAUGGGUUUUUUUACGUUGGACUCCGUGUUGCUCGCAUUAUUUAUAUCGGUUAAGAUAAUCUCCUAUAGAAAAAUCUAAUUUCAUAACUACUACGUGUAUUGACACACUAACUUUACCAGAUGUUGUUUUAUGAUAUAUGCUUUAUGAUAUUUCAACUUUUAGUUUAUUCAAGAUCAAGGUGAGUCUAUUUACACUUGACAAACAUGUUUUAUGAUUAUCACCAGCUCUGGCUCUACUUAUUGCAUUCACCCCCAUAUACUCAGUACAUUCUAAAAGUACUAACCAUAUAUAUAUAUUUAUGGAUACAUUAUUUCAUAAUAUAGGUUCUGAUGUUUAUUCUCAGUGGUACUGUUAGCCACGAUCACCACCUCUUACAUCCAGCCAGUUGGUGAGUCCUCAUAUCUUGAGAUCCAAGUUUAUGUUUGCUUCCAAAUGCUUAUCAUUAUUAGUCCAGACGUUAUGAUUUCAUUUGGGGUCAGCUAGUGCCUGUCCCAGUGGCUCUUUAGUUUUAGUUGAUGGCUUGUCAAGACUAGUCAAACAAUUUGUUUCCUUCAUAUUCUCAUUAGUUUCAAAUGAUGUUAAGAUAUGGUGUUUUAUUGAGAUUGUUCAUCCAUUUGAACCCAAUUUAUAAUUUUCUUAAAUUUCCGCUCAUGUUUUAAGUUUACUUUAUUAUGGUUCAGUGCUAAGUAGAUAUCAGGGGUUAGCUUUGGGGCUGCUUCUAGUUCUAAGCACCAUAUGCCGUCCAUAGGGUAGCCUUGGAUCAUUAAAAACUUGGUAUUACCCAACUCAUGAUUUGGAGUUUGUAGGUGUUGUAUUUUCUUUGAAAAUUUAGAGACACUAUUUAUAUGGUGUGCAUGAACAUAUUUUUACUGAUAUAAGAGUCUCUAAUUUGGGUUUAUGCAAAAGGAGUUAAAUCUUUGUCAGAUAAGGUGGUUGUAGUUUCUAAAGGAUCAUGACAUGAAUAUGAUCUACCAUUCGGGUAAGGCAAAUAUAGUUAUUGAUGCUUUGAGAUGGUUGUCUAUGGAUAGUAUACUCCACAUGGAAAAGGAGAAUAAGAAGUUGCCCAAAUAGGUGCAUAGAUUAGCUCGAUUCAAAGUAUAUUUUCUUGACAUGGAUGAUGGUAAUUUAGUGACUUAGAACGAUUCAAAGUCAUCCUUAGUAGCCGAAGUGAAACAGAAAGCACAUAAUGGCCCUAUACUUAGCCAGUUAAUGGAUCCAGUUCAUCAGCAAAAGGUUGAGGGUUUCUCCCUAGGGUGAGAUGGUGUCCUUUGAUAUUAGGGCUAGUUAUGUAUUUCCAAUAUUGAUGGGUUGAGAGAAAGGAUAUUAGAAAAAGUUCACAGUUCUAAGUAUUCAAGUCAUCCUAGCGCUACCAAGAUGCACCACAACCUGUGAGAAGUUCAUAAUGGAAUGGUAUGAAGAGGGACAUAACAGAGUUUGUGGUUAAGUAUCCCAAUUGUCAGCAAGUGAAAGUUGAGCAUCAAAGGCCAGGAGGUACACUCUAGGAUAUUGACAUUGCUACUUGGAAACAGAAGGUAAUUAAUAUGGAGGGUAAAGUAUUAGGUCAUUAAUAUUCUUUAAAUAAAUUAUUAUAUUAAUAUUAAAAAUUAAUUUAGAAGUGGAGUGUAAAGUAUUAGAACUUCUUAUAUUUUUGUUACCAUAUAUUACAGAACUCCUUAAAGGACAAAAAUUAAUAUUUUUGGGAAAGCCAAUAAAGUGACGUGCCCAAAACUAAUUAACUAUAUGUUUUUUAAGGAAAAGUGGACAGAUUAAAAAAAUGAAUUUUGUGGACUUACUAUUAUUUAAAUAAAAUUUUAGAAAUUCUUUUUAUAUAAGGUAAAAAUUUAAUUGAUUUAAAAGUGAUAAAUAGUAUGAUUUCUUAUCUAGAUCAAAAAGGACUUUAAUGAAUUUGAAAUAUUAAAUAUUACAAUAAUAAUUUAAUGACAAUUAAUUGUAGGUAAGAGUGAAAAAAAGAGUUUGUCGUUUGAAGAGUUUCUUAAUGAAGGACAAAAAGUUCAAACAACAUUUAUAAGACUUUUCACACUAUUAAUUUAGUAUAGAUAGCAUGUAACACCCCGUGUUUUUCCUAGCUUAAAAUUCAUUCCUAGAAUGUUAAGAGUGUGAUUCAAAAAGGAAUAACCUUUACUUCAUAUGGAAUUUUCCAUAUUUAGACCUUCCAUUGUGUGAAAAAUUGAAUAAUAUUUUCAUUGAUAUCCAAUUUACCCAAAUUCGACACUCGGUGAAGAAGUUAGAGUAUUUUUAGUAAUGCAGUAUCCCACCCGGGAACUCACCGCAUCACGGUGGAUGCCAAAAUGGAAAUCGUAACAUUCCAGUGGACCUCCGCGAUAUUGGUGCAUCGCAGAGAGGUCUAAAUUCCCAAUUGUCCAUUUCCAGUGGCGCAACGCGAUAGCACCGCAUCAUGCCAGAGUGCAAAUUCGCACUCAUUCUUUUCCAGUAGCUUAAUACGAUUUCAACGCAUCACGGUGAAGGUGUAAUUAUCGUACUAUUGAUCCAUAAUUCAAAUUAUUGUGGCAUGAAUUUAAUACUAAGUAUGUAAAGUCCUUAUCAGGUGAAUAAUGUUCAUAGAAGUCACUUAGAUCCAAGUGAAGCUAAGAACAUUAGAUUCGACCAAAAUUUGGCAUUCAAUCCUUCAAGGGUCUACUUUAAACAUGUAUAAAAUUUUAUAUAAGUGGAAUUUUCCAUCUGAAGAUCUAUCAAAUUAUAGAUAAUUGAAUUAGCUUUCCGACGAUACCAAUUUUGCAAAAAUUCGGUACCCGAGCGAAAAGUUAUAGCCAUUUUAGUGUGAGGCAGUGGGCUACCGCGAUGGUGGCGCAUCGCGCUAGUGGAAAAAUUGGGAUGCGGGUAACGAAUUUCUACUUUAAAUUAAUAAGGAGAAAUGAGGUCUUUUACCACCUCAACCCAGGUCAUAAAAACACGAUCUAAGGCUUCAAUUGGGGCAUUAUUUGCCCCCAUUCUCCAAUUUUUCCCUCAAGAACAACCCUAAUCAAUUCCAUCUUCUUCUCUUAAACAAAAAGAUCAAGAAUUUAGGGUUCUUAAUCCAAGAACUUCAAGAAUGUCUUCAAGAUCAUAUCCAAAGGGUUCAAAGUUCAAGUUUUAACAUUCAAUUCAUCAUAGGAAUCAAAGAUUCAAGCUUUCUCAUCUAAGAUCAUCAAUUAAGGUAUGUGGGGUUAUGAAAAAGGACAAUCCUUUCGUCCUUGUGCCCAAAAUUAUAUUUUUCCGCAAGUAUCUUAUUUUUUGAAAUUAAGGUUCAUACCAAUUAUAAGUAUUUGAUGAUUAUGAGUUUACAAGUGAAUGAAUAUUGAAUUGCAUGACUAUUUUCAUAUAUUUAUGCGCGUAAUGCAAUUUUCCAGUUUUUCAAAUUGAGUUUAAGCAUGAUAUUGAGAUUCUUGAUCUUAUUAUUUGGAUAUUGUUGAAGUAUGUUCAAGAAGCAUAUUGAGCCUUAUGUUUUGCUAUGAUUUUGAAUGUUUAUACAUGAGUUCUAAAUUGAGAUUUCAUACCCAUUAUCACUAUUUACAAGAUUAUGAGUUUUGAGAGAUUUUGAAGAUAAGUUUCAUGUCUAUUCUCAUAUUUUCAUGCCUAUGGUAGAAAUUUUCAGAUUUUGAGUUAAUUAUUAUUGAGUUCAUUAACAAGCGUGAUUACAAUGAAUUUAUACGAGUUGAAGAAUGGGUUAUUAGGCCCUAAUUUGAGUAUUUAUAUUUCAAGAACUUGUGCUUUGAACACCCUGAGAUUAGUAUAUUUUGAUUUGAAUAAAAGUAUUUGAUCUUCGGAUCCCAGUUGAAUUUUGGAAUUCACUUUUCAGAGUUUAUUUCAGAUUAUAGAUAUAUAUAAGUUUGGUUUCCAUUAUAAACUAUGAGAUUAUUUUUUAAAAAGUGGAUUUCUAAUGAGAUGAACGUAGCUAAUUAAAGGAAGUAGUAUUUAGCACCGAGUCGGGUAAGUUACUAUGGUUUCAUACCUCAGAACUUCGUGCCACCGUAGGAUUGAGAUUUAUGGGCCCGAGGCCGAGAUAGUGAUCACUGAGUUGAGGUAAUACUCCCUGCCAAGAGUAUGACGCCUCUUCCCAACGUGAGGUUUCUUCCUUAGGAGGACAAAACGUUGGACUCCAUAUAGCUCGCAUGGUUUAUGUCGGUUAAGAGAACCUCUCUGCUAGUAAAAAGUAAAUAAAUAGCUUUUGAUUUUUUCCUAAUAGUAAGAUUUUCAGAGUAGUUCCUAAAGUAUGUUCCUUUGAAAUGAGUUAUUUUCCCUAAAGCUUUGAAAGAUUUUCUUUUCAGUAAAGAUUUUUAGAUACUAAGUGUAAAGGCUCACAACCUUAUUCAAAUAUUGUUUUACUUGAGAUUUUAGUUUCAAAGUUACAGUCUUAGCUUUCAGAUAAAAAGGUGAGCACUUUACCACUUAGUCUAUAUGUUUUGAGAAGGGAAUAAAACUACAGAUUAUAGAACUAAGUGUAAUGACUCACGAGAUUUAUACUACAUGCUUCAUUAUUCAUGAUUUAUGAGUUUUAGAUUUCAGAUUUCUCAAGCUAUGUGAGUCAUUUACAUUUAGCAUGCAUUAUUUUAUAAAUGAUGAUUAUGAGAUAUGUUUUUACUUAUGCAUUCACCCCUAUAUGCCCAGUACAUUCCCAAAGUACUGAUCCACAUAUACAUCUAUGUGUAAUAUACUCUCAUAAUGUAGGUACAAGUUUCAGUAUGCACAUUCAGAUUCGGACAGUUGCAACCAGCCUGUGGGAUGAUGAGUCCUCCUACUUCGGGGGCUUCAGUUACACCUAUUUAUAUUCUUUACUUUCUUAUUCAUAUGUAUUGAUUAGUGAUAGUUGGAGUAGGUUCCCAACUAUUUAUAGACAACAUUAGUAGAGGCUUCAUAGACAGUCAGUAAAGUUAAUGUAUUCAGUUUCAGUUUCUUUGUAAAAGCAGAGUUGUAAUAGUGUGAAUUCAGUUUUGUAUUGAUCAAAUUUAGGAAAGAGUUAUCUUCCUCUUAUUUUGUUCAGAUUUAUGUAUCUUAUUCAGUUGCUCAUGAUUUAUGCCAGUAUAAGGGUUAGCUUGGGAUCACUUGUAGUCCUAAGCACCGUGUGACAUCCCGGGACCUGUUUUUGGGGCGUUAAAUAGCAACACUUUUAUAAAAUCAAGUUAAAUAGAAAAAAUAGCAAUAUUUUUAGUGGGAUCAAGCCACUACCGCCCUCUUACAGUUACCAUGUGUAACUUAUCCUCUUUUUAUGCCAUUGCUUUAUCUCAUUCUUUUUCUGAUUUUAUCUCUUUUAUAUUUUUUUUCAAUUAGUUUACUAUGUUUUAGAUUUAAAAUUCAACUAUUUUUCUCAUGUUUUCUACGCAAGAUCGUGUUCCACAAAUUCAAGUAAUCAUUAGUUUAAGUUAUUUCAUGUUAUAUCUUCCCUAAAAUUCAUUUAAUUUGUAUUUUGUAUUUUUUGCUUAACCAUUAUUAGUGCCAUAUUUCAUUUUUAAGCUUUUGUUUGUAGUACUGUGGAGGUCUACUCUAAUGGUAGAACACACACUAUAUAAAGAUCUAAUAGAGAUAUACCUCUAUAAAUUUAGUUUCUGAUAAUCCACCAUCCUUUAUUAUUUGACUUUCUCAAGAUGAAAAUAUAAAUGUUGUUUCUAUGCCUAUACAGUAAAAAAUAAGUGAACAUUGAAGGAGUGAGGUUUAUGCAUCGGAACGAUACUGAAAAGAUGACUGAAAAUUAUGAAAGAAAAUGGAUUGCAAAAAGUUUCUUCCCCAAACCCCCUAAAAAUUUUAAAUCUAGAAAAAAAAAAAAGAAACGCAAAAGAAGUUGGGACAACCAGCAAAAUUUUAAGUCCAGAAGUUGAAAAAUCUUUUGAAGAUGAUUCUAAAGAAGAUGAAGAGGAAGAGAUAUUUUAUUUUUCUAAAUUUUGUAAUUGUUUUUGUAUGUAUUUAGUAUCUAAGUUACUUCUCUAUGUUAAAUGGUACUUUUACUACUAAUAGAUGUGUUGUAUAUGUAUUUAACACAGUUGCAUUUAUGAUAUAUAAGUGUUUGUAUAUUUUUCAAAUAUGUUUAGUUGCUGAAUACUGGUUUGUAUAUAUUUACAAAUGUAUUUGGAUAUAUAUACAUAUGGAUCAUGUAAAUGUAUUUGUAUUUGUAUAUAUUCAGAAUUAUAUAUAUUAUGUGUAAGUGUUUGUAUAUUUACAAAUAUAUUUAAUUGUUGGGUACUGAUUUGUAUAUAUAUACAAAUAUUGUUUUAUACAUAUAUAUAUAUAUAUAUAUAUAUAUAUACACAUAUAUAUAUAUGUAUGUAUGUAUAUACAUACAUAUAUGCAUAUUACAAAUGUAUUUAGUUGUUGGGUAUUGAUUUGUAUAUAUAUACAAAUGUUGUUUUAUACAUAUAUAUCAAUAUAUAUAUAUAUAUAUAUAUAUAUAUAUAUA
rnacentral:lncRNA from 1 species